rnacentral:lncRNA from 1 species
UUCAAGACCAAGUCCUAGAUGAUCCGUUAGCCUAGCAAGCAAGAUGACUCUGCUUAGGUCGGCUGUUGGUUUGCCCUAGCGUCCACGUACCGAAUAAUGUAGUUCAGGCGCACGUAGGCGAUCGUACGUAGUAUCAUCAUGUGUGCUUCGUAACCGGUAGUCCGUAGCUACUCUACGGUGAGUAGCGUCAGGUCAAGUCGGAAGCUGUGGCUUGGUCAGGUGGCUGGUCUGCCUCUGGGCCCAGGAGUGUCUGCAGUGUCCACUGUAUCCUUGCUUCUUCAGUAAUGUAUGUCGUCUUGCUCAAAUAUGUCUUGUCUCGUUUGAUCUGUGUUGAUUCCUGGUGCUACUGGGUGUAGACCUUGUUGCUCGUAGAGCUAUCACCGGCUCAUAGAACACCAUGAGCAGUCGCUGACUGCCAAACCAUGCAUGAACGUGUACCUUCAUGGCUUUGCUCCGCACCUGCGUCUAUACAUUUGACACGAAAGAUGAAAUACCAGAGCAGAACGAUCGAUCUCUCAGACAUGACCCAGAUGCGGGGAGCACUUGAUCAAGUCCGAGCGUUUCCGAUCCCUGCCUGUCAUGUCGCGGUUAUCGCUUGCUGUUGGUAGUGGGGGUGAUCAAGGGGGAGCCGUUGAGGAUCCUGCCCACCCGAAGCUUUCCAACGGCGGCGCGAUCGUGGACUUCAAGCCAUCUGGGAAUUUUGCAGGUUUUCAGAGGGCGGUUCCAAGCAAUGGCAAUGGACUGUCGGAGGAAGAUGGUCUACCAGUUGGAGAGGAUGCGCACAUCGGGGAUGAAGCGGACAUGGACGACGUUGCGUUUGUUGCAGUGGACUUUGAGGAGGAGGAUGAAAACAUCGAGCCGGGUUGGAAGCUGAUGAGCCUAUACAGAUCACAAAAACGGCCAAGCGCGAAGACGCUGUCGGAUCACUUUGAGAAAAUUUGGCAGCUACGUACAGGAGUUGAGUUUAAGCCCGUACAGAAAAAUUACUUUGUGAUCUUUUUUCUCUGAAGGGGACUACAGAUUCGUUGCUAGGGGAGGGCCAUGGAUAUACGAUGGAGAUGCUUUGUUGUCAGGAUGUAAAUGGUCAGCCUGAUGUUGUGGGACUGCCCGCACUGGCCACAACAACUUUUUAUGUGGGAUUACGCGGGAGCCCAGUUAAUUUUCAUGCGGGACAUGUGGCGUCCACAUACUGCCCCAUAUAUUUACAAAGCUUAGACUGGAUAAGCUGACAUACAAAAGAUCACUAGAACUUCCACACUGACAUACAAAGCAUGUGGUGUCUGGAAGUAUAUACAUACGUACAGAAAGUGUGACAAAAACAAAUGGCAGUAGAUACAAAGUGAAAAUGGCAAACAGUGGAUAAUAUUAGCCCACAUUGACAUAACCAUCGCUACUAAUUAUCACUAGUGAGUUCGAGCUUCAUUCAGUAGUCGCCUCUAGAAUAACAAAAUCCACAAAACAUCGGCAACUUAACUAAAAACGUCUAUCAAAGCAGCAGAAAUAUCUUCUGUAUGUGAAAAAAAGGAAUAUGCAACACACUCCCCAUCCUUCAUAUCCCAAAAUUAACAAAAAGCACCUGGAGUUCUAGACUCAAAACGGUACCAAAUGAUAAAACUAUCAGCUAAGAGCAUCUUCCAUUCUUCUGUUAGCUUUGUGUCGGGCGACCUUUGUACAUCAAGCUAUGCUCACUGGUAUAUAUAGGUUUCAAUAAUUUUUUUUGUUUUUGAUAUAUUAAACAUUUGUUUCGCGACGCACUCUAUAACUCCCGUGCGUUAACGUCAAUUAUAAUAGUAAAGUCAUAAACUACAUAAUUGGCAAUACAAACUAUAUAUAACUAACCCGUCAAUGCCUACUUAUCUACAUCAGCGCUAAUACGGAUUCAUCUGAAGCCCUAACUCCAUUAAUGAUGAGGCUAUCUAAAACAUCUUCUUCUACCAUUGGCAAUGGCAAAGAAGUAGGUCAUUGGGGAGUCCCCUUUAAGAGUCCAAUUGAGGGUACCAUGCUGACGCCAAUAUAUAUCUGCCUGCUGAUGCAGCUGCACCAGAGCGGAUUCAAGGUUGUAUUGGACUGACCAAUCAUGCUUCGAGAGGCCUAUCACAUCUGCUAAAAGUUCCACGCCCGCGAUCUGGGCCUCUAAAGAUUUUUUUCUCCCUGCGGGUCUCCGCUGCUCUGUUAAGAGACCAACCCCUAAGAAACUUACGAAGCUCAUAUCAGCAUUUGUGCCAGUCGUCCAUGGGCCCAAAGGAUCGAUGUGAAGGGUUAAGAAGGCUAGAAAUCUAGGUGGCAAGAUUAUUGAUGAAUCCCUCCACUAGAAGCCAGGAAGCAUCGAAUUGGAAGGGCGAAGAGGUCAUAUGUUGGUUUAAGCCAGCGUCCAAAAUGGAGGGGAGCAUGAACUAUAUAUAUUUAAAUACUUUUUUUUGUUUUGGAUAUAUUAAACAUAUGUUUUGCGACGCACCCUUGAUCUCGAAAUAUCACGUCAAUUAUAACUGUAAAGUCAUGAACUACAUAAUUGGCAAUACGAACUAUAUAUAACUAUCAUACGUCAAUGCUGCAGUUGUAGCCAAGAAAAAUGGACAAUAGAUGAUUUUGUUUUUCAACACGGCUCAAUAAAAAGCUCGUUUCCCUCGGUCCUUUUAUCUACAUUUGGAAUAAUAAUGUAUUCACACAGAACAAUCAUUUCUGUUAAAGUGUGUUUUCUUUUUGCUUGUCAACUCUAAGUGUAGCCAUUAUGGCAGUAUGUGUUUUUUGUACGCUUACUUAAUUCGGGAUAUCUGGUUUUAUACAAAGGUUGAUUUUUUUCGAUUCUUUGAGAUUGAACUGUAAAUAUGGCAUGCCUUAGUAACAAUAUAUUCAACUAUAAAAAAGGAGAAAGAUCUGAUACGCCCCCGUCACGUUUUUUUAUAAUUAGAAAGAAUCAUCUACGUCUUAAAAAUGACUUGAUAUAUUUGGCAGGCAAUAAAAAGCAUUAAAAAUAUAUCCGUUUAUAUAUAUGCUGCAUAGACAUCCUAAUUGCCAAGACACCUCAUAGAACGAUCACUCACGCGUAUCGAUCAGCGAUGGAGCCCAUCAUUGGAAACAAUGCGCCGGCGGUCCAGGUUGUGGCAGCGCGCACUUACGAGGAGGUUUCUGUGCCCAGGCCCCUGGAUGCCGCUGCCCCCGACCCCAAUGAGGCUGCCCUCCAGAUACACGAUGCUGUGGCCGACCCCCAGGAGGAUUUGCCCGUACCCCUGCAUCUUCUUUCCCCACCAAGGCAUUUCGUGGAAGAUGCACUCGAAUAUAUAUUCGGCUUCAUGAACGGAAUUCAUGAUGAGCAGACACUAGAGUAAGUUAUGGUAUUGUAUGUUUAUUUUCUCUAAAGAAAUCUUAUUAGAACUAGGUCGUACACAGCAGACUCUGUUUGAUAUAGGAGUAUGAUAUUGCUUGAUUUGUUUUUCUUUAGAUUAAAUCUUACUUUUUGCGGCCAGCAGUACAAAAUUAUUUUUUGUUAAAUGUUUUGGCAGUAUUUCCGUUGCACAUCUACAGUAUGUAAUGAAUAACAAAAUUCUAAUAUUAUUUGCAGUACAAAUGUUGAACAACUUAAUGUCCUUACUAUAUUGUAAAACAAUUUAAUAUUGUUUUUGAACAACCAGCAAACUUGGUAUAAUGGGUGCUACCUAAAUUUUCCUGCUCUUAAUUUCUAACAAAUUAAUAUUGUUCUUACAGAUAAGUUAUUAUUUAAUUUUAGCUUUUGCUAGAAGGUGCUGAAACAAUUUUCAUGCUCUAUAGUUUAUCAAAAUAUUACGUUCUGCUCAUAGCUAUUAGAAUAUCUAGAAAAUGUUACCAUAUGAACAAUUUUAUGUUUUAAAGUACCACUCAUAUUGCUAACCAUUUUUAUGUAUUUUUACGUGCAGCUCAAUCUGGAUAAGAAGCGAUACACCGUACUGGGUCGAAAUCAGCCUCAGAAUGCUGAAGGACACACUAUUUGUAACGUCCGCAAGUCUACAUCCCGAUUGCUUCAAUCUCGCUGUUCGUAAGCUUGCUAGCGCUGAAGUAGAGAGGCAUGCAGGCACCAACAUGGUUGGAGGAAAACAUUAUUUUGACUUGCAGUUCCAUGCUCAAUCACGAGCUCUAAGGUAUUCAUGGAUGCCGCAAGGGCAGCGCACCUCGAUGCUGAUCAACAAUGCUGUUCUACAGCCCUUUCCUCGAUAUGAUGUGUUCAACCCCACAAUUGUAAGAGUUUUUAAUUCCUAAAUUAUUUUUUCUUUCCUGAUAGCAAGGAACGUGUGUUGACCUUAUGUAGUAUCUACUUCCGUUGUCUAUCCCGGAUUCCUCGUAUGGUCUACUUGUGGUAAAUCGGAUGAGGAGAAGGGUUAUCGUAUUUAAUCCAUCACUAGACGUACGACAAGUGGGAAAUAGCUCUCACAACAAAGAGAUGAUGAAGGAAAUCACUAUUUUGAAGCAAGAACUCAAUGAAGUGUUGCAGGCUAGGGUCCUUGAAUGGAACACCGAACUCAUGGAUUGGCAACAAGACAACAUGUCAUUCAAUUUUCGGCGGUAAUUUAAUAAUUUUUUCAGAUGAAUAAGAUGCAGUAUGUAGAAAUCUCAAGUUUUUAUUCUGUUUGUCACAGCAAAGACUCGGGUUUCUUAGUUCUACAAGAGAUGGCCCACCAGCUAGGUUCUUUGCGUAGCAUGACCUGGAUGAACACUACAGUAAUUAUCUUUAUGACGAGUUUUAAUGUGCCAUUUAUAAUCCAACCACUUCGGCGUUUCAUGGUGAAUUUGUUUCAUUGUUUCUAGGAUCCAAUUAUGCUCAGGAGCCAAGUGGUAGUCCAGAUGCUCAUGGUCAAAGACAAUCUAGCUGCUGGAAACAUCCCUCAGGAGAUUACGGCGGCCUUGAGGGUUUUGAACAACUAAAUAUGCUUCUAUGCAUGCAGAACCAUCAGGAAUACUUCAAUCAUCUUGUCAUGUUUGGUUAUGGAUUGAAACUAUAAUUUUUGUUUUUGGGUUUACAAUAUUUAAGAACUAAUUGAAGUUUUGGUACUACUACAAGUUGGUUUUGCUGUUAUGUUUGUUGUUUUGGUAAUUUCUGUUUGUCUCACGUCAAUGAUCAUUGAGCCACAUUUGAUAGCUAAAAAACAAUCUCACCCACAAUCAUUUCUCCUACCCUAUGAGGAUUCAACCGCUCCGACAACAAAGCAACUUAUUCCGGCGAGGGAUCUAGCUUCUCAAGCUAGAAAUCGAGCUUCACAUUCCGGUUCCCGAUCAGUGUUGCAAUCGAUAGAGGAUGAGGGAGAGAGGCGCCAUGACGCAUCAAGGAUAGAGGACGAGGGGGAGAGGUGGCAUCAGUAGACUAUGCACAUACCGAUCUUUAGUAGGGGAACCACAAUAUGUCCCUGUGUUUAAGUGGGCCAGGGCAGAGCAUCUGGGCUAUUUCCUCACACUAAAGAAUUAAAGCCUAACGCUUGUGACGUAGAUAUCUAAAUAAUUGUUGGCCAAAUGCAUGAUUAGCGCGUAGCGCUUUCCUGAUAAUUUUUCCCGAGGCAGCUGGGUUAUGACGGGAGUGCAAGCUCAGACAGAUUCACUCAACUAGGUCCAGGCUGUUAACACCAGCGACCUUGACCUCGCUGCCAAUGGAGUGUUGUUCAAAGAAAUAAUAUUCUUUGCUAGAUUAAAUUUUAACCAAGUGGUAUUUUCGUUUUUCCCCAGGAUGUGUAAUAAAGUAAUGUAUGCGUUAGCCCCAGUCACGUGGCAGGAUCAAGCACCUGAGUUUGUGGACGCCCUUGUAGCUAGCGACUCUGCUGAGCUGUCUGGUUAAUGGUAAGCUUGAUUCCCACCACAAAAGAAAUGUGGAGAAAAUAUUUAUUAGAGGAAAGGCACCGGCCCCCACAGUUGAAAUCAGGGGGGGGGGGCAAAUUUGAUAGGGAAAUAAAUCAGGGCCCCACCAUUCAAAUCAGGGGUCGGAGAUUUAUUUAGAGGGGGACAAACACUGGGCCCCACAAAACACGCAGCCAACAACGCUUUCUGGGUGGGCAUCGAGUGUUGCACUUCCUCACGACAGAGUAAGUCCGGUUUCUUUGAUUUUUUCGUUUGGGAAAGUUAUGGGGUAAGGGAGACAUAAUUUAGGCAACUUUUAUUCUGUUACUAGUUUUUUGCAUAGUCUAAUCAAAACAAAUAUCUUGCUGAUUUUGUUGAUAGUACUUUUUUAUGGAAACAUGCAAAUAAGAAAGGACAGGGUGCACCUUCCUAACUGUUGUCGCACAAUUCCCCACGGCCUCAUAUAUACUCAAUAAAAUCCUACGGGCUCCUUCCUCUCUCGCUUUACCAGUUGUACGGCCGACUUUUUGCCCCGUCAAUGGAAGCAAUGGCAAAUUUUGGGGGAGUGCGACACGCCGUCAACUACAUUGUCGGGUGGUAGGUGCGACAUAUGCCAAUGGGUGGCUUAUCAUUGUGGGAGCCAGUAAAACAUCGCCGGUGCCUGGAAACGGGAUGAGGCGAAGACAUGCACGCCGGUGCCUGGACCGGCUGGGCUCGGCCUUCUUCUGGGCGUUGGACUACGAUGACGGUGCUGACCACCCGGCUAGUUGCGGCAAUGUAAAGGAGCAUGGGCUCUUUCUCAGUCGGCGCCGCUAGGAUGGGCGGCGUGGCCAGCAUCUUCUUCGGCUCAUGAAAAGCUUGGUCGGCCUGGUCGUUCCACUCGAAGUGAGUGCUCUUCUUCAUGAGGCGGUAGAGGGGAAGAGCUUUCUCUCUGAGCCGGCUGAUGAAGCGGUUCAAGGAGGCCAAGCAUCUGGUGAACUUUUGGAUGUCUCGAAGCUUGGUGGGGAUCGCCAUUCUCUCGAUGGCCUUGAUCUUCACCGGGUUGCAUUCGAUGCCGCGUUCGGAGACCAGGAAGCCUAGGAGCUGGCCGGCUGGCACUCCGAACACGCAUUUCUCGGGGUUGAGCUUGAUUUGGAACCGGCGUAGGUUCUCAAACGUUUCUUUGAGGUCUUCCAGCAAGGUGCCGCGCUUCUCCGUCUUCACCACAAUGUCGUCCACGUAGACAUGAGCGUUUCUGCCGAGUUGCUUGAGGAGGCACGUCUGCAUGCAACGCUGAAAAGUGGCACCGGCAUUUCUCAAGCCGAAUGUCAUAGUCAGGUAGCAGAAGGCUCCAAAUGGCGUGAUGAAGGCGGUCUUCAGGCGGUCGUCCGGAUCUAGCUUUAUCUGGUGAUAUCCUGAGUAAGCAUCCAAGAAACUCAACAGCUCGCAUCCGGCCAUGGAGUCUAUCACUUGGUCAAUCCUCGGCAGGGCAAAGAGAUCUUUAGGACAGGCCUUGUUGAGGCUUGUGUAGUCUAUACACAUGCGCCACUUGUUGUUCUUCUUUAACACGAGGACCGGGUUGGCAAGCCACUCUAGAAAGAAGACUUCCAUAAUGAAGCCGGCUGCCAGAAGCCAGGCUAUCUCCUCCCCUACAAUCCUUCUCUUUUCCUCUGAUAGUCGGCGGAGGGGCUGCUUGACUGGUUUCGCGUCUUUUUGGACGUGUAGUUUGUGCUCGGCGAAUUCCUUCGGAACACCUGGCAUGUCCUUGGGGGACCAUGCAUAGAUGUCCCGAUUCUCACGGAGGAAAUCGGCAAGCUCGCCUUCCUAUUUGCUGUUCAGGCUUGCCCCGAUGACGGCUAACCUCUCGGGGUGCUCGGGGUCAAGGGGUAUCUUCUUGGUUUCUUUGGCCGGCUGGAAAGAUCCUUGGGCAUCAUACUCCUUGGGGUCGGGGGACAGGUUCGGCUGCUCGCUGGCCAUGGCCACGACCCGGUCCAACAUCUUCUUCUCUUCGGCAAUCACAAGGGACUCGGCCAGCCGGCUGCUGGCGGCAGCGCACUCGGAAGACUUCUUCUAAUUGCCGGCUACGGUGAUGACGCCCUUGGAACUUGGUAUCUUUAUCUUGAGGUAUGCAUAGUGGGGAACUGCCAUGAACCUGGCCAAGGCGGGUCGGCCAAGCAACGCGUGGUAGGGGCUCUCCAGGUCCACCACUUCAAACCAGAUUGCUUCCCGGCAGAAAUGCUCCUUGUCCCCAAAGAGUACAUCAAUCUUGAUCUUGCCAAUGGGGGCGCAGGACAAGCCGGGUAUGAUGCCAUGAAACACUGUCCGAGUAGGCAUGAGCUGCUUCAUCUUGACAUUUAUCUUCUCCAGGGUGUCACGGUACAGGAUGUUGAUGCUGCUCCCGCCGUCUAUCAGCACGCGGGAGAAGCGGGCAGCGCGUCUGUCCGUCGCGAGGGUGGCUUCUAGGACCAACGCAUAAGAGCCGGGAGACGGCAUCACCUCUGGAUGGUCGACCUGGCUCCAGCUGAUGGGUUUUUCUGACCAAUGCAUGUGUCCGGCGGGGUUGGCAGCGACCACGCUGACUUCCUGGUGCUCUCGGCGUUUGCCGCGCCGGUCUUCGAGCUGGCUUGUAAAGACGAUGUAGGUCGCUUGCUCCUCGGGGAAUUCGUCGUGCACGGCUCCGACUGCGGGCCGAGCGGCCGGAGGCGGCGGAGCCGGAGGCGGCGGGCCGGCAGGCGGAGGCGGCGCGAGCCCCUCGCCUUUAGAGAUUCGGGUGAGCCAAUGGCACUUCCGGGUUGUGUGGUUGGACGGCUUCGCGCCGCUAUGGAAUUUGCACGGGGCGUCGAGAGUUUGCUCGUAGGAGAAAGCCGGUUGCCAAGCCGGCCGGCCGCCCUUGGGCUUCUUGGGCGCGGGUCGCCCUUCAGGCAGCGCGUCUUCGACUGUGGCCACCUGCCGACUGGCGGGAGGCGGCGCAGGGCCCUUGCGCUUGUGGUCGUUCGGGUGUGUGCGUCGGCUGGAAUCCCCUGCCGGCGUCUUGGGCGCCGGGUUGAGUACUUUCUCGGACGCGUCUACCCGGAGCUCGGUCUUCAUCGAAGAGUCGGCGGUGGCGUAUUUGUCUGCUAUGUCCAGAAGCUCGUCGACGUUGUCGGCUCAUCGUAGAGGAGCUUGUGCUUGAGGAGGGUACCUUCUCGGCACCCGGCAGUGAAGUAUUCGAUGGCUUGCACCUCGUGCACCCCCUCGCAAGAAUUGUGAAGCUCGGACCAACGCGUGAGGUAGCCGCGAGUGGACUCGGCUGGGCCUUGUACGCACAGGGAGAGCUGCCUGGGCUUGGGGGCCCGCUUGUAGGUGCUGGUGAAGUUGCGGGUGAAAGCUUCGGUGAAAUCUAGCCAGCUGUUGAUGCUGAGAGGCUUGAGGCUGUUGAGCCAGGUCCGCGUCGUGCCUUGCAGCAUGAGGGGCACGUACUUCACGGCAAUGCGCCAGUUGCCGUUGGCUAUGCUAACCGCCGUGGAGUAGUCGAUCAACCAAUCUUCCGGCUUCACGAAGCCGUUGUACUUGGGCGUGUCUCUUGGGAGCGAGAACCCUUUGGGGAAAGGCUCGUCGCGGAUGCGGGGCCCGAAACAAGGCGGGCCGACAUCGUCUUCUUCUUCCAGCGCCAGGGAUCGUGCCAGGCGGUCGAUCCGAUGGCGGGCGUCGUUCUCGCCGACUCCUUCGCGGCGACCUAGUCGGCCACUGAGAGUCGGGUGCGCCACUGGCGGCGGGGUGGGAUAUCUCUCUCCACAGGGUGGAGGCGGAGGCGGGUUGCCCCGCCAUUCCAUGGCUCGGGGAUGGCCGUCCGUGUCUCGCUCGAUGGAGAUUCAGGUCCGGCUUCGGCUGGCCGCCGGCUCUUUCUCGCGCCGCGCGCGGGCGUUGCUCGUAGUCGGUGUCCGGGACGUCGCGCCGUGAUCUCGGCGCGGGGGAGGGCUUCCCGCGCGGGCAUCGGCUUCGUGCCGCCGUGCGGCCGCGUCAAUCAGUUUCUGGAUGCGCCGGGUCAUGUGGGGGAGUUCUUCGGCCUCCAAGCCGUCCAACUCGUCCACGGCCGCCUGGGCGGCACGCAAGUUCUCGAGCGGAGUGGCAUAGACCGGGCGGUCGACUCCCAGCAUGUCGGCGAUGACGGCGCCGCGUUGCUUGACAAUGCCGACCCGGCUUGGCCCGCCCGGGGCCGGCAUGCCGAAGGCGGCGCGGUCAGCUUCGCACUGGUAGGCCUCAGUGAGGCGUCUCACGGAAGCCAGCCUCCGGCCCUCUGCGAGGAGGGUGAGGCGGCGCGCCUCCAGUGCUUCGUCAUCGGCAUCAGCCGGGAGGGGGGUGGACAAGUCGUGGGCAGCCGCGUGCGGGGCGUCGUGGGCGCUCUCGUCGGCCGGGCCGCCGUGGCCGACGACCAUCACUUCGGUGGUGACAGUAUCGCGGCCGUCGGUCCGAAGAAGCGGGUCGUUGUAGAUCGCGAUGUUGGUGGGGAAGGUGUCGAAGGAGGCCGUGUCAAAGUCGACAGGCAUCGGGUCGGUGGAGCCAACCGACUCCAGAUCCACAGUGGGCUCGCUGGAGACAUGGAGCUGGCCGAGGAGGUUGGCGAGGCUGCUCGCCGCGCAGAUGCUGGUGACGCCUUGCAGCGCGUCGUGGAAAGCGCCAUCAGGCGUGUCGGGCUGGCUAUGCUCGCUGGGGAGGAAGAGGGUUCCCGUCCAGAACAGGUCUCCGGACGAUGGUGCACCUCGCCCCACGAUGGGCGCCAAAUGUCGGGUGGUAGGUGCGACAUAUGCCAACGGGUGGCUUAUCAUUGUGGGAGCCAGUAAAACGUCGCCGGUGCCUGGAAACGGGAUGUGGCAAAGACAUGCACGCCGGCGAAUCUUACUGCUCUCCGUGGAGAUAACACUCCUACUGCUGCUCUGCGGGGUCUCCGCAUGAUCACUAGCUGGACAAGUAGCUACACAAUGCUCCUUGAGCUGUUCGGUGGGAGGAGGAAGAAGGGCACGGCUAGCUUGCUUCUUCUCCUUGUGUGGUGUCUAAAACUAGCUGGGGGUUCCAACCCUUUGCAUGGGUGCUCCGGGGGGUUUAUAUAGGCCUACCCCCUGGGGGUACAAUGGUAAUCCGUCUGGGCGCGGGGCCCAGCCGUCUAUGACUGCGCUCGCCGGCUUCUGCCCCGACCGCUGGGGCCCGCCGACUGGUGGGUCCUGCCGUCUGCCAACUCCUUGGCAACAGGCAGGCCCCACUGCCAAGGGUCUUGUCGGUGGCUGGUUAAUGUUGCUUCAACCUGAUGACGAGGGCUUCGUCGAGGUAAGCGUGGCUACAGUGCCGCCGUCCGGCGGGCGAUCGCUGUAGCCUCACCGCGUCUUGUCUCCUUAAUGGGGCGUCUCCUUUGAGGGGGGAAGCGAGCCGGCUGCGGGGAGCCAGCCCCGUCUCGGGCCGACUGGGGGAGGCCUGGCCGCCUUCGGGCGUCUCUCUGCCCGAAGGGGCCCACCGCCCGUGGGCCGCGCUGGCGGCCCGUCGUGGGUGACAUCAGGGUCAACAUGGCAAUAGUGUCGCGCCGGACGGGUCAUGGCCACUCCGUACGGCGCACUGUGCCAGGCGUGCUCCGGGAUUCGGGGGUGGCAGGCUUUACUAUAGCCACGCCCCGUCUCAUCGCCGCUAGGUGGAUGCAAACUUUGAGAGUACGGUCUCGACCGCUUUAUGGGAGCCGGCUUCUUGGAGUCGGCCUCCUCGCGGCCGGCUUCUCUAAGUCGGCCCUCCCGUGGCUUUCUUCAUGAGGGCUAAAGUCGGGCCGCCUUCCGAAAGCCGGCCUGGGUGACAGCCAGCAAGGGGAUGGCGGCCCCACGUCUUGGAUUCUUGAGAGCCGGACGGGCUCGUAAUUUUUUCAGAAGGGCCAGGGGAAGCCGGCUAGGCUACCCAUGGCUAUUUACUCCGACAGUAGUCCCCGAAGCUGAUCGAGCUUCGAGGCGGACAAAGGGACGAGAAGCUUGGUCAGGUUCCUACCCUGAAGAGCCGGCUUUGCUGAUGUAUGCCGAUUUCGGGGAGCCCUGAGUCUUGCAGGCAGGCCACGUGGCAGCGAGACCCUGCCAGCGCAUGCGCGCGACGGGACGCCGCCGCAGGCCCGGGCCCGCCACUCCUAGGCCUCGGCCCGAACGCUGAUCUUCCGCGGCCCAGGUGGACCGCUCGCCUUCCCGUGGCGAUUUUAUUUCGCCAUUAGGGCGCAAUAAACGCGGGACGUGGGGGAGUGGGCACGAUCGAUCCCCACGUUUCCCCACGCCGCGCCUCCUCGGCUCCGCCACGCGAGCCUAUAAGUAGGGGGAGGAGGGGGAGAGACAGAGGUUCGCAUGCUCUCUCUCGCUCUGCCCCUUCUCGCCUUCCUUUCUUCCUCUCGUUGCCGCCGCAGCCUCCCGUCUCAGCGCCGCCGCGCCGCCACAUCGUCUUGCUCCCAUGACGCUGUCGAGCUCGUGGGAUGGCUCCAACGUCCAUGAGGACCAUGUUGAGUUCCUCCGCCAGACUCGGCGCCUGCCCGACGCCAACCUCGUGCGGGUCCGCCUGGCGCCAGAGAAGGAGAUCUCGCCGGCACCGGAGGAGGGCGAGCGGGUCGUCUUCCUCUCGCACUUCCUGCGCGGCUUCGGCCUUCCGGCGAGCGGAUUCCUGCGCUCCUUCCUCGAGUUCUACAAUCUUCAGCUGCAUCCCCUCACGCCCAACGCGGUGAUGCUGCUGUCGGCCUUCGUCUCUCUCUGCGAAGGUUUCUUGGGGCUGCUCCCCACGCUGGAGCUCUGGGGGGAAUUCUUCCAGAGCAAACUCGGCACUAUCGUCGCAGGCGUGCCCGUCCCCUUCGGGGCCUUCAUCGCCAUGAGGAGGUCGGGCGAGAACAACCCGUUCCCGUCCAUCCCCCUGAUCUAGUCGGUGAAGAUCUGGCAAAAGUCAUAUUUCUAUGUGAAGAACGUCGCCCAGCAAGCAGACCAUGUCAACUUGCCGGCUUACGUAGCCGGCCCGCCGGCUGGGAGGCAGCCCUCAUGGAGUUUCCGGUCCAGGUCACUGUCUUAGGCCGGGAACACUGCCGUCUCCCGGCUUCGGGUGAUGAUCCAGUCGGAAGGCCUGAGCCGGGCCGACUUGGUGGCCGCCUUCAUGGAGCGCCGGAUACUUCCUCUCUAAAGCCGGCCCCACAUGAUGUGUCAGAUGAGCGGUCGCUUCGACCCAAGCCAGCUGAGCACCAGGGAGAUGCCUCACGCGGAGGUGUCGUACAUGGUAAAUCAUAUCUCCAAUUGCAAGCUCGCCGAGGACUGGCGAUACGGCAAGGUGCCGUAUUCUCGCGCCAGCCCUCCGCCCGUGGUAAGCUUUCCUCUCUUUCGUCUUUUUGUUGGUAGCCGGCUUUAUGAUGGCCGGCUUCUGAUCGGUCGGUUCUUCUUAGCAGAACCCCCUUCUUCCGCCGACGACCGGGGCAGCAGGGAUAGAACGCCAGUACGUCCCCGACCGCACGGUGGACGAUGUCGACGACCCAGAUUUGGGGGCGGCCGCCAUGGAAGACACCGUCGUGGGGGACGACGCCGAGCCCGGAGGCACAGGGCUUACCGCCAGCUUCGAGGACUGGUCGGAUGAUGCCGAAGCCGAAGUCGCCCCGCGUCGCUAGCCGGCGGCCGACCAUCAGGGCGCGGGCUUGUCCACCGCGCCGGCUGCCAGCGGCAUCGUACAGAAGCGCCGGGCCGCGUCAACCCUCUUCGACAGUCGGCCGAAGAAGUCCAAAGCCUCCACCGCGGCGACCAAACGAGAUGAGGCGGCCGCGAAAGUGGCCCGCUUCCGCAAGGUGGUGAAGCAGCCUCAGGCGGUCUCAGCGUAAGUCGUUGAUUGCCUGGUCGCAUGCUUUUCAUCGUUCUCUCAUGUUCGAACAUUCUUCCUAACCUUUUCUCGCUCGCUGAACAGGGCGCCGCUUUCCCUUGAGCGGGGUCCGGGCGGCUCCGUAGUUGGGCCGACUGGAGGGUCUUCGGUCUCCCGCCGCGUGGACCCCCGCGCCGACCUCAGGGAGGCCAUGGAGCGGAACGCCCGUGAGGCGCGGGAGGAGCGUGAGGCGGCGGAAAAAGCGGCCGCCCAGGCGGUGAGGGAGCAGGCCGACGCGGCAGCCAAGGCCCAGGCGGAGGCGGCGACCGCGGAAACGGAGGCAGAGGGUUCGCGUAACCAGCCUCCGCUGCUCGCCAUUCCCCUCCGAGCCGUGGCCCCCGACACCCCAUUGCCCGUGGCGGAGGAAAUCGUCCAAGACCCGCCGCUGAUGGAGAGGAGGGAGGACCUCGUGGUCUUCGCGGGGAGAGCGCCGCUGGCAGCGCCAACCGGAGCGGGCCAAGGCGGCCAAUCGUCAGCGGCGCCAGAGGAGCCGGCCGGGGGUGAGCCGGAGGACGGAGCCGGCUUCGAGGUGCAUCCGGUGACGCGUCGGCGCGCAGGGGGAGGCGCCGCUCCGCCGGAGUCACGUCGAGUUGCGGGCGCCGGCCAGUCGGCGGAGGCUCUGGAGGCGGCCAACACCGCCACGUCCGACUGGACUCCCAGCGGGGGGGACUGGCGAGCUGAAUGUGCCGGCUCAAGAGGUCCGGAGCCGGCUUCAAGCUCAGGCCGCCCUACUGCAGCAGUACACCCAGGAGUUCCUGUCGACGCGGGCCGCCAUCCGGGUGAGUCUUUCAUUCUUGGCCGCUUUGGUCUCUUGAUUUCUUCCGUGGGGGCGCGUCAGCGCACCCACUGGGUGUAGUCCCCGAGUUUCGGGCCGACUGCUGAGCAGUCGGGUCGGAUCUUUCUUGACGACUACCUUAUUUUUGCUUCCUGUCUGAACUUCCAGGAAUAUCAUAACUCCCGUGCUGCCGCCUUCAACUCCCAGUCUCAGGAGUUGGGUCGGAAGACCAACGACCUGGUCAACAGCCGAAGUAAGUGCUUGAUCUUGUCUGUCUCCUGUGGGGGCGCGUCAGCGCACCCACUGGGUGUAGUCCCCGAGAUUCAGGCCGACUGCUGAGCAGUCAGGUCGGAUCUUCCUUGACGACUUUUUCCUUAUUGGUUUUUUCUUUCGUGCUUUCAGGGGCCAACGCCGACUUGAGGAGGGAGCUCAGCGAAGCGCAGGCCGCCCUUCGUACCAAGGAUGCUGAGUACGCUGCCUUGGUCCAGGAGCAUGACCGCCUGGCCAAGAAGCUGGCUGACCAAGAGGAGAGCCACAAGGCGGCCCUGCAGAAAGCGCGGGAUAGUGAGGUCGCCCUGAAGGCAGAGUUUGAGACCGAGGCGGCGAGCUGGGCUGAGACCCGGCGAGCGCUGGAUGAAGGCUUCGGCCGCAUCGAGGACUUGAUCGACGGUAAGCCGCCUUCCUCGCUCCUCUCCUGCCCCUUGCCGCCUGGUUUUGGCCUGACUUGUGCUGCUGCCUAUUUUCUUGUGCAGACUACUUUCCCGGCUACUCCGCCUUCGCCUCCCAAACCAUCGAGGCCCAUCGCAAGGCGUGCCGUCAGGCGGGGGUCAACAUUGCGCCGGACACGAAUCGGACGCUUGAGGAGCAGCUCUUGGCUGUCCAAGCGCGGCUGCAGCUGGCUCACCGGAUGCUUCGCCGGCUCGAACGUGCCGGGGCGCAGGUGUUGGCCGCCCUCUGGCCCGGCAAGAUGAUCCCCCGCACCCCAAGCCGGACUGCCUACUGGCUGGAGGUUGCAGUCGGUCGCUUUGAAGCUUGGAAGGCGUCGGCGGCCCGUCUUGGAGCUGGGCGGGCAUUGGAGUUCGUUUGAGCUUGGUACCCAGGGCUGAACCUGGACCAGCUGCGCACUUAGCGGCUGGAGGCCGACGUGGAGCUGGAGGAGGUGCGGCCGGCUAUCGCCCAGCGUGCUUCGAUGAUCGCCGAGUGCACCGACAUUAGUGUUUUUGCACCUGAAAUCAAUGAUGACGGCGUUGCCCAGCCGGAGGAGUGGUUUGGGAUGAACCCGGCGGUGGGCAAGGACUCGGAAGAGGAGAUCGCCUCCAGCGAUGAGGGCGAGGAUGACGGAGAAGAGGACGGUGAAGACGUCGAGCCGGCUAGUGGAACAACCGGCCGGCCUCAGGCUGACCGUGCCUCCAGCAACGAGGCGCGUGGAAGCGCGCCCUCUGCGGGAGGCGUUGAUCAAGCCGAGGUUCGGCAGCCGGCCACUCCUUUAGCCGGCACAACCAUCUCCGCCGACCAGCCCGGCUCGUCGGUCGCUCCGCCGGCUUGACCUGCCGUCCUUAUUUUUCCUGCUUGUUGCCUUUUGAACAAUCUUUAUUAAGCUUUCGCAGUUCCACCCAUUGGGGGUGUAUCCAAACUAUGUUGAAUGCUGGCCUCUUGGAGGUCUUUUAUGUAAAUAUUAUUAUGUGCAUGUUUGGUUUCCAUUCGCGUAUGCUUUUUAUCCUUAGGCUUUUUCCUUUGCCGCCUUCCCUCUUUGGGGGAGGCAAGUACUCGAGCUUUCUUGGAUUGAAGUGAAGUGAAUGGAAACCGGCCGGCUGGCUACUCUGGUAGUCGGUCGGUGGUAGGCGGCAAACCGGCUUUCGUUAUAUUAGUCCGUUGGUCCCUGGCCAUUUUUCGUGUGGGCAUCAUUUCCUGCUUUUGACUCUUGCCAGCCGGACAGCCGGUUCUUCGAACUGCGACUUUGGCAAGAGCUAAGCCUGGGUGUCGGCACACUACUUGUCUGACCGCGGGUAGGACUUCUAAUAUAACUCCAGCCGGCCAGUUCCUGGGCCGACUAGUCGAACCCGGUGCCGGACGGAACAAGUAAAUGAAAUGACAAGGUCAUAAGCAUGAUACUCUUCAUUCAUAGAUAAAAGAUGGCAGUCCCCGAGCUCUCCUCGGGGGGCCUAUUAUCUCAUACUUAGUAAAAAAGUUAGCGUGAUACAUACUGCAUUUCAACUGUAAAAUCUUCGAAGGAGGUUGGCGUUCCAUGGUCGUUCCGACUCCUUGCCGGAGUCGUCUCUCUUUCAUGCCUUUGGCUUCUGUGCGUCGAUCAGGUAGUAGGAGUCGUUGCCUAAGGCUCUGCUGAUGACGAAGGGGCCCUCCCAAGGGGCCGAGCGCUUGUGCUGGCCGGCUGUUCGCUUGAUCAGUCGGAGCACAAGAUCGCCCACUUGGAAGGAUCUUGGCUUGACCUUCCGACUGUGGUAGCGGCGCAAACCCUGCUGGUAGAUGGCAGACCGGCUGAGGGCUAACAGCCGACCUUCUUCCAGCAGGUCGACGCCGUCUUCUCGUGCUUCCUUGGCCUCCGCCUCCAUGUACAUGGUUACCCGGGGCGAGUCGAACUCGAUGUCGGUUGGGAUGAUCGCCUCGGCACCGUACACGAGGAAGAAAGGAGUGAAGCCGGUUGACUUGUUUGGGGUAGUGCGCAGACUCCAGAGGACAGCCGGCAGCUCAUCGAGCCAACAGCCGACUGAACGCUCCAGUGGUACGACCAGUCAGGGCUUGAUACCGGAGAGGAUGAGGCCGUUGGCUCGCUCGACCUGGCCGUUUGACUGCGGGUGGGCGACGAACGCUAAGUCCAGCCGGAUACCUUGGGCUGCGCAGAAACGUGCCAAGGCUCCUUUGGCAAAAUUCGUGCCAUUGUCGGUGAUGAUGCUGUGUGGCACGCCGUACCGAGUUGUUAUGUCUACGAUGAAUGUCACAGCAGUCGGCCCAUUCAGCUUCUUGAUCGGCUUUGCCUCAAUCCACUUGGUGAAUUUGUCCAUGACGACGAGCAAAUGCGUUAUGCCGCCGCGCGCCAUCUUGAAUGGGCCCACCAUGUCCAGUCCCCAAACGGCGAAGGGCCAGGUGAGGGGAAUGGUCUUGAGUGCCGAAGCCGGCAUGUGUUGCUUGGAGCUGAAGAGUUGGCACCCUUUGCAAUAUUUAACUAAUUCUUUGGCGUCAUCCAAAGCAGUCGGCCAGAAGAAACCAUGGCGGAAAGCUUUGGCGACGAGUGAUCUUGAAGCCGCAUGGUGGCCGCAUUCUCCUUGGUGAAUGUCUCUGAGGAUUGCAAUGCCCUUCUCUUGCUCGACGCACCAUAGGAAGACUCCAGUGACACUACGCUUGCCGAGUUCUCUGUUGACGAUUGUGUAUGCUCCGACUCGACGUUGGACUUGUCUUGCCUCUGUUUCGUCAACCGGCAGAUCUUGGUUUACUAGGAAGUUGAGGAUGGACUGAGCCCAUGAAGGAGCCGCGACUUCUCCUACUGCCAAUGUGGCUACUGCCACCAGGGUGGGCGGGCUGGGUGGUGAAAUGCUGGAGUCGGCCGCCGGCUGUUGUGUUGGUGCAGUCCCCGGGCCGGCUACUACAGUCCCCGAGCCGGGUGUGGCAGUCCCCGAGCCGGUUGCCGAAGUUCCCGGGCCGACUACUGAAGUCCCGGGGUCGCCUGCUUGGUUCUUCGAGCCGGACCCGGCCGCGUCGGGGUCAGGCGGUACGAAGAUGGAAUCGGACUCUGGAGACGGCUUGAUGGACGGCUUGAGGAGGUGUUGUAGAGCGACGCCGGUUGGUAUUGCUUGCCGAGUGGAGCCUAUUCGAGCCAGGGCAUCGGCUGGCUCGUUGUCGGCUCGCGGUACGUGGAGGAACUCGCAUCCUUCAAAGUAUCCGCUGAGUUGUUGAACCAGGAAGCGGUAGCUUGCCAUAUUUGCGUCCUUGGCAUCCCAGUCGCCGGAUGAUUGCUGAACCACCAAGUCUGAGUCGCCAUAACAUAGGAUCCGGCGGAUGCCGAGUUCCUUGGCAAGCCGGAGCCCGUGUAUGAGUGCCUCGUACUUGGCUACAUUGUUCGAGGCGGCAAAGUAAAUCUGCAGCGUGUAUCUGAGCUUGUCGCCUUUGGGAGAGGUAAGGACGAUGCCGGCUCCCAAGCCGGUGCGCAUCUUGGACCCGUCAAAGUGCAUGCGCCAAUGGGUUGAGUCGGGAGCCGGCGACAGGUACUGGGUCUCGGCCCAGUCGACGAGGAAGUCGGCCAGUGCUUGGGACUUGAUGGCGGUGCGGGGCUGGUAGAAGAUUGUGUAGGGGGCCAGCUCGAUGGCCCAUUUCGCCACCCGGUCGGAUGCGUCCCGGCUGCCUAUGAUCUCGGCCAACGGGGCGGUGCAUACGAUCGUGACGGGAUGCUCCUGAAAGUAGGGCUUCAGCUUCUUGGCGGCGAAGUACACGCCGUAACACAUCUUCUGGUAGUGCGGGUAGUUCUGCUUUGAAGCGGACAUCACCUCGCUCAAAUAAUACACCGGCCUCUGGACCGGCUGGGCUCGGCCUUCUUCUGGGUGUUGGACUACGAUGACGGUGCUGACCACCCGGCUGGUUGCGGCAAUGUAAAGGAGCAUGGGCUCUUUCUCAGUCGGCGCCGCUAGGACGGGCGGCGUGGCCAGCAUCUUCUUCAGCUCGUGAAAAGCUUGGUCGGCCUGGUCGUUCCACUCGAAGUGAGUGCUCUUCUUCAUGAGGCGGUAGAGGGGGAGAGCUUUCUCUCCGAGCCGGCUGAUGAAGCGGUUCAAGGAGCCCAAGCAUCCGGUGAACUUUUGGAUGUCUCGAAGCUUGGUGGGGAUCGCCAUUCUCUCGAUGGCCUUGAUCUUCACCGGGUUGCAUUCGAUGCCGCGUUCGGAGACCAGGAAGCCUAGGAGCUGGCCGCUGGCACUCCGAACACGCAUUUCUCGGGGUUGAGCUUGAUUUGGAACCGACGUAGGUUCUCAAACGUUUCUUUGAGGUCUUCCAGCAAGGUGCCGCGCUUCUCCGUCUUCACCACAAUGUCGUCCACGUAGACGUGAUCGUUUCUGCCGAGUUGCUUGAGGAGGCACUUCUGUAUGCAACGCUGAAAAGUGGCACCGGCAUUUCUCAAGCCGAAUGUCAUAGUCAGGUAGCAGAAGGCUCCAAAUGGCGUGAUGAAGGCGGUCUUCAGGCAGUCGUCCGGAUCUAGCUUUAUCUGGUGAUAUCCUGAGUAAGCAUCCAAGAAACUCAACAGCUCGCAUCCGGCCAUGGAGUCUAUCACUUGGUCAAUCCUCGGCAGGGCAAAGGGAUCUUUAGGGCAGGCCUUGUUGAGGCUUGUGUAGUCUAUACACAUGCGCCACUUGUUGUUCUUCUUUAACACGAGGACCGGGUUGGCAAGCCACUCUGGAAAGAAGACUUCCAUAAUGAAGCCAGCUGCCAGAAGCCGGGCUAUCUCCUCCCCUACAAUCGUUCUCUUUUCCUCUGAUAGUCGGCGGAGGGGCUGCUUGACUGGUUUCGCGUCUUUUCGAACGUGUAGUUUGUGCUCGGCGAAUUCCUUCGGAACACCCAGCAUGUCCUUGGGGGACCAUGCAAAGAUGUCCCGAUUCUCACGGAGGAAAUUGGCGAGCUCGCCUUCCUAUUUGCUGUUCAGGCUUGCCUCGAUGACGGCAAACCUCUCGGGGUGCUCGGGGUCAAGAGGUAUCUUCUUGGUUUCUUUGGCCGGCUGGAAAGAUCCUUGGGCAUCAUAGUCCUUGGGGUCGGGGGACGGGUUCGGCUGCUCGCUGGCCAUGGCCACGACCCAGUCCAACAUCUUCUUCUCUUCGGCAAUCACAAGGGACUCGGCCAGCCGGCUGCUGGCGGCAGCGCACUCGGAAGACUUCUUGUAAUCGCCGUCUACGGUGAUGACGCCCUUGGAACUUGGUAUCUUUAUCUUGAGGUAUGCAUAGUGGGGAACUGCCAUGAACCUGGUCAAGGCGGGUCGGCCAAGCAACGCGUGGUAGGGGCUCUCCAGGUCCACCACUUCAAACCAGAUUGCUUCCCGGCAGAAAUGCUCCUUGUCCCCAAAGAGUACAUCAAUCUUGAUCUUGCCAAUGGGGGCGCAGGACAAGCCGGGUACGAUGCCAUGAAACACUAUCCGAGUAGGCAUGAGCUGCUUCGUCUUGACAUUUAGCUACUCCAGGGUGUCACGGUACAGGAUGUUGAUGCUGCUCUCGCCGUCUAUCAGCACGUGGGAGAAGCGGGCAGCGCGUCUGUCCGUCGCGAGGGUGGCUUCUAGGACCAACGCAUAAGAGCCGGGAGACGGCAUCACCUCUGGAUGGUCGGCCCGGCUCCAGCUAAUGGGUUUUUCUGACCAAUGCAUGUGUCCGGCGGGGUUGGCAGCGACCACACUGACUUCCUGGUGCUCUCGGCAUUUGCCGCGCCGGUCUUCGAGCUGGCUUGUAAAGACGAUGUAGGCCGCUUGCUCGUCGGGGAAUUCGUCGUACACGGCUCCGACUGGGGGUCGAGCGGCCGGAGGCGGCGGGCCGGCAGGCGGAGGCGGCGCGAGCCCCUCGCCUUUAGAGAUUCAGGUGAGCCAAUGGCACUUCCGGAUUGUGUGGUUGGACGGGUUCGCGCCGCUAUGGAAUUUGCACGGGGCGUCGAGAGUUUGCUCGUAGGAGAAAGCCGGCUGCCAAGCCGGCCGCCCGCCCUUGGGCUUCUUGGGCGCGGGUCGCCCUUCAGGCAGCGCGUCUUCGACCGUGGCCACCUGCCGACUGGCGGGAGGCGGCGCAGGGCCCUUGCGCUUGUGGUCAUUCGGGUGUCGGCGUCGGCCGGAAUCCCCUGCCGACGUCUUGGGCGCCGGGUUGAGUACUUUCCCGGACGCGUCUACCCGGAGCUCGGUCUUCAUCAAAGAGUCGGCGGUGGCGUAUUUGUCUGCUAUGUCCAGAAGCUCGUCGAGGGUAGUCGGCUCGUCGCAGAGGAGCUUGUGCUUGAGGAGGGUACCUUCUCGGCACCCGGCAGUGAAGUAUUCAAUGGCUUGCACCUCGUGCACCCCCUCGCGAGAAUUGCGGAGCUCGGCCCAACGCGUGAGGUAGCCACGAGUGGACUCGGCUGGGCCCUGUACGCACAGGGAGAGCUGCCUGGGCUUAGGGGCCCGCUUGUAGGUGCUAGUGAACUUGCGGAUGAAAGCUUCGGUGAAAUCUAGCCAGCUGUUGAUGCUAAGAGGCUUGAGGCUGUUGAGCCAGGUCCGCGCCGUGCCUUGCAGCAUGAGGGGCACGUACUUCACGGCAACGCGCAAGUUGCCGUUGGCUAUGCUGACCGCCGUGGAGUAGUCGAUCAACCAAUCUUCCGGCUUCACGAAGCCGUUGUACUUGGGCGUGUCUCUUGGGAGCGAGAACCCUUUGGGGAAAGGCUCGUCGCGGAUGCGGGGGCCGAAACAAGGCGGGCCGACAUCGUCUUCUUCUUCCAGCACCAGGGAUCGCGCCAGGCGGUCGAUCCGAUGGCGGGCGUCGUUCUCGCCGACUCCUUCGCGGCGACCUAGUCGGCCGCUGAGAGUCGGGUGCGCCAUUGGCGGCGGGGUGGGAUAUCUCUCUCCACGGGGUGGAGGCGGAGGUGGGUUGCCCCGCCAUUCCAUGGCUCGGGGAUGGCCGUCCGCAUCUUGCUCGAUGGAGAUUCGGGUCCGGCUCCGGCUGGCCGCCGGCUCUUUCUCACGCCGCGCGCGGGCGUUGCUCGUAGUCGGUGUCCGGGACGUCGCGCCGUGAUCUCGGUUCGGGGGAGGGCUUCCCGCGCGGGCGUCGGCUUCGUGCCGCCGUGCGGCCGCGUCAAUCAGUUGCUGGAUGCGCCGGGUCAUGUGGGGGGGUUCUUCGGCCUCCAAGUCGUCCAACUCGUCCACGGCCGCCUGGGCGGCACGCAAGUUCUCGAGCGGAGUGGCAUAGACCGGGCGGUCGACUCCCAGCAUGUCGGCGAUGACGGCGCCGCGUUGCUUGACAGUGCCGGCCCGGCUUGGCCCGCCCGGGGCCGGCAUGCCAAAGGCGGCGCGGUCAGCUUCGCGCUGGUAGGCCUCAGUGAGGCGUCUCACGGAAGCCAGCCUCCGGCCCUCAACGAGGAGGGCGAGGCGGCGCGCCUCCAGUGCUUCGUCGUCGGCAUCAGCCGGGAGGGGGGUGGACAAGUAAUGGGCCGCCGCAUGCGGGGCGUCGUGGGCGCUCUCGUCGGCCGGGCCGCCUUGGCCGACGACCAUCACUUCGGUGGUGACAGUAUCGCGGCCGUCGGUCCGAGGAAGCGGGUCGUUGUAGAUCGCGACGUUGGUGGGGAAGGUGUCGAAGGAGGCCGUGUCGAAGUCGACAGGCAUCGAGUCGGUGGAGCCAACCGACUCCAGAUCCACAGCAGGCUCGCUGGAGACAUGGAGCUGGCCGAGGAGGUUGGCGAGGCUGCUCGCCGCGCAGAUGUUGGUGACGCCUUGCAGCGCGUCGUGGCAAGCGCCAUCGGGCAUGCCGGGCUGGCUACGCUCGCUGUGGAGGAAGAGGGUUCCCGUCCAGAAUAGUUCUCCGGACGACGGUGCACCUCGCCCCACGGUGGGCGCCAAAUGUCGGGUGGUAGGUGCGACAUAUGCCAACGGGUGGCUUAUCAUUGUGGGAGCCAGUAAAACGUCGCCGGUGCCUGGAAACGGGAUGAGGCGAAGACAUGCACGCCGACGAAUCUUACCCAGCUUCGGGGCUCUCCGUAGAGAUAACACCCCUACUGCUGCUCUGCGGUGUCUCCGCAUGAUCACUAGAUGGACAAGUAGCUACACAAUGCUCCUUGUGCUGUUCGGUGGGAGGAGGAAGAAGGGCACGGCUAGUUUGCUUCUUCUCCUUGUGUGGUGUCUAAAACUAGCCGGGGGUUCCAACCCUUUGCAUGGGUGCCCCGGGGGGUUUAUAUAGGCCUACCCCCCGGGGGUACAAUGGUAAUCCGACUGGGCGCGGGGCCCAACCGUCUGUGACUGCGCUCGCCGGCUUCUGCGCCGGCCGCUGGGGCCCGCCGACUGGUGGGUCCCGCCGGCUGGCAACUCCUUGGCAACAGGCAGGCCCCACUGCCAAGGGUCUUGUCAGUGGCUGGUUACUGUUGCUUCAACCUGAUGACGAGGGCUUCGUCGAGGUAAGCGUGGCUACAGUGCCGCCGUCCGGCGGGCGAUCGCUGUAGCCUCACCGCGUCUUGUCUCCUUAAUGGGGCGUCUCCUUCGAGGGGGGAAGCGAGCCGGCUGCGGGGAGCCGGCCCCGUCUUGGGCCGACUGGGGAGGCCUGGCCGCCUUCGGGUGUCUCUCUGCCCGAAGGGGCCCACCGCCCGUGGGCCGCGCUGGCGGCCCGUCGUGGGUGACAUCAGGGUCAACAUGGCAACAGUGCCGCGCCGGACGGGUCAUGGCCAUUCCGUACGGCGCACUAUGUCAGGCGUGCUCCGGGAUUCGGGGGUGGCAGGCUUUACUGUAGCCACGCCCCGUCUCAUCGCCGCUAGGUGGAUGCAAACUUUGAGGGUACGGUCUCGACCGCUUUAUGGGAGCCGGCUUCUUGGAGUCGGCCUCCUCGCAGCCGGCUUCUCGAAGUCUGCCCUCCCGUGGCUUUCUUCAUGAGGGCUAAAGUCGGGCCGCCUUCCGAAAGCCGGCCUGGGUGACAGCCAGCAAGGGGAAGGCGGUCCCACGUCUUGGAUUCUUGAGAGUCGGACGGGCUCGUAAUUUUUUUAGAAGGGCCAGGGGAAGCCGGCUAGGCUACCCAUGGCUAUUUACUCCGACAUACGUGUACGAUUUCAUAGCACUUUCCUCAGACGAAGAACUACUAGAGUAAGUUCUCACAGCCCGAUAGAUCUAAUAUUUUUUGCUCUUCAUCGUCUAAGUCCACUGCCAUGUCCAUGUAUACUUUGCAUUUAGAAGAUAUACCCCCAUAAAAAAUCUUCCUGCCCUGUACAUAUAUACUUUACGUUUAGAUUAGAAGAUAUACCCUGGUUAGGAUCACGUGGUCUUUGUCUAAGUUCAGACGUCUGUUACAAAGGCUGAAUGUGUAGUUAUUUUUCUUAUACAAGUAUAUAAAUACAUAUUAAUGGUUGUUACAAGAUAUUAUAUUUGUACUGGUAAAUUGUGUCUAAAACCAGUGUUUUGCGGCGUCUAACAUAAAUAGCUGAUAAGUAUGAAACGAAAUACGUAUGAAACUGUGGUCCAAAACUAUGGGGUCUAACACCUUUUACAACAAUGUUGAACAAGCUAUAAACUACAUGUUGAAUUUUUUUCAUCCAAAAUCUACAACAAUUUUUAUGCAGGUCCAUGUACUACUACGAAAACACUUCAAUCUGUUAGUUUAUUGCCCGUACAUAAUAUUAAAAUACUUAACUUGGUAGAGAUUACAAUAUCUUUUAGGUCAUUUAAUGUGAUAUAUACUAUUGUUUAAUUAUUCAUAUCUUAUAGACAGCAACACAGUUUUAUCGUUUGAGUUUAGGAUUACUUGAAGUCAUAUCAUUGAUAUGAACCUUGAUCUUCAUUUUUUAUAGCACAAUCUCGAUUAGGAGCCCGCGCCCAUUCCCUAUCGAAUUAGCCUACGGAUUAUCCGAGACACCAUCCUAGGAGAUGGACUUGUCCAUCCGUUAUGCUUCAAUCUAGCUGUGCGUAAGAUUACUACCGACGCAGCAGAGAGGAGCGCAGGCACCAGCUCUGUUGGAAAGACACAUUUUCUCAAUUUGGGAUUCCAUGUGCAAGCACGGGCGCUAAGGCAGACUUGGUUAAGCCAAGAACAGCGCACCAAUGCACUGAUUAACAAUGUUGUGCUUGAGCCUUUUCCAAGAUACGACGUGUUUCACACCCCUACAAUUGUAAGUGUUCUCAUUCUUACAAAUUAGUUGGUUACUUUGUUUGACAUUUACCUUUGUCUACCAAAUGCAGUAUCUUCUACCACUGUCACUCGUGGAUUCGUCCUACGGUCUUUUAGCAGUGAACAUGGAAAUGGAGAGGACUAUCGUUAUUGAUUAUUCGAACCAGGAUGUGUUUCAUUUUGAGGAGGACCCCCAUGGCACUGAACUUCAGAGGGAAGCCCUUUUAGUGAAGCAAGAAUUCAGCUCUGUAUUGCAACAGGAGGCCCCUGAUAGGAACAGCCAACUUGUGGAAUGGCCCGAACAAGAUAACAUUCAUGUUUCACCUCGGCGGUACUAUUCUAAAUUUGGCUUGCAUAUUAGUGCGUGCUCUAAUAUAGCUAAUACAAUAUGUUUUUUUGGUGACAGUAUGGACUCCGGAUUCAAAGUUCUACAGGAGAUGGCCCAUCUAUAUGAAACCAUCGGUAAUGACAUGGUUCAUAACAUGCCUAGGACUGACGUAAGUGAUUUUGUAAUGAGGUUACAGAUUGCAUAUAUUUGCUAAAUAUACCUUCUGACUUUGUUUAUGCACAAUUUGUAGGAUCCACAAAGUCUCAGGAAGCGACUAAUGGUUCAGCUGUUGAUGGUGAGGGAUAACGAAGCAAAGGAUAACAUUUCAAAGCAAGUUAGAGCAGCGUUGAGAUUUAUUGGUGGCUAAGGAGGACUUCUGCAUCGAUAAAUACCUUAUAAUAAAAUGAUGUUUAGUUGCUUUCUAGGAAAUAUCUGUUUCAAUGCCCGUGCUGAUCAGAUGAUCAGUUGACAUUUUCUCUUAUAUUUAUGUUGGUUGGUAUCCACUAGCUAUAGAUUGAUGUUGGCAUCCCCUAGCUUUGUUGGUUAUAUAUCUAUCCUUCCGUCCAUCUAAAUUUUACGGGAAGAAGGCCAUAUUAGUUUGGACCAGGUUUGGUGCUCCAGAUACACCGGAAUACUUUUGUGUUAGACCAUGAUAGGUUCACAACGUACUCAUAGACCAGCAGGUGAUGUUUUCAGAUAUUCAGUGCCUCGCAACAUAUACUACCUCGUAUAGUAUAACUCCAUCCAUACACGCACUGCUAUACUAUACGAGGUUUUCUUUGUAGUAAAAACACAUUCCAGCUAGCGAGUAGUCAAUAAAAAAUAUGAUUGUCAUACGGCACGUACCUUGCAUAUAUUAUAUAAGUUCCAAGUUCUCCUUUAUCUGCCUCUCUCGCCGAUUCCUUCAAUUCCAUCCUUGCAAAUAAACGCUGAUUAUCUUUUAUGUGUUCCUGAAUAGAAAACAAAAAUUAGAGAGAGCAAUGGGUUUUCUUAUUGAUCAGUACAUAUAGAUAAAACCUAAAACUAAAAUAGUAGGUAUGUUAGNNNNNNNNNNNNNNNNNNNNNNNNNNNNNNNNNNNNNNNNNNNNNNNNNNNNNNNNNNNNNNNNNNNNNNNNNNNNNNNNNNNNNNNNNNNNNNNNNNNNNNNNNNNNNNNNNNNNNNNNNNNNNNNNNNNNNNNNNNNNNNNNNNNNNNNNNNNNNNNNNNNNNNNNNNNNNNNNNNNNNNNNNNNNNNNNNNNNNNNNNNNNNNNNNNNNNNNNNNNNNNNNNNNNNNNNNNNNNNNNNNNNNNNNNNNNNNNNNNNNNNNNNNNNNNNNNNNNNNNNNNNNNNNNNNNNNNNNNNNNNNNNNNNNNNNNNNNNNNNNNNNNNNNNNNNNNNNNNNNNNNNNNNNNNNNNNNNNNNNNNNNNNNNNNNNNNNNNNNNNNNNNNNNNNNNNNNNNNNNNNNNNNNUAUUGGACGAAAACGAAUCCUAUUUGUGAGCUAGAUGUCUAUUUAUCAUGUUGCUAUUUACCUCUUCAAGUGUUUGCCUUAUUUUUUAUUCUAAUGUAUGGCACUCUUAUGGGCCUGCAGAAGGUUUCUUUUUAUGCUUUUCCCAAAUUCAUGUUUUUUCCCGCCGAAGAAAAAACUACUCAACUUAUUUUUAAAAUUUUGUCAUGCCUAUUAAAAAAUUGUAUAUGUGUUUUGAAAUAUGUUCAUCAUGCAUUCAAGAAAAAUUCAACAUGUAUUAAACAAAAUAAUGUUCAAAAUUACUCUUACAUUUAUACAAACAUGUUCUUUAUAAAUUUUACAUAUUUAUAGAGUGAUGGAACCUAUGUACCUCAUGUUCAAGUAUUACUGAAAUCCAACGAUCAUUUCCAGCAUUAUUUGCCUGCAGAUUAAAGUGUAACUUGACCCUAUUAGAAUGAUGUAAUGGACUCACUUAUCAAAAUUGAGUUGAGCAUACUCUUACAUUAGAAGGCUUCAAGGCUCCCCAUGAUUUUACAUUCACCCAGUUUAGUUGAUCAAGGGACACAUUUGCACUGAAAACAGACAUUUGUACAGGGAAAUCAAAUAGCCACCACGCCACCAAAGUAUAAGAAUUUUGAUUAAAAAAAGAGACCGAUAUUCAACAGCCAGAUACAUUUGACAUUAUAAAUUUGAUUGACGUCAUUGUUAUUUUUAAAAAAUGCGAUUAUGCCAUAAUUGAGCUUAGCAAUUUUAAUAUUUCAAAUGAGGAAAUCAUCAAGCAAUUUCGGUUUUAGUUCUCAUUUAAUUAAAUUCAUAGUGUUUGUUAUAAAUUAUUUGGAAAACAAUUAACUCUAUGGCUCUUAUUACUAAACAGACUAUCCUGCUAAUGUUUUAUAUAUGGAAUUUGGGUUGGCUAAUUGGAUCCUAGCAAACCAAGACAACGAUGCAUCUUGCUUUACACGUCAAUGAGACUUUAACAAAGCAAACAAUCUGUUUGUCUUACACAAUUUGUGCAUUUAUCAUCAAGCUUAACAUAUACAAGUCCACUAACAAUAUCGAGACCCCCACAUAUAUUAUCCCAGGCCUGCAUAUCCGGUUCAGUGAUUGUUCGACAUAAACAAGACCACUCACAGUACUACUACUAAGCUACUAUACUAAACAAGUCAAUUUUUGUUCAAGUUGAUACCGUUUAGUCGUGUAGAGGAUGUACCUGGCUGGUCAAAUUCGCUGGAGUCAGCUCUGUCUCACCACAGUCUUCACCACCGUGGCCUUGUCUUGUCCGUCGGGGAUACCUCUUCGCCCAGGCCCUGCCUUUGAGGCCGGGUCACGGCACCUCGAUACAUCAUCCUGGAGAUUAUCAGGUCUUGGAAGCAAAAAAAGGAAUAAUUUUCUUCAAGUUGCUACGAUGUAGUCGUGUAGAGGAUGUACCGAGCUGGGCAAAGUCGCUGGAUUAUGCUCUGUCACAAAUGGUCUGCAACAGUUCCACGCCCCCUUGUGACCUACGGCCGCUCGUACCCAGUCGAUGUUGACAUUGUAACAGGUCGAUGAUGCAUUAGGUGCAUCUGUGUUUUGAUUGUGCAUACAACAAAAACAGAAGGUUGUUAAUUGCCAUCUUUCAGAAACAAAACAUUUUAGAUUAUUUGAAUGUUUAUUUAACUUGAUUUAACCGUAUGAAAAUUCAUGUUUACCUAUUCAAACUGAACAAUAAUAAAAAUAGAAUCAAUAUUUAAAUAGACAAAUAAGAUAUUUUGUUUUUAUAUGGCAUGCAAACAGUAAAUUAUCUGCCAUGAUAAGUUGUUUAUUUAAUUAAUACAACAAUUUAUUUUUUAGUAAGUUCUGAUUUCUGACAUCUUUUCUAAUUUAUUAUGAGGUGUGUUUGAUGAAAAAAAGGAAAGAUAUCUACAACAUACGUAAGUAUAUAUGGUAAAACUGGAAAUAUAUCUGCUACUCAGCCUUCCCCUGCAUGGCCUACCUAUAUAUGUUAACCUCCUCUGUCAUCCCUCACCCCCCCUCCUUACUCUCCCUUUUCCCAUCACAGAUAGCAAAGGAUCAUAAUACCCAUACUUGGAGCACCAAUUCCCUAGGAGUACCUUAUGUAAGCAAGGAGCACCAAGAAGGCGAGGUCCUCUAGGUAUGUGAAAAUUUCUGGAUCUUUGUAUUCUGUAAAAGGGCAACAGCUACUAGAUUAGGAUCAUGCUUUGGUCAGGCAUACCAUCAAAAUCCAAAAAAAGAACACCAUUGGAGAUAGUGCCAGGUUAGAAAACUAUCAUAGCCAAUACAAUUGAUUUUAGAUCUAAUCAAGCAGUCCUAUUAGAUGGGCUGCAAUUGAAUACAAACGGUUAUUUCAGAUAUUAUAGGCUAACAGUCUAUUCUGGACAUCGCAAGUGUGGCAUACACCUAACUGUUUAAGUUAUGACCAUAGUUGAUUGCCUAACUUUUAAUGAAAUCUAAUAAAUAUAUUUGAGCCAGAAAAACAAACAAUUAACUUCUUAAGUGUUUCAACAUGCCAGAAAACAAACAAAUUUAAUCAUCUUCUGAUGAUAGAUAUCAUCAGAGUCAUAAUAUUAAAUCAUUACGUGUAAUAGAAAUUGCAUGAGACAUAAUGCUUCGAUGGAAUAGUCUAAAAGUAUUCAUAAAGCCAAAUUUAUUAAUGGCAGUGCUUCCUAAUUUUACCCUCACAAAACAUAAUAUGACAGAAUAUAUACAGAAAUAUGUAGUGCUGCAAACAUUGCAUUUUUCUAUUUCUGAUAGGACCACAUUUUUUUGGAUGAACAAAUACAAUCAUUGGAGUUAACCAAUCAGCAAAAACAUUGUAUUGAUUAAAUAUGAUUGCAUACUCUACAAAAAAUCCAGAUAGUAUUGUGUCUAUCUGGUUUCUAAAUAAGAACUAUUGCAUGGAGAAUACAAGAGAAAAAUAAUCAAACAUGUCCUCAUUUACUGUAUUAGCGAGAUAUUUGAUAAUAUCAAGUUUACAAUAAUAUGUAAAUUAGCACUCUUGCAAUUUAUAUCAGUCACAGAAAAUCACACAGACCUUGCUUAUCCUUGUUCUCCUAUACGUAGCUCAUACCUGUGGACGGCGACUUGCCAUUUUUAACCAUCGUGUGUGUAUCGUCCAAAGUUUGUCGCCGUCCACAGCACUUAUCCUAAAGCUAAUAGUAGCAGUACACGCUCACAUUAGCUAGCACAUACAUUUGUCUAUCUCCCUCUACCUCUCCCUCUCUCUUCUCCUAAAGCUAAUAGUAGCAGUACACGCUCACAAUAGCUAGCACAUACAUUUGUAUAUCUCCCUCUACCUCUCCCUCUCUCUUCUCCUAAAGCUAAUAGUAGCAGUACACGCUCACAAUAGCUAGCACAUACAUUUGUAUAUCUCCCUCUACCUCUCCCUCUCUCUUCUCCUAAUACUAAUAGUAGCAGUACACGCUCACAUAGCUAGCCACAAAUUACAGCAAAACACGGACCGUAGUCCAUUCGCGGGUACUGGGCAGGGGGGAGGGGCCGUUUGUCUCACCUUGACGCGGAAGUGGUGGGGGUUGCCGAAGACGGCGGAGUGGUAGACGAUGAAGACCAAAGGCUGCACCACCGUGACCCGACCUCGUGGUGGUUCUUCUUGCCGGCGAUGUGGACCACAGGCUGCACCACCGUGGUCGUGUCUUUGCCCUGGCCCUCCAUGUGCGGCCGUGCCACGGCGCCUCGAUAGAACAGCGAGGAUGAGAUCAGGUUAGGGAAGCAACAAAUGGAAGAAGUAGAGGAGGAAAUGGUUCGGAUCAGCGUACCGGGGCUUCUGGCGUUGCAGAUCGGCGUACCUUUUCUAAUAUGGAAUCUUAUGGAGCUCUGGGUAGUUAGACCAAUACUCAUCCAGGAUAAGCAACAGUUCCUGUGCUCUACCAAGAGCAUAUGCCGGGAUAAGAACACGCCCCCCUUGAGAAACAGUGUUGUGGAUGGCAUCAGUGAAGCGCUUUUCUCUGACAUGGCGGGGUUGGUGUUGCUGCACGCCAUAAGUUGACUCAAUAAUGCAAAUAUCAGGGGAGAACUGGGGGAUCUCAGCAGCUUUCAGGUGCCGGUCUUCUUCACGGGAGUAGUCACCGGUGUAAAGAAUGCGAACACCGGCAAUAUCCACCAUGAACAUGGCAGCACCAAGUACAUGGCCAGUAGUAUAGCACCAGAAGCGUAUGCCAUUAACUUCAAGUGUCUGGUGGAAGUCUAUGACCUGCAUCACAAUUAUAUAUUAAUACAAUGUCCAUUGUCCCUGUGGACUUUCAAUCCUCACAAGCAGAAUCAGGCCUCAGCUGUAAAGGUAAAAAAUCCUGCUAUUUGGAAGCAAUGCCCAGAUAAUACAGGGUUCUUAAAUCUUAAUUUUACCAACAGCACAGCGACUUUUAAAUGUUUUGACAAUUUAGAAUUAACACUGACACAUAAGUGCUCCAAAGGCAGGAAGCAGGAGCUAGCUAGAUGGGGGGACUGAAUCUAAGUUCACUUUAAAAUAUUACCCAAGCAUGUAAUAUAUAUGUAGGCAACAACUCCAUCUACCUAAAGAACAGAGUUUGACUGAAUUUGUAGGAAAAACUAUCAAGAACUACGAUACCAAAUUAAUAUAAUUGGAUACGCAACAAAAAUAUAUUUUCUUAUUAUAUCUAUUUAGUAUUGUAGUUGUUGAUGAAUUUUCCUACAAACAUGAUCAAACUAUGCACCAUUUGACUUUGGACAACAUUUAUAUGCCUUCUUUUCAGAGACAGGGGGAGUAGUAUCUUUAUUUGUUCUUCUUUUUCUCCUCUAAAUAUAGUGUUUCCAGUUUUCUACCGACCAGGCUUUAUCAAUCAUCAUCGUAUUGGCUACAGGCAAUUCAUACCAAACCAAAUGGAUCAAGUCGUUCACAUUUACACAUGCCGGAAACAACAAGAUAAGCGAAAAUAAGGUACUGUACCUCGAUCUUGUCCAUGGAACGGAUGAUGUCCUGCUCGUCAAACAGCAUGUCCUCUAUCGACACCUUGCUGACCUUGACGUAAUCCGAGAGCAGCAGCCUGUAGAUGGCCUUGGUGGCGUGGGUCAUGAACACGCGGCCCUUGAACGUCGUCUGCAAACAAAAACAAAGCAAAUUCAGGUACCAAACAGCAUAACAACAUCGACCUCCGACGCGUAUUACCUACCUACCUUCUCGAGGAAGUAGGGCAGCGAGGCGGCGUGGUCCAAGUGGAAGCUGCAAUUCCAAUCCAAGGCCGGAAAUUAGGCGUUAGGAACGCAGAUAUGCGCAGGUGGGGAUGGAGGCGCGGUUGCUUACUGGGUGACGAGGAGGACGUCGAUGGCGGAGGGGUCGAUCUCGUCGAAGUAGGGCAGCGCCGCCAUGCCGGAGUAGGCCGUGUGGAUGCCGCAGUCGAACUGGGCACCAGCGAAGAGCCAGUCAGUCGGAUUCCCCCAACAAGAACAAGGCGAGCUAAGCGGGGAGAGGGAGGAGGGGUUUGGAUGCGAACCAGGACGGUGCGGCCCUUGAAGGACAUGUGGACGCAGAAGUGGUGGGGGUUGCCGAAGACGGCGGAGUGGUAGACGAUGAAGACCACAGGAUGCACCACCAUGACCCCGACCUUGUGGUGGUUCUUCUUGCCGGCGAUGUGGACCACAGGCUGCACCAACGUGGCCGUGUCUUCGCCCUGGCCCUCCAUGUGCGGCCGUGCCACAGUGCCUCGAUAGAACAGCGAGGAUGAGAUCAGGUUAGGGAAGCAACAAAUGGAAGAAGUAGAGGAGGAAAUGAUUCGGAUCGGCGUACCGGGGCUUCUGGCGUUGCAGAUCGAGGCACCCCGCUUCGGAUCUGAGCAAGGAACUCGCCGGAGACCAGCACCGCCGCGGAUCCAAACGGCGACCAGAUCCAACACCCGCGCCUGGUCGAUGUGCCCGUGGUCGUCAACAUCUGUCACACACGGGUCGCCGGAGAGUGGUGCGGUGGUCGGCUGGCGGAGUCGUGGUGGUUGCGAGCUCCGCGACGUUCGUGACGAUGCGGCUGGAGUAGGUGAGCGGGUUAGAUGUGCGACUGGCGAGUGAGUUGAGAGGAGAGGGAAGGGACUGAUGCGACAUGAGUGGGCGGAGGAGCGCGGCCGGCAGCUCGUCGACGCGCGCGGCGAUGCGGUGGCGGAGGGGAAAGGGGCAGUUGAAGUGAGUGGAGUGAGGAGUGAAUGGUAUAAGGUGAAUGGGGCGGGGUAGGUGGCCACGAGUUAUGCGGGAGGUGGGGGAGGUGUGCCGUCGUGCUGGGGAGGUGGGCCGUCGCGCGGGGGAGGUGUACCAUCGGGUGGGGAGGUGGGCCGUCGCCUGUGAUGCACUUGUGCUGGGCCUGGCCCAGCUUGUUCCGGCCCUGUGUAAUACUGUGGAUAAAAAUCAACUGUGCAUAUAUAUAUAUAUAUAGAUAAACUAUACAUACCUCACAAAAUCAAUAAAUGUGUAUAAUAAUAUACAUGGUUCAUACUAAUAUACAUUUUUUAUACUUAUUAAAUAAACCAAGGCCAUCACAAAAAAAAUAAGAGGGGGUAAAUAAUAGAAAACACAAAUAUACUUUGUUAAAGAAGGUUUGUUUGCAUGUUUUACUUUCUUUUGUUGGACAGAUUUCCACAGCCUACAUAAAUAAUUUAAAUAAUUUUCAAAUGAUUACUUACUUAUAUAAGAACAUUAUAUUUAGUUGUUUUUCUCGAAUAUACUUUGUUAAUGUUGGUUUGUUUGUUUUAGUUUUUGUUUGACAAUUUUCGCUAUGCUAUACAAUUAAUUAAAAAUAAUUUAAGCAAUUUCAGACCCCUACUUAUAUAUAAACAUUAUAGUUUGUUGUUUUCCCCAAAAUGUUGUGUUAGUAAAAUGAUUUUUAAUAUUUAUUUUUCUAAUAAAAUCAAAUGCCUUUUUUUAGCAGAUAAAACAUUUGUGUUGGUUUCACAUUCAGUUUUAUUAUAUAUUUUAAAUAAUAUUAUGAUGCAGUAAAAAUUAUUAAUUAUAUUUUAGCAUAGAUAUAAAUUGAUGGGUUCCGACAUACGCAUUGAUGCAACAAUGACAGACCACGCUGAAACACCACGAGAAGAGGUGCGUAUAGCUAAACUUCCUUUGUACGUAUCUUAUAGAUGAUAAUACAGAAGGUCUAAUUUUAUAUUUUUGUUAUUUCAGAAUACAGAAGUCAUGGAUAUGGACUUUGGAGAUGCACGGAAAGAAUACAUUGAUGGUUCGGAUGCGAUGUCGCUGAAAGGGGAAAAUUCACAACAUAAAAAUGUCGAAGAGGUUAUAUGUCAUAACAAACCAAAAAAGAUGCCAAUUUACAUGUUCUCCCACAAGGUUUUUUUAUAUCAUUAUCAAAUUUUUUUGUGAUAUUUCCUUUUGUAUUCAACUAAUUUUGCUCAUUUUGAUUGCUAAGUUGGCUCACUUUUUUUAUGAAUUCGACUGACUGUGUUUGUACCCUUAGAGAUAUUACAGUCAUCGAAUCAAUCAAGUCUGCCCCCAAGAAUACCCAGUUUGUGGACAUUGGAGAUGCCUUGUUAUCAACCGACGAUUUGGAAUGCCUUAUAAAAGAUGAUAUAUUCUUACAUGACGGUGUAAGGCCAAAUGCACAAACUUUGUAAUUAAUAAUUUGAACAAAAUAUAAUAUCAUAAAUUGUAAAUAUAAUGUAAAUAUUGAUUACAGGUGAUAAAUGCUUACAUAUAUUGCAUGCUUGCUCACGACCAUCUAAAAGUUAGGGCGGGCGAAAAGGAAGAAAUUGUUAGCACGUUUGUAUCUGGCCAGUUAAAAGAAGACGGGGAAAGAGACAUAGACCCAUCAAAAUAUCACCGCAUCAUGCAUCAUGUCAAUACUUACCUAUGGUUAGUUUUUGUCUCGUUAUCCAUGCAUAUAAUUCUGGAUUGUUUUUAUUUAAUUCAUAGUUAUAAUGAAUUAUUAAUAUUUAUAUCUAAUUGCGAUCGUGACUUGUAUGAUAUUUACACCAGUUAUUCAUUCCGAUUAACAUGUCGGGCUACAAUUGGUAUCUAGCAGUCGCCAAUGCCAAAAAACGUGAGAUUCAAGUAUUGGACUCACUUGGUUCUCGGGUCAAACGCAAUGACCUUGCUACUACGGUAAGUAUAUAUUUUUUUACUCAUCUUAACAUAUGUUUUGUUUGCCUUGUUCCCUAAUAUUUCUCAUAUAUAAAAUAGUUACUAGGACUUGAGAAGUGUCUAAAACUUGUAGAGCAUAGUUUAUCAAAGGUCAUAAGUGGCCCGAUCUUAAUGUUACAAAAUGGACGGUUGUAGAGCAGUUUCAUGAGGCAAUACAAACCGAUGGGUAAGCACAUGUUACAAUGGUUUGUUUAUUUGAUUUAUCUGUGUGGUAUUGUAAAGGAUUGUUUUAUAAUAUUAUAGCGUAUCAUGUGGACUGUUCAUGUUAAAUUAUAUGGAAUACUGGACAUCACAUGGACUGUCAGACACGUUCACCCAGGUAUUCCAUUUUUAUACAUUAUCUCGUUAUUUUAUCUCAAAAUAUUAUAUAAAUUUAUUUUAUAUAUAUUUUGUAGGAGGAUAUGAAACAUUUUAGGAAAAAAAUGGCUAUCAUUUUGCUCGAUUCAGAGCUGAAUAAGCUAAAAGGAGAUCCCAUAUACCAUCAACCUGACGAUGAAGAAACUUUAGCUAACUCUAAUAUCGAGAUCCUGGAGAAUCCAUCUGACGUAGUCAAAGACAAACGUCAUGCCCCAAUCACUAUCAUACCCACGGACCAACGUGAAUUACUUGCCGGCCUCUGCAACUACAUCAUGUCUAUCGAUGAUGUUGGGUGUUUGGAGUAAGUAUCAUGCAUCAAUAUUUAAUGUGCGGAUUUAUAAUAUUAUUCUUCCUAUCAUCCAAUUUAUAGUUAGGUAUGGGUCCGGAGCUCGACACCCGAUCCAAUGGGCUUAAGUCUUAAGAAACUUCAGUGCAUACUUAACAUGGAGCAGACCAUGGACAAUGACUGCUUCAACACAGCCGUGCGCAUGCUGGCAUGUGACGAGGGAGUAUUGUUCACAUACCCUCCUGUGCAUUACAUGGAUCUAUGAUUUUGUGUAAAUUAUCUUAACUCUUCAUUCUAUGUGUCAUUAUUAUCAACAUGUUGAAACAAUAUUUCUUUUUUUACUUAGUCCAUGAUGUUAGAGUCAACACGAGGUCAGAAGUUUUGCGAGAAGGAAACUAUUCAGAGUUUGGCAACAUUAUUUGAUAGCUGGCCUGAGAUGGACAACGACAUCUCAUCGUGCAACAAGGUAAGUAAAUUAUUUUGUCAAUUGUUAUCAUGGUUUAUUGUUGUUUCUAAUACCUGCACUUGUAGAUUUAUCUUCCCUAUGCAUCCAUCGGCCGAUACAUUUUGUACGUCGUUGACAAAGAGGCACGUCGUCUAUAUAUUAUGGAUCCUAUUCAAACAUCAUAAUCGUUAGAGGAGAAAAAUUUGAGGCAUGCACUGAAAUUAAAAAGUUUUGCAAGGGAUUUCAAAGAAGCACUCGAAAUUAAGCUGCCUGGUUGGAAUUAUGAUCUAUCUAAAUGGCAACGUUUAUUUCCGUCCUGUGUUCCAACGAGUAUAGAUGGGUAAUGAAUUCAUAACAAAAACAUUUACUUUUGUUAUUACUAUAUUCUUUACAUUGUUAAUUUAAUGUUUUACAGGAAUUUGUCUGGCUAUUUUGUUUUUCAUUUUAUGCUCUGGUGGAACGGUGAAGAUUUGGUCAAGCCGAUUUGCGCAGUGAGUAUUGUCCGUUACAUGUUUUAAGACCUUCGGCAUGAAAUUUUCAUACUAACUACAUGUAUGCGUUUGUGCAGGAUGGGUAUGAAUUGAGGAAGCAUUUUUUGUUAUACUUGCUAAAACAUCGUGGGAAUGAGGCUAAAGGAAACUUACCGGAUAUUGUGCAAGAAUUUCUUAAGCGCAUCAUCUAGAUAUUAAUAGCUUUGUAAUAGAUGUUUAGUUGGAACAUCGCUCAGUUUGUUACAUGGACAUGUCUUUAAUUUUUCUUAUGUUAUCAAUUUACAUUGCAAAAAUAAAGUUCAGUUAUUAAAUAAUUAUGUUUCUGUUAUAUUGUUUGUACGUGUUGAAUUUAACAUGUAACUCCUGCAAACUUUUUCAAGAGCCCGUGGCAACGCACGGGCACUCUACUAGUAGAUCUAGGUAUUGUCAUCUUUGGUAUGCAAUCCAUAUGUGGCUCUCAUAAUAGAUUCAUAAGGUAAUUUAAUUUUCUUUCUAGGAAAGUGUUCCAUGCCUUUCCUUAACGGAAAUUGGAAUCUAAUAUUUCCUUCUUUCAUGUCAAUAAUUGUACCAAUCGUUCUAAGGAAAGGUCUACCAAUAAUAAUAGAACAUGUAGGAUUGCAAUCUAUAUCAAGAACAAUGAAAUCUACGGGCACAUAAUUCCUAUUUGCAACAAUAAGAACAUCAUUAAUUCUUCCCAUAGGUUUCUUAAUGUUGGAAUCCGCAAGGUGCAAGUUUACAGAAAUUAUCAUAAUUAAAUUCCUUGAAAUCCAAAAUAGUGAGUUCAUUGCUAUGUAAAGUUUAACCUCCUCAAUCCCACUUUUACCAAUUUUUGCAUCAAGAUCUAAAAACUCCGAAUCAUUCGGACACCUUCUAACUAAAAUUGACUCAUCUCCAGUGCCAUCUUUAUCAAUAUUCAUAUUGGCAAACAAAGACUUAAUAGGAGACACACCAAUCACUUUUAGAUCUUCAUCAUUAUUAUCAUGAAAACUAGGAGAACACGCUUUCACAAAGCAAUCUUUUUUUAGCACGCAUCCUAGCGGUUCUUUCUUUGCACUCAUCAAUAGAUAUUUUCAUGGCUUUGAGAGACUCAUUGAUAUCAUGCUUAGGUGGAAUAGAUCUAAGUUUCAAAGAAUCAACAUCAAGAGAAAUUCUAUCCACGUUCCUAACAAACUCAUCAAUCUUAAGCAAUUUUUCUUCAAGCAAAGCAUUGAAAUUCUUUUUCGAAUUCAUAAAUUCUUUAACACUAGUCUCAAAAUCAGAGGGCAUCUUAUUAAAAUUUCCAUAAGAGUUGUUGUCAGAAUUACCAUAAUUAUUAGAGGAAUUACUAGGGAACGACCUAGAGUUAAAAUUUCCUCUAUACGCGUUGUUACCAAAAUUGUUCCUACCAACAAAAUUCACAUCCAUAGAUUCUUUAUUAUUCUCAAUCAAAGUGGACAAAGGCAUAUCAUUAGGAUCAAAAUAAGCACUCUUAUUAGCAAACAACUUCAUAAGCUCGUCCAUCUUUCCACUCAAAACAUUAAUCUCUUCAAUAACAUGAACUUUUUUACUAGUGGAUUUUUCGGUAUGCCAUUGAGAAUAAUUAACCAUAAUAUUAUCUAGAAGUUUAGUAGCUUCUCCUAAAGUGAUUUCCAUAAAAGUGCCUCCCGGGGCCGAAUCUAAAAGAUUUCUAGAAGCAAAAUUCAAUCCAGCAUAAUUUUUUUGUAUAAUCAUCCAUAAAUUCAAACCAUGUGUAGAGCAAUUAUGUAUCAUUAAUUUCAUUCUCUCUCAAGUUUGUGCAACAUGCUCAUGAUCAAGUUGCUUAAAAUUCAUAAUAUCGUUUCUAAGAGAGAUGAUCUUAGCGGGAGGAAAAAACUUAGAGAUAAAAGCAUCUUUGCACUUAUUCCAUGAAUCAAUACUAUUUUUAGGCAAAGAAGAGAACCAAGUUUUAGCACGAUCUCUAAGCGAAAACGGAAAUAGCUUCAAUUUAGCAUGAUCUCUAAGCAAAAACGGAAAUAGCUUCAAAUGGGUAGCGACAUCUUCACUAGGAAGGCCAGAAAAUUGAUCUUUCAUAAUAAGAUUCGACAAAUCGGUGUUGAUUUCACAAGAUUCAGCAUCGGUAGUAGGGAGCAAUCGGAGUGCUAAUAAAAUCAUUGUUGUUGGUAUUGGAAAAAUCACACAAUUUGGUAUUACCUUGAGCCAUCGUGACAAACAAUCAAUUCAACACACAAGCAAACAAGAGGCAAGCGAAAAGAAGCGAACGGAAAAAGGGCGAAUAAAACGGCAAAGGUGAAGUGGGGGAGAGGAAAACGAGAGGCAAAUGGCAAAUAAUGUAAUGCGAGGGAAAAGAGUUUGUGAUGGGUACUUGGUAUGUCUUGACUUGAGCGUAGAUCUCCCCGGCAACGGCGCCAGAAAUGGCUUGUUGACGGGAGAUCAAAUCUUGACUUGACUUGGUGCAACCUCCCCGGCAACGGCGCCAGAAAUCCUUCUUGCUACCUCUUGAGCAUGUUUUGAUUUUCCCUUGAAGAGGAAAGGGUGAUGCAGCAAAGUAGCAUAAGUAUUUCUCUCAUUUUUUGAGAACCAGGGUAUCAAUCCAGUAGGAGAUUGCACGCAAAUCGCCUAGUACCUGCACAAAUAAAUAAGAACCUUGCAACCAACGCGAUAAAGGGGUUGUCAAUCCAUUCACGACCACUUGCAAAAGUAAGAUCUGAUAAAGAUAAUAAGAUAAAUAUUUUUGGUAUUUUUAUUGUAUAGAUUGGAAAAUAAAGAUUGCAAAAUAAACGGCGACAGAAAUAGCUAGUUGACGGGAAAUUAAUAUGAUGGAAAGUAGACCCGAGGGCCAUAGGUUUCACUAGUGGCUUCUCUCAAGAUAGCAUAUCUUAUGGUGGGUGAACAAAUUACUGCCGAGCAAUUGAUAGAAAAGCGCAUAUUUAUGAGAAUAUCUAGGCAUGAUAAUAAACAUAGGCAUCGUGUCAAGUAGACUGAAACGAUUCUCCAUAUACUACUAUUACCCCACACAUCGACCACUAUCAGCAUGCAUCUAGAGUAUUAAGUUCAAGAGAACAGAGUAACGCUUUAAGCAAUAUGACAUGAUGUAGAGGGAUAAACUCAUGCAAUAUGAUAUAAACCCCAUCUUGUUAUCCUCGACGACAAAAUACAAUACGUGCCUUGCUGCCCCUGCUGUCACUAGGAAAGGACACCGUAAGAUUGAACCCAAAGCUAAGCUCUUCCCCCAUUGCAAGAAAGAUCAAUCUAGUAGGCCAAGCCAAACUGAUAAUUCGAAGAGACUCGCAAAGAUAUCAAAUCAUGCAUAUAAGAAUUCAGAGAGGAAUCAAAUAUUGUUCAUAGAUAAACUUGAUCAUAAACCCACAAUUCAUCGGAUCUCGGCAAACACACCACAAAAAGGAUUACAUCGAAUAGAUCUCCAAGCACAUCGAGGAGAACUUUGUAUUGAAGAUCAAAGAGAGAGAAGAAGUCAUCUAGCUAAUAACUAUGGACCCGAAGGUCUGUGGUAAACUACUCACACAUUACGGAGAGGCUAUGGUGUUGAUGUAGAAGCCCUCCAUGAUCGAAUCCCCCUCCGGCAGAUCGCCGGAAAAGGUCCCCAGAUGGGAUCUCACGGGUACAGAAGGUUGCGGCGGCGGAAAAGUCGUUUCGUGGCUCCCCUGGAUGUUUUCAGGGUAUAAGACUAUAUAUAGGCGAAAGAAGUAGAUCGGUGGAGCUAUGAGGGGCCCAUGAGGGUGGGGGGCGUGAUACGUUUCCGUCGUAUCUAUAAUUUUUGAUUGUUCCAUGCCAAUAUUCUACAACUUUCAUAUAUUUUGGCAACUUUUUAUUUAUUUUUUGGGACUAACAUAUUGAUCCAGUGCCCAGUGCCAGUUCCUGCCUGUUGCAUGUUUUAUGCUUCGUAGAAUAUCCAUAUCAAAUGGAAUCCAAACGGGAUAAAAACGAACGGAGAAUAUUUUUGGAAUAUUUGGAGAAUUCCGGAAAAAAAAUCCACGCGAGACGGUGCCCGAGGUGGCCACGAGGCAGGGGGGCGCCCCCCUGACCCUCAUGGUCCACCCAUAAGGCGGUUGAUGCCCUUCUCCGGCCACAAGAAAGCUAUUUUUUGGAAAAAAAUCGCAGCGAAGGUGUCGUUCCAAUUGGAGUUACGGAUCUCCAUAUAUAUACGAAACGGUGAAAGGGCAACAGAACAGAACGCAAAAACAGAGAGAGACAGAGAGACAGAUCCAAUCUCGAAGGGGCUCUCGCCCCUCCCAUGCCAUGGAGGCCAAGGACCAGAGGGGAAACCCUUCUCCCGUCUAGGGAGGAGGUCAAGGAAGAAGAAGACGAAGGGCCCCCCUCUCCCCUUCUCUUCCAGUGGCGCCGGAACGCUGCCGUGGCCAUCAUCAUCAUCACCGUGAUCUACACCAACACCUCUGCCAUCUUCACCAACAUCUCCGUCACCUUCCCCCCUCUAUCUACAGUGGUCCACUCUCCCGCAACCCGCUGUACCCUCUACUUGAACAUGGUGCUUUAUGCUUCAUAUUAUUAUCCAAUGAUGUGUUGCCAUCCUAUGAUGUCUGAGUAGAUUUUCGUUGUCCUAUCGGUGGUUGAUGAAUUGCUAUGAUUGAUUUAAUUUUCUUGUGGUUAUGUUGUUGUCCUUUGGUGCCCAUCGUAUGAGUGCACACGUGGAUCACACCCUAGGGUUAGUUGUAUGUUGAUAGGUCUAUGUAUUGGAGGGCAAGAGUGACAGAAGCUUCAACCUAGCGUAGAAAUUGAUGCAUACGGGGUUGAAGGGGGACCAAUAUAUCUUAAUGCUAUGGUUGGGUUUUACCUUAAUGAACAUUAGUAGUUGCGGAUGCUUGCUAAUAGUUCUAAUCAUAAGUGCAUAGAAUCCCAAGUCAGGGAUGACAUGCUAGGAGUGGCCUCUCCCACAUAAUACUUGCUAUCGGUCUAGUAAAGUGGUCAAUUGCUUAGGGGCAAUUUCGCAACUCCUACCACCACUUUUCCAUACUCGCUAUAUUUACUUUAUUGUGUCUUUACUUACAACAGCCCCUACUUUUUAUUUACGUAAUCUUUAUUAUCUUGCAAACCUAUCCAAAAACACCUUCAAAGUACUUCUAGUUUAAUACUUGUUCUAGGUAAAGCGAACGUCAAGCGUACGUAGAGUUGUAUCGGUGGUCGAUAGAACUUGAGGGAAUAUUUGUUCUGCCUUUAGCUCCUCGUUGGGUUCGACACUCUUACUUAUCGAAAACUGUUGCGAUCCCCUACACUUGUGGCUUAUUAAGAUCUUUUUCUAGCGCCGUUGCCGGGGAGCAAUAGCAUGGGGUGAAUAUUCUCGUGUGUGCUUGUUUGCUUUAUCACUAAGUAAUUUUUAUUUGUUGUUCUUAGUUGUUUUCUAUCUUUAGUUAUUGGUAGGAAACAAAAAAUACCAAAAAAAUUAGUUGUACCUACUAAACCAAUGGUUGAAGAACCACUCAAAAUCUAUCACACUGCAGAAGCUUAUUACUUGGAUCAUCUUCGAUCCCUAUGUGCUCGUGCUGAAACCCCAACUAGCUUAGUUGAGGGAAAAUCUUUAGAUGAGCAUGCUUGUUAUGUGCGACACCAAAUAUCUGAAAAAGGGAAAAUUUUGCUGGGUCAAAUUCAUCGUUUGCAAUGCUAUGCUUGGAAUUUAUGCGAAAUAUAUGAUAUUACUUGUUGUUCUGAAAACCCUAAGAAACACCUUCCCUAUCAAUGUGAGUUUAGUGAUAAUGGAAUUGUAUCUUCGUAUGCUAAGGGUGUUUAUAGUUACUAUGAUGUUCAACAAAUUGAAGAAUUUGUUGGUUUCAAGGGUGCUUAUGAAAUUACUUCUUUGAUCGAAACGUAUGAUGCUACUUUUUACAAAUCUGAAAAUAUUGCCAUACUUAAAUAUUGCUGUGAUAAUUAUGCUUCUAAUGCCUGUGUUGAACCAUAUAUUGAGGACUACCCCGCUGUCCAAGAAGAGACUAAUAUUUGCAGGAGUCUAUGGAAGAAGAAAUUGAUGAAACUGUGAGCUCAUUGGAUGAAAAAGAUGAGGAGGAGAGCGAAGAACAAAAGAAGGAAGAGCGGAUUAGCUACCCUUGCCGACCUUGUAAUGAGAGUAACUCUUCAACUCAUACAUUAUUUAAUUUCCCUUCGUGCUUACCGAAGGAUGAUUGUUAUGAUCCCUUUGAUUCUCUUGAAAUAUCCCUUUUUGAUGAUGCUUGCUAUGCUUGUGGCCAAGAUGCUAAUAUGAAUUAUGCUUAUGGAGAUGAACUUUCUAUAGUUCCUUAUGUUAAACAUGAAAUUGUUGCUAUUGCACCCACACAUGAUAGUCCUAUUAUCCUUUUGAAUUCUCCCGACUACACUAUAUCGAAGGUUGCCCUUAUUAAGGAUUAUAUUGAUGGGUUGUCUUUUACCGUUGCACAUAAUGAUUUUGAUGAAUAUAAUAUGCAUGUGCUUGCUGCCCCUACUUGCAAUUAUUAUGAGAGAGGAACUAUAUCUCCACCUCUCUAUAUUUCCAAUACAACAAAAUUGCAAGAAACUGUUUAUACUAUGCAUUGGCCUUUACCAUGUGUGUAUGAAUUGUUCUUUUAUGACAUGUCGAUGCAUAGGAAGAGAGUUAGACUUUGUUGUUACAUGAUAUAUGUUACUUUGUACUCACUACUAAAUUACAAAUCAUUGUUAAUUAAAAUUGGCUUUGAUAUACCUUGGGAUUCGGGUGGAUCAAUUACUUGAGCACUAUAUGCCUAGCUUAAUGGCUUUAAAGAAAGCGCUGCCAGGGAGACAACCUGGAAGUUUUAGAGAGUCAUUUAUUUCUGUUGAGUGCUUUCAUAUAGUUUAAAAAUAACAAAAAUAAAGAGGGGAACCCAAAACUUUUUCAAAAAGAAAGUGAAAGUGAGAAAGACAAGCAUUGUUGAAGUGGAAGAGCUCCUUGAACUUUGUUCAUGCUCACGGCAACUUUGUGAACCUUGAUUACAGAAACUUUUCAACAAAAAUAAUUAUCCCCUUGUACAAUUCCAUUGUAUUAUAAACAUAAUGUGCCAAGGUUUACCUUUAGGAUGUUUACAUUUGCUUGAUGGUUUGUAUGGUGCAGGACAGAAACUUUGGCUGUAGUGCGUGCUUUUACAUUUUUAACUCAAACGUCAAACGGUUCUGAUUCUUUUUGCACUGUCUUCCUAUACAAAUUGUUUAUGUUUCCUAAUUUUCGCAGAAUUUUUCAAGUAUCAUAAGUAUGGUGAAUGUUCAGAUUAUUACAGACUGUUCUGUUUUAGACAAAUUCUGUUUUUGAUGCAUAGUUUGCUUGUUUUGAUGAAACUAUCGAUUCAUAUCAGUGGAUUAAGCCAUGAAAAAAAGUUAUAUUACAGUAUACACAAUGCAAAAACAAAAUAUGAAUUGGUUUGCAAUAGUACUUAGAGUAGUGAUUUGCUUUAUUAUACUUACGGAUCUUACCGAGUUUUCUGUUGAAGUUUUGUGUGGAUGAAGUGUUCGAUGAUCGAGAAGGUCUCGGUGUUGGAAGAAGUAAGAGAGGCAAGAGCUCAAGCUUGAGGAUGCCCGAGGCACCCCAAGUAAAUAUUCAAAGAGACUCAAGCGUCUAAGCUUGGGGAUGCCCCGGAAGGCAUCCCCUUUUUCUUCAACAAAUAUCGGUAUGUUUUAGGAUUCGUUUCGUUCAUGCGAUAUGUGCAAUCUUGGAGCGUCUUUUGCAUUUAGUUUUCACUUUUCUUUUAUGCACCAUGCUGGUAUGACAUAGUCCUUGGUUGAUUUAUAGAAUACUCUAUGCACUUCACUUAUAUCUUUUGAGUAUGGCUUUAUAGAAUGCUUCAUGUGCUUCACUUAUAUCAUUUGAAGUUUGGAUUGCCUAUUUCUCUUCACUUAGACAACCACCAUUUGUAGAAGGCUCUUUUGCUUCACUUAUAUUUGUUAGAGCGCGGGCAUAUCUUUUGUAGAAAGAAUUAAACUCUAUUGCUUCACUUAUAUCUAUUUAGAGAGAUGACAUGAAUUGGUCAUUCACAUGGUUAGUCAUAAAAUCCUGCAUAAAACUUGUAGAUCACUGAAUAUGAUAUGUUUGAUUCCUUGCAAUAGUUUUGGGAUACAAAGAUGGUGAUAUUAGAGUCAUGCUAGUGGGUAGUUGUGGAUUAGUAGAAAUACUUGUGUUGAGGUUUGUGAUUCCCGUAGCAUGCACGUAUGGUGAACCGUUAUGUAACAAAGUCGGAGCAUGAGGUAUUUAUUGAUUGUCUUCCUUAUGAGUGGCGGUCGGGGACGAGCGAUGGUCUUUUCCUACCAAUCUAUCCUCCUAGGGGCAUGCAUAGUAGUACUUUGCUUCAAGGGCUAAUAAAAUUUUGCAAUAAGUAUGUGAGUUCUUUAUGACUAUUGUUGAGUCCAUAGAUUAUACGCACUCUCACCCUUCCAUCAUUGCUAGCCUCUCUAGUAUCGCGCAACUUUCGCCGGUACCAUAAACCCACCAUAUACCUUCCUCAAAACAGCCACCAUACCUACCUAUCAUGGAAUUUUCCAUGGCCAUUCCGAGAUAUAUUGCCAUGCAACUUCCAUCAUCAUCAUAUACAUGACUUGAGCAUUCAUUGUCAUAUUGCUUUGCAUGAUCGUAAGAUAGCUAGCAUGAUGUUUUCAUGGCUUGUCCGUUUUUUGAUGUCAUUGCUACGCUAGAUCAUUGCACAUCCCGAUACACUGCCGGAGGCAGUCAUAUAGAGUCAUAUUUUUGUUCUAGAUAUUGAGUUGUAAGUAAAUAAAAGUGUGAUGAUCAUCAUUAUUAGAGCAUCCCCCCCAAAGAGAGAGGCCAAAGAAGUCUAAAUAAAAAAGGGGGCCAAAGAAGCCCACACACACACAAAAGGGGGCAAUGUUACUAUCCUUUUACCACACUUGUGCUUCAAAGUAGCACCAUGUUCUUCAUAUAGAGAGUCUCUUGAGUUAUCACUUUCAUAUACUAGUGGGAAUUUCACUAUAGAACUUGGCUUGUAUAUUCCAACGAUGGGCUUCCUCAAAUGCCCUAGGUCUUCAUGAGCAAGCAAGUUGGAUGCACACCCACUUAGUUUCAGUUUGAGCUUUCAUAUACUUAUAGCUCUAGUGCAUUUGUUGGAUGGCAAUCCCUACUCACUCACAUUGAUAUCUAUUGAUGGGCAUCUCCAUAGCCCGUUGAUACGCCUAGUUGAUGUGAGACUAUCUUCUCAUUUUUGUCUUCUCCACAACCACCAUUCUAUUCCACCUAUAGUGCUAUAUCCAUGGCUCACGCUCAUGUAUUGCGUGAGGGAUGAAAAUGCUGAAGCGCGUUAAAGAGUAUGAACCAAUUGCUCGGCUUGUCAUCAGGGUUGUGCAUGAUGUGAAUAUUUUGUGUGGUGAAGAUGGAGCAUAGCCAGACUAUAUGAUUUUGUAGGGAUAGCUUUCUUUGGCCUUGUUAUUUCGAAAAGACAUGAUUGCUUUAUUAGUGGGCUUGAAGUAUUAUUGCUUUUAUGUCAAAUGAUAGACUAUUGCUUUGAAUCACUCGUGUCUUAAUAUUCAUGCCAUGAUUAGAUAUGUCAUGAAGAUUAUGCUAGGUAGCAUUCCACAUCAAUUUUUUUAUCAUUUACCUACUCGAGGACGAGCAGGAAUUAAGCUUGGGGAUGCUGAUACGUCUCCGUCGUAUCUAUAAUUUUUUAUUGUUCCAUGCCAAUAUUACUACCCUUCUCCCAUCUAGGGAGGAGGUCAAGGAAGAAGACGACGAAGGCCCCCCCUCUCCCCUUCUCUUCCGGUGGCGCCGGAACGCUGUCGUGGCCAUCAUCAUCAUCAUCGCGAUCUACACCAACACCUCCGCCAUCUUCACCAACAUCUCCAUCACCUUCCCCCCUAUCUACAGCGGUCCACUCUCCCGCAACCCGCUGUACCCUCUACUUGAACAUGGUGCUUUAUGCUUCAUAUUAUUAUCCAAUGAUGUGUUGCCAUCCUAUGAUGUCUAAGUAGAUUUUCGUUGUCCUAUCGAUGGUUGAUGAAUUGCUAUGAUUGAUUUAAUUUUCUUGUGGUUAUGUUGCUGUCCUUUGGUGCCUAUCGUAUAGUGAACACGUGGAUCAUACCCUAGGGUUAGUUGUAUGUUGAUAGGACUAUGUAUUGGAGGGCAAGAGUGACAGAAGCUUCAACCUAGCAUAGAAAUUGAUGCAUACGGGAUUGAAGGGGGACCAAUAUAUCUUAAUGCUAUGGUUGGGUUUUACCUUAAUGAACGUUAGUAGUUGCGGAUGCUUGCUAAUAGUUCCAAUCAUAAGUGCAUAGAAUUCCAAGUCAGGGAUGACAUGCUAGGAGUGGCCUCUCCCACAUAAUACUUGCUAUCGGUCUAGUAAAGUAGUCAAUUGCUUAGGGGCAAUUUCGCAACUCCUACCACCACUUUUCCACACUCGCUAUAUUUACUUUAUUGUGUCUUUACUUACAACAGCCCCUACUUUUUAUUUAUGUAAUCUUUAUUAUCUUGCAAACCUAUCCAAAAACACCUUCAAAGUACUUCUAGUUUCAUAGUUGUUCUAGGUAAAGCAAAUGUCAAGCGUACGUAGAGUUGUAUCGGUGGUCGAUAGAACUUGAGGGAAUAUUUGUUCUGCCUUUAGCUCCUCGUUGGGUUCGACACUCUUACUUAUCGAAAUCUGUUGCGAUCUCCUACACUUGUGGGUUAUCAGGGUGCGCCUACCCCGCUGGGCGCGCCCUCCUGCCUCAUGGCCGCCUCGUGGCUUCCUUGACCUCCACUCCAAGUCUUCUGGAUUGUGUUUGUUCCAAAAAAGAUCAUCACGAAGGUUUCAUUCCAUUUGGAUUACGUUUGAUAUUCCUUUUCUGCGAAACACUGAAAUAGACAAAAAACAACAAUUUGCGCUGGGCCUUCGGUUAAUAGGUUAGUCCAAAAAAAUACAAAAGUGCAUAUUAAAGCUCAUUAAACAUCCAAAACAGAUAAUAUAAUAGCAUGAAACAAUUAAAAAUUAUAGAUACAUUGAAGACGUAUCAGGCCACCUUCCCCAGUGGGCCAAGUGGGCUGAACAAGGGUGGGAACUAGCCCCUAGUGGGCCGGUGCGCCCCCAAGGGCCCAAGGCGCCUCCCACCAAACUUGGGGGCAAGUUCCCCCUUGGCCGCCCCCUCUAGAUGGGAUCUAAAGGGGCUGCCCCCUCUCCCUUCACCCUAUAAAUAGAGGGGGGUGGGAGGGCAGCCGCACCCUUUCCCCGGUGCAACCCUCCCCCUCUCCAACACCUCCUCCUCCUCCUCCAUAGUGCUUGGCGAAGCCCUGCCGGAGAACUGCAAGCUCCACCACCACGCAGUCGUGCUGCCGUAGCUCUCCCUCAACUUCUCCUCUCCCCUUACUGGAUCAAGAAGGAGGAGACGUCCCCAGGCUGUACGUGUGUUGAACGCGGAGGCGCCGUCCGUUCGGCGCUUGAUCGGAUCUUCCGCGACUUGAAUCGCCGCGAGUACGACUCCAUCAACCACGUUUUUGUAACACUUUCGCUUAGCGAUCUUCAAGGGUAUGAAGAUGCACCCCCUUUCUCUCUCUCUCUCUCUCUCUCUCUCUCUCUCUCUCUCUCUCUCUCUCUCUCUCUCUUUCGUUGCUAGCAUCUCCUAGAUUGAUGUUGGUGACAUGUAGGAAAAUUUUGAAUUAGUAUUACAUUCCCCAACAGUCGGAGCAACCAAAUCCUGAUGAAAAUUGCAUGCAAAUUUCUUUGCAAGCCAUUAGCACUACUAGAGUGAGCACUUUGUUUGUAUUAGUACAGGUUGGAGGCAAACAAGCUCUUGCUUUAGUGGAUUCCGGAACUAAUUCUACAUUUAAGUCUGAAAUUUGCUUUGACUACAAAUUGUCCUAUACUGAAAGAUUAGUCUAUAGUUGUGAUAGUGGAGGUAUUUUGUGGCGUGGCUAAUAUUUUCCUACUACUACAUUUCACAUGGGCAAAGAAGAGUUUGAACAUUCUUGUAGGAUUCUUAAUUUGUCAUAGUAUGACAUGGUAAUUGGGUGUGAUCUGCUAGCAAAGCACAACCCUAUGUCUUUUGAUUAUGAAAACAAUCAAAUACUGAUGAGGAAGAAUGGUACCCAUCAAACUACUAUCUCUGCUUGUAACUCAUUUUCUGCAGCCACAGAAAUUUACAGUUCAAAAUCAGCUUCUAUGCUAACAACUGGAGCUAUUGGAUAUGCUAUUUAUCCGAUCAGGGAUGUCACUGUUACCAAGGAGUAAACACAUGUAACCCCUCCCGCAAUAGAAUAACUACUACAACAAUAUCCUAAGGUGUUUGCAUAACCCGAGGGACUGUCUCCUAUAAGAAGUUGUGACCAUAAAAUUCCCCUACAACCCAAUGUUGUAGCUAUAGCUACAAUACAAUGUAAAGGAGAGGUUCCUCUUUAAUAGAGUGUUUCGAUUCCCAAUUUCCCUCGAAAUCCUAGCCUCUUUGCUUGAUUUUCUCCUCCAAUCCACCCCGGAGUGUGACAGGCAUCGAGGAGGGGUGAUGGCUGCCAGUGUCUCGGUCAUCAGGGUGUGUCGGCGGUGCUAUGUGAUCUACACAUCGCAUACUGGUUUGACAAGCACCUUCCAGGUGAACAACAACACAUCGGCUGUAGCGCUUCCUCGAAGGAUGAGCCCCAUCCGCAUGUGUGCGCGUGUGAACAGUGAUGAUCCGAUAGUGCAGCUUAGCCUUCUACAUAUGCGGCGGUUGGGCAAAGGGGAAGUGAUUUGGGGCUUGGGAGCUGGGAGUCGAGGAAGGUCAUGUUAAUGAAGCGGUUUGGGCUUUGAGGCAGCAGUUUGCAGGAUAGUUGUGUGAUUAGUUUAAGCGUUAGCAUGGGAGGGAUGAGCAAGAGGAGAGGGGCAGACAAAGGACAUGCGAAAUGGAAACAUUACGUAUUUUUUGAAAAUAGAAGAGAUAUCUUUGAAUCAAAUGUCUAAAUUAAAUCUCGUUUGCAUAUUCAUGUUCCUUGUGAUCAAGGCUUUGAAAUAAAAUAACUAUUGCAUACGUUUUGAUAAGUUUUAAAACUUCAUCAGGUUUCAUCUUCUGAAACUUGGUACCAAUAAAACUAGGUAUGGUCCCGUGUGGAAUCCAACGAUUUAGCGAAUCGUGAAACAAUCUACAACCGGACACAUGUGUCCUUACAAAAGAUUAAACGAAAUAGCAAACACGUAGAAUAGAAAUAUAAAUAUUAGAUAAAAAAGUUUCCCGCAAAAAAAUGUAGAUAGAAAGUACAAGCUCGACUACGUUGUGAGCAAACCAUACGAACAAAUGGCAUGACGGUCGUUUCACGGCCAGCUUCCGACCGAGCCCGGCCGCCAAAUGCUGGAUACAAACGCACACGCGUCGACAACGCAUGCAUGCCAGCAGAGUCUUGAGCUUCGAAAUUGCUUCAUGCACGAUUUUUCUGGCCGACGCAUGCACGACACAGAAAUUCAACGGCUGAUGCCUGAUGUAUGCACGCAUGUGUAACCGGAUUUUAAACAUCGUCUAUGAGUCGUCCAUUUUUGUCGUGUGUAUAGCAUAGCUCCUUGAGCUUCUCGGCACCUCCCCUUUCUCGGAUAACUCCAUGCCUGCGAGAGGGCACGCCCAUUACGUGCUGUCUUCCAGGCCCUUGCCGGACACGUGGCGCGACAGCAGGGACAACGAGCAGGCCGACGACCGUCCGCGUCGCCGCACACGUGCCGCCUCCGUGCUUCACGACGCACCGCGCCCCUCCAGCUAUAAAAACGCGGCGUAUGACUCGUCCUUGCCACCAUCAUUGGCUCGAGCAUCAGCAGUUGCAUACAUCACACGCACACGUCCGUUUCAGGAACCUUAGCGGUCGAGCACCUGUCAGCAAUGGCGUCCGGUCAGGAGAAGGGGAGGUCGGAGCUGGACAGCUUGGCCCGCGAGGGGCAGACCGUCGUCCCCGGAGGCACCGGCGGGAAGAGCUACGAGGCGCAGGAGAAACUCGCCGAAGGUACGUACUUAAGAUAUGCCAAUGCUACAUACAUACUGAACAUGCAUUGUUGUAACAAGCGCGCAUUGCUGCAGGGCGCAGCCGUGGUGGGCAGACUCGGAAGGAGCAGAUGGGGGAGGAGGGGUACAGUGAGAUGGGGCGCAAGGGCGGGCUGAGCACCAACGACGAGUCCGGCGGCGAGCGCGCCGCCAGGGAGGGCAUAGACAUCGACGAGUCCAAGUUCAAGACCAAGUCCUAGAUGUUCAGUUCAGUGCCUCCUAGCUUAGCAAAGCAACUGACUGCUCGCCCGUGUUUGGAUGUUGUCCGUUUAGCGUGUCCCAGGUACUGAAUAAUGUAGGUCGUCAGGUACUCGGAUCUUGACGUGAGAACGCAUGUAGUAGGUGAUCAUGUGUCCAGUGAUCGUGUGUGCUUUAGUGUCCCAGCUAGCUUCUACUAGCUGGUUGUCGUUGUAAGUUGUGGCCAAGCUAUGCUGCUCUCUGUAAUGUAGUGCGUCUGUUUGUUUGUUAUGAAUCUGAAACUCCGUCUGUGUGCAAUGUUCGCUCAGCAAUGUACCUGGUAUAUGGUAUAAAUAGUUCCCAUUCCCCAAGAAAUCCUAAACCUACGAACUCAGCGAGAUGGACGCCAAGUGAAUCCCGUUCGGGAUCUAACCCUCGAGCAUCAAGAUAACCGGUGGUACUACAAUUUCUGACGCUUUUUUUUUGAGAAGUACUAUAUUUAUAUCAAUAUAAUAUCAACAUAUUACAACAUACAUUCUCUCGAAAUAGGCUUUCGCUCCGCUUUAUAAAUAAAACAACGAUCCACACGAUCCAAGUUUGAACAAUAUCCAACAGAAAACGGCUGGGCCACAACAUAAAUAAGCCCAAGAAAGCAUAAAAAAAAUAUAAAAAAAACCACCUAAUGGCUACCACUAAGCGGCCCUACAAGGACGCCAGCUGACGCGCCGAGGCCAAAAGCGCAUCCAUUAUCAAGCCGAGGCGAUCACGAUCACGCUGCCUCGAGAGCGGGUGCCGAGGCCAAAAGCGCAUCCAUUAUCAAGCCGAGGCGAUCACGAUCACGUUGCCUCGAGAGCGGGUGUCAGUGCUACAUGAAAGCAAGGAAUUUGAAGAGGGAGUCAGAUGCCUUCUUCGAGAAAACCUUCUCAAUCACCAUCUUAUUCCUAAUCGUCCAAAGAGUCCACGACAUUGCCGCAAAAUAAGCCAAAAUAGACGGUGAUGUCGUGCUGGCUGUAUAACUCGAAGCUGAAGGAACUCCGCGAGAUUUAGGGCCUCCCAGUCAGGCCCCAACACCUCGCGGACGAAAGUCCAUAAUACUCUCGUUGCCGUACAAGAGAAGAGAAUAUGGUUCCCAGUCUUCGGUACUGCAUAGAGAGGGCAUAUACCGUCCUCAGAUCCGUGCCGCUUAAGUACCUCUAUUCUCGAGAGGACACGAUUUCGUAGAAGUUGCCAAACAAAAAUCUUACUUUUUAAUGGGACGGGGGCUUUCCAUAGAGGGGGCAAGCCAGGGGCUAGUUGCCGACGGGCAAAGGACCUGGUAUGCCGUGCCCCAAAGAACUCCACUGUCAGCGUGCGACGUCAUGAAACUGUGUCCGGAUAAUCCAAGAGCACGAGCGGCAGGGCGGCCCGCAAUAUAGUCCAUACAUGGCAGAUCUGAGGAGAAAUCUAAAAAGAUAUCACACCAAGAGAAAUUGCAAGAAACAGAGAAAAUAGAAAAAUCUUACUGGUCCUUGCAUCCACCAACAAAACGAGCAUAAUCUUCAGCCACCGCCGUCGUCGUACUCGGAUCUUGACGUGAGCACGCAUGUAGUAGGUGAUUAUGUGUAUAGUGAUCAUGUGUACUUUAGUGUCCCGGUUAGCUUCUAUGGCCUUUCCUGGUGCUCCAUGGUAUACAGGUGCUAAGGGUGUCACAUAAGCAAAAAUAUGAUGUGACAAAGCAAUUAAAAAGGAGACAGAGCAUCAGGGCCGGUUCUGAGAUUUUGGGGGUCCGGGACGAAAGUAACAUUCGGGACCCUUAAUAUAAUCAUCACAACAAUAAUAAUUAAUUUAAUUCUACACGGAAUGUUUCUAAUAAAUACAACUACAUCCAAAAUCCGUGUUUAUAUAAUAACUUAUACACAUUAUUAUCUUAAAAAAAUUAUUGUAACACUCUUUGAUACAAAGUCACUUAUGGUUGUGUCGAUGUCAAUCUCAUCCUUCUUUCGCAUGCAUAAUGUUGCCUAACCAUUUAAGCUCUAUUGGGUCAUUGUUUAUGCCAAAUGGUCCUUCAAUAAUUUCAAGUUUGAAAAGCUUUUUUUAGUUGUUGCAAAAAUCACAUGCACAGUAAAUUCGAAUAAAUCUUUACACACCAUGAGUUUUUUAAGCCCUUUUUCAAUGAAGUGAUUGAUAUGAUCACCAAAAGAAACAAAUAUUUAACAUGAAAUUUUUCUCGCCUUCUAGAAUUUCUUCUUGGUCAACUACUUUUAUCAAACUGAUUCUCCUCAUAGCACGAAACUUUGCUUGAAAUUGUCGGGAAUAGUAAUAUGAUAUACCUCAGAGUGAUUGGAUCGGGGCAAUGAUGUGAUGUGGAUGUCUAGUGGUAGGUGCUCGGUGAUGUACGCAUGCGCUAACUCCAUCAGUGUCAAUUUUUAGGAGCCAGGCGAUGUUCGUGCUGCGUUUUCACCGCGUACAACGGCUUGAGACCAGCCAGCCUUCUGCGACUUGGGAUCUGAAGUUUGGAACAAGGGAACAGAGAAUAGGAAAUUUGGGAUGAACACAUGACGAACAAUCUCAUCUUUUUUAAGGAGAAAGAAUGUUUCCCGAUCGCAAGGAAUAAGGAAAGAGAACGGUACUGUGUCAAAAAAAAAGGAAAGAGGAAAGAGAACACCCGCAAAAAAAAGGAAAGAGGACACCCGCAAAAAAAAGGAAAGAGGACAGGGACGACAUGAUUUACGUGUGUACGCUGAUCUUUUUUUCCACCGUGAUCUGAUUUACGUGAUUUACGUGCGUACGCUAUUACCUGCCAUCCCAGCCAUCCCUUGGUAGGCUACUUUUUUUCAACAAGAAGCUAUGGGCUUAUGGGCUCCUACACCUGAAAGGGGCCCCUUGGAUCUUGGGGGCCCGGGGGGCCCCCCCCCCCCCCUCAGGGCCGGCCCUGCAGAGCAUUAUAGUGAUCCCAAUAAAAACCAAUGUUAAGCACGUGGACCUAGGAAAAAGACUACCAACCAAUACAUGAAGAAGUUUUAUUAUUAAACAAUUAAAUAGAGGAGGAUUAGCUACAACACCUAAGCAUCGAUGCAUUGGGGAUAUUAGUUGCUAAGCAUCUUAAUGCACUUAGCACCCCACUUUAGCACCAAUGCAUUGGGAGAGGUCUAUUAGCUGGUAGUAGCCGUCGCUGUAAGUUGUCAGUUGUGACCAAGCUAUGCUUCUGCUCUCUCUAACGUCUGUUUGUUAUGAAUCUGAAUCUCUAUCUGUGUGCAAUAUUCUUACUCCAGAUUUACUGCUCGGCAAUGUACCGGUACGUGUUAUAUCAUGCGAGUGAUAGGCUAUGUAUCACAAUGCAUGGUUGAUUUCGCUAUGUAAUGGCUGACAUUCAUUAGCUCGUCAUAAAUUCAAAGUAUAUACUCCCAUCACCAUCAUGUUUGGUAGGAGUAGAAGAAAUUGGAUCAAGAGAAACAAUCAAUAAAACAUUGUUUCAUAUCCAAGAGCCGUUCUUCAAGGAUUGCCGAGCAGUGACAUCUAUGGUUGGUGCAGGCCACCAUGAUUUACAUCCUAGGUAUAUGAGGCUAGUACUGCCCAUUUUGCCACCUGUCUAUGGUUUUUUUUAGCCACGACUUACUUUGCAUUUGAUAAUUUGCCACUCUUUACAUCGUAAUUGAUAUUUUGCCCCUCUUUACUUUGCACUUUGAUCUUUUGCCCUAUGUAGGGUGGGUCUCAUGUAAAAUGACUAGAAUAUCCCCGUCCUAUAGAUUGACUAUGCGCACCCUCUCGCCGGCAAGGACGCCAGGAGGCGGCGGCCCCGACGCCCUCCAAUCCCGGCCAAGCGCUGCUCUGGCCCUCCCUCCCUUGAUCUGCGCCAUGGCCGCCGGCCCAGAAUCACGAGUCAUGACCACACAGGCGUUGGGCGAAACCAGAACGCACACCGGCGGGAGCGCACGCUGUUGCCGCCGUGCUCGUCGCCCCAUAGACCAUGUCACUGCUCCUCUGCUUCUUCUCCAUAGGCCGUGCCGCUGCUCCCCUCUCAACUCUGGCAAGCACAAGCAGCACCAGCACGCGGCGAGAACAAGCAGCGGCAGCAGUACGCGGCGUUGGUGAGCAUAUAGACGCCUGUGGCGGAGCCAGGAAAAAUGAAUGAGCGGGGCCGAGUGUUCUUAACCCUUAUUGGGGAGGGCCAGUCCACAAAAUUACACUAUUUUAGCAGCAAAUAAUCAUAUAUUCAGAUGCAUAUUAGGCCUAACUCAGUGUUGUUAUAGGGGGCCAGGGCCCCUGCUGGUCUGCUCGUUGCAUGGAUUCUUUGGAAGACAAGCACGUACACAACUUAAUUGAUUCCGGCGAGUUACACAACACGCAAGCAACACACGAGGAAACAUACCGAUCCCAUCGAGACACACACGUGGCCGCGGACAAAAUGGAAGAGAGCGGCGCCCCAGAUCACCGGCGGCAUCUGGUUCUUUGGCAGCGUGGCCGCGGACAGACUGGAGGAGAGCGGCGCAAGGAGGAGGAAGGCGGCCAUCAGCAGAGGCGACGGCAGCAGGGCGGCGGCAUACGAGUUCAUCCCCUUUCUAUUUUGAUUUCAACCGGUGAAUCGUCUGGAUGCACCGGUGAAACUAGCAUAAAGGGUAUUUUGGUCCACUCCUUUAUGCAUAUAUUAUGUCAAUCAUUUGCAGGUAUUGUUUUUGUGUGAAAAAAUGGCUGAAGAUCAAAGUGCAAAUUAAAAAGGUGGCAAUAGAUCAACUACAAUGUAAGGAGUCACAAAUUAUCAAAGUAUAAAGUAAGUGAUGGCAAAAAAUCAAAAACCCCAGCAAUGGCCAUGGGAACAAGCAAAAGGAUGCAAAAUGAAGACCAUGUCAACGUUGACUGGUCUGCUGGGCUGCCAUGUCACACAAAACCAGUUGGCAGUUGUCAGAGGGAGUAAUUUAUCUAGUAUUGAAAGUACAAGGUUGUCUUCUAACCGGUUUUGGAGUUAGAGGUUGUAAAUUAAACUAACCCUAUGUCCAGGAUUGAAAUAUGCACUUCUAUUUUUUAUCCUCAUCAACUUGCCAUACAAGCAUUGCCCCAUAAAAGUCAGCUUUCUUUCUAACACCCACAAGAAUUGGGUAUAGAGGCAUCAUAAAACAGAGGUAUAUUAGUUUGGCGGGAUUGCGCCAAAGUCACCCUACCAAUAAUGUUUAAAAGUCUUCCCUACCAACAGACACAUAUUUUCUCAAUUUUUUCAACAACCACCUUGCAAUGUUUAUUCCUAAUUCUAAUAUCAGACAUGCAUCGCCAAAUAUUUCAAAGGAACAACACCCAGUUCACAAAUGAAAAUCUCUUGAUAUAUGGGAGCUUUAUUAACUGCCUCCCCAAAAAAUAGAAAUUUCACUCUUAUGAAAGUUAAUAGCGAGACCAAAGAUUUGCUCAAACGCACUUAGAAUAAACUUGAGAUUCCUAGCAAUAUCCUCAUCAUCUUGUAAUAGGAAAGCAGUGUCAUUUGCAUAUUGAUCACAUUGUUUAAAUUUUCACUCAAGGCCCCUUUCACAAAUCUAUUAUUUCUAGCUCUCUCCAAAAUAAUGACAAGGGCUUCAACUGCCAAGUCAAAUAGCAAUGGAGAUAAAGCAUCUCUUUGCUCAAGCCAUUUGUGAGUUUUAAAACAAGGACCAAUUACAUCAUUUAAUUUGACCCCCACAUGUCCUCUCCUCAUAGUGCGCAUAAUCCAAUCACACCAUUGAUCAGGGAAGUUUUUGAGUUUUAGCAUCUAGCGAGCAAAAGUCCAUUUAAUCUUAUCAUAGGCUUUCUCAAAAUCCUUAAAGAGUAAGGCCCUUUGUUUCCUAUGGUGCAUGGAGUUCAAAGCUUCAUGUAGCAAAACCACACUUUCCACUAUGUAUCUACCUUUAAUAAAAGUAGUUUGGUUAUGAGAAUUAAUAGGGUUAACCACCCUACUAAACUUGUUCAUUAGGACCUUAGUAAUAAUUUUGAAACUAACAUUCAAUAGACAAGGUCUAAAUUUUUGAAUUUGUAUAACAUCUUUAGUUGUAGGAACCAGGGUGAUAAUUCCAUAAUUGAUCCUAGCAAUAUCUAGAACCCCAUUAUGAAAAUUAUCCAUGAGCCCUUUCAAAUUACACUUAAAAAUUUCCCAAAUAUGUUGAUAAAAAUCAAGAGGCAAGCCAUUAGGUACAUGGCUCUUAUUUUUCUCCAUAGAGAAGACUACAUUGUAGUAAUUUUUCCUUGAAGAAAGGUUCCACCAACUUGUUAGCAUCCUCCUCAGAAUUUUUCUAUGCUUCUUGGAUGUUUAAAUAAACUAAGGAGAUCUUAGCUUGUCCAAAAAGUUUUCUUUACAGAAAUUAGUGAUGUAUUUUAAAAGAUUUUAUUCCCUUCAAUCGUCCCCUUAUCUUGCUCCAAAGAAAUAAUUGCCAUGGUAGUAUCUAGUAUUACAAUCACCUUAUCUGAUUUCUUUAUCCUUAUAUCUUUGGAGCCAUUUUAACUCUUCCUGUUUUAAAAUUCUCCCAACUAUUCACUAAGUUCCUUUUGUCCAGUUCUAUCAUGAGUAGUUAAGCCAUUAACUUCUGCAUCCUUAUCAAUGGAAUCUAACUUGGAUUUUUUAAUUUUCCUAUGCCAAGUCUCAACAUUCAAGUUUCAGCCCCUAAUCUUCUUCCUAAGAAUUCUCAACCUAUUUUGCCACCUCUCGAUAUAAGAACUUUCAUAAUUAUUAGUCCAAAAGUUUGGUGACAAAGUCCUUAAAACCAUCUCUCAGGAUCCAAUAUUUUUUGAAUCUAUAUAUUGGCUUUGAAAUAUUAUGCGACCCAAUGUCAAGAAUGAGAGGACUGUGAUAAGAAACUUCCCUCUCCAAAGCUUGUACCAUAGCUAAGCAUAAUGUUCCUCCCAUUCAUGAGAAUUCUAUCUAAUUUCUCAAUGGUUGGUUUAGCCAAAUUAUUGGCCCAAGUAAAAUUUCUUCCAUUUAGAGGUAAUUCUCUAAACUCUUCAUACUCAAUAAUAGCAAUAUAGAACUUCAGUGAUCAGUGUUAUUGGGUUAGUUUUUCUCACAAAAGUUCUAAUAAGAAUAAAAUCCCCGCCUACCACACAAUAUAAAAUGUUGUCAUGAUAGAUCUUAGACAAUUCUGCCAAAUAAGAAGCUUUGCCAUCUAAUUGAGCGUCACCAUACACAAUAAUAAUAUUCCAAUGAAAUUUAGCCAUUUUUAUCAAAAAACAACAGCCUCACAAAGUAUACCCCUACCAUACCUCUAUUUUAGUUACAUCAAACAAAUCAUUAUUUACUCCCACCAGGAUCUCUUCAGAUUUACCUCUUGGAGGGACCAAUUCCAAGUAGAAAAACUCAAAUGUAAAUAUGGAUAUUCCAUUGGAUAUUUAGUUGAUAAUGUGUUUCCUUUUCAUUCAUCCUAUCUAUGUUUUUCUUCGAAUAUGCUCACAUAAACUAAAAUGUCCCACAACAACGCAUGGGGUAUUAUCUAGUUUACAACAAAGACAAAUGUGGAAGCCUUGUUUUGACCCUAAAUGCCCUACAAUCCAGCGACUGUUGAAAUACUCUAAGUGCAUCUCCAACGCUGACCCUCAAACCGCCCGCAACCGUUCGGACCGUACGGUCCGGAUGCGUUAUGCCAUCAAACGCGGGCCUGUAUCGGUCCGCGGGGCGGUCCGGUCACACUUUCUCCCGCAAAACGGAGACAAACGUGAGUGGCUUUGCGAGCGUCCGGACAGCACCCACGCCCGCUUUUGACCACCCUGGCCCACCCAAAGCCCUCCUCCCUCGUCGUCGUGUGUUCCCGCCUGACGCCGGUUGCCCGCAUUCAUGUCAAUGUAGAGCGGCCGCUCCACAUUGAAGCCAGCUUAGAGCAGACGCAACCUUUCACUGCCUCUGCCAUUAAAGCAGUGCACCGACCGAGGGCACCGGCUGCUGCACGCUCGGCUGAACACGCCUCCUCGCCGCAUUCAAACACCUCCAGUGAACCCACAUGGAAUCCGAGAAACCUACUCCGGCCACAUGUUUGUUCACGAGCAGAUUGACAUUAAACACAACACUGACAAGCUCCUCCCAUCCGUCCUCUACUUAAACGGUGCCAGACAUCGGGUGAAAAUCACACCACACCUCCGCUCCCAUCUCCUCGCACCAUUUUCUCCACAAUAUCCAUGGCUACCGGCAUGCAGGAAGAGGAGUUCACCGGCAUAAAAGCCGUCUGGAUGGCCCGCCGAGCCCACCGGAUACGAGCCAGGCAACUCGCUACUCCACCUCCCUCGCCAAAUCUGAUGAAGCAAGUUGUCGCCCAAGCCGGCGCAUGGUUCAACAACUCAUCGCUCCAGCCAUCUCGCAGAGGUGUGGCGAGUUGCUCCAGGAUGGCACGCAGCGGAGCACGAAGGAACGGGCAUCGUGGCUGCCAUGGAUGAGGCCAGACGCUGUGCCAUCCGUCAUCUACGUUGGCAGAACCGUGCCCGGUCGAUGGAGAAAGAAGUCGGCUACGCGGAGAUCGACGAGUCGGUGGUCAGUGCGUCUGCAUCUGCCGCCAACAUCGAGGGAACGUAAAACACGGGAGGCCGUCACCGCUUGGGUUAUGGGAAGGCCACCGCCGGCACAUCGUCAGCUUGCAUAGCCGGUGACUUGCCCGGUUCAGCACAGAUCAUUGUCGACCCCUGCAUGGGCUUCACGGAAGCGGAGGAGCCCUCCUUCCCCUCCGGCCGAAGCACCCGCCUUCACCUCCAAUGGUAGCACCCCAUUUGCCACUCCGAUGAGCGGCGCAUUUGGACAUAGGAAAGAUACGGGAAAAAAUAUACCUUCGGGGCUCCUGGCAGUCCGAUGAGUGGGCUGCCGGACAAUGGGAAGACAAAGGAAUCCGCCGUGGCAUGCCGUAGACUAGGUGUAGUGUAUCCUUUUCAUGAGAAUGGAACUCCACGCGGUCGCACGUAGUUUUACCUUUUUCAGUUAAAAUAUUUUCAAAAAUGUAAAUAUUUUCGUUCGGUUUUGUAUGAAAUCCCCUCUUCUUGCAUGAAUUUAUUGAAUUUGUUGAAAAAGUAUUUGAAAUGUAUGCGAACAUCGUUAGAUGACCAGUUCCGACAUCCAUGUGUGCGGAUGGAUGUCGAAGCAAAUUUGUAGGUCACCGUUGAGGAUGCCCUAAGUCUAUGUAAACUAUAAACUUGCAUCCACAAACGUACCUAGCUGGGCGCAGCGGAGAGCGCGCCUCGCUUUGAUGGUGCGACCGGACGACAGCGUGGGACAAGGCAGGCAUCCAAGCAUUGUAGCCCAUACCGGACGUUUCCUCGGAUAACCAUGGCUUAUACUGUUGGAAAUAUGCCCUAGAGGCAAUAAUAAAAGGAUUAUUAUUAUAUUUCCUUGUUCAUGAUAAUUGUCUUUUAUUCAUGCUAUAAUUGUGUUAUCCGGAAAUCGUAAUACAUGUGUGAAUACAUAGACACCAACAUGUCCCUAGUAAGCCUCUAGUUGACUAGCUUGUUGAUCAACAGAUAGUCAUGGUUUCCUGACUAUGGACAUUGGAUGUCAUUGAUAACGAGAUCACAUCAUUAGGAGAAUGAUGUGAUGGAUAAGACCCAAUCCUAAACACAGCACAAGAUCGUAUAGUUCAUUUUCUAGAGUUUUUCCAAUGUCAAGUAUCUUUUCCUUAGACCAUGAGAUCGUGUAACUCCCAGAUACCGUAGGAGUGCUUUGGGUGUACCAAACGUCACAACGUAACUGGGUGACUAUAAAGGUAUACUGCGGGUAUCUCCGAAAGUGUCUGUUGGGUUAACACGGAUCAAGACUGGGAUUUGUCACUCCGUAUGACGGAGAGGUAUCUCUGGGCCCACUCGGUAAUGCAUCAUCAUAAUGAGCUCAAAGUGACCAAGUGUCUGGUCACGGGAUCAUGCAUUACGGUACAAGUAAAGUGACUUGCCGGUAACGAGAUUGAACGAGGUAUUGGGAUACCGACGAUCGAAUCUCGGGCAAGUAACAUACCGAUUGACAAAGGGAAUUGUAUACGGGGUUGCUUGAAUCCUCGACAUCGUGGUUCAUCCGAUGAGAUCAUCGAGGAGCAUGUGAGAGCCAACAUGGGUAUCCAGAUCCCGUUGUUGGUUAUUGACCGGAGAGCCAUCUCGGUCAUGUCUACAUGUCUCCCGAACCCGUAGGGUCUACACACUUAAGGUUCGGUGACGCUAGGGUUGUAGAGAUAUGAAUAUGCAGUAACCCGAAAGUUGUUCGGAGUCCCGGAUGAGAUUCCGGAUGUCACGAGGAGUUCCGGAAUGGUCCGGAGGUGAAGAAUUAUAUAUAGGAAGUGCAGUUUCGGCCAUCGGGAGAGUUUCGAGGGUCACCGGUAUUGUACCGGGACCACCGGAUGGGUCCCGGGGGUCCACCGGGUGGGACCACCCAUCCUGGAGGGCCCCAUGGGCUGAAGUGGAGAGGGGAACCAACCCAUAGUGGGCUGGUGCGCCCCCUUGGCCCACCCCUGCGCCUAGGGUUGGAAACCGUAGGGUGGGGGGGGGGCGCCCCACUUGCCUUGGGGGCCACUCCACCCUUGGCCGCCGCCCCCCCUAGGAGAUCCCAUCUCCUAGGGCCGGCGCCCCCCCUUGGGGAGCCUAUAUAAAGGGGGGAGGGAGGGGCAACCGCACCCUUGACUCUUGGCGCCUCCCUCUCCCCUGCUACACCUCUCCCUCUCGCAGAAAAACGGCGAAGCCCUGCUGCGGUGACUGGUGCAUCCACCACCACGUCGUCGUGCUGCUGGAUCUUCAUCAACCUCUCCUCCCCCCUUGCUGGAUCAAGAAGGAGGAGACGUCACGCUGACCGUACGUGUGUUGAACACGGAGGUGCCGUCCGUUCGGCGCUAGGAUCUCCGGUGAUUUGGAUCACGUCGAGUACGACUUCCUCAUCCCCGUUCUUUGAAUGCUUCCGUGCGUGAUCUGCAAAGGUAUAUAGAUGCAAUCCGAUCACUCGUUUCUAGAUGAACUCAUAGAUGGAUCUUGGUGAAAUCGUAGGAAAAUUUUUGUUUUCUGCAACAUUCCCCAACAGUGGCAUCAUGAGGUAGGUCUAUGCAUAGUUCCUUUUGCACGAGUAGAACACAAUUUGUUGUGGGCGUAGAUGUUGUCAACUUUCUUGCCGCUACUAGUCUUAUUUUGCUUCAGCGGUAUUGUGGGAUGAAGCGGCCCGGACCAACCUUACACGUACGCUUACGUGAGACCGGUUCCACCGACUGACAUGCACUAGUUGCAUAAGGUGGCUGGCGGGUGUCUGUCUCUCCCACUUUAGUUGGAGCGGAUUCGAUGAAAAGGGUCCUUAUGAAGGGUAAAUAGAAGUUGACAAAUCACGUUGUGGCUUUCACGUAGGUAAGAAAACGUUCUUGCUAGAACCCUAUUGCAGCCACGUAAAAACUUGCAACAACAAUUAGAGGACGUCUAACUUGUUUUUGCAGCAAGUGUUUUGUGAUGUGAUAUGGCCAAAGUUGUGAUGAAUGAUGAAUGAUAUAUAUGUGAUGUAUGAGAUGUUCAUGCUAUUGUAAUAGGAAUCACGACUUGCAUGUCGGUGAGUAUGACAACCGGCAGGAGCCAUAGGAGUUGUCUUUAUUUUUUGUAUGACAUGCGUGUCAUUGAGAAACGCCAUGUAAAUUACUUUACUUUAUUGCUAAACGUGUUAGCCAUAGUAGUAGAAGUAAUAGUUGGCGAGAAAUUUCAUGGAGACACAAUAAUGGAGAUCAUGAUGAUGGAGAUCAUGGUGUCAUGCCAGUGACAAGAUGGUCAUGGAGCCCUAAGAUGGAGAUCAAAGGAGCUAUGUGAUAUUGGCCAUAUCAUGUCACUAUUAUUAUUUGAUUGCAUGUGAUGUUUAUCAUGUUUUUGCAUCUUGUUUACUUAGAACGACGGUAGUAAAUAAGAUGAUCCCUCAUAAUAAUUUCAAGAAAGUGUUCCCCCUAACUGUGCGCCGUUGCGACAGUUUGUUGUUUCGAAGCACCACGUGAUGAUCGGGUGUGAUAGAUUCCAACGUUCACAUACAACGGGUGUAAGACAGAUUUACACAUGCAAACACUUAGGUUGACUUGACGAGCCUAGCAUGUACAGAUAUGGCCUCGGAACACAGAAGACCGAAAGGUCAAGCAUGAGUCGUAUAGAAGAUACGAUCAACAUGAAGAUGUUCACCGAUGUUGACUAGUCCGUCUCACGUGAUGAUCGGACACGGCCUAGUUAACUCGGAUCAUGUUAUACUUAGAUGACUGGAGGGAUGUCUAUCUGAGUGGGAGUUCAUUAAAUAGAUGAACUUAAUUAUCAUGAACUUAGUCUAAAAUCUUUACAAUAUGUCUUGUAGAUCAAAUGGCCCACGCUAAUGUUGCCCUCAACUUCAACGCGUUUCUAGAGAAAACCAAGCUGAAAGAUGAUGGCAGCAACUAUACGGACUGGGUCCGGAACCUGAGGAUCAUCCUCAUAGCUGCCAAGAAAGAUUAUGUCCUAGAAGCACCGCUAGGUGACGCACCCAUCCCAGAGAACCAAGACGUUAUGAACGCUUGGCAGCAGCAUGCUGAUGAUUACUUCCUCGUUUAGUGCGGCAUGCUUUACAGCUUAGAACCGGGGCUCCAAAAGCAUUUUGAGCAACACUAAGCAUAUGAGAUGUUCGAAGAGCUGAAAAUGGUUUUCCAAGCUCAUGCCCGGGUCGAGAGAUAUGAAGUCUCCGACAAGUUCUUCAGUUGUAAGAUGGAGGAAAAUAGUUCUGUCAGUGAGCACAUACUCAAAAUGUCUGGGUUGCACAACUGCUUGACUCAGCUGGGAGUUAAUCUCCCGGAUGAUGCGGUCAUUGACAGAAUCCUUCAGUCACUUCCACCGAGCUACAAGAGCUUUGUGAUGAACUUCAAUAUGCAGGGGAUGGAAAAGACCAUUCCUGAAGUAUUUGCAAUGCUGAAAUCAGCAGAGGUAGAAGUCAAAAAGGAACAUCAAGUGUUGAUGGUGAAUAAAACCACUAAGUUCAAGAAAGGCAAGGGUAAGAAGAACUUCAAGAAGGACGGCAGGGGAGUUGCCGCGCCCGGCAAGCAAGCUGCCGGGAAGAAGCCAAAGAAUGGACCCAAGCCCGAGACUGAGUGCUUUUAUUGCAAGGAGAGUGGUCACUGGAAGCGGAACUGCCCCAAAUACUUAGCGGACAAGAAGGCCGGCAAAACGAAAGGUAUAUGUGAUAUACAUGUAAUUGAUGUGUACCUUAUCAGUACUCGUAGUAGCUCCUGGGUAUUUGAUACCGGUGCAGUUGCUCACAUUUGUAACUCAAAGCAGGAGUUGCGGAAUAAGCGGAGACUGGCGAAGGACGAGGUGACGAUGCACGUCGGGAAUGGUUCCAAGGUCGAUGUGAUCGCCGUCGGCACGCUACCUCUACAUUUACCUACGGGAUUAGUUUUGAACCUCAAUAAUUGUUAUUUAGUGCCAAGUUUGAGCAUGAACAUUGUAUCAUGAUCUCGUUUAAUACGAGAUGGCUACUCAUUUAAAUCCGAUAAUAAUGGUUGUUCUAUUUAUAUGAGAGAUAUGUUUUAUGGUCAUGCUCCGAUGGUGAAUGGUUUAUUCUUAAUGAAUCUCGAGCGUAAUGCGACACAUAUUCAUAGUGUGAAUACCAAAAGAUGUAAGGUUGAUAAUGAUAGUCCGACAUACUUGUGGCACUGCCGCCUUGGUCACAUAGGUGUCAAACGCAUGAAGAAGCUCCAUGCAGAUGGACUUUUAGAGUCUCUUGAUUACGAAUCAUUUGACACGUGCGAACCAUGCCUCAUGGGUAAAAUGACCAAGACUCCGUUCUCAGGAACAAUGGAGCGAGCAACCAACUUAUUGGAAAUCAUACAUACUGAUGUGUGCGGUCCAAUGAGUGUUGAGGCUCGCGGUGGUUAUCGUUAUGUUCUCACCCUCACUGAUGACUUGAGUAGAUAUGGGUAUGUCUACUUAAUGAAACACAAGUCUGAGACCUUUGAAAGGUUCAAGGAAUUUCAGAGUGAGGUUGAGAAUCAACGUGACAGGAAAAUCAAGUUCUUGCGAUCAGAUCAUGAGGGAGAAUACUUGAGUCACGAAUUUGGCACACACUUAAGAAAAUGUGGAAUAGUUUCACAACUCACGCCGCCUAGAACACCUCAGCGUAAUGGUGUGUCCGAACGUCGUAAUCGCACUUUAUUAGAUAUAGUGCAAUCUAUGAUGUCUCUUACCGAUUUACCGCUAUCAUUUUGGGGCUAUGCUUUAGAGACUGCCGCAUUCACUUUAAAUAGGGCUCUGUCAAAAUCCGUUGAGAUGACACCGUAUAAAUUAUGGUUUGGGAAGAAGCCUAAGCUGUCGUUUCUAAAAGUUUGGGGAUGCGAUGCUUAUGUCAAGAAACUUCAACCUGAAAAGCUCGAACCCUAGUCGGAAAAAUGCGUCUUCAUAGGAUACCCUAAAGAAACUAUUGGGUAUACCUUCUACCUCAGAUCCGAAGGCAAGAUCUUUGUUGCCAAGAAUGGAUCCUUUCUAGAGAAGGAGUUUCUCUCGAAAGAAGUAAGUGGGAGGAAAGUAGAACUUGAUGAAGUAUUACCUCUUGAACCGGAAAAUGGCGCAACUCAAGAAAAUGUUCCUGAGGUGCCUGUACCGACUAGAGAGGAAGUUAAUGAUGAUGAUCAUGAAACUUCAGAUCAAGUUUCUACUGAAUUUCGUAGGUCCACAAGGACACGUUCCGCACCAGAGUGGUACGGCAACCCUGUCUUGGAAAUCAUGUUGUUAGACAACGGUGAAUGACAGUGUCCUGGACUAGGGGGUACUCACCACGUCGUCUCCCGAUCUAUUAGAUUGGGCCGAGGACCCCCGUGGCCGUAUACUCAUGGGCCAGUUCGGACGGCUGCCGCAUACAAGGAAGAUUCCACAAGACUUGGCGAUCAAGACAAGGACUUCUCCCCACCGGCGUAUUCGGCUAGGACUCUUGUUAUCCUAGGCCUCUGGUGCAUUAUAUAAACCGAGGCCAGGCUAGUCGAUAGAUAGACAAUAUAUACAACAAUCAUACCAUAGGCUAGCUUCUAGGGUUUAGCCUCCUUGAUCUCGUGGUAGAUCUACUCUUGUACUAUCCAUAUCAUCAAUAUUAAUCAAGCAGGAGUAGGGUUUUACCUUCAUCGAGAGGGCCCGAACCUGGGUAAAAACAUCGUGUCCCUUGUCUCCUGUUACCAUCCGGUCUAGACGCAUAGUUCGGGACCCCCUACCUGAGAUCCGCCGGUUUUGACACCGACAUUGGUGUUUUCAUUGAGAGUUCCGUUGUGUGAUCGACAAAAGGAUCGAUGGCUCGCCUGCAGAUCAACUACGACUUCGGCAUCUUCGUCACCAGCUCGACUGGUCACCUUGGUUCGACCAAGAAUUGUGCCCCGUGUUCGGAUCACCAUGUUCGGACGAGGGCCUUUAUCAAACAUCAACUCCGAUCUCUAUCAAGAUCACGGAGGAAUCAUCUAUGGAGCUCGGGGGCUCAACGUCAACAUUGCCCUCAAGCGACCGUGCUAUUUUUCUGGACAGCGAACUCGUAUCUGCCACCACCACCUCCUCGAGUAUCGCUUUGACGAUCGCUUUGGUGGAAUUGUGCGGAAUUGAGUCUACAACAACCCUGAGAAAUUUCGUCGAGUUCCGAUGGAGGAAUCUCUGGCAAUCCACGAUAUACCGGAGCCUUGUCAAAUCUGGACGGGAAUUUGGAUGAGUUUAGGGCGUGGUGUCCAUCUUCUAUCUCGGACGUCCUUUGGAAGAUCCAACCGUUGAUCGGCUGCGGAAUUCCUAUAUCUACCACCUCUCAAAAUUUCGGCUCGAUUCGACCGUCCAAACUUUGGGAACCUUCUGAUUAGUGCAUCACUUUUCGGAUCUGUUUUCUGCGCGAAAACGAAUCCGACCCAAGUUCAUCUUUUUUAUGAACAGGAUUUCGAACAUCCCUUUUGAAGGAAGUUUUGUAUGGGUAUUGUGUUUUGUUCCCGAACACAUCCCACUAACUAUAAGAUCUUUUAAACAUGAUCUUCAACAUCAUGCUGGUGUCAAACCAGUCCGGCAAUAUUACUCCACGGCUGCCGACCUGCGCUAGACACGGCAUCACUUUGUUGAGCCGAGCUCAACUUCUUCGGAUCAUCAUCUCGACAAGUCAAACAAGAGCCCGGCAUCGCGAAGGAUAAAUCAUCACCAACAUCGCCGCCCCAUGGAUUACACGGAGCGGGCAUAACCGGCAUCGCCGCACGGUCGCUUCAUCAAGCCGGCAUCGACCACGUCACGACCUGCAUCGACAGGGCCGCACUAUUGCUUCUUCAAGCUGGUGUCCAUCACGCCGACCUACUUCGACUCAUCGGCUGACAUCGAGGCUUCGACAUCUCGGCUGGACCGGGGGCUUCGCCGUCUCUUAAUCAACCUACUCCGGACACUUCGGCGUCACUAGCCGACCAGCUCCGUCACGUUAGCUGGGCCGAGGGCUUUGCCUCGGCGAGUCAACCUUUACCAGCAUUGCCAUGCCGUCGUUUUAUCGCCCAUCAGGCAAUGGGUGUGCGGAGCGGGUCACAAUUUUAGGAAUCACCUUCCUUCGGAUUGCUACAACAAAUAAACCAGGUGCUAUUAAUCCCAGUAUUUUUUUUGCUUGUUUGGGUUCAUUUUUUCCAAGGAAUUAUUACUCUGGGUUAUCCGUCAUAUGUACACAGGUCUAUCAAAUGGUGGCCGCAUUAACGACAAUCGCAUGGUGGUUCGGUCAGUUUCCGUACAUAGUCCGGCGAACGCCGCACUCGGAGCUCGGACCGACCUGCGAAUUCAGGCUUUGCCACGCCUUUACUACAUCACGCCGACGCCCUGCAUCGACAUUGACUUCGGCGCCAGGCCAUAUUUCUUCUAUUCCUCACUUUGCAUAAAUUAUUUAUUAUGCAACAUUUUUUUUAAUUAUCAUUAUUACUAUUAUCUCCAGUUCGCACUAUUUUAUGUGGCACAGGAAAAUGAUCUAGCCGGACUAUAUCCUUUGGCGUCACCUCGGCUGGACGGGGGGCUUCGUCAACACUUCAUUACCCCAUGCCGGGGACUUCGGCAUCACUCUGCCGGCCUGCAUUGACCGUGCUAUGUCACCACUUCGGAGUGCCGAGCUCUUUGCUCCGACACCUCGGGACCGGCUUGGGGGAUGGCACCUUGUCCCGCAUCAAGCUCGGACCGCGUCAUCAAUACCGAACACAUUAACCAGCUAAGUUGCCUUCAUGCUCAAAGUUUUAAAUUUUUAACUUGUGUUCGGCUCGACCAAGCAUUAUACUUUUUUGGAAAAAAGUUGCUUGUAAAUUUUUUUCCUUGUCCAAACUUUGUUUGUGACGCACAAAUUCAAAUACCCCGUUUACUUGGGGGCUUCCUUCAUGAAGAUUUUUCCUCUUGCAUAUGAUUAUACUUGUACGGCUUCAUUCCUUGUUCAUGUAUUACGCCAUAAUAUGCACCAUAUUGACUUAAGCGAUUUGCAAGCUGGGUUGCCUCGCUCCUGUGUUUUCCCCUACGUUCCCGAUUGUUCAGCUAGGGAGUAAAGGGAGCACCUCUGCGAUUGUCACGAUCGGGUCAACCGAGCCGGACCCCAGACUAGGUGAAGCCGAAAGCUAGCGCUCUUAUAGUUUUCAAUGAUGGUCGGCACACAAUGGAACUCAUGAGUAGAAAAAAUCUAUUACACAAGUCUCAUAAUAACAAUGAGCACCGAAGAAAGGUAUCGGUGGGGUACUAUUUUCUUCGAAGAUGCUUCUUACACUUCACGGUAAUAUAGCAUAAGUUCCCUGAGCGUGCUUUGUCUGUUACAGCCUUAUGGCCUGAUUGCCUGGUUAUUGGAAACACCGUCGAUAUUCUCGACCGAUGGAGUAGAUAACACUUCUCGGCCCUUGACCGAAGAGGGAGAAGCUGACGGUCGGUUAAGACGCGUUUAAAGUUCGGUUGAACAUAGAUAUGAUAUAAGUACUUCGGUACAUGCAAUCAUUCUUCUACCAAGUCACUUGGGGGCUCUUAAGUUUAUUUGAGACGUUUUAUAAUAAGUGUUCUUCUUCUUAGUCGUUGCAAAGUUUUAUUAUUAUUUAUCACUCCUUUUUUCGACACGAGUGUGCGGUCACUAGCCGGGGAGCCUAAUUUCUCUCUCAAAUCCGCUAGAGUUUAGUUUGCUAAACUGGCCUGAUGAGAAGUACUCCGCCCUCGGGAUAGGAGGUUGAAGCCGUAGGCUGACCCGCUCGAAGUCUUGAGAUAGGAUGUAUCAUGUUAAAACACGACAGAAGCACUUCUUUUUUCUAAGACCAACUUUCGGAUUGGCACCGAACACUUGAUAUUGUUCGGACGUCAUGUUUUUACUGACGUUUCUUGGUUUUCCAAGCUUUUUGGCACUUUUAAAACUAUUCGUGCUUUUCCAGCAUUAGUCUCGCAGUGCAACGCCGGACACCUUUAGGGAUUCGGCAAAAACAUUCUCAGAUAUUGCUAUAUAUGCAUCGGUUUCGAAUUGUGUCUUCGGUCAAUAGUUGGGUUGCCCGGCUCCUGCACUUGCUUCCUACGUUCCGUUUUGUUCGGCUAGGCGUGCAAAGGGAGAACCACUGCGAUUGUGCUUCCAGCUCACAUGGUUAAGCACCUCAGUGGAGAAAGCCGAAAACUGACUUUCACAAUAAGCGUAAACUGGUCAGCGAUCCGAUGACUAUGUUAAAUGAUGGGCCAUUCAUAACAUUGGCCCAAGUGUUUACGGCUUGACCCCAACUGUCGCCGAACACUUCCGAGGGCUAUUAACUGGCCUCCCAAACUAAAUCCUCAAUAUUUUGCUCUUACAUUAGAGCUGAGGUUUAAUGAUCAUGCUUAGCAUGACAACCCAAAGGAAGAAACCGAUAGCGGGACCAUUUUCUUUGGAGGACAUUUCUUAUGUUAAACAGUAAAUAUAACAUAUCUCUCUGCGUACCUUUGUUUAUAAAACUGUAUGACCAGAUUGCCUUGUUUGUUGUAAAUCUUUACCCUCAUAAAGGCUUUAUAAAGUAGGACAAACACUCCUCGGCUACUGGCCGAGGAGGUGGAAGCUGAUGGUCGGUCAACAAAGUUUUGUACAAUGCGGAUUCGAGCAUUAAUGAUGUAAAGUACUUGAAUACAUAGAGUCAUUACACAUAAUUUGUGAUUUUACUAUGGAUAUCGAUCCUUAAUUCGGCCACCCGUGCCCGCAUUAAGGCUCGGGGGCUACUGGGCUUCGGGCUUAUUAUUUACAAAUAUUAAAGGGGCACAUUGAUCCCCUGAUCUGGUGUUGCCACCCGACCAGUGUCUCGGGGGCUACUGCAUUGCUUGUCCAAUGCAGAAAAUUUUAUGUACAAUAUAGUUUCCGAGGAGAUUUUGAUCCUCAGGUUGGUCGGCCGCACCCAACCCGAGUCUCGAGGACUGAGCAUGCCGCUUUUAGUGUCCCGAAGUAUUCUGCCGAGCUAGGACUUGAUCCUCAGGCCGAUUUUGCAAAUUGACCUGAGUCUCAGCGGCUACUGGGAUCAGCGGUCUUAUGUCAUCCUUCAUGUGCAUCUUGGGUUUUAGACCGAUACCCACCUUGAGGGCUACUGGCUAUAUAUCUCGACAGAGAAUAAAUUGCACCAAUCAAAAAUAUUGACAAAAAUCGGCCCACAUUCAGGGUGGUGCACCACCUCGGAAGCAGUCCGGCAUAAAGCUCAGGCGCUAGUGGCUGGCUCCAUAGAGGUCAUUUCCGGCAUUAAGCUCGGCUAAACUCCUUCAACUUUUUUGAACCAAGGUGAUAUGACACCUCGGAUAUAGUCCGGCAUUGGAGCCUGGACACAGUCCGGCGUCGGAUAUCGGAUAUAUUUUCGGCGUUGGAGCUUGGAUAUACAGUCCGGCGUUGGAGCUCGGAUACAUAGUCCGGCGUUGGAGCUCGGAUACAUUCCGGCGCUAGAGCUGGGAAGCGGUCCGGCGUUGGUGCUCGGCUGCAAAAGAUACCUCGAAUGCAGUCCGGCGUUGGAGCUCGGACGCAAGAGGACCCUGCCUCCCGGGAACAACUUCAAACCCGAGGUGUGGCAUAAAAAUAAACAAAGCAUUGAUAAAGGCCGGAAACUUAAAGGGGAUCCUCGGAUACCCGACGUGUAAACUCGUCGAAUGCAUUUCGGAAAUCCUCAAGAUCGAAGAUAAAGAAGAUUUGUUGAACCAGUUUUCAAGACCGGCAACCGAAGAUGAAGAACAGUUCGGAAGAAUCGAGGAGCGUCCCUAACUUGAAGACCGGUUCAGGGGGCUACUGAUGGUGUCCUGGACUAGGGGGUACUCACCACGUCGUCUCCGAUCUAUUAGAUUGGGCCGAGGACCCCCGUGGCCGUAUACUCAUGGGCCAGUUCGGACGGCUGCCGCAUACAAGGAAGAUUCCACAAGACUUGGCGAUCAAGACAAGGACUUCUCCCCACCGGUGUAUUCGGCUAGGACUCUUGUUAUCCUAGGCCUCUGGUGCAUUAUAUAAACCGAGGCCAGGCUAGUCGAUAGAUAGACAAUAUAUACAACAAUCAUACCAUAGGCUAGCUUCUAGGGUUUAGCCUCCUUGAUCUCGUGGUAGAUCUACUCUUGUACUACCCAUAUCAUCAAUAUUAAUCAAGCAGGAGUAGGGUUUUACCUCCAUCGAGAGGGCCCGAACCUAGGUAAAAACAUCGUGUCCCUUGUCUCCUGUUACCAUCCGGCCUAGACGCACAGUUCGGGACCCCCUACCCGAGAUCCGCCGGUUUUGACACCGACAGUGAACCUUCGAACUAUGAAGAAGCGAUGGCGGGCCCAGAUUCCAACAAAUGGCUUGAAGCCAUGCAAUCCGAGAUAGGAUCCAUGUAUGAAAACAAAGUAUGGACUUUGACAAACUUGCCCGAUCAUCGGCGAGCGAUAGAAAACAAAUGGAUCUUUAAGAAGAAGACGGACGCGGAUGGUAAUGUUACCAUCUAUAAAGCUCGACUUGUCGCUAAGGGUUAUCGGCAAGUUCAAGGGGUUGACUACGAUGAGACUUUAUCUCCCGUAGCGAAGUUGAAGUCCGUCAGAAUUAUGUUAGCAAUUACCGCAUACUAUGAUUAUGAGAUAUGGCAAAUGGACGUCAAAACGGCAUUCCUUAAUGGUUUCCUUAAGGAAGAAUUGUAUAUGAUGCAGCAGGAAGGUUUUGUCGAUCCUAAGAAUGCUGACAAGGUGUGCAAGCUCCAACGCUCGAUUUAUGGGCUGGUGCAAGCAUCUCGGAGUUGGAACAUUCGCUUUGAUGAGAUGAUCAAAGCGUUUGGGUUUAUGCAGACUUAUGGAGAAGCCUGCGUUUACAAGAAAGUGAGUGGGAGCUCUGUAGCAUUUCUCAUAUUAUAUGUAGAUGACAUACUUUUGAUGGGAAAUGAUAUAGAGCUUUUGGACAGCAUUAAGGCCUACUUGAAUAAGAGUUUUUCAAUGAAAGACCUUGGAGAAGCUGCUUAUAUAUUAGGCAUCAAGAUCUAUAGAGAUAGAUCAAGACGCCUCCUAGGUCUUUCACAAAGCACAUACCUUGAUAAGAUAUUGAAGAAGUUCAAUAUGGAUCAGUCUAAGAAGGGGUUCUUGCCUGUGUUGCAAGGUGUGAAAUUGAGCUCAGCUCAAUGUCCGACCACGGCAGAAGAUAUAGAAGAGAUGAGUGUCAUCCCCUAUGCCUCAGCCAUAGGUUCUAUUAUGUAUGCCAUGCUGUGUACCAGACCUGAUGUAAACCUUGCUGUAAGUUUGGUAGGUAGGUACCAAAGUAAUCCCGGCAAGGAACACUGGACAGCGGUCAAGAAUAUCCUGAAGUACCUGAAAAGGACUAAGGAAAUGUUUCUCGUUUAUGGAGGUGACGAAGAGCUCGUCGUAAAGGGUUACGUCGACGCUAGCUUCGACACAGAUCUGGAUGGCUCUAAGUCACAAACCGGAUACGUGUAUAUUUUGAAUGGUGGGGCAGUAAGCUGGUGCAGUUGCAAGCAGAGCGUCGUGGCGGGAUCUACAUGUGAAGCGGAGUACAUGGCAGCCUCGGAGACAGCGCAUGAAGCAAUUUGGGUGAAGGAGUUCAUCACCGACCUAGGAGUCAUACCCAAUGCAUCGGGGCCGAUCAAACUCUUCUGUGACAACACUGGGGCUAUUGCACUUGCCAAGGAGCCCAGGUUUCACAAGAAGACCAGGCACAUCAAGCGUCGCUUAAACUCCAUUCGUGAAAAUGUUCAAGAUGGAGACAUAGAUAUUUGUAAAGUACAUACGGACCUGAAUGUAGCAGAUCCGUUGACUAAACCUCUCCCUAGAGCAAAACAUGAUCAACACCAGAAUUCCAUGGGUGUUCGAUUCAUCACAAUGUAACUAGAUUAUUGACCCUAGUGCAAGUGGGAGACUGUUGGAAAUAUGCCCUAGAGGCAAUAAUAAAAGGAUUAUUAUUAUAUUUCCUUGUUCAUGAUAAUUCUCUUUUAUUCAUGCUAUAAUUGUGUUAUCCGGAAAUCGUAAUACAUGUGUGAAAUAGACACCAACAUGUCCCUAGUAAGCCUCUAGUUGACUAGCUCGUUGAUCAACAGAUAGUCAUGGUUUCCUGACUAUGGACAUUGGAUGUCAUUGAUAACGAGAUCACAUCAUUAGGAGAAUGAUGUGAUGGACAAGACCCAAUCCUAAACACAGCACAAGAUCGUAUAGUUCAUUUGCUAGAGUUUUUCCAAUGUCAAGUAUCUUUUCCUUAGACCAUGAGAUCGUGUAACUCCCGGAUACCGUAGGAGUGCUUUGGGUGUACCAAACGUCACAACGUAACUGGGUGACUAUAAAUGUAUACUACGGGUAUCUCCGAAAGUGUCUGUUGGGUUGACACGGAUCAAGACUGGGAUUUGUCACUCCGUAUGACGGAGAGGUAUCUCUGGGCCCACUCGGUAAUGCAUCAUCACAAUGAGCUCAAAGUGACCAAGUGUCUGGUCACGGGAUCAUGCAUUACGGUACGAGUAAAGUGACUUGCCGGCAACGAGAUUGAACGAGGUAUUGGGAUACCGACGAUCGAAUCUCGGGCAAGUAACGUACCGAUUGACAAAGGGAAUUGUAUACGGGGUUGCUUGAAUCCUCGACAUCGUGGUUCAUCCGAUGAGGUCAUCGAGGAGCAUGUGGGAGCCAACAUGGGUAUCCAGCCCGCUGUUGGUUAUUGACCGGAGAGCCAUCUCGGUCAUGUCUACAUGUCUCCCGAACCCGUAGGGUCUACACACUUAAGGUUCGGUGACGCUAGGGUUAUAGAGAUAUGAAUAUGCAGUAACCCGAAAAUUGUUUGGAGUCCCGGAUGAGAUCCCGGACGUCACGAGGAGUUCCAGAAUGGUCCGGAGGUGAAGAAUUAUAUAUAGGAAGUGCAGUUUCGGCCAUCGGGAGAGUUUCGGGGGUCACCGGUAUUGUACCGGGACCACCGGAUGGGUCCCGGGGGUCCAUCGGGUGGGACCACCCAUCCCGGAGGGCCCCAUGGGCUGAAGUGGGAAGGGGAACCAGCCCAUAGUGGGCUGGUGCGCCCCCUUGGCCCACCCCCUGCGCCUAGGGUUGGAAACCCUAGGGUGGGGGGGCGCCCCACUUGCCUUGGGGGCCACUCCACCCUUGGCCGCCGCCCCCUAGGAGAUCCCAUCUCCUAGGGCCGGCGCCCCACUUGCCUUGGGGGCCACUCCACCCUUGGCCGCCGCCCCCUAGGAGAUCCCAUCUCCUAGGGCCGGCGCCCCCCCUUGGGAGCCUAUAUAAAGGGGGGAGGGAGGGGCAGCCGCACCCUUGACUCUUGGCGCCUCCCUCUCCCCUGCUACACCUCUCCCUCUCGCAGAAGAACGGCGAAGCCCUGCUGCGAUGACUGCUGCAUCCACCACCACGCCGUCGUGCUGCUGGAUCUUCAUCAACCUCUCCUUCCCCCCUUGCUGGAUCAAGAAGGAGGAGACGUCACGCUAACCAUACGUGUGUUGAACACGGAGGUGUCGUCCGUUCGGCGCUAGGAUCUCCAGUGAUUUGGAUCACGUCGAGUACGACUUCCUCAUCCCCGUUCUUUGAACGCUUCCGCGCGUGAUCUACAAAGGUAUGUAGAUGCAAUCCGAUCACUCGUUGCUAGAUGAACUCAUAGAUGGAUCUUGGUGAAACCGUAGGAAAAAUUUUGUUUUCUGCAACGUUCCCCAACAUAUACGGCCGUGGCUAAAUUUCGUGUUUUGACCCUUUUGACAAACAAAAUCAAAAUCUGACCCCGGUUUGAAAUAUUUUCGGGAUUUGACGCUUUUGCUACCGCCAGAGUCUCUGGCGGUAGGGUUAGACAGCCUACCGCCAACGUCACUGGCGGUAGGGUGUGACGAAGGGGACGGCGGCCGUCGCCGCGUGCUGACGUGGAUAAGUACCCUACCGCCAGGGGCCCUGGCGGUAGGCUGUCUAACCUUACCGCCAGUGCCUCUGGCGGUAAGGUGUGGCAGGGUUUUUCCAUGCAGACAUUCUGUAACAAAAGAUGCAAGGGCCCUGGCGGUAGGUUCACCCUACCGCCAGCCCCCAUGGCGGUAGGUUGUCUGAUCCUACCGCCAGGACCCCUGGCGGUAGGGUCUUGUGUUUUGCCGUAUAGAGCUUCUGUAACGAAAUAUGAAAGGGCCCUGGCGGUAGGUUCACCCUACCGCCAUGGGGGCUGGCGGUAGGUUGUCUAACCCUACCGCCAGGGUGCCUGGCGGUAGGGUCCUCUGUUUUGUUUUUCAAGUUCAUUUGGUUGCUUGUUCUCAAAUUCAUUAUGACAGCAAUAUCACAGCAAGUUUCACAAAUAUGACAGCAAUAUCAUAGAUUUUAAACAAUUAAACUUGGGCAUCACAUAGAUCCAUAUUAAGAUAAAUUGAAGUGCAUAGAACAUUUCAAACACAUAGUUCCACAAAUAGCAAACACAUAGUUCCACGUAGUUUCACAAGCACUAGACAAGUUCAACCAAACGAAGUUCAACCAAACUAAAAGAGCCAAGUAUCGAAGAGCAUAAUCAGUUGCUCCUUCACCUCUUGGAGGUACGGUCCUCGUUACUCUUUGAACGAGUCUCUUCGGUCUUCUUCUUGGGCCGGCGAGGAACCGUUCUCUGGAAAGGGUCCGGACUCAGCAAAUCCUUCUUUUUCGAAUUCCUCUUCGGCAGCUGAGAUGCUUGAGAUGUUUGAGUUGAUGGAGGUCCAUAAUAUUCAUCGUACUCCUCCUCCCCGUUGCUCUCCUCCUCCUCCCCUUCUUCAUGUGUGGCCUCCUCCUCCUUCUCCCCUUCUUCAUGUGUGGCCUCCUCCUCCUCCUCCUCCCCAACCAACCUAGACGACGGGGGAGCAUGGCUCGAUGAGCCGAUGAGACCCUGUGUGGCUACAGGCUGAUAAGCUUCAACUGACCCAGCUCCAGCACACCCAAGCAGCCCUACCAGCUUGCAACAACGCUUCACGAACUUCUGCACUCACAAUGAAACAAGGGCAUAAUAAGUAUCAGAUCGACUGAUUGCAGGUGAACAAGAUGCAUCUGUUCCGACGAGGCUGGAAUUGUACCUUCAUCGUCCCCCUCACUUUGUUCUCAGAUUCUAUGCUCCCGGGGAGAUCACCUAGUGCAUCUGAGGCUUCAAAGAUGCAUCUGUUCAGCUCACCAGACUGCAACGACAUAAGUCAGUCACGAUGACGAAUAAACUAAUUUAAAUACAACCUCGGUUCAAACUUACCACUCUGUUGAUGAGGGGUGCAAACUCCCUAAAUCUACUGUGCAUGUCUCUGAUGCUGGUCUGGUAGGCCUCUUCCUCGGGGUCAUCCCUCUCCAGCUCCGCGAUGUCUUCCGCCGUCCACCGAGGCCUGAGACGAAGACGGUGCUUCUGGCCAUCAUCGUACCACUACAUGUGUCGGCUCAGGUAAGCAUCCCAGUCAGUAACUUUCCUCUCCACGUCUUUACAGAACCUCCGUCGGUUCCACUCCGUCGCAUGAGUUUUAUGCUUCUCUCCCCAGUCUGUGAUCGACCGAUUCUUCUGCCGGCUCAUCCUGCAAGGCAUAAGCAACAAGAAUCAUCAUAAGCACAAUGAGAUCAUCAUAAGCAACAAGAAACGUGAUAAGCGUAAUGAAAUCAUGGGCACGGAGAACAAAGCGCUCACAGGUGGAGCGCGUGGCCGCCGGUAUCGAUGGGCUGGCCUGGUGGGGUAUGCUGAUAAAUCCCAAAUUGUGUGGCCACGCGGUGUGGCAAGUGCCACUCGACGGCGUACACACAUAUCAUGGGCACGAUGCACCGCCAGAGACCACAGUCCGCAUCGCACAUCACGUUCAGAUCAAAGCCCCACUGUCAGUCAUGAUAUGGCCACCAGUUUACCUGUUACAUAUACAUUGGUAAGUUCCCACUCUCGAUCAAAAGUGGAAUCAAAGAGAAAGGUGUUGAGCGAGUUCAUAUACCUGCAUAUGCGUCAAAGCGUCCAACUCGUUGGUGUAGGUCUUGUACGAAGUCUUGUUUAGGCCCGUGUAGAGUUUGACAACGUCCCACUCGUAAGCUACGGUGGGGUGUCGAGUCUCGUCGCCGUCUUCGCUAUAGGCACCCCACGGGCGUCUUGGCAACUUCUUCGGACGCCCCACCGGCAGCCGCUCCUACAUCCAAAUGGAGAAGGCCCAGACAAAGCCACCCAUAUUGGACUUGUCUCCCGUCCUCUGCGUUGCGUCGUCAAGCUGCAAAACAUCAAAUGAGGAUCAAAUAUAAGAAAAUGUCAUGGACACACUUUCGUAGGUAGGUAGGCAAUUAGAUCCUCUCUUACCGAACGGUAUAGGUAGGCGAGAGAUGCGGUCCCCCAACUGUACCCUGCCUCCCAGUCCGCUAGGAAGAAGAGAUACGACCAGUUGGCAGAGUUCCCAGAGCUGUCUGGAAACACGACCUCCAUGAGAAGAUACCACAGGUAGGCCCUCGCAUACCACUCCAUGGUCGUCUCGUCGUCGCCUUUGGGGCAUUUCUGCCGGUGCUCCGAGAGCCAGGUCAGUGGCACACCGGAUGUACAGUUACCCUUGACAGCGGGGCAGUCGCCGAUGAGGUGGAACCGGUCUCACGUAAGCAUACGUGUAAGGUUGGUCCGGGCCGCUUCAUCCCACAAUACCGUCGAAUCAAGAUAAGACUAGUAACGGCAAGCAUAUUGAACAAAAUCAAAGCCCACAACUUCUUUGUGUUCUACUCGUGCAUAGUAACUACGCAUAGACCUAGCUCAUGAUGCCACUGUUGGGGAACGUAGCAUAAAUUCAAAAUUUUCCUACGUGUCACCAAGAUCUAUGUAUGGAGUCAUCUAGCAACGAGGAAGGAGUGGAUCUACAUACCCUUGUAGAUCGCGCGCGGAAGCGUUCAAGAGAACGGGGUUGAUGGAGUCGUACUCGUCGUGAUCCAAAUCACCGAUGAUCGUAGCGCCGAACGGACGGCACCUCCGCGUUCAACACACGUACGGAGCAGCGACGUCUCCUCCUUCUUGAUCCAGCAAGGGGGGAGGAGAUGUUGAUGGAGAUCCAGCAACACGGCGGCGUGGUGGAAGUAGCGGGAUUCCAACAGGGCUUCGCCAAGCGCUGCGGGAGGAGGGAGAUGUGUCAUGGGAGGGAGAGGGAGGCGCCAGGGCUUGGGUAUGGUUUCCCUCCCUUCCCCCCACUAUAUAUAGGGCCAAGGGAGAGGGGGAGGGCGCAGCCUUGCCCCUUCCUCCAAGGAAGGGUGCGGCCAAGGGGGGGAGGAGUCCAUCCUCCCCAAGGCACCUCGGAGGUGCCUUCCCCCUUUAGGACUCUCCCCUCCUCUUGUCCCUUUGGCGCAUGGGCCUCUUGGGGCUGGUGCCCUUGGCCCAUAUAGGCCAAGGCGCACCCCCUACAGCCCAUGUGGCCCCCCGGGGCAGGUGGCCCCACCCGGUGGACCCCCGGGACCCUUCCGGUGGUCCCGGUACAAUACCGAUGACCCCGAAACUUGUCCCGAUGACCGAAAUAGCACUUCCUAUAUAUAAUUCUUUACCUCUGAACCAUUCCGAAACUCCUCAUGACGUCCGGGAUCUCAUCCGGGACUCCGAACAACUUUCGGGUUACCGGAUACUAAUAUCUCUAUAACCCUAGCGUCACUGAACCUUAAGUGUGUAGAUCCUACGGGUUCGGGAACCAUGCAGACAUGACCGAGAUGACUCUCCGGUCAAUAACCAACAACGAGAUCUAGAUACCCAUGUUGGCUCCCACAUGUUCCACGAUGAUCUCAUCAUAUGAACCACGAUGUCAAGGACUUAAUCAAUCCCGCAUACAAUUCCCUUUGUCUAUCGGUAUGUUACUUCCCCGAGAUUCGAUCGUCGGUAUCCCGAUACCUUGUUCAAUCUCGUUACCGGCAAGUCUCUUUACUCGUUUCGUAACAUAUCAUCCCGUGAUCAACUCCUUGAUCACAUUGUGCACAUUAUGAUGAUGUCCUACCGAGUGGGCCCAGAGAUACCUCUCCGUUUACACGGAGUGAUAAAUCCCAGUCUCGAUUCGUGCCAACCCAACAGACACUUUCGGAGAUACCUGUAGUGUUCCUUUAUAGCCACCCAGUUACGUUGUGACGUUUGGCACACCCAAAGUAUUCCUACGGUAUCCGGGAAUUGCACAAUCUCAUGGUCUAAGGAAAUGAUACUUGACAUUAGAAAAGCUUUAGCGAACGAACUACACGAUCCUUGUGCUAGGCUUAGGAUUGGGUCUUGUCCAUCACAUCAUUCUCCUAAUGAUGUGAUCCCGUUAUCAACGACAUCCAAUGUCCAUGGUCAGGAAACCGUAACCAUCUAUUGAUUAACGAGCUAGUCAACUAGAGGCUUACUAGGGACAUGGUGUUGUCUAUGUAUCCACACAUGUAUCUGAGUUUCCUAUCAAUACAAUUCUAGCAUGGAUAAUAAACGAUUAUCAUGAACAAGGAAAUAUAAUAAUAACUAAUUUAUUAUUGCCUCUAGGGCAUAUUUUCAACACAUGCAUCAUAUCAAAAUAAAAUUUUAAGCAUAUUCCUCCAACAGCAACUACUACACAUGAUGGAUCAAAUCAUAUCAACAUGCAUCAUAUCAAAAAAUAUCCUCCAACAUACAUCAUAUCAUCAUAUUUUUAAAUAAAUUUUUCCAAACAACAUCUUCAUAUCAUCAUAUCAACAUGCAUCAUCAAACUAGGGGUCAUCUUCACACUAGAUCAUAUCAUCAUAUCAACAUGCAUCAUCAAACUAGGGUUCAUCCUCAUAUCAACAUUACAUCAUAAUUUUUUUAACAAAAGAAAAUUAUAAACUAGGGUUCAUCUUCACACUAACAUAUGAACUAUUGAUUAGAGUUCAUAUCCAAUACCACUAGUUACUGAAGAACUAAGAACUACAACUACAAUCAAUCUUAGGUGAAAAAAAAUCCAAUCUAAGUUAAAAAAUAUGAGGGAUUUCAAGCAAAUAAUGUGUCGAAUCGGAAGCAAAUUUGCAAAAACUAAUUGGAGGGAUUGGAGGAGCUUACGUUUCUCUCUUCGGGGCCAUCUCGAUCCGCAAAAACGAUCAACAAACGAUGAAGAUCCGAGAAAGGGAGUGGAGAAGAUGAGAGAGGAAGAGAGGGGCGACUUGGGGGAGAAAAAGAAGAAAUGCCGACGGGGGGAGGGGGAGGGGNNNNNNNNNNNNNNNNNNNNNNNNNNNNNNNNNNNNNNNNNNNNNNNNNNNNNNNNNNNNNNNNNNNNNNNNNNNNNNNNNNNNNNNNNNNNNNNNNNNNNNNNNNNNNNNNNNNNNNNNNNNNNNNNNNNNNNNNNNNNNNNNNNNNNNNNNNNNNNNNNNNNNNNNNNNNNNNNNNNNNNNNNNNNNNNNNNNNNNNNNNNNNNNNNNNNNNNNNNNNNNNNNNNNNNNNNNNNNNNNNNNNNNNNNNNNNNNNNNNNNNNNNNNNNNNNNNNNNNNNNNNNNNNNNNNNNNNNNNNNNNNNNNNNNNNNNNNNNNNNNNNNNNNNNNNNNNNNNNNNNNNNNNNNNNNNNNNNNNNNNNNNNNNNNNNNNNNNNNNNNNNNNNNNNNNNNNNNNNNNNNNNNNNNNNNNNNNNNNNNNNNNNNNNNNNNNNNNNNNNNNNNNNNNNNNNNNNNNNNNNNNNNNNNNNNNNNNNNNNNNNNNNNNNNNNNNNNNNNNNNNNNNNNNNNNNNNNNNNNNNNNNNNNNNNNNNNNNNNNNNNNNNNNNNNNNNNNNNNNNNNNNNNNNNNNNNNNNNNNNNNNNNNNNNNNNNNNNNNNNNNNNNNNNNNNNNNNNNNNNNNNNNNNNNNNNNNNNNNNNNNNNNNNNNNNNNNNNNNNNNNNNNNNNNNNNNNNNNNNNNNNNNNNNNNNNNNNNNNNNNNNNNNNNNNNNNNNNNNNNNNNNNNNNNNNNNNNNNNNNNNNNNNNNNNNNNNNNNNNNNNNNNNNNNNNNNNNNNNNNNNNNNNNNNNNNNNNNNNNNNNNNNNNNNNNNNNNNNNNNNNNNNNNNNNNNNNNNNNNNNNNNNNNNNNNNNNNNNNNNNNNNNNNNNNNNNNNNNNNNNNNNNNNNNNNNNNNNNNNNNNNNNNNNNNNNNNNNNNNNNNNNNNNNNNNNNNNNNNNNNNNNNNNNNNNNNNNNNNNNNNNNNNNNNNNNNNNNNNNNNNNNNNNNNNNNNNNNNNNNNNNNNNNNNNNNNNNNNNNNNNNNNNNNNNNNNNNNNNNNNNNNNNNNNNNNNNNNNNNNNNNNNNNNNNNNNNNNNNNNNNNNNNNNNNNNNNNNNNNNNNNNNNNNNNNNNNNNNNNNNNNNNNNNNNNNNNNNNNNNNNNNNNNNNNNNNNNNNNNNNNNNNNNNNNNNNNNNNNNNNNNNNNNNNNNNNNNNNNNNNNNNNNNNNNNNNNNNNNGAUGGGGCACAAGGGCGGGGAGACUCGCAAGGAGCAGCUCGGGGAGGAGGGGUACCGCGAGAUGGGGCGCAAGGGCGGGCUGAGCACCAUGGAGGAGUCUGGUGGCGAGCGCGCCGCCAGGGAGGGCAUCGAGAUCGAUGAGUCCAAGUUCAAGACCAAGUCCUAAGUAAUGUAGGUCAAGAUGUCCCAGUGUCUAGCUGAGUAGCUAGCUAGUAGUGAGCAAGCUGUCUGCUCAUGUUUGUAGUAAUGAAUAAUGUAGGUCAAGGUCAGGUCUUGGCAUGACGAGAGCACGCAUGUAGGCGAUCGCAUGUACUGUUAUCAUGUGUGCGUUAGGUGUCUUAGCUUGUAGUAGUGACCAUGUGUUCUUCAGGUGUCCUAGCUUGUAGUAGGUGUCGUUGUGGCCCGUGAGUCAGCUUGCUAAUGUAUGUGAGUCGUUGUUAAAUCAGGUCGAUGUUGAAUCAGAACGUGGGCUCUUAAAUUGUUUUCUUGAACUGGGUAGAGAGAAACAACUCCCGGCCGUACUGGUACAUGAACAAAUGGUUGCUGGUUGGCAUCAUCGAUGGCAAGGUAUUUCCGAGGAACGACAUGGGAGGAGGGAUGCACGGCCGAGGAUGAGGGCCUCGGGUGUGGGGAAGCAGAAAGAGCAUGUGCCACAUUGGUCGGUGCAUAGUCUAUGUUGGUGUGGGUUAGGUUUAGGGCCAUGAAUGACAUCUUGGCAAGCAGAAGAGCAUGUGCCACAUUGGUCGGUGCAUAGUCGAUGUUGUUGUGGAUUAGGGUUUAGGGCCAUGAAUGACAUCUGGGCAAGCAGAAGAGCAUGUGCCACAUUGGACGGUGCAUGACUAGUUGAUGUUGGUGUGGGUCAGGCCGUUAGGGUUUACGGCCAUGAAUGACAUCUAGUUAAGCAUUGCAAGAAAAUAUAGCACGGCCAAUGCCAUCUGCUUAAGCAUUGCAAGAAAAUAUAGCACGGCCAUGUGACUAUUUACAAAUUUUCUAAGUAUAAUGAUAUCCAUUAUCUCAGGAUUUUUUUCCCUUUUGUAAAUUUGCCAUGUGAUGACUGCAACAUUUUCAAAAUUUGCCAUGCUCUAGAGAAACAUUUCCCCCCUUAAUUUGCCAUGUGACUAUUAAAAAAACCUAAAUCGUUGCCAUGAUUUUAGGAAACACAAUUUGUGCCAUGUGAUCAGUAUAAACAUUUCAAACUUUACCAUGUUCUAGAGAACAAAUUUUCUUAAAUUUUGCCAUGUGAAUAUCUUACAUUUUUUCCUAAAUCUUGCUAUGAUUUAGGAAUUAAAAUUAUCUCAAUUUUUAAGCUAACACUGCAAACCUUUCCAAGUUUACCAUUUUUUAGAAAACAAAAUUUCUUAAAUUUCACGUCUGACUAAUCUUUUCAACAAAAUUUGUAAAUCUUACCAUGGUUUAGUAGUCGAAAAUAUCUCAAUUUCCAUGUGACCAUGGCAACUCAUUUGAUUGUUUCUAUUUUUUUUCCUAUUUAUUCCCCUACAUUGUGGGAACUUCCGAANNNNNNNNNNNNNNNNNNNNNNNNNNNNNNNNNNNNNNNNNNNNNNNNNNNNNNNNNNNNNNNNNNNNNNNNNNNNNNNNNNNNNNNNNNNNNNNNNNNNNNNNNNNNNNNNNNNNNNNNNNNNNNNNNNNNNNNNNNNNNNNNNNNNNNNNNNNNNNNNNNNNNNNNNNNNNNNNNNNNNNNNNNNNNNNNNNNNNNNNNNNNNNNNNNNNNNNNNNNNNNNNNNNNNNNNNNNNNNNNNNNNNNNNNNNNNNNNNNNNNNNNNNNNNNNNNNNNNNNNNNNNNNNNNNNNNNNNNNNNNNNNNNNNNNNNNNNNNNNNNNNNNNNNNNNNNNNNNNNNNNNNNNNNNNNNNNNNNNNNNNNNNNNNNNNNNNNNNNNNNNNNNNNNNNNNNNNNNNNNNNNNNNNNNNNNNNNNNNNNNNNNNNNNNNNNNNNNNNNNNNNNNNNNNNNNNNNNNNNNNNNNNNNNNNNNNNNNNNNNNNNNNNNNNNNNNNNNNNNNNNNNNNNNNNNNNNNNNNNNNNNNNNNNNNNNNNNNNNNNNNNNNNNNNNNNNNNNNNNNNNNNNNNNNNNNNNNNNNNNNNNNNNNNNNNNNNNNNNNNNNNNNNNNNNNNNNNNNNNNNNNNNNNNNNNNNNNNNNNNNNNNNNNNNNNNNNNNNNNNNNNNNNNNNNNNNNNNNNNNNNNNNNNNNNNNNNNNNNNNNNNNNNNNNNNNNNNNNNNNNNNNNNNNNNNNNNNNNNNNNNNNNNNNNNNNNNNNNNNNNNNNNNNNNNNNNNNNNNNNNNNNNNNNNNNNNNNNNNNNNNNNNNNNNNNNNNNNNNNNNNNNNNNNNNNNNNNNNNNNNNNNNNNNNNNNNNNNNNNNNNNNNNNNNNNNNNNNNNNNNNNNNNNNNNNNNNNNNNNNNNNNNNNNNNNNNNNNNNNNNNNNNNNNNNNNNNNNNNNNNNNNNNNNNNNNNNNNNNNNNNNNNNNNNNNNNNNNNNNNNNNNNNNNNNNNNNNNNNNNNNNNNNNNNNNNNNNNNNNNNNNNNNNNNNNNNNNNNNNNNNNNNNNNNNNNNNNNNNNNNNNNNNNNNNNNNNNNNNNNNNNNNNNNNNNNNNNNNNNNNNNNNNNNNNNNNNNNNNNNNNNNNNNNNNNNNNNNNNNNNNNNNNNNNNNNNNNNNNNNNNNNNNNNNNNNNNNNNNNNNNNNNNNNNNNNNNNNNNNNNNNNNNNNNNNNNNNNNNNNNNNNNNNNNNNNNNNNNNNNNNNNNNNNNNNNNNNNNNNNNNNNNNNNNNNNNNNNNNNNNNNNNNNNNNNNNNNNNNNNNNNNNNNNNNNNNAUAAAAGGGCCACGCCGGUGCCUCAUGCCCUCAUCCUUCAUCAGCAUCAGGCAAUCACCAACACCUUACAAGCAGUCACACAACGUUUCCCAGCUGAGGUUGUGGUAGCAAGGCAGAGAGAGCAAUGGCUUCCGGCCAGCAGGAGAGGUCGCAGCUGGACCGCAAGGCCCGCGAGGGCGAGACCGUCGUCCCCGGCGGCACCGGCGGGAAGUCCCUCGAGGCGCAGCAGAACCUCGCCGAAGGUACGUGCAUGCGUGAGAAAUGUCGUUGUACUAUACUCGAGCGAUCUGUGGCUUCCAAUACUGAUUGCUAGUAUUGCUGUAUUUGUGCAGGGCGCAGCCGUGGCGGGCAGACUCGCAGGGAGCAGAUGGGGGAGGAGGGGUACAGCGAGAUGGGUCGCAAGGGCGGGCUGAGCACCAACGACGAGUCCGGCGGCGAGCGCGCGGCCAGGGAGGGCAUCGACAUCGACGAGUCCAAGUUCAAGACCAAGUCCUAGAUGAUCCGUUAGCCUAGCAAGCAAGAUGACUCUGCUUAGGUCGGCUGUUGGUUUGCCCUAGCGUCCACGUACCGAAUAAUGUAGUUCAGGCGCACGUAGGCGAUCGUACGUAGUAUCAUCAUGUGUGCUUCGUAACCGGUAGUCCGUAGCUACUCUACGGUGAGUAGCGUCAGGUCAAGUCGGAAGCUGUGGCUUGGUCAGGUGGCUGGUCUGCCUCUGGGCCCAGGAGUGUCUACAGUGUCCACUGUAUCCUUGCUUCUUCAGUAAUGUAUGUCGUCUUGCUCAAAUAUGUCUUGUCUCGUCUGAUCUGUGUUGAUUCCUGGUGCUACUGGGUGUAGACCUUGUUGCUCGUAGAGCUAUCACCGGCUCAGAACACCAUGAGCAGUCGCUGACUGCCAAACCAUGCAUGAACGUGUACCUUCAUGGCUUUGCUCCGCACCUGCGUCUAUACAUUUGACACGAAAGAUGAAAUACCAGAGCAGAACGAUCGAUCUCUCAGACAUGACCCAGAUGCGGGGAGCACUUGAUCAAGUCCGAGCGUUUCCGAUCCCUGCCUGUCAUGUCGCGGUUAUCGCUUGCUGUUGGUAGUGGGGGUGAUCAAGGGGGAGCCGUUGAGGAUCCUGCCCACCCGAAGCUUUCCAACGGCGGCGCGAUCGUGGACUUCAGGCCAUCUGGGAAUUUUGCAGGUUUUCAGAGGGCGGUUCCAAGCAAUGGCAAUGGACUGUCGGAGGAAGAUGGUCUACCAGUUGGAGAGGAUGCGCACAUCGGGGAUGAAGCGAACAUGGACGACGUUGCCUUUGUUGCAGUGGACUUUGAGGAGGAGGAUGAAAACAUCGAGCCGGGUUGGAAGCUGAUGAGCCUAUACAGAUCACAGAAACGGCCAAGCGCGAAGACGCUGUCGGAUCACUUUGAGAAAAUUUGGCAGCUACGUACAGGAGUUGAGUUUAAGCCCGUACAGAAAAAUUACUUUGUGGUCUUUUUUCUCUGAAGGAGACUACAGAUUCGUUGCUAGGGGAGGGCCAUGGAUAUAUGAUGGAGAUGCUUUGUUGUCAGGAUGUAAAUGGUCAGUCCGCUGAGGUUGUGGGACUGCCCGCACUGGCCACAACUUUUUAUGUGGGAUUACGUGGGAGCCCAGUUAAUUUUCAUGCGGGGCAUGUGGCGUCCACAUACUGCCGCAAUAUACAAAAGAUCACUGGAACUUCCACACUGACAUACAAAGCAUGUGGCGUCUGGAAGUAUAUACAUAUGUACAAAAAGUAUGACAAAAACAAAUGGCAGUAGAUACAAAGUGAGAAUGGAUAAUAUUAGCCCACAUUGACAUACAUAUGUAAAAAAGUAUGACAAAAACAAAUGGCAGUAGAUACAAAGUGAAAAUGGAUAAUAUUAGCCCACAUUGACAUAAUGAUCGCUACUAAUUAUCACUAGUGAGUUCGAGCUUCAUUUAGUAGUCGCCUCUAGAAUAACAAAAUCCACAAAGCAACGGCAACUUAACUAAAAACACCUAUCAAAGCAGCAGAAAUAUUUUCUGUAUGUGAACAAAAAGGAAUAUGUAAUACACUUCCCAUCCUUCAUAUCCCAAAAUUAACAGAAAGCACCUAGAGUCCUAGACUCAAAACGGCACCAAAUGAUAAAACUAUCAGCUAAGAGCAUCUUCCAUUUUUCUGUCAGCUUUCACAAAGCUAUGCUCACUGGUCUUUCACGUGAUUAAUCGGAAUCAGAAUGGUCCCAGGAUUGGCCUCAUCUUCGGUCCACUCAACUGAUUUUUUCUCCAGAAACAUCUCAACCUGCGGUCAUUCAAGUUUAUUAAUAAGUUAUAUAAGAUAUACAGUACUAUCUACAUGAAAAAGAAACAAGGAUAAGAAGUAAGCAGGGUUCCUUAAAUCAUAAGCAUACACCAGUGUGUAUUUCCCUUCCCUAAAAUGAUUGUUAAUCAACAUUGUCGAGGAGGGAAGCAAAACCAUCAAGAAUAAAAAGUGCAUAUAGCUAGCACCACAAUCUUUAAAAAAUGCAGAUAGCUAGCAACAAAUUCACAAUAGGCAAUGAUCUUAAAUUAAUAUUCUAACCAAUAAGAGUCCUUAAUGAGUAUUAUUGCGACCAGAUCUUGAUAGCAUAAUUGCAAGGAUGAUAAAUACAUACAAGUUAGCAGCAUACACAAUUUAUACUCAGAGCGCAACUCGAAACUAUGGACGUAAAAGAAACCAGAUUUAACUCAAAUGCUCCCCAAAUUUACCCAAAGCUUGCUACAAUUGAACAAUUGAUUAGCAAUAUUAUGUAGUGCACACAUACCUCAGUUAAUAGUAGUGACCUUGAUCAGGAGUAUUGGCAUGCUUACCAUUACAUCUAAACCAAUCUUGAAGGCAGAUUAAGGCUUCCACUGUCUCGCUGCACAAUCUACUUCUGUAAUCGCUGAUCAAACGCUUUCCGGUAUUGAAAGCCGACUCUGACGAUACGACGGAAGCUUGUACAACAAGAACAUCACAAGCUAUACAAGAAAGGAUGGGAUACUUAGACGAGUGAAGAUGCCACCAUUGAAGAAUGUUGAAUCCUCCGUGCGAGUGAAUGUGUCUUCUUCUAAGUAUCUGGCAAGCUCACUAGUAGAUUGGCGUUGCUUCUUAUUCAAGUGUUGGUCCCAAUCCGCCAACGGAUCAUUCUCUUCAUUCACAACCUCAUCAAAUUUUGUCGGGGUGCUGACUCAUCCAAUGCAUCCGUCAUUUGUGAAGAAUAUUCUUCGAAAAGGUUGUCAAGAACUUCUUUCACUGUAAGCAAGAGUCUUUCUACAUCUGGACCAAAAGCUUGUUUUAGUCGAAACUCGAUGAAGCAAAGUUUAAAUCGUGGACCAAGGAUCACAGGAAUACAGUUUGGCAAAUAUGAUUCCAUCCAAUACUUAUCAAACUUUUUUUGCAUCUCUCCAACCAUUGCUCGAACGACUUCAUCCUUUGUUGAAGCUUCCUUCCGCAGCAAUAACCUCACAUUCCAGAUUUGAUGAAAGUACAAAUUUGAGGUAGAAUAACUUGAACCAGAAAGUACAUUGGUUUGAAAUCCCUCCAAACAGCAGAAGUUAGCCUUCUUGUCUUGCAGACUGUUAAUUGGCAAGCAAAUAAAAUGUCAACUCACAAGAACAUUUUAAACUUGUAACUACAUACAAGUGUAAUUACAAAAGAGAAAAAACAAAGCCAACUCACCAUGUGGAUGAUUAAUUUUUGAGCCUCCAAAUGGAGUAGUCACUGGAGAAGGGGAUCCUAAGAUAGAUGGUGAUCUCGCGGACGAAUUUGCCCUCUCCUCCAAUGGGGAACUUGCAAUCCUCGUUGAGGGAGACCUGCCCCUUUUUGAGGAUGCAACUCUUGCUAGAAGACCAAGGGAAGAUCUCCACGUGCUCGCCACCGGUGACCUUACCAAUGGUGAUCUUGUCGCUCUUUGACUAUGUGUCAUAGGUGGAGAAUCUCGUCUCUAGAUAACAAAACACAGAAAGUUCAGAACAUGCUAUCAAUUUCAAGAAGGUAUAAAAGCAGAUUUGUGGUUUAGAGUGAGGUUUAAUAGAGAAAUCUGGCAAGAAAAAUGACCUGUAGCUCCUCUGUUGUAGCUCCUUGAACAAAUUCAGAACAGUUCAUUGAACGAGCAUGUUUCCUCUUCCCCUGCAACUCCUCCUCCUCCUGCAACUCCUCCUCCUGGUUUUUCCUCUUCUUCUCUUGCUUCUUCCUCUUCUCUUUCCUCUUCUCUUUCCUCUUCUCUUCCAGGCUUUUCUUUCUCGUCUUAUGCCUUCGUUUUUCCUUCCGCCUUUCUAAUCAGUAACGCAAACACAGGAGGUCAAAAAAAAUAUCAAAGAAUACAAGUAAUGUCACGGGGAAACACAUGAGGGCCGGAUACUUACUUCCGUUCCUCAUCGAUAGCAUUCCACACAUGUUGUUCCUGCUCCAUGGCUUCCCACUUUUCAGCUUGCUUGUCGAUCGUCAACACCAUUUGGUCAUCGACAUCACCCAUGGUAACUUCCAUCAAAUCUGCAUUGAAUGUCCAAUGAAUGCUAAAUUUAACUAGCAAUCAGAACAAAUGGACGCAACCGUAGAAUUGUUCUAUUUGCUUUCUUCAGACACAAUACAAGAUUUCACCAUUAACACACAAAUUUAGCAUACACCGAACUCCUAUAGCGAGUAGUUACAGAGACAUUCUAAUUCUGACCGCCAGAGCAAGAUAUACUUUGAUAUUUUUACAAUUAAUAUCUGGAAAUACAAGAAUGAUUACAAUUAAUAUUCACAUGCCAGUGUGAUAUGUAUUGUACAACUUGUUUAGAAUUUAGAGGGAUGUUUUUACAGGUGCAAUGCUCUUGCAACUAGUUUCGUACGAAUCACAACGACGUUUUGCUAGCUGCUCCUCUGACUAAUUCCUUUUUAUAGACCAUUCUACCUACUCCAAAUAAUUUCUCGGUUCAUGCAUUGAUUGUUCUGCAAAAACAUGCAUCGGGAUACCUGUGGCAGCGUGAGGAAGCUUUCAUUCAAAUCAUCAAAUGAUCGCCAGAAUCCGCAUGCUAUAUGGAAAUACCCUGUAAUGUACUUGCCUGUACACUCUUGAUAAAGUCAAUGACCACCACACCCCCCUGCCUUGGUCCCCAUAAUCGAGAAAUAUAUGGACAGCAGUAAGUAACGAAUGCUAAUCUACUAGAAGAUUGUACAGUAGUAUCGGGCAAAGAUAACCAAGAACCAUCUAAUUCGCCACUUGGAGUAGUACGUGUAUAGUCGUGUUUGCAUUGCCCACUCAUCACUACACAGCCAAAUUAGAGUAGUGCAUAGCUUGGCACUGUCCGCAUCUGUACUAGGAUCUUUUGGUCCUUCGAUCUUAACUAAGUACCACUAAAUAGUCUUUAAUUGUGCUGUUCCUCUGAUAUACAGAGAGAUUCUAAUUCUGACCACGAGAGCAAGAGAUUCGUACGAAACUAGUUGCAAGAGCAUUGCACCUGUAAAAACAUCCCUCUGAAUUCUAAACAAGUUAUACAAUACGUAUCACAUUGGCAUGUGGAUAUUAAUUUACAGUUCAUAACAAUAUAUCAAUUAACAAAGUUGCGGCCACAAGGGAGUGGACCAAGUACUAUCUCAAGUACCUAACAAAUGCCGGACGGCGGAUUCACAAUAAAUUGUAGAGAAGCUCAUCGUCUAUAGAUUCAGCAAGCUACUCACAUCCACACAUAAUAGUAAUAUCUAACAGGCUACUCACAUUCAGUAUAGCUGAUGCACAACAAAACAUGGAUCACAACUGGUGUAGCUGAUUCACAUCAAGCAAUUGAAGAAGACAUGCCUGGCCCCUUGGGGUAGAAUAGGAGGAGGGGGGAUUUUGCAUACCUUGGGGUAGAAUAGGAGGAGGCGGGGGAGCAGGGGCCGAAGAGGCCAUCACCGGGAUUGGGGAGGGAGCAGCCACGCAGGGCUCGGCUUGGUCCCCGGCUAUCCCCUUUGAUGGCGGCGGAGGAGCAGGAGCUGAAGAGGGCGUCGGCAGGAUAGGGGAGAGAGCAGAGGAGUCAUCCUCGCAAGGCUUGGCUCGGUCGCCGGCGAUGUCCUUGGACGACGGCCUCUUCGAGAAACACGACAGCGACGGUGGCUCCAUGGGAUUGGAAGCGGGAGGUGGUGCCGCACCACUGGUGCGGUGGAGAUGGCGGCGAGGGCGCCCUAGCCUAGGGCAUGGGGUGACUGGGGAAGGACGCGAAGGGGGGAUUGUGGACUACCGCUGGCUCGAUAGGCUUUUCUGGGCUAUCCACUUGCGCCGUUUAAUUUUUCUGGGUGUCCACAAAUGCCACAUAACCUUUUUUUGUGGAUGGCAUAUGUGGGACUAAUGGGACCCAGCGCCACUUACAUCCUGACUUUGUUGGUGGCUCCGUUUGUAGAAGAUGCUCAUCCGUCUGAAACUAUAAGAGCAUCUCCAACAGGCGCCGUGCCGCAAAAUCCCCCCGCGCAACCCGGCGGAUGGCUCCAGCGGGCGCGCAAUAACCGCGCGCGCGGUAUAAGCAGUUGGGCGCGCGUGGAUGCGGUUCAUCACGUGGUGUAUUUGCGGCCCCGCUUCCGCGCGCGGCACACUCGACGCUCGCGCUGCGCGCUCUUCUUCUCCCCCUCCAAAGCCCCGCGCGCGCCGGCGCCGGCGACCCGCACCCAUGGACGCACGCGCCGGCACCUCGCUCACCCCGUCCUUAGCCGCGACCCCCUCGCCCCCGCCGCCGCCACCGCCACAAACCCUAGCCCGGGUGGCGUUGGCCUCGCCGCCGCCGGGGCUCCUCUUCAUGCCGCCGCGGAUGACCUCGGCGGCGGGUGGCGUCGCGCCGGCACCGGCCCGAGCCGCCGCCCCCUCCUCCUCAAAGCUCCCCAAUGCGGCGCAGCCAAAGAUUUUAAACUUGGUUGGAUGAACUUGUGGGCAUGAUUUUAAACUUGUGGGCAUGAACUUCAUCAAUUUGUUUGUGUGAAAUUUCUAUUGUGUUGAAAAUGUUCAUCAUUUUGUGUUGAAAAAUGCCAUAUGCAAUGCACCGGCGGGUCGCGCGCGCUACAUUUUGGCGCGCUGCUGGAGCGACGCGCGCGCGCUGCAUUUUAGCGCGGCCGCUGGAGCCAGCGUUGCGCACCGCGCCAAACCAGCCGAUGCGCGCGCCGCAUAUGUGUUUUUUGCGCGCGGCGUGACCGGCGCCAGUUGGAGAUGCUCUAAUGGAUUCAGUCUAUGUGUGGGUGCGUGUCUUUGAUGUGCCUUGGAAUAAACAAACCAGGCCAUAUGGGAACGCCUUGGGUGGCACCCUGGGAGAGGUGUUGGAGGUUGAUGCUCCGGAAGUUGGACAUGGCACUAGCGAAUUUUUGAGGAUCAGAGUUAAGCUGCCAUAUAACAGGAGGUUGCAGAAGGAGGUUACUAGAAUAUACUGUCAGAGGAGUAACAAAACGAUCUACUUUUAAACUGAAGUAAGAGCGUGUACCACACUUCUGUUUCUUCUGUGGUUUUCUAGGCCAUGAUGAAGAUGUGAGUGAGAAGAAGAGGCUUGGGCUGCCAUCUAAAGCCUAUGAUUCCACGCUCCGUUGUUCCCCGUUUAAGAAGUAUGAGCAAAGACCAGCAUAUACAGCGUCGCCGGGCCAGCCAAGGGCGCGCCGUGUGUUGGACUUUUCCUUGGGCCGUGCUGGUUCUACUACACGGCAAUCCGCUUCUUCUUCAGCGAGAAGUGAGUCUAGACAUAAUCCAUUUAUACCAGAUAGGGUUGAUGCCCAUGAUGGGUUUGAGAACAGAGAAGGAUCAGGUGAGACGGCGGCUGUUAUUCAGCUUGCAGAUGAGGUGGAGGCGCUCCGUCUGAGGCUGGCCAAAGAGAAACCAGAGUGCAGUCAAUCUCACCGGAUAAAGAUUCAUUUUGAAGCAAAAGCUAUGUACAAACAGACUGAACUACAACCCAAAUCUCACAAGAAGAGAAGUACUGGUAAGAAAGUUGUGGCAGCAAGGACGCCAGGCACUCUAGUUAUCAAGGAAAAAGAACCUACUUCGGAUGUCAUGAAUCCAACAUUACGGGGUGUUGAUUUUUUGGAUAAAUCUUUUGGUACAGCGGUGGACUUGAUGGUAUACAAUGAUUCCAUCUUGGGAAAACGUCAUGUUGCAGGAUUGUUUGGUUAUGGGCAGGAUGCGCAACUUGACAAAGCUAUGGUGCCGUUCGUUGAUGUUCCAACAGGAGGUAGUCUGAAGAAAGGGAAAAUUGAAGGUCAACAGCAAGAGGAGGAAGUAACCAGCAAAGGGAGUGAGGUGGACAUGGAGGCAGCUGGCCUAGCUAGGGGCCGCCAGUGAUCUGACGGGGCCUUUAGCGCCCCGUCAGACGCAAUGAAUUGCUUAAGUUGGAACUGUUGAGGGGCGGGGAACCUUCGCACAGUUCGUGAUCUUGUAGCACUUGUGGGUGCUCAUUCCCCAAAAGUGGUCUUUCUGUGUGAAACUAGACAACCAAAAGAAAAGAUGUAUCGUCUUCGUAAUCGUUUAGGCUUAGUUGGUUUUGAAGGAGUUAGUAGUGAUGGUCGUAGUGGUGGUCUAGCUUUAUUUUGGCACGAGUUUGUAUCCCUGGUUGUUCAAGAGGCUAAAAAUAGAUGGAUUGAUGCUUAUGUCCGCUUGUCACCUGAUGAUCCUUUGUGGUGUGUCACCUUUGUGUCUGGCGAGCCACGAGUGGAAAAUAGACAUUUUAUGUGGGACUCUUUGAGGAGGUUGUCAAGACACAGUACACUUUCAUGGAUGUUAGUUGGCGACUUUAAUGAAGCUAUGUGGGAUUAUGAACACAUGUCAGAAACACCAAGGGCACCGGGUCAGAUGUUGAGUUUCAGAGAUGCUUUGGAAACAUGUGCGCUGAUUGAUAUGGGCUUCAUGGGUUAUCCCUUUACCUAUGAUAAUAGGCGGGGUGGUAGAGCCAAUGUUCAGGUGAGAUUGGACAGAGCAGUGGCCACUAAUACUUGGAGGGAUAUGUUUGCUGAUGCUGUUGUACGUCACCUGGUCUCACUGGCGUCAGACCAUUGUCCAGUGUUGGUCUCAUGUAUUUUGGAUACGGCCCCUCGGCCGGGCCGAUGUCGCCGUUAUGAAUUGAUGUGGGAAAGAGAUCAUGCUCUUAAUGAGGUAGUGGCGGAAGCAUGGGGUGCAGCAGGAACUAAAAGAAACUUAAGUGAUGUUCAAAAGGCUCUCGGCCAGGUGAUGGGUAAGUUGCAUACUUGGAGUACUAAAAAAUUUGGGAAUGUUACAAGACAACUUGAGAAAUCUAGAUCAAGAUUGGAGGAACUGAUGCUUAUGAAUGCGGACAGGGCAGAUAUUAGGAAGCACAUGGACGAAAUGAAUGAACUUUUAUUUAGGGAGGAGAUGUUGUCGUUACAGCGCUCGCGCAUUGCUUGGCUCAAGGAGGGGGGCAGGAACACUAAGUUUUUUCACAGAAAAGCGGUGUGGCGAGCCAGAAAGAAUGCAGUAUGAGGACUAUUGGAUGCUAAUGAUGUUUGGCAAACUAAUAAAAACGUGAUGUUGGAUAUGGCCCGUACCCAUUUUAUGCAAGUAUUUACAGUUGAUCCGAACGUCAACCCAGAAGAAGUAGUGAAUCUAUUCCAAGCUAAAAUAACGGAUGAUAUGAAUACUGCUCUUUGUGCUCCAUUCACAGAUAAGGAAAUAGGCGAUGCGUUGUUCCAGAUUGGGCCACUAAAAACCCCAGGUCCAGACGGAUUUCCAGCUUGAUUUUUUCAGCGGAAUUGGGCUUUAAUGAAAGAGGAUGUAAUGGUGGCUGUCAGGUUGUUCUUUGAGACUGGACACAUGCCGGAUGAGGUAAACUCAACUACUAUUGUGCUUAUUCCUAAGGUUGCGAAUCCAAAGAAGCUAAAUGAGUUCAGACCAAUCAGUCUAUGUAGCGUAGUUUACAAGGUCAUCUCCAAGUGUCUGGUAAAUCGUUUGAGACCUCUCCUUGAUGUUAUUGUUGCUCCUGAGCAGAGCGCCUUCAUCCCUGGUAGACUUAUUACAGAUAAUGCUUUCAUAGCUUUUGAGUGUAUGCAUACAAUCAAACAGGAAAGGAAUCAGGAGAAUAGUUUUUGUGCUUACAAGCUGGACCUAUCAAAGGCAUAUGACAGGGUAGACUGGAAUUUCCUGGAGCGAAUGAUGCAAUAGUUGGGUUUUCAUCACCGGUGGAUACAGUGGAUUAUGGCGUGUGUAACCUCGGUGAGAUAUAGCGUUAAACUAAAUGGAGCUAUCUCAGAUUCGUUCGCACCGUCGCGUGGACUUAGGCAGGGUGACCCUCUAUCCCCGUUUUUGUUUUUGUUCAUAGCUGAUGGACUUGAUGCUAUUUUGAAACAGAAGGUCAGACAAGGAAGGAUUUCUCCUAUUCAUGUGUGUCCAAGGGCGCCAGGUAUCUCACACCUCCUAUUCGCAGACGACACAUUAAUGUUUUUCCGUGCUACUCAGGAAGAAGCUACCCAGGUGGGAGAUGCACUGGCUAUUUAUGAGCGCAUCACGGGACAAUUCAUUAACCCGGCAAAAUGUUCUAUUUUAUUUGGCCCAUGUUGUGGUGACAACGACAAGCAUGAGGUUGUGCAUACCUUGCAGGUUCAGACGGUGGGAUUUGACGAUAAGUAUCUCAGUCUCCCCACACCAUCUGGUAGAAUGUCGAAGAGCAAGUUUCAAAAUCUACAAGAGCAACUUACUAAGCGUAUCUUACAGUGGGGAGAAGCGCCGUCAUAAGGGGGCAAAGAAAUUUUCAUUAAGGCGGUUGCACAGUCCCUACCUACAUAUAUCAUGGGGAUUUUUCGUUUGCCCCAGAGUGUUUGUGAUGAUCUUACUCGCAUGGUACGCAAUUUUUGGUGGGGGGCCAAGGAGGGGAAGAGGAAGACACAUUGGCAUGCAUGGGAUACAUUGAUUAAACCGAAAGUGCAAGGCGGCAUGGGGUUCCGUGAUUUCAGACUCUUCAAUCAGGCACUUUUGGCUAGACAAGCUUGGCGUCUUAUUGCUUACCCUGACAGUUUAUAUGCUCAGGUGCUCAAAGCAAGAUAUUACCCGGCGGGACGUCUGGAAGAUACGGUCUUUUCGGACAACUCAUCCCAGACGUGGCAGUCUAUUGUCCACGGUCUUGAGCUUCUCAAGAAAGGUCUAAUUUGGCGCAUUGGUGAUGGAGCUUCUGUACGUAUUUGGCGUGACCAGUGGAUACCACAUCCACUUGCGAGGUUGCCAAUAUCACCCAAGGGGCGCUGCCGCCUUCGGCGUGUUAGCGAGCUCCUGGACGACCGAGGAAAUUGGAACGUGCAACUACUUAAUCAACAUUUCAUGUCAGUAGAUGUCAUGGAAAUUAUGAAGAUCAAGGUGGUGCCACGGUUGGACAGAGAUAUUAUCGCUUGGGCGCCCGAGCGUUCUGGAUCGUUCACAGUCCGGAGUGCUUAUCGUCUAUCAUAUGAUGAGAUUCACCGUCAGACUACAGUCGCAUCGAGUAGGGCACCGGACGGGCGACGUGCCGUUUGGGCACUUAUAUGGAGGUGCCCUGCUCCACCAAAGGUGCGUAUCUUUGCAUGGCGUUUGGUCACAAAUUCACUGGCUACUUGGGUGAAUAAAAAAUCACGGAAACUUGAGGUGUCUAACCUUUGUCCGUUGUGUGCGAUGGAACCGGAGGAUACGUUCCAUACAUUCUAUAGAUGCACAUUGGCUGUUGCUUCGUGGAACGCACUUAGCUUCAAUGAGGAAUACAGGCCCUGAGUGGCUUUUUGAUCUUCUGUAUAAGCUAAAUGAAGACGAUCGCAUGCAUGUGUUGAUGGUGCUGUGGAGGAGUUGGUAUGUACGUAAUGAAAUAGUACACCAGAAGCUUCCUGUAGAUUUCUAUUUAGCUAUGCUGAAUCUCUUCGAUGCAUCAAUCAUUUUCCAACCACUAACAUCAUCAAAGGGAAGAUGGUGCCGCCGGCGAUUGGGUAUAGUUCUACAAUGAUAAAUACAGCAACGCAACAUGCAGCCACAGUCCAGUGGUCUGCCCCGCCGGCCGGUCGCGUGAAGCUGAAUGUUGACGGGUCGUUCGUUGAUACCGAUGGUGGAUUAGCAGGAGCCGGUAUGAUCCUACGUGAUAAUGAUGGCAACAUUAUCUUCUCCGCUUGUCGUUCUAUCUUGCAUUGUUCCGGACCGCUCCAGGCUGAGUUGUUGGCAUGUCGGGAGGGAUUAAGCCUUGCUCUACAAUGGUCUACUCGCCUGGUAGACAUCGAGAUGGACUGCAUGGAUGCAGUUGAUCAAGUCGCCUACCCUUGACAGAUCGCCACAUAGAAUGAUAGUUCAGGAUAUUAAAAGGCUCUUUGGUGAAAGGGAUAUCUCUAUUGCUCAUGUAAGUAGGAAUCAGAACGUUGUUAGCCACACACUUGCUGCUUUCGGACGAUCGGAGGGCCGAACUGCAGUUUGGUUGCGUUUUGGACCUGCAGACGUUCCUCUGCUAUGUAGAAACGAAUAUUCCAACAGUUGAGCAAUGAAAUCAUUUUAACCCCACAAAAAAAAAGUCCGGGAGUUCGCUAAUGCACGAACCGGGGGAGCUGCAGCCACCACGUUCACUCGCCGUCCUCGAGGUACCGGACUCCGAAUACUCGUCUCAGCAGGUUUUUCCGAAGGUUUUUGCUUCAGACAUCUAACCUGAAGAAAAUACACACUGAACGCGUGGACGAGACGGUUUUUUCUUGGGACAUCUAACCUGAAGAAAAUGCAGAUUGAACGCGUGGACGAGACUGAAAGUGCCUUCCGUAAGAGAUGGUACCUCUGCACUAGAUAUUAUUGAAGCAUCUCAUUGAGUACUCGAAAUUGAGGCAGACACAUCAUGAAAUACACCGUACGUGCUUGUAAGUUGUAACAAAGCAGGACACGAAUUUUUGGAAUUUUUGGAACUAGAGUCCACACGUAUCCCUUAUGAAUAGUAACAAAAACCAAGACGUAAUAAAAAAAUAUUAACAAAUGGUCUGUGAAGUUCCUUAAUCUAGAUGAUAUUUGCUGUGGGAAUUGGUUAUAAUAUAUUUUAUAUGAGAUUUGGUUGUACAAAGCAUGAGUAGUUUGAGUUAUAAAUGGCUAAAACCAAAAGUAUAUAUUAUAUAUUGUAUUUGAUUAUUAUAUAAUUAUAUAAAUUGUGUAUUGGAUGUAAGUAGCAUAAUAUAGUGGGCUUUUUUUGCCAUGCAUGUUAUGACGUACCUUUGAUGAAAUGGCAUGUGUAUAUGUUGAGGUAAAUAGAAACAAUGUGGAUCAACUAAUAAUGAAAAAUGUGGCGUGUGUACAUGUUGAGGUAAAUGAAAACAAUGUGGAUCAAUUAAUAAUGAAAAAUGUUUUUCCAUGCAUGUAGAGGUGUUCUUUGAUGAGAUGGCAUGUGUGCAUAUUGAGAUAAAUAAAGUAGUGUGGAUCACCCACUUAACUAGGAUAAAUAAGGUAUUGCUACAAAGGAAAAAAGUGCCCCUGAUAUUCCUCAAAAACAGCACAUACGAGUAGAACAGUUGACCAGUUUUAUUAACCUUAGAAUUUAAAUUCUCUUAUUAUUAUUAUUUCAAAAAAAUUAUAUGUAUUGUCAUCAUAAGAGGGGUGCUUAGACCCAUGCUCACUACUAUUGUACUUUAACAUAAUAACUCAUAUCUUCCUUUAUACUAAUAAGAGAGAGAAUGAUAAAAUUGUGCAUAAAAAAAUAAUUCUGUUCUGUGUCCAAAAUUACGAUGACAAUUAUCUGGCACUAUGUCCCUGCGAUCGGGUCUACAUCAUGUACGCCCUAAUAAGUACAACUGUCAUCUUCUGCAUUUCCUCUCAAUAGUUGUAGACCAUCUGCCUAUUCGACCAAAACAUCCUGUUUAUUAGACAAGGGUUUUAGGGUUUUUGGCACACCUCCAAACGUGGGGUGACCUUUUCAUUAUAUAGUGAUGUACAACAUAAUUACAAGUGGGGCCCAGUAUAUACAGAGUCUAACACCCUCCCUCAAUCUUAACCGUGCUCAAAAGAAUUUACUAGGUUGAGAUUGCGCCUACACCCUUCAAACUGAGGAAGAGGCAGUGGCUUCGUGAAGAUGUCAGCAAGUUGAUCUUUCGAGGAGAUGAACUUGAUAAGAAGCAGUUUCUGGGCAACACGUUCCCUGACAAAGUGGUAAUCAACUUCAAUGUGUUUGGUGCGAGCAUGAAAAACUGGAUUUGAAGACAAAUACGUCGCCCCAAUAUUAUCACACCAAAGCACCGGCGGCUGCUUCUGAGGAACCUUCGACUCUUUGAGCAAAAACUGUAUCCAAAUAAGCUCUGCUGUGGCAUUUGCAACUGCUUUGUACUCAGCUUCAGUGCUACUGCGAGACACCGUUGCUUGUUUACGAGCACUCCAGGCGAUCAAGUUCGAACCAAGGAAGACUGCAUAUCCCCCCGUGGAUCGUCUGUCAUCCGGACUCCCAGCCCAGUCCGCAUCAGAGAACGCAGAGAGAACGCCAGAGGGGGCCGGUUGCAGAUGCAAGCCAUAAGAAGAAGUGGACCGGAUGUAACGCAAAAUGCGCUUAACUGCAGCCCAGUGAGAGUCUCGAGGAGCAUGAAGAAACUGGCAGACCCGGUUGACCGCAUAGGAGAUAUCAGGACGAGUGAUAGUCAAGUACUGCAAGCCACCAACAAUACUGCAAUACUCAGUAGCCUCAUCAGCAGGGAGGAGAGAACCAUCGAGAGCAGAUAGGCGGUCAGUGGAGGACAUAGGUGUAGUAGCUGGCUUGCACUGGAGCAUACCAGACUUCCGAAGAAUAUCAAGAGAAUACUUCUGCUGAGUGAGAGUCAAGCCAGAACCAGAAGACAAUACUUCAAGGCCAAGGAAAUAGUGAAGCUGCCCAAGAUCCUUAACCGCAAAGUCAGCACUCAAAGCAGAAACCAAGCGAUCCCAGCAUAGUCUGAGGAACUGACCACGAUGAUAUCGUCAACAUAGACCAGUAGAUACAUAGUAACUGUAGGUCGCUGAAGAAGAAAUAACGAGGUAUCGGCCAGAGAGGGAACAAAUCCAUGAGCCCGAAGAGUGGUGCCAAGACGCGCAUGCCAAGCGCGCGGAGCCUGCUUCAGACCAUAGAGUGCCUUAACAAGACAACAGAGAUGCUGCGGACGAGCUGGAUCGACAAAACCGGGAGGCUGACACAUAUAAACCUCCUCCUCAAGAACACCAUGAAGGAAAGCAUUCUGAACAUCAAGCUGACGAAGAGACCAUCCACGGGUAAUUGCCAGUGAGAGCAGAAGCCGAAUCGUGGUCGGUUUGACCACUGAACUGAAGGUGUCCUCAUAAUCAAGGCCAAGGCAUUGUUUGAAUCCUCGAGCAACCAGUCGAGCCUUGUAUCUCUCGAUAGAACCAUCAGCAUGUUUCUUUACCUUGAAGACCCACUUUGAGUCAAUGAUGUUGACACCAGCCUUUGAAGGAAUCAGUCGCCACAUUUCAUUCUUAAGAAGAGCGUGGUAUUCUUGUUCCAUCGCAGUACGCCAGUGAGGGAUACUCAGGGCAGCCUGAAAAUGUCGAGGCUCAGCAGUAGGGUCGGACUGCACCUGCGCCAUGCAAGUCGCAAGCCAGGCCACCGUGCCAUCCUUGCGUUCCUUAGGACGAAACACCCCACUUUUGCUGCGUGUAUGAGGACGCAACACCGGGGGCGGAGCAGGUGGCGAAACCGAUGGUGAGGAUGAUGAAGGGGACACAUCAUCCGUCAUGGCAGAGGCUGAUGCAGUCGGUGGCGGUGACGAAGAAGACACAGCAGGAGACGCCGACCCACUCGAGGGCGAUGCCGAUCCAGACGAGCAGGACAAGUGCCGCACAGGCAACGAGGAUGACGCGGAACUCCCAGGCGACGACGGCCCAGGCGUUGAUGGCGGGGGACUCCCAGGCGGGGACGGCCCAUGCGUCCGUGCAGGUGACGGCCCAGGCGUCGAUGGCGAGGACGCCGGUGCAGACGUGACGGCUCACUGGGCCGAUGCGCCAGUCAGCAGAAGCGGCGGCUGGGCCAGAGUGGUGACGCGCGGUGCAGCAGCCGCGAUCACGGGCACAGGCGGGCUCGUUGCAUGGGACAUGCACGAAGCCAGCCGAUCGACCUGAGCAGGUGGUGAUGACGGAGCCGUCGGGGACGAGGGAGCCGGAGUGUCAACCUCAUCCAGGAGCUCAAGCUGCACACAUCUCCCAAUACCUGCACCAUGGUUAAACAACAAAGAGGGCGAAUGUGCAGCAUCUACAAAUUGAUCAGGCAAUAUAGUGGAUGGGUGCACUGGCGGUGUCGAGCUUGUGUCAGGUGAGGGAAGAGCAGCAAAGAGAAAAGCAUGCUCAUCAAAAACAACAUCGCGGGAGAUAUACACACGAUUAGACAGGACAUGAAGGCACUUAUACCCUUUGUGAACAGAACUAUACCCCAGAAAGACACACUUCUUUGAUCGGAACUCAAGCUUGCGAUUAUUAUACGGACGGAGAUGCGGCCAACACGCACAACUGAACACUUUAAGAAACUUGUAAUCAGGAGUCUGACCAAGCAAGAGUUCAAGUGGAGUUUUCAUAUGAAGGAGCCGCGAAGGAAGCCUAUUUAUAAGAAAACAGGCUGUAGUAAAAGCAUCGCUCCAAAAACGAAACGGGACAGAGGCAUGAGCAAGCAAGGUUAACCCAGUUUCAACAAUAUGACGGUGCUUACGUUCAGCUAAACCAUUCUGCUGAUGUGUAUGUGGGAAAGAAACACGAUGAGCAAUUCCAAGUUUUUCAAAGAAAGUACUGAGGUUGCGGUAUUCACCCCCCCCCCCCUAGUCUGACUGGACGUGAAUGAUUUUAUGAUCUAGGAGUCUCUCAACAUGUGCUUGAAAUUGUAAAAACACAUUAAACACAUCAGACUUAUGCUUAAGAAGAUAAAUCCAGGUAAAGCGACUAUAAGCAUCAAUGAAACUGACAUAAUAUUCGUGCCCACUAACGGACCACUGGGCAGGACCCCAUACAUCUGAAAACACAAGCUCAAGAGGAGUUUUGACUAUAUGUAUAGAAACAGAAAAAGGUAACUGAUGACUCUUGCCUUGCUGGCAGGCAUCACAGACAGCGGCAUCUUUAUUACUAGACUCGGACGGUAGCUCAUGACGAUGGAGGACAUGGCAAACAAUGGGAGAUGCUGGGUGACCAAGACGAGAGUGCCAUAGUGAUGGAGACACACGAACGCCACUGAAGACUUGGAAGGCAGCAGCAGGAGCGGGAACGUUGGUGGGGGCAUCAAGAGCAUAGAGACCAUGGCGGUAGCGACCUCUAAGAAGUAUGUUCCUCGUAGCACGAUCCUUAACAAAGAGAUGAAACGGAUAAAACUCACAGAAAACAUUAUUAUCAUGUGUAAGUUUAGGAACAGAGAGUAAAUUACGUGCAACUGUGGGAACACGAAGAACAUUUCUAAGAUGCAAUGUCCUAGAGGAGUUUGUGAGAAGUGAUGCCUGACCAACAUGCGAAAUGUGCAUACCUGCCCCGUUAGCCGUGUGAACCUUGUCAUGCCCACGGUAAGGCUGCUGGACAGUUAGCUUGCCCAGCUCGUUCGUUACGUGCGUGGUUGCUCCAGUAUCCAUGUACCAAGAAGGAUCAAUAGGAUAAGAAGGGGUGUGACCCUGUUGCGCCAUGUUAACUUGACGCUCGUUGCCCUUGCCAUUAUUGCCGAGGCCAAGGAAGUCCGUCUUGAACCGGCGAUGACAGCGAGAGGCGACAUGGCGAGGCAGGCCACAGAGCUGACAUGGCUGAGCCGCACCACAGGCGGUACAGCAGGCGCAGGCGCGGCCGUCAACGACGACUACCGGGGCACCAGGACGCGGGGCCUGCUGCUGUUGUGCCGAGGACGCACCUCCACCGGACUUGCCCCCUCCUCCCGAGGAAGCUGCAGAGGGGCACGGCCACCGCCUUUGCCGUGGUACACGGCGUUGACGGAGGAGUCGAUGGAGACAUCGGGGCGGCGUGCGUUGAGCCGUUGCUCCGUUGACAAGAGACGGCUGUAGAGUUCCUGAGGACGAAGAGGCUCCUUGCGUUCAUUAAUCACCUCGGCAAGCGAGUCGUAGUCGCUGUCGAGGCCGGCUAGGAUGAAGGAUGUGAACUCGCUGUCACGAAGGGGCUCUCCAAUGGAAGCAAGAGUGUCAGCCAACUUCUUGAUCUUGUUGUAGAAGGUGAUCACCGUACCAUUGUCCUUGCGAGUUUCACCAAGCUUGGCACGGAUGGCCAUGGAUUGAGCAGUAGACUGAGACGAGAAACUCGACUCCAGUAUGUCCCACACCUCAUGAGAGGACGAAGCAAAGAGGACGAGCCCGGCCACACCCUCACCCAGAGAAGACUGGAUGGCUGAGAGGAUGGCUUGGUCCUGAGCGAUCCACGCACGGAACAUCGGAUGAUAUGGCAGUGGACAUGGCAGUGUACCGUUGAGGAACCCCUCCAAGUAAUGGCUGCGAAGGAGAGGAAGCACCUGAGCACGCCAAUAUAGAUAAUUGUCCGGUUUAAGCUUCACCAGGAGGAGGUGGGAGAAUAAAAACGGCGGCGAGGAGAUCGCGGCCAGAGCAGCUUCAGCACCCACGUAUGGCGUCGGAGAGGGCAUUGGUGCAGAUUGCGCCGCAACCGUUGCGUACAGGUGCGAGGGGCCGUACGGGUAGGGCGCCCCAUAGGGCGGCGGAGCCGGGUACGCGCCCUGGCCAGGGUACACACCAUAGGAGGGAUGCGCAGGUGGCGACGGGCCGUACGGCGCCGCGUACAGUGGGUAGCCGCCGUGAUUGGCAUGGGCGGCAUCGGCAAUAGUAGGGCCGACUGCGGUGUAGAUGGAGGCAACCGGAGCAGGUGCGAUCGCACGCAUCGGGUGUGACGCGGUAGGUGGUGGCGGCGCAGGCACAAGGGAGUGCACGGCAGCCGGCGGCGGCGACAGUUGCUGGGACCGGGCCGAAGCAGCAGGCGAUGAAGAGGAGACGACGGCGUACAGCGAAGACACCGGGUCGGCGAAGAGAGACCCCGCCGAUUAGGUCUGCAGGUGGCCGAGCGAUCCGUCCGCCGUGUAGGGCGCAGUCCCGACGUUGAGGAGACGCGCGAGGAACGGCGGGAGGAACAAGUGAUCCAUGUGAACGGGGGCCGGCGGCAGAAGGGCGGGGAAGGAAACCGCGGUGCCGGCGGCGCUUGAGGCAGCGGCGGCGGCGGCUGGUGGCGGAGGCGGAGCGGAAGACAUUAGAUCGUUAGGUCGGAUACCAUAUUAGACAAGGUUUUAGGGUUUUUGGCACACCUCCAAACGUGGAGUGACCUUUUCAUUAUAUAGUGAUGUACAAUAUAAUUACAAAUGGGGCCUGUAUAUACAGAGUCUAACACUGUUUGACUUCAAGUAUGUUCGCUAUGGUUGCAAUGGCUAGUCGCUAGGGAAAUAAUCUUUUUUGCAUGGGGGAAGGAUUUUGUAUUAAUUAACUUAGCUCAAGAUUACCCAGUGCACAUAGUUUUACGACUCCCUCAGGACCGGACCGUAACCGGACGGACGCCUUAAUCUUAACUCUCCCGAUCUGAGCUAAUUCAUGACUAACACGAUUAUUGCCCCUUUUAGUAGGCUGGAUCUUAAUUUCUCUCUCCCCUCUCAUCAUAGUUGUGAUCUAUCAACCGAGGGGUUGGAUAUCAUUGCAGCAACUUUAGCACUAUCCGUUUCAACGAUGAACAGAAGUGAGCUCCAUUCCAAAGCAAGAGCAAUUCCCUCCUUGCACGCCGCGAGUUAUGUAGUUAGAGCAUUACCGCGUGUGAAGAGAUGUCGACACGAGCUGGAAAUAAUGCUACCAGAGCUGUCUCGUGUCUCGGAGCACCAUUCACGUGCCUACAUUGCCUGCAUGUGCUAUUCACCAUCCACGUUUAGUGUGAGCCACCCCAGCUUAGACGCUCUCCAGCUCUUAGGCUAGUCAUAGUGGAGAGUAUAUGUUACUAGUCUAUGUUAUUAUCUUUAUAUUGGGUAGUGUCAUAUAUGCGGUAACAUAGAUACCUUCAUUUAUUACUUUGUAGACUUAUUUUGCAUUAGAAAGCGUUAUGUGAUGGUAACAUAUUAUGUUACUCUAUUUGACCAUUUUACCUUUUUCUCGGUCUGCCGUGGUCAUCAAGAGUGCCAUGCGAGAUGUGCCUGAGAGCAGCUCAACCACGGCAAAGAGCCAUCCGGGCAUGUGUGCCGCACCGGCUUAAUGUCCCGGAGCAUCCAAUCUUUAGUCAUCGCCCUCCAAAGCUCGACUGCAUGAGGGCACUUACACAUUGCGUGGAAUUCAUCCUCGCUUUCCAGACCACACAGGGAGCAUAUGUCAGUGGUUUUCAAAUGAUAGGAGAGUUUAUUCACCCACGCUUGCAAGAGAAUUUGUGACAAGCCGCCAAGCAAACACACGUACCUUUGGGGGACCUGAUGGCGCGUCAACCAUCCGGUGCCAUGGCAAUAACCAACAGGCCAAAGAUGACAACAAACAAUGGCGUGGAGCACAGAUAAACUGGCGUGGCUACUAGAUGGUCCGUCAUCAAAAUAAUGAUUGGAACACCACUUCAUAUCCAAGGUGAAAACUACUAUUCUGGCCUUCAUUCAUUGGUUAGGCUCAGCAACGUUGAACUUGCGCUGUUACCUUAUCAAAGGUGUUACCUUGUUGCUAUUGUGCUAGUCUUCAAUGGUUAGUUUUGGCAACAAGAAUGAAAAUCCUCGUCUUGUUUGUCUUCCACCGGACGUGACCACAGCGAUGUGAGAGCGCUUAUUUCUUGAAAGAAGUCAGAUUAGUCAUAGAUGUUUGUUCUAUACAUUUCAUAAUGACUAAGCCGUGUUUGUCUUUUUCUAACUCUGCUUAAUAAUUAAUAAGAAUAAUUAUGUACAUUAUGAUGAUGCAGAGGCAAGAGUUUAACCUUUUUUGUUUGAAAAAAAUAGCAGUAGACGCUCGAUCCAUGUCUGGUUUGUACGACCGGCCGACGACGAACACACGUACGGUAGUGACAAGUACGGUAGUGGGACGAUCCUACGCGCCGACAGGACGACAGUGCCAAGACAACGCUAGGCUCCUCAGCUCUCUAGCUCAUUCCGGUGGCUGCGUCAGAUAAGCACGCCCGGACGUGGCAUCCGUCCGGUGCCUCGCCCAACGCGUGUCAAUGCGUCAGGGACAGCAAGAGGAGAGGCUUGCGUCCGCGUCGUCGCACACGCGCCGUCUCCUGCGCCCGCGACGCGCCUCCUCGCCGGCUAUAAAAUGGCGACGUCGCUACCUCCUCCAUCACCAGCAUCAAACAAGCAACCACAAGCACCGCACAAGCUGAAGCGGUAGAGCACACACGCUCCCUUCCAGUUGAGGUCGAAGUAGCUAGCGAGGAGUGAGCGAUGGCCUCCGGUCAGCAGGAGAGGUCGCAGCUGGACCGCAAGGCCCGCGAGGGCGAGACCGUCGUCCCCGGCGGUACCGGCGGCACCAACCUCCAGGCGCAGGAGAACCUCGCCGAAGGUACGUAGCAAUGCACGUCGACCUUAUGUGUUGGUGGCUUCGGCUACUCAUGUCGUGUCUACGGUGUUGGCAGGGCGCAGCCGCGGCGGGCAGACGCGCAAGGAGCAGAUGGGGGAGGAGGGGUACCGCGAGAUGGGGCGCAAGGGCGGGCUGAGCACCAACGACGAGUCCGGCGGCGAGCGCGCCGCCAGGGAGGGCAUCGACAUCGACGAGUCCAAGUUCAAGACCAAGUCCUAGAUGAUCCGUUAGCCUAGCAAGCAAGACGACUGCUUAGUUGGUUGGUUUACCUUGCAGGAUGAAUAAUGUAGGUCAGGGAUCCUGACGUGUGCACGCAUGUAGGAGAUCAUAUGUACUAGAUCAUGUGUGCUUGGUGGUUAAUAGUAGCCGGUAGUCCGUACUAGGUACUGAUGGUCAGUCAGAGUCGUGUGUCCGUGUCAGUCGGAAGUGUGGUUGUGGCUCCGGCGGCUGGUCCGGCCUCUCUUCCCACCAGCUUUCCGCUGUAUCCUUGUGUUUCCAGUAAUGUAAGUCGUCGUUGCUGAAAUCUGAAGCUUUGUAGUGUGCUACUUCUGCUUUGCUAAUUGUUGGUGUUCCCGGUUUUUUAUUGUUUACCGUAAAACCUCUCCUGAACGAGAACUCUACGUGCCGCAUCACCAGCCACCAAACUAGCCAAUGCCACCAGUUAGAAUGUGAGCAUGCAGGAGGUAGUGUUCUGGCAGUAGCAGCGGAUAAGGACGGCACUUGAAUGCCUAGGCCUAGACAUUCAUAACGGGCAAUAUUGCUGCAAGUACAAGACUAAUCUUUUGGAAAAAAUAAGUCCCUUCUUGAAUUUUAGAACUUAGAAUUUAUUACCCUAGAAAAAAAGGAUUAUGCAGCACUGUUUUCCAGCACAAGACGGACCUUUUUUUUCAUUUUCUCAUGAAUGAUGCUCCUCUGGAACGGAAGGAGAGGCUUUACCGAAAUGCACUUUCCAGGAGAAACAAUCUGAUCAUAAACCAUUGUCACGUACCGUAUCGUAUCCAAAAUUACGUUAUACAGCCAACUGAUAACAUCACAAACAAACAACCUGGCACCGUGCACCUACGGUCUACGCGCACUAAGGCACGGCACGGCAGCAGAAGGAAAGAGCCACCGCCUAACGUUUCCAUCUUCAGCAUUCAGGGAGGCCUUCUUGAUGUUGCUGCUGCAGAUUUAUUCCACUAUCUGUGUUGGUGUGUACAAAAUGCCUCCUCAUCCAAAGCAUCCAGCUUGAUUUGAGGUCUGUCCGUCCGUCAGUGGCUGGUCGCCAGGGCAGUAACCAGCAGGCCGAACACGAAGAACGGUUGCGCACUCGCCUGCAUUAAGCACGAUCAGAUGGCGGCGGCACGAUAAGAUGCAGUUUUGGGAGAGGCCGUGGAUGCUGACUGGAGAGAAAGAAAAAGAAUGCAGGGGGAGACGACGACCGCGCGCACCUGGUAUUUGACGUCGUACUUCACGGGGUCCUUCAGGAAGUACUGGAACUGCUCGAUGAAAUCAAGGAUUAGAAUGUACACAACGUAAGUGGCAAAGUCAGUGUUUUCUUUUCAUGUUUAUUACUCUCCCCGUUCACGAAUAUAACAUGUUUUGGAUAUUUCGAUAUGGACUACAUACGGACUGAAAUGAGUGAAUAAACAAACUAAAACGUGUCUAUAUACAUCUGAUUUAGAAAAAAGUUAGAACAUCUAAUGGAGUAUUUGUGAAUGGAGGUGUCUACAUACAUCCGAUUUAGAAAAAAGUUAGAACAUCUUAUAUUUGUGAAUGGAGGGAGUAAGUGCUAAAGGACAGUCUGACAAGCCUUGCAGAUAAAGCUUUUGUUCAUAAUAUAAGUCAUCUAAAUGAUUUUCACUUAUUUCAUGUGACCGUGUGAAUAGGAAAUUCUGGGGGAGUGGGAACAUCUGAAAUACAAUAACGAGAAAUAAUUAUAUCCAAGGUCCAAAAAGAUUGGUCAGCUCACCUGCAAGAUCACCUGGGGAAUUGUCAGUCCAACUAGUGCCAGGGCAUAAUACAGCUUACCAGUGCUCAGGAGGUAGGCUGAAAAUGGAGUUACAAGAUUAGGGCAAGUUCCCAACAUAAAUUCAGGAUAGAUAGAUAGAUAAAUAGAUAGCGAAUGAACGUAAGUUUCCUCUGCUCCCUAAUUUAUACUGGUAGAUUGUAGUACAAUUCAAAUUCAGGCACUCUUGUUCGGCCCAACAAAAACAGAAAAUAGUUAUACUACGGCAAGCUUUGGGUGUAGUUUGCCAACAUCUGAAACUUUCUGGUAACGCUGAACAUCUUUUUUUCUUCACUAAACACAUCUUCUAUCGUUAUGACUAACACCAACUGCCUUCCAAGGUUCCAUGAAAGCUUCCAUCAUUAGGCUGAAAAGUUGUAGUAUGAUCUAUUCACUUCUCGACAUAAAGUACGAUCUAUUUUCGCAGCUGGCCCAUGACAUUAUGGUAUGGUAGGUACUAGGUAGUCGCAUAAAUCCAUGAACUACUCUAUUACUCCCUCCGUCCCACAAUAUAAAAACGUUUUUCAAGCUAUGUUAGCUUGAAAAACGUUCUUAUAUUGUGGGACGAAGGGAGUAUAUGUUUUUUUGUCAAGUUUGGGUUGCAAACCACGUGUUCCACGUGGCCACUCAAUUAUAUGUUCAGCCAAUGGCUUAAUAGUAAGCCAUGAAGGAAGAAAGAAAUGAAAAUUUUGUAUCUUUACCUGCAACAGAUAAUUGAGUGAUGUCGAUUGCUCCAACACAUAUCCAUUUUGCAGUCUCCAUACCAAAGGCAACAGGGAGUGACUACAAAAAGGUAAAAUGGUAAACAGAUAUGCUUUGACAAUAAACCUACAAUAUAGGCAAAAAGAAUAAUAACCUGAAGUCCCAGAGUUCUAUCCCCCUCGAUACUCUUAAAAUCAUUCACGAUAGCGAUCCCUAGCUACAAAGCCAGGAAAAACAGUUAGCGAUCAUGGUAUACAGGAUUGCAAACAAGCAAUACAGAUCAUGAAAUAUAAAUACCCCAGCUAUGCUGUACAAAGUAGUUAGGACAACAAUAUCAGGAGUAAGAGUUCCAAAUAAUGCCUGGCCAGCCCACCUGCACAAAAGAUAUAAGGAUUUUACGGUACCUUAGUAGAGUAACUCUGGUCCUUGAAUCCUAAUAUGGAAUUCUCUUCCCUAUUAUUCCUCAUGGUAUUUUAUACAUUUUAACACAAACUAAUUAAGUCUCAACAGAAUUCACAAAUUCCCACCCGACAGCUCGGCACUGAGCUUCAGGCCACACCUGUACUUCUGAUGGGAAGUGGAAGUUGCGUCUAUGUUGGAGCCAAGUAAAUUGGCUCUUGCACAUACCGAGUGGUAUUGAUAAACGUGAUUAAAUAACUUCGGUAAUCAAUCAGCAAACUACCAAGUGCGAACUGGUUACGGACUUGCAGUUCCUCAGUCAUGGGCUAGGGUUCUGAUGUUCGGAAAGUGAGUUUUUUUUUCUUGAGAAGAGGAAAGUGACAGUUGUGCUGGGACUGAAUGCAAUAUGUUACCACUAACGAAAAUACAAUCCCUUCUACUUGGUAUUGUAGUCUGAUAAAAUCCAAACUAAUUUGUCCAUUACAUUGAAAAUGAUAGACAGUCCACAGUAAUUAGUGGUUACCACAAAAAAGCGGGGAAAAAAGAUGCAUCUUCUUGCAUAUAGUAUAGGUGACAUCCAACAGAACAUUAUCCUCUUAUUAAACAUGAAAAAAAAUAUUCACAGCUUUCAUCCUACCAGGGCAAGCCAAUGUAACUCGCACCAAGAGCAAAGUUUCCUAUCCAUCCAUUCUGCUUGAGCUGAAAUGAGGAAUAAUAAGACAUGGACAUUUUUUUUAUCAGAGUUCACAACAGAGUGUACUAUGCUAAAAUCGAACACAAGUACUCAAGUACCUUGAGAGGCGGCGCUGAAUAUAUGUAAGAAAGCAAGGAUCCACCCAGAGCAAGGUAGAAAAUAAUAGGAAAAUCAUGCCCUGCCUGAAAUGAAACUAGAGAAUAAGCAAAGAAGGAACGUAUCUUCAACCUCUUAGUAUACUAAAGUAAGUCUUGUUGUGACUUACCCAUACGUCUAACAAAGCACCCAACCCAAGACCUGCUAACAAUAAUACCCAGAUCUGAGUAAUUACCUGGAUCCAAUCAACAACAUUAGUAAGACAUGUCAAUUCUCAGUAGACAUCUGACAUCAGCCUUUAGAGUAAGAUCGGACGAUCGGAAGCUUGUCAUUAUAAGAAGCCAAUUUUGUUUGAAACGUUCUACAGAAGACUGUAGCAAUACAUAUUCUUCAUCAUCUCAUAAGAAAACAAAUCCGCUUGGAUAAAAAGGCAAUUCGAAAAUGGGGUUCCAACCAGUAAAGCACAACAAUUUCAAACAAAGUAUCGCAUCAAUCAACUUGCCAUCUAGAUAAUGUCUAUAAUAUUCGGAAGCGGAUUUGUAGCACCCGGGCGCUCCACACCCCUAUACGAACAUUAAAUUCAAAAAAAUACCAAGAAAUUUGAAAAAACAAAUCUGAGAUUUUGGGAUAUCAAACCUGGAAAUGUAUUCGUGGCAAAAAGACAAAAAAUUCCUAUGUAUAGAAAAAAUUGUUUGGGCAGAUUUUUGUUCGACAGUAUUUCCUUCGCCGCGGAUAUGUUUUCUGGUAUUUUUUCAUGAAAUUUCACACGGGAGUUGAUUGAGAACCCAGGUUUGAUAUCCCCAAAUUUCAGAUUUUUUUUUAUUUUUUGGUAUUUUUACAUUUAAUAUUCGUAUAGGGAUGUGGAGCACCCAGGAGCUCCUGUGUAUUUUCCUAUAAUAUUCAAGCUACAAUAUAAGUGAAACACAUGUUAAGCUUCAUGCACUAUCCAACGCAACCAAAAGUACAAACUGAUGGAAAGCACUAGGCAAUCCACAUAUACACUUCAACAACACAGACUCUAAUGAGAACAGAACCCAUGCGGAAGCAAUUAUAGGGACAGGCCAGUUAUGAAGUUUUGAUGUUUUGAACCAAAAAAACAAAAAUGAGGGAGCGCCCCCAGCCUCUGGAUGGAUUGAUGCACGCAACCAUCUUUUAUUACACAGUAUCUUGCUCAAAAAUAAUAUCAAAUGAUCCAGCGGUAUAUUUUAAAUGAGAUAUUGGACUUAUGGCACCAAAAAUGCAUUGUCUAUUGUUUAUAAUGACCUAAAAACAUAAAGGCAAAGUCCGUGUGUAGCAUUCUACAAAUGGUGUAGCAUCCUAAGAAUUGAUGUCUUUUAUUCAUGCACCAUCACUGGAUAAUAGGGCAGAUGAAAAGGGUCAACUUAUAACAUAAAUAUGCUUACAAUAUUUAUUGAAAGAAAAUAGAAACAAGUACAUGUGAAAUCGAAUAAGAAAAAGGACAUAUAGACAAAGAUAACUAAACAUCUUGUAAGCAUGUGGUUGUGACAGUAAUAUAUUUGAGAAGUCUGCUUAACAGUUAUAGAAGUCCUACAUGCAUUCUCUAGCAUAAACUUUGGAAAGGAAAUACUAGGAUAUUCUACAGUGGUUGUUUUAUGAAAAGGAAAGGAGAAACAAUAUGACACAUUGCUGAAAAGAUAAUGUUUUCAUAGUCAAGAUAAACUUUGCAAUGCAUCUAUGAUGCAGCGUCUGGGGAUAACAAAAGCCUCCAUUAUCUUUUUUUUCCCUCAAAAGAUAAGAAAUCAACAAGUUCGUUUUAUGCAUGUAGAAUCUACUUACAGAGGCAUAUUGGAUUUUUCCCAAGGAUCGAUCACAUCAAAAAUCACCAACACAUGGGAGAAGGGCCAUUUCAUUGCUGAGUGCGUGGCCGAGCUGUGUGAGACAUGCGGCAAGCCGGCUCAUGCCUCGGGGGAGUGCCCGUUCUUGCGUGACCAGGCUCCGUCGCUGACUGUGUAUGGAGUCUACUGUGCUGAGCUUAUGUUCUUUGAAUCACCGGCUGCGCGAGAGAUUCCAGAUGAGACCCCGAGCUUGACCACCGGGGUUGUGAAAGCUACCCAGGGAGAGGUGACUGAGGCUCAGAUCGUGCGGAGGCUGCAGGAGCUGGCUCCGGGGGACUUUCGGUGGGAGCUGGUGGUUCUCGAGGAUAAGGCCUAUAAGGUUGAUUUUCCCACGGUGGAUGACUUGCGGCGGUUGUUGAGCUUUGGUUUGUGUAGAGUUCCUGGCACAUCGUGCAUUCUGGAGUUCCACGAGUGGAAGAAGGUGGAGCCUAAGGGAAAGCCGCUUACGCAGGUCUGGUUGCGGUUUGUAGGGGCCCCGUCUAAGCCUUUGCAGGAUGUUCGAGUUGUGGCCAGUUUGGGUAUGUUGGUUGGGAAGACGGAGAGAGUUGAUAUGGCUUUUACCCGGGCUCAUGGGGUGGCCCGGCUUCUAGUCAGUGUUCUGGAUAUUGAGUUCGUGCCUGAUGUGGUCAACUGGACUUAUAGGGGAGAGGUGUUCCCGCUCGAUAUUGAGUUUGAGGACACAGAUCUGUUUGCUGAUGCGGUUAAUGGGAAUGAUGUUGAUAUGCAUGAGGGUGAUGGCGGUGCGGGAGCCAAUGGGGCACAGACUGAUGAGUCCACAUGAGAGGGGUCUAACGGAUCUCGCCCAGAUGCUCAGUUGCCCGGGGAUGGGACCAGGGUUGAGCCGGCAGCAUCGCCAUCGGUGCCUAUGACCUCGUUGCGGUUCGGGUCUUUUGAGCCAGCAUCAGCGCCUCCCAGACUUUGGAGUGACCGGGUAGACUCUGAUGAUAUGUUUGAGCGCACGCUUCCUCUUUUGGAGUUUGAGGGGGUUGGCGGUUCUGUGCCUGGACGCUUGGUGAGGGCCUCAUCGGCGAGGACUCUGGAUGGAGUUGGGGUGGGGGAGCCGGAGGUCGCUUCUCUUUCCCCUCCUCCUCUUGUGGUCGAGGAUCCGGUGCGGAUUGCUACCUGUGAGCUGGUGUUGGGGGGAGGGGGGUCGGGGCAGGAGGCCUUGACGUCUCUCCUCCAUAUCCCGACGCCGGCGACGUCGGUCACGUUGGAGUCGGCCAGCGCCAGGGGAGGGAGCCCAAGGCAGGUGGCCUCGGCUCCUGCUACUCCGGUGGUGGCGGCGACACCUACGCCAUCUGCUGCGUUGGGGGGAGGGUUGGGGCAGGAGGCCCUGACUCAUCCUUCUUCCCCGGCGGUCUGGAGGACCGCCUCUCCUUCGCCGACAGUUCUUCCGUCUGCACCGGCGGGUGGGGCGGGAGGAGGGCGCGGGCAGGCGGCCCCCGCCAUCCCCUCUUCGAUCGCACCGGUGGCCGUGGACCCCAGCGUGGGGCACCUGUCUGAGGGGCUUGGGAGCCCGCAGCCGCCUUCUCUGGUAACCUCGGUUGAUCCUUUGAGGGACUCAGCGCCAGGUUUUACUAGGGAGGAGGUUGUUGCUUUUGGCGGGAUCCCGGACCCCGUCUCGACGGGGAGACGGAUGAGUGCUCGCAUCCACGAGUUCCCGAAGGUGGAUGAUAUGCAGCAGCGGUGCGCUAUGAGGGCGGCCAAGCUGCAGGAGGCUGCAUUAUCUUCUGGUAUGUCCGUCAACAUAUCUAACUCUUUAUUGCAUUUUUCUAAUGAGGAGAUUAUAAAUAAUGCAAACCAAUUAGGAGUUUCACUAGGUGCCAUGGAUAGUGAGAUUACUAAUUCGGUCAAUGAUCUGUUAGAUUUGGAGGCGGAACGUGUCUUAGAGACUAUUCGUAAUCUUGCAGCGGUUAAACCAAUGAAUGAUGAUGAGAUUGAUGCGUUAGGGGUUAGAGUGCUCGAUAAUCUGUGUGCGGAUCUAGCACCUCCAAAUCAUGUGUCUGAGGACGAUGAUGUACCCAUAGAGAAUGAUGCUGGUAGUUUAAGUGAACCCGGUUAUGAGGACCGCGUGUCAGAGCCUAGCAAACCAAAACGUAAGUGGAAACGGAAGAUCUAUCCUGAUUCCGCAGUUCGUAGGAGUGCUAGGAUUCGAAUCACUAAAAAAUUCCAUGAUGAAAUAUGAGAAGAAUCUUUUGGAAUAGCAGAGGUCUGAAGGACUUGGCUAAAAGAAGGUUCCUUACUGAGGCAGCUUUAGAGCAAAAGUUAGAUUUUGUUGCUCUAUCGGAGACUGGCAGAGAAAACUUUGCGCCCCAGUUUCUUUCCUCUCUUGUGGGUGGUAUUGAUUUCGAUUGGCAUUGCCUCCCUCCGCGAGGAAGAUCGGGUGGUAUCUUACUCGGUGUGAGAUGCGAUUCGCUUGAAGUACGAAGUGUAGUGAUGGGUGACUUCGCGGUGAAGUUUCGAGUCAGGUCUAAGAUAGAUGGGUUUAACUGGGCUUUGGUGGCGGUUUAUGGUGCCGCACAGCCCGAGCUCAAACCGGAGUUUCUGGCAGACCUUGUUCGAAUCUGUGGGUCAGAACAGCUUCCAAUUUUAGUUGGAGGUGAUUUCAAUAUCAUCAAGAGGAGAGAGGAGAAGAACAAUGAUAACUUUGACGGCAGAUGGUCGUUUAUGUUCAAUACCAUUAUUGAAAGCUUGGAUCUGAGGGAGAUUGAGCUUUCUGGUAGAAAGUUUACCUGGGCUGAUGCUGCCAAACCCAACUUAUGAAAAACUUGAUCGAGUUCUUGCGAGCGUGGAGUGGGAACAAAAGUUCCCUCUGGUUACGGUGCAAGCUCUCUCCAGGGGAAUAUCCGAUCACACACCCUUGUUCGUGGACUCAGGGGAGCCGAACCACGUAGGUAACAAGAACACCUUUUCUUUCGAGAUGUCAUGGUUCAAACGCGAGGGGUUCUUGGACUUGAUUGCCAGGGAAUGGGAGAGAGGUGCAGGAGGCACGACUGCGAUCAAGCGUUGGCAGAAUAAGAUUAGGCAUUUAAGAAGUUCCUUACGGGGUUGGGCUAAGCACCUCAGUGGCUCUGUUUUCAAGGCGUCCCUAAGGCGUCGCCUAGGCGACGCUUAGGCGUCAGGGCGCCCUGCGAGGGCAAGGCGUCCACCUCGCCUUAGGUGGGUGUCUAAGGCGUCCGCCUUAAGCUAUAAGGCGUCCGAGGCGUCUGCCUAGGCGUCCGAGGCGUUGCCUUAGUCCAUUUUGGACGCCUUAGCUUGCCAGGCAGGCAGGGGAGCUGUUUUAGGCGGGAAACUGGAAUCAUGUUGGCGCCAACAGGUAAGAGGGGAGAAAGAGAGAGAGAGAAACAGCCCCCAAUCCACACACUCCUCCCCCUCCUUCUCUUCAGUGGCUCCUCUCCAGCAGAUCUGGUUCCUCCUCCUCUCCAGCAGCUCCUCCCCCUCCUCUCCAACGGUUCCUCCUCUCCAGCAGCUCCUCCUCUUCCUCCUGUCCAGCAGCUCCUCCUCUUCCUCCUGUCCAGCAGCUCCUCCUCAUCCUCCUGUCCAGCAGCUCCUCCUCUGCAGUACAGCAACAACAAGCAAGAGCAACAGUAAGGUAUACCUCCCUCUCCCUUCUCCCACACCCUCCUCUGCUCUCUUUCUUCUUUGCUGGACUGUUUUGUGCUAGCUGGUUGGUGGUUGCUCACUUGUCUCUUAUAGUGGUUAGUGCCUUAGUGGCCAGGCAUAUGUUAGUGAUUAGUUUAAUGAUAGUGGGGUUAGUGCCUUAGUGGAUGCUCCUUGGUUGAAUAAAAUAAUGCAUGCUGUUGGCCUGUUGGGUGGAUUAGAAUAAAGGCUAGUUGAAUACUGAUGCAUGAUGUGUUGUGCUCAACAAUGGAUUAGUUUAAUGACUAGUUGAAUGCUGAUUAGUUUAAUGGCUAGUUGAUUGUCGCUGUUUGCUACAUCUGCAUGAGUAGAGUAGUUUAGUUGCUGCCACAGCAGCCUUUUCAUAUGCCAUGGCAGCCCUUUUAUCAGUUAUGCUAAUAUUCCUUUGUGUUUGGUUGUUUGCUGCAGGUAGUAGAAGUGUAGCACCAUGGAUGGAAAUGCAGCAGCUGAUGGGGGUGAGCCCACCUACGAUCCAAUGAAAGAUCCAACAAGGAAGCCACAACGGUCAAAUGAUCCGGGAUGGAACUAUGGAUAUUGGUUUGAGCCUCCAAAUCGGGAUCUUGUUGUGUGCGCUCUUUGUGGCAAGAUAACUUCUGGAGGGAUCAAGAGGCAUAAAGAGCAUCUUGCGGGCGUCGGGGGAGAUGCAAUUGGUUGUCCUAAGGCCACCACACAAUUGAGGAGAGAAAUGGGAACAUAUUUGGAGCAAAAUAGGAGGAUCAAGGGAGUAGUAGAUGUAGAUGAUGUUCAGGAGGUUGUGGAGGUGAGUUCAGUUGGAGCAAACAUCGCCUCUAAAAGGCCAAGCUCAGGGACAGCAGCCAAACAGAAUAAGAAAGCGUUUAUCACCAACAUGCAAGGUAAAAAGAAGUCUGUUUCUGUUGUGUCUGCCGCCAAUAGUUCCAAGCCAAUUGUUGCCAUGCUACGAAGAACACCCGAGGAUCUUGUAGAUGAAAGACGCUCUGGGUGUUCUCAAAGCACCAUGGAGUCCAGCACAAAGACUCCAGAAGAGAGGCAGUAUGUCAAUAUGCAGUGGGCAUUGUUCUUUUACGAGUGUGGCAUUCCAUUCAACGCUGCAAGUAGUAGGCAGUUUGAGGUUGCAAUUGAAGCCUCUUGUCAAUAUGGGUCAGGUUACAAGCCUCCUAGUGCACAUGAGCUGAGAGAGAAAUUGCUUAAUGAUUGUGUGAAGGAAACAGGACUUUUGAGGAGGCAACACGAGGCAGCAUGGAAAAAAUAUGGAUGCACACUCAUGUCGGAUGGCUGGUCGGAUAAAAGAGGACGCCAUUUGAUUAACUUCCUUGUUAAUAGUCCAGAGGGCACUUUCUUCUUGGAGUCGGUUGAUGCCUCAAGUGUAUAUCAUGAUGGUGAUAUGAUAGCUGAUUUGCUUGAGAAGAGAAUUCUGGAUGUUGGAAAAGAGAAUGUGGUACAAGUUAUCACCGAUAAUGGUGCUAAUUACAAGAAAGCUGGCCACCUUCUAAUGGAGAGGAUGCCUACUCUAUAUUGGAGCCCGUGUGCAUGUCAUUGCUUGGACCUAAUGUUGGAAGAUAUAGGAAAGUUGAAGGCAUUUAAGAAGCCUAUUGCAGGGGCUAGACGUGUCACAACUUUCAUCUAUAGACAUGGAAGACUUCUUAGUCUAAUGAGGAAGGCCACGGGUGGGGAUCUUGUGAGACCAGCAGCCACUCGUUUUGCCACAGCCAUCCUCACACUUAGGAGUUUGGUCAAGAACAAGGCUGCAUUGAGGAGUUUAUUUACAUCUGAAGAAUGGGUUGGAAACAAGUUAGCAAAAACACAAGUUGGCUUGAAUGUGCAAGAGAUUAUACUUUCAACGGAGUGGUGGAGCGCAAUUGAGGACUGCCUUAGAGCUUCAACUCCACUUCUUAGAGUUCUUAGAGUAGCAGAUGGUGAUGAGAAGCCUGCCAUGCUAGAGAUUAAAGCACUUAUGAUUUAUGCAAAGGAGAGGAUCAAUCUAGGUUUCCCUCAACAAAACAAGCAACCAUUGCUCAAGAAGAUCUCGGCCAUUGUUGAUAAGCGUUGGGAGAAUCAAAUGGAUCAUCCAUUGUAUGGGGCUGCUCUAUUUUUGAACCCAGGAAAGUUCUUUCCUAUUGUAAGCAGAAAUGAUGAUGCCUUAGUUGGGGAGCUUAGGAGCUGCUUUAAUGAUGUGCUUGCAAAAAUGGUACCGGAUGCCAAUGUUCGAAAAAAGAUUGAUCAACAAUCUGUGCUCUAUGAGCAACAGCGAGAAAGCUUUUCUAAUCCAUUGGCACUUGAGACCAUGAGCACAAGAAACCCUCGUAAGUCAUAUUAAAUGCAUCAUGUUAAUUUCAGCAUGUUAAUUCCAGUUCCAGCAAUGUAAUUUCUGUACAAACUCUUAAUAUGUGUCAGUUUUUAUCAUUUUAGUUGAUUGGUGGAGUUCAUUUGGUGGUCGGGCCAUUGACCUGCAAAGGUUUGCAAAGCGCAUUGUUAGUCUUUGUGCUUCAUCAUCUGGUUGUGAGAGGAAUUGGAGCACGUUUGAAUUUGUAAGUCAACUAGUAAAGCAGUAUUUGUGUUUGUUCAAUGAUGAUUUCAGCAAGUUAUUUACUUAUUUCACUUGUUGUUUCUACUUUGUAGAUCCAUACAAAGAAAAGGAACAGAUUACAAUGGAAAAGGUUGAAUGAUCUUGUCUUUGUUUCAUACAACCGGAAGAAUAUGCAACGGUUUCAAAAGAGGCGUGAGAAGGUGGGCGAGAAUAGCUUUGAGGCUUUGGUCAUUGAGGAUUUUGAUUGGGGCAAUGAGUGGGUGGACCCAUCACUAUCACAACCUCAAGGUGCUCGAGGUUGUCCUGAAGACAAUCAAGACAUUACAUGGGAGGAUGUUGAUGUGGCUAUUGGUGCAUCUUCAAACCUUCGAGGCCGCAAUCUGCAUAGGACAGCAACUACACUUCGUAGGGGCCAGACAAAUGUCCGUCUGCACUACGCACGCAAGAGACCUACUACAACACGACCUAUAAUUCCUGAAGAAGAUGAGGUAGAGGAGGACUUGGAGCAAGAGCAACACUCAAGUAUGCCCAAUGCGGAGGGGGAGGAUUCAGACUACGUUGAGGAUGAUGAUGAUGUGAGCAAUGACGAUCAAGAGCCAACUAAUGUUGACCAAGAUGGUGAAGACAACACCAAUGCCAAUGAGUUUGAUGAUGAUGACUUUUGAUUGAGACUUUGAGAGUGGAGAGACAUGAGAGAGCUGAGCUGGCCACCUUUAUCCCUUUUGCUAUGCUGGAAUUAUCUAUUAUUCUGUUUGUCUUAUGUGGAAUUAUCUAUUAUUCUGUUUGUCUUAUGUGGACCAUUGCAGAUUGCAGUUGCACUCAUACUUGCUAUCUUUCUUUCCACUUUUGUUUGCUGCCUCACUUUUAUUUCUAUUUUUUGUGGAAUGUGCACUGGUAAGUGAUACAUUAUUCUAACAUAUUUGUUCAUGACUUCAUGUUGAUGCAGAAUUCUGUUGGGGAGAAAAGCAAGUGCAAAGAGGAUGGGGGCUCUACAACAAUCAGUUGCAAGGUGUGUAUGGCUGUAUGCCUACCAAAUUCUACUUAAUUCUGUUGCUUACAAGUCUCUAAGGCGUCGCCUCGCCUUAUGCCUCAGCGCUUAGGCAGUGAGGCGCCCCCCCAGCGCCUCGCCUCGCCUUACCGCCUUAAAAACAUAGCUCAGUGGUGUGUAUAAGAUUGAAAAGGAUAGACUCCUUUCUCUUAUACAGGCCCUGGACAUUAAGGCCGAGUCCACUAUUUUACUGCCAGCUGAGCUUCAGGUUAAAACUGAGGCGGAGAAGAGGUUGAACUGCUCCGCGAAGAAGAAUUGAAGUGGGCUUUGCGUGCUAAAGUCCGCAAAGUGGUCCAAGGGGACGCGAAUGCUCAAUUCUUUCAUCUGAUAGCUAAUGGUAAACACAGAAAGAAGCGUAUCUUUCAGCUUGAACAAGAUGAGGGCACUAUUUUAGGACAGGAUAACCUAAAAAUUUAUAUUACCAAGUAUUAUAAGCAGUUAUUUGGACCUCCGGAGGAUAAUUGUGUGUCCCUCGAUGAGUCCAGGACUGAGGAUGUGCCUCAGCUAUCGGCUGCCGAUAAUGAUAUUCUGGUUGCCCCGUUCUCAGAGAAGGAGGUGUUUGAUGCUAUUGCACAGAUGAAAAACAAUAAGGCUCCCGGACCGGAUGGAUUCCCGGCCGAGUUCUAUAAAAAGUGCUGGCACAUUAUUAAGGGGGAUUUGCUACAUAUGUUCCAUGAUCUGUUCUCUGGACAGCUUCAGUUAUUUCACUUGAAUUUUGGAACUAUCACACUACUUCCUAAGAAAAUGGAUGUUGUGCGAAUUGAGCAAUUCAGGCCGAUCUGCCUCCUCAAUGUUAGUUUCAAAAUUUUCACCAAGGUAGGGACUAAUAGGCUCACACAGAUUGCGCAUUCUGUGGUGCAACAGUCCCAAACUGCUUUCAUGCCGGACAGAAAUAUCCUUGAAGGGGUGGUCGUCCUGCAUGAAACGCUCCAUGAAAUCCAUUCCAAAAAAUUAGAUGGAGUAAUUUUUAAGGUGGAUUUCAAGAAAGCGUACGAUAAGGUCAAAUGGCCAUUCCUCCAACAGUCAUUGCGUAUGAAAGGUUUUGAUGAAGCCUGGCGCCGACAAGUUGACUCAUUUACGCAAAAAGGUAGUGUGGGAAUUAAAGUUAAUGAUGACAUAGGUCAUUACUUCCAGACACAUAAAGGCCUAAGACAAGGAGAUCCGAUGUCCCCUAUCUUGUUUAACAUUGUGGUGGAUAUGUUAGCAAUUUUGAUAGGAAGGGCUAAGGAAAAUGGUCAAGUAGGUGGAUUGAUACCUCAUCUUGUUGAUGGAGGUGUUUCCAUCCUUCAGUACGCUGAUGAUACAAUUAUCUUUAUGGAGCAUGACUUGGCCAAGGCAAGAAAUAUGAAGCUUGUGUUAUGCCUAUUUGAACAAUUGACCGGGUUAAAGAUUAACUUUCAUAAGAGCGAGCUGUUCUGCUUUGGUAGAGCCAAAGACGAACAGGAGGCUUAUAGGCAAUUGUUUGGGUGCGAGUUGGGAGAGUUACCCUUCUCUUAUCUGGGUAUUCCAAUCCACCAUCGUAGGCUGACAAACAAAGAGUGGAAGUGCAUCCGGGACCGAUUUGAGAAGAAACUGAGUUGUUGGAAGGGUAAGCUCAUGUCAUACGGAGGCCGAUUAAUCCUGAUUAAUUCGGUGCUCACGAGUAUGCCUAUGUUUCUCCUAUCGUUCUUUGAGGUCCUAGUUGGGGUUAGGAAGAGACUGGACUUCUAUCGAUCGCGUUUCUUUUGGCAGGGUGAUGAGCUUAAACGAAAAUAUCGGCUUGCUAAAUGGGAUAUCAUUUGUAGACCGAAAGACCAAGGGGGUCUCAGUAUUGAGAAUCUAGAAGUUAAGAAUAGAUGCCUUCUUAGCAAGUGGUUGUGGAAGCUCUCAACGGAGAAUGAUGCCAUGUGGGCUCAAAUCCUUCGUACCAAGUACCUCCAGACAAAAACUUUGUCCCGGGUUACAGUCAGGCCGACCGAUUCACCUUUCUGGAAAGGUCUGAUGAAAGUCAAACAAUCUUUGUUUAAUAGGAUGAAGUUUGUUAUUGGAAACGGCACUAGUACACGUUUCUGGGAGGAUACUUGGCUCGGCGAGACACCUUUGGCCAUCCAAUAUCCGUCUUUGUACCGUAUUGUUCAACGACGUGAAGUGUUCGUCGCAUCGGUAUUUCAAUCUAUCCCCCUUAAUAUUCAAUUCCGACGGACGCUAGCGGGCAAUCAUUGGGAAGAAUGGCUCCGUCUAGUUAGGAGACUGAUGGAGGUCCAGCUUUCCCAACAACCCGAUGAAGUACGCUGGAAAUUGACUAAGUCCAGAGUAUUCACUGUUAAAUCAAUGUAUAUUGAUGUUAUUAAUUCAAACUCCAUUCCUACUUCCAAGCAUGUUUGGGAUGUCAAAGUUCCUUUGAAAAUAAAAGUGUUUAUGUGGUUUGUCCAUAAACAAGUUAUUUUAACCAAGGACAACUUGAUAAAGCGUAAUUGGACAGGACCUACUAGGUGUAGUUUCUGUGUUCGGGAUGAGACAAUCAAACACCUUUUUUUCGAUUGCCCGUUGGCCAAAGUACUUUGGCAGACGGUCCACAUUGCUUUUAAUAUCAAUCCACCGAAUUCUGUUAACGCGUUAUUUGGGACAUGGCUUAAUGGGAUUGAGCCUGACUUCGCGAGACACAUUCGGGUUGGAGUUUGUGCCUUGCUGUGGACUAUCUGGACUUGCAGAAAUGAUUUGGUUUUUAACAGAAUAUCAUGUAUCCAUUUUUUGCAGGUUAUAUUCCGAACUACGGCACUGAUCCGUUCGUGGUCGCUACUCACCCCGACGGAGGCCAGGGAGCAUUUGGUUACUGGGUCUUUCCGCUGGGAGAUGGUAGCUCGGGAUAUCUUCAACCGGUUUGGAUGGCGGUCAUGUAAUAGGAUAGGCAUGUAGUUUACCUAUCUAGUUCUAGCCAGCCGGUUGUGGCGUCUUUUCAUGGCUAGUGGGUGUUUCUAGCCUUUUUGGCUCUGUGUGAGCUUUCUUUGCUUCGUUAUUACUUGUGGAGACCUUCGAACCAUGUUGGCACUACUUUAUUUGGUUAAUAAGAUGGCCGUAUGCAUUUUUCUGAUGCAGAGGCCGGGGAAUUCCCCCUUUUCGAAAAAAAGGCACAUAUUGGAGAAAAUUCCUUAUUUGACACUGUCUUAAAAUCGGGUUCCUUAUUUGACACUGGAAAAGUUUUUCUUCCCUAUUUGACACUAGUCCUAAAUUUUAUUCCCUAUACGACACUUCCGUUCAUUUUGAGUCUAAAUGACACCUGAAAAGACGAUUUUGCCCCUCAUGUGGUAUGUGUGCGCGCGUGCGUGUGCUGUUGCGUGUGUGGGUGCAGGCGCACAUGUGUGCUGCUGCUGCAUGUGUGUGUGCAUGUGUGCUGCUGCGUGUGUGUUUGCUACUGCGUGUGUACGUGCGCGUGUGUGUGUUGUUGCGUGCCUAUGUGUUGCCUGCGUGUGUGCUGCUGCGUGUGUGUGUAUGUGGGUGUGUGCUGCGUGCGUGUGUGUUGCUGCGUGUGUGUGUGUGUGCGUGUGUGUGUGUUGCACGCGCGCGUGCGUGUGUGUGCGCGUGCGUGUGUGUUGGUGCAUGUGUAUGUGUUGAUGCGUGUGUGCUUCUGCUUUCGCACUGAUGCUGCGUGUGUGCGCUAUUGCCCCCCACACACAUACCACAUGAGGGGCAAAAGAGUCUUUUCAGGUGUCAUUUAGGCUUAAAAUGGACGAAAAUGUCAUAUAGGGAAUAAAAUUUAGAACUUGUGUCAAAUAAAGAAGAAAAACUUUUCCAGUGUCAAAUAAGGAAGCAGAUUUUAAAAGGAAAACUUCUCCACAUAUUGUGCCCCUCUUCUUUUUAUUUAUUUCCCAAUCCAGCAUACAAUCUCACAGCCCUUGUGCACGUAUAUAUGAGACCAAAGCUAGCUAAAGCUAGACCUACUCAACUUAGGACAAUUAGCAGUUAGCACAACUCGGAAUCGAAUUACUACUGAGUCCUGGCCAGCACGUAGACCUAUACUCAUAUCCGAAUCAACUAGCACCAAGGCAUGGAAAAUCGGAAACCAACUCCAACACAUGCCCGUAAAAAAAACUGUCCUAAUUAGAACUAACUAAACCCUAAUCGGACUAGCAUUACUUAGACUUACGGCAAGCAAACACAAACCUGAUUACAAUUCAACUGGACUGCAUUAGAGGCAAUAUUGUCUCCAACAAAGCAUGCAUACACAUGCCCAGUAAUCGAUGAUACAAUGACAAAUAUAUGAAUGAACGUUUCCGGGAAUUAAAUAUUUUUUCAUUGCUAAAAUAAAAUGUGGUGACAAAUAAACCUACAAAGUGGUAAAUAGUUUAUUAAAGUCAUGAAAGUAAACAAAAUUCUAAUUAGCAGUUGCCAUGGAAUAAAUCUCACUCCCGGAGAUGGUCAUACCUCAUUUUCUGAUAUAGCUCCUGAAGGAAUAGGACGAUAAGGCUCAUUAAUAGCGUCGAUGUCUCGGUCAUACCAGUCAUUAAUUGUCUACAAGCAAUAAUUUUUGAAGCUGACAUAUUCUUUAGUAAAAAUAGUUUUCCAUGAAACAUGUGAGGUUGCAAAAUAUGAAUAGAUCAAACACGAUGAAUCUAAAAUAAACCUGCGUGUAUCCUGUAAGACAUGGACCAGACAUUAACAUGCAAACAAUAGAUUUUGCAACAUCUUCAACUGUCCAGUGGAAAUUUCCUGCAGCAUGAGAGGUUCAAAUAAGCAUAACAGUUGCAUUGUACACCAAGAGGAACAGCAUUCAUUAGCACAGAAGCCAUAAUGGUAUUGUAUUCUCAUCCUAAACGCUAGAAGUUCUAGACGUCUGACAAGAGGGGAGAAUAGUAUUGUUGAGUUGCCAUGUGUUGUUUUGUUGCAGAAAUUGGGUGAAGUUUCCUGUAGUCAAUCAAUAUUCAAUUCUUUGGUCCACUCCAAAAUAAAUAUAUGGGACCAAGGAUAGUGAGAAAGAUACUGUAGGCCCACAGAUCAUAUCGACACCAUUGCAAGCCAGCACAACUUAAAUCACCAUGUUACAGAUGACUAGCAAAUCUAAGGAAUGUGGCACAAUGUAACAACGAUGCAUCUCAUGGAAAAAUAUAGCUGUCCAACUCCAACUCCAACUCCACUUAAGUAUAAACUAUUCAUGUACAGAUAGAAACCAUAAUAGUCGAUAAAGCAUACCAGAGGCAGCUGCUCCACAAAGUACACCCCAGACAAGCGGAGGCCAUGUCACCGGCUUAGUAAGUUGAAGGCGGAUCUUCCAUAUGUUCUGUAUAUGCAGCAUGAUAAAGAGGGGGUUAAUGAGCAAAUUAUCAUUUCUAGUCCCUACACAAAAUUAGCUAGAUAGUGAUUAGUCUAAGCACAAAGCUAGUACACACAAGCCAUGCUCGCAACUCCAUAAAACAUACUCCACAAAAAGGUGAAAUUCAUAAAUUUCAGCAUCCACAGCCAGACACUUUGCAUCUGCUGCAUGCUGAAUCCCGAAUUCAACGCAUGCCUGACCAACCAGCCAACUAACAAACGACUCCGAUUUGGAUCCAUAAAUACUAAUAUUGCGAUGAGAAACCAGUUCAUGGGAGCAGAUUAAUGACUCACGUCUUCUUGCUUGGCGCCCUUGAUUCCGAGCAGCUGGUUGAAGCUCGAACCCGCCGCCGGCGCCUUCUCCGGGACCUUCGGCUUCGUUGCUACCGUGCCCAACACAGUAAAACAAAUCACACGUCAGAACUUCAGCCGAAACGCCCAGGAAUCAAUCGCGGAACAAGCUGAACUUCACAAGGAACGGCGCGCACUUUCUUUAGCGUCGGCGUCGGCCGCGCGGACCACCGGGAACGGCCGCCGCCCUGCGAACGGAACUCACGUGCAUCAGCACAAGACGCGGCAGCAUAGAUACACAGUAAAGUAAUAGGCCAGAGAGGAAGAGGGUAUACGGCUGAGGGUUAGAGAAGGAGGCGGCAGGGAGAGGAAGCGGAGAGGGGGGCGGAAGGCGGCGGAGGAGGAAGAUGUGGCGGCGGCGGCGGCGAGGAAGUGGGAGGUGGCCAUGGGGAAGCGGGGGAAGAGGAGACGGCCACUAGCUGCUUGGAGUGGACAGUGGGAAGUGGGAGGGGGAGGAUAACGCCGGCGCAAUUCGUGCCUGUUGGCCGGCUUUGCCCGCCCAAGCCUAGAAUUGGAAUGGUUCCGGGAAAUGGAUUUAACUAUACCGAUACCGAAUUGGAUUUAUAGUUUCGUGUAGAAUAUUAAUUCAGUCAUUAUGAUUUUCAUUAUGUAACAAAUGUUUGCAUGAGAAAACUGUUAGGGCAUCUCCAAUGCUGACAAUCAAACUAUCGACAUCCGUCUCAACUCGUUCUACUCUCGCAAGUAUUCGCAACUACCAAAAAAGAACUAAAAUAAAUCUAAACAUAGUAUAAAACAUAUGAAUCCAAAUCAGCUUCUUACGAAAUAGCGCAUAAACUAGGGUUUAAGUUUCUGUCACUCUAACAACUCAUCAUCUAAUAAGUACUACCUUCGUUCGGGUUUAUUGGGCCUGCUAGCCACCCAACUGCGUCCAUUUUAACAAGGCCGCUAGACAAUUACCUCAAUUCCCUUCGCUAGGCAUGUGCACGAUUGGUUGAAAAUGCGAGCGGCCAGCUGCAUGCAGAAUCGGAAUACCAACCAGCUUCAUGCAAUGAAUAUGGACUGGUCUGUUACUGCUGGACGUGGCCAUGAUUGGCUGCAUGCAAAAAAGGAAGCGGGCACCCGCUGCAUGCGCUAGUCUGGUUGGCUUCGAAAUCACGCAGUAGCAGCGUUAAUAUCUUGUCAUGGUCUUUGUGUUUUGGCUAAAGGGCUCAAUAAAUACGGAGUCCCGGAUGAGAUCACGGACAUGACAAAGAGUCUCGAAAUGGUCGAGACAUAAAGAUUCAUAUAUUGUAAGGCUACAUUCGGACACCGGAAUGGUUCGGGUCGUUUCAGAUAAGUUUCAGAGUACCGGAACACACCCCCCCCCUCAGAGAAGUUAUUGGGUCUCAUGGGCAAAAUGGUGGAAGAGAGGAGGCGGUCCAAGGUGUGGCACGCGCCCCCCUAGCCCAAACCGAAUUGGACUAGGGCUAGGGGAGCGCCCCCCCCCCCCUUCCUUCUCUUCUUCCUCUCCUUCCUUCUUCUCCUACUAGGACUAGGAAAGGGGGAACCUACUCCUACUAGGAGUAGGAUCCCCCCCUUGGGCGCGCCCCUUGUGGCCGGCCCUCCUCCUCCUCCCCUCCUUUAUAUACGGGGGAGGGGGCACCCCAUAGACACACAAGUUAAUCUUUAGCCGUGUGCGGUGUCCCCCUCCACAGUUUUCCACCUUGGUCAUAUUGUCGUAGUGCUUAGGCGAAGCCCUGCGUCGGGAACUUCAUCAUCACCGUUAACACACCGUCAUGCUGAUGGAACUCACCCUCGGCCUUAGUUGGAUCAAGAGUACGAGGGACGUCACCGAGCUGAAGGUGUGUAGAUCGCGGAGGUGUCGUGCGUUCGGUACUUGAUUGGUUGGAUCUCAAAGACGUUCGACUACAUCAACCGCGUUACUAAACGCUUCCGCUAUCGGUCUACGAGGGUACGUAGACAUAAUCUCUCCUCUCGUUGCUAUGCAUCUCCUAGAUAUAUCUUGCGUGGUCGUAGGAAAUUUUUUGAAAUACUGCGUUCCCCAACAGUGGCAUCCGAGACAGGUCUAUGCGUAGAUGUUAUAUGCACGAGUAGAACACAAAGAAUUGUGGGCGAUAAUAGUGAUACUGCUUACCAGCAUGUCAUACUUUGAUUCGGCGGUAUUGUUGGAUGAAGCGGCCCAGACCGACAUUACAUGACCAUGUUCAUGAGACUGGUUCUAUCGAUGUGUUUCGCACAUAGGUGGCUAGUGGGUGUCUCUUUCUCCAGCUUUAGUUGAAUCGAGUGUGACUACGCCCGGUCCUUGUUGAAGGUUAAAACAGCACACUUGACGAAAAUUCGUUGUAGUUUUUGAUGCGUAGGUAAGAACGGUUCUUACUAAGCCCGUAGCAGCCACGUAAAACUUGCAACAACAAAGUAGAGGACGUCUAACUUGUUUUUGCAGGGCAUGUUGUGAUGUGAUAUGGUCAAGACGUGAUUAUAUAAAUUGUUGUAUGAGAUGAUCAUGUUUUGUAACAAAGUUAUCGGCAACUGGCAGGAGCCAUAUGGUUGUCGCUUUAUUGUAUGAGAUGCAAUCGCCAUGUAAUUGCUUUACUUUGUUACUAAGCGGUAGCGAUAGUCGUAGAAGCAAUAGGUGGUGAGACGACAACGAUGCGACGAUGGAGAUCAAGGUGUCAAGCCGGUGACGAUGGUGAUCAUGACGGUGCUUUGGAGAUGGAGAUCAAAAGCACAAGAUGAUGAUGGCCAUAUCAUAUCACUUAUAUUGAUUGCACGUGAUGUUUAUCCUUUAUGCAUCUCUUUUGCUUAGUACAGUGGUAGCAUUAUAAGAUGAUCUCUCACUAAAUUUCAAGGUACAAGUGUUCUCCCUGAGUAUGCACCGUUGCUACAGUUCAUCGUGCCGAGACACCACGUGAUGAUCGGGUGUGAUAAGCUCUAUGUUCACAUACAACGGGUGCAAACCAGUUUUGCACACACAGAAUACUCGGGUUAAAGUUGAUGAGCCUAGCAUAUUCAGAUAUGGCCUCAGAACACUGAGACCGAAAGGUCGAGCGUGAAUCAUAUAGUAGAUAUAAUCAACAUAGUUAUGUUCACCAUUGAAAACUACUCCAUCUCACGUGAUAAUUGGACAUGGUUUAGUUGAUAUGGAUCACGUGAUCACUUAGAUGAUUAGAGGGAUGUCUAUCUAAGUGGGAGUUCUUAAGUAAUAUGAUUAAUUAAACUUUAAUUUAUCAUGAACUUAGUACCUGAUAGUAUUUUGCAUGUCUAUGUUAUUGUAGAUAAAUGGCCCGUGCUACUGUUCCUUUGAAUUUUAAUGUGUUCCUAGAGAGAGCUAAGUUGAAAGAUGAUGGUAGGAACUACAUGGACUGGGUCCGUAACUUGAGGAUUAUCCUCAUUGCUGCACAGAAGAAUUACGUCCUGGAAGCACAGCCAGGUGCAAAGCCCGCUGUAGGAGCAACACCAGAUGUUAUGAACGUCUGGCAGAGCAAAUCUGAUGAAUACUCGAUAGUUCAGUGUGCCAUGCUUUACGACUUAGAAUCGGGACUUCAACGACGUUUUGAACGUCAUGGAGCAUAUGAGAUGUUCCAGGAGUUGAAGUUAAUGUUUCAAGCAAAUGCCCGAAUUGAGAGAUAUGAAGUCUCCAAUAAAUUCUAUAGCUACAAGAUGGAGGAGAAUAGUUAUGUCAGUGAACAUAUACUCAGAAUGUCUGGGUACCACAACCACUUGACUCAACUGGGAGUUAAUCUUCCUGUUGAUAGUGUCAUUGACAGAGUUCUUCAAUCACUGCCACCAAGCUACAAAAGCUUCGUGAUGAACUAUAAUAUGAAAGGGAUGGAUAAGACAAUUCCCGAGCUCUUCGCAAUGCUAAAGGCCGCAGAGGUAGAAAUCAAGAAGGAGCAUCAAGUGUUGAUGGCCAACAAGACCACUAGUUUCAAGAAGAAGGGCAAAGGGAAGAAGGGGGACUUCAAGAAGAACGGCAAGCAAGUUGCUGCUCAAGUAAAGAAGCCCAAGUCUGGAACUAAGCCUGAGACUGAGUGCUUCUACUGCAAAAGGACUGGUCACUGGAAGCGGAACUGCCCCAAGUAUUUGACGGAUAAGAAGGAUGGCAAAGUGUAAGGUAUAUUUGAUAUACAUGUUAUUGAUGUGUACCUUACUAAUGCUCGCAGUAGCGCCUGGGUAUUUGAUACUGGUUAUGUUGCUCAUAUUUACAACUCGAAACAGGGGCUACAGAUUAAGCGGAGAUUGGCUAAUGACGAGGUGACUAUGCGCGUGGGGAAUGGUUCCAAAGUCGAUGUGAUCGCGGUCGGCAUGCUACAUCUACAUCUACCUUCGAGAUUAGUUUUAGACCUGAAUAAUUGUUAUUUAGUGCCAUCGUUAAGCAUGAACAUUAUAUCUGGAUCUUGUUUGAUGCGAGACGGUUAUUCAUUUAAACAGAGAAUAAUGGUUGUUCUAUUUAUAUGAGUAAUAUCUUUUAUGGUCAUGCACCCUUGAUGAGUGGUCUAUUUUUAUUGAAUCUCGAUAGUAGUGAUACACAUAUUAAUAGUAUUGAAGCCAAAAGAUAUAAGUUUAAUAAUGAUAGAGCAACUUAUUUGUGGCACUGCCGUUUGGGUCAUAUUGGUGUAAAGCGCAUGAAGAAACUCCAUUUUGAUGGGCUUUUGGAAUCAUUUGAUGCUUGCGAACCAUGCCUCAUGGGCAAGAUGACUAAAACUCCGUUCUCCGGAACAAUGGAACGUGCAACAGACUUAUUGGAAACAAUACAUACUGAUGUAUGCGGUCCGAUGAGUGUUGAUGCUCAUGGUGGGUAUCGUUAUUUUCUGACUUUCACAGAUGAUUUGAGAAGAUAUGGGUAUAUCUACUUGAUGAAACAUAAGUCUGAAACAUUUGAAACGUUCAAAGAAUUUCAGAGUGAAGUGGAAAAUCAUCAUAACAAGAAAAUUAAGUUUCUACGAUCUGAUCGUAGACGUGAAUAUUUGAGUUAUGAGUUUGGUAUUCAUUUGAAACAAUGCAGAAUAGUUUCGCAACUCACGCCACCUGGACCACCACAGCGUAAUGGUGUGUCCGAAUGUCGUAAUCGCACUUUAUUAGAUAUGGUGCGAUCUAUGAUGUCUCUUACUGAUUUACCGCUAUCGUUUUGGGGUUAUGCUUUAGAAACGGCUGCAUUCACGUUAAAUAGGGCACCAUCAAAAUCCGUUGAGACAACACCAUAUGAACUGUGGUUUAGCAAGAAACCCAGGUUAUCGUUUCUUAAAGUUUGGGGCUGCGAUGCUUAUGUGAAAAAGCUUCAACCUGAUAAGCUCGAACCCAAAUCAGAGAAAUGUGUCUUCAUAGGAUACCCAAAGGAAAUUGUGUUGGGGAACGUAGUAAUUUCAAAAAAAAUCCUACGCACACGCAAAAUCAUGGUGAUGCAUAGCAAGGAGAGGGAAGAGUAUCGUCCAUGUACCCUCGUAGACCAUAAGCGGAAGCGUUAUGAGAACGCGGUUGAUGUAGUCAUACGUCUUCACGAUCCGACUGAUCCAAGUACCAAAUGUACGGCACCUCCGAGUUCAGCACAUGUUCAGCUCGAUGACGUCCCACAAACUCCGAUCCAGUAGAGCUUCACGGGAGAGUUCCGUCAGCAUGACGGUGUGAUGACAGUGAUGAUGUUGCUACCGACACAGGGCUUCGCCUAAGCACCGCUACGAUAUGAUCGAGGUGGAUUAUGGUGGAGGAGGGUGUCGGUGUCAAAAUCGGCGGAUCUCGGGUAGGGGGUCCCGAACUGUGCGUCUGAGGUCGAUGGUAACAGGAGACAGGGGACAUAAUGUUUUACCCAGGUUCGGGCCCUCUCUAUGAAGGUAAUACCCUACGCCCUGCUUGACUGAUCUUGAUGAAUAUGAGUAUUACAAGAGUUGAUCUACCACGAGAUCGUAAUGGCUAAACCUUAGAGGCCUAGCUUGUGUGGUUAUGAUAAUGUCCUUCUCUCCGGACUAAGUUCUCUGGUUUAUAUAGACACCGGGAGGAUCUAGGGUUACACAAGGUCGGUUACAAAGAAAGGCAUCUACAUAUUUAGUCGCCAAGCUUGCCUUCCACGCCAAGGAGAGUCCCAUCCGGACACGGGUGCGGUCUCCGGUCUUCGUAUCUUCAGAGCCCAUCAGUCCGGCCCAUGGCUAACAGGCCGGACGCCCGAUGACCCCUUAGUCCAGGACUCCCUUAGUAGCCCCUGAACCUAGCUUCAAUGACAAGGUAUCUGGCGCGUAGGCCUGUCUUCGGCAUUGCAAGGCGGGUUCCUCCUUCCGAAUUCCAAAAUAGUCUUCGGACGUAUCGACGUGUCCGGACCUGUAAUACAUACCACACACAACCAUAGAGAGAAUAUAAGUUUACACGAGUCCAAUCUGCUGACAACUCUCUGUAACAUGACAUCACAUCUGUUCGGUCAUAAUUUCGAACCGUUUUUCGUCUGCUGCUCCAUGUUUCGAGACGCGGUUGCCAUUGGCACGUCUUGUCAAAGCGGAGAUCGUGUCCCCUUAUUACGGGAUUCUCAUCAAUAUGGGUGUGGGUAACCCAACCGUGCCGUUUACACAGCCCUUGGGAGUAGACGAAUUUUAAGGCGAGUGGGGAGGCGUCCAAUAUUUACUGCCUAUAUAAGGAGAUAAGAAUCCCUUUUCUUCACCCACGCCUUCUCUCUUCCUCUGCCCUUCCAUUCUUGAGCUCCAGCGCCCAAGUUCUCAUCUUCUCCGUCUCGAGCAAGCACUCAACCAUGUUCGGAUCCAGAGGUCAAGGCAAGUGGAUGGCCUCCUCCGUCCAGGAGGAGGACAUCGCCGAGCUUCGGGCGGCCGGGUACCUGGCGAAGGGAAUCGCCCACCGCCUUCCGGCCCAGGGACAAAUCGUUCCCACGCCGAAGCCCAACGAGAGGGUAGUAUUCAUCCCUCAUUUCCUCCGCGGGCUAGGGUUUCCACUCCACCCCUUCGUCCGCGGGAUGAUGUUCUACUACGGGAUAGACUUCCAUGAUCUAUCCCCGAACUCCCUCCUCAACAUCUCGCUGUUCAUCGUCGUGUGUGAGGCCUUCCUCCGCAUCCAAACCCACUUCGGGCUGUGGCUCAAGGUCUUAAAUGUGAAGUCGAAGGUGGUGGAUGGCUAGCACGCGGAGUGCGGAGGCGCCAUGGUGAGCGAGCUGGCCAAUGUCUCCUGGACAAAAGGCACUUUUGUGGAGACUGUGAAAGAAUGGCAGAAACAUUGGUUCUAUAUCACAGAACCCCGUGGCACCACCUGGGCCGCAACUGCCGAAUUCAACUCUGGCGCUCCCAUGUGACUCACCUCCUGGGUUGAGAAGGGCCCGAACUGGUGUUCGCCAGACGAGCUGACAGCGCUGCAAAUGUGCAUUCAAAGCAUGGUGGAUAAAGAUAUCAAACUCGUCGAUAUAAUCCAGGUGAUGCUAGUUCGCCGAAUUCUCCCAUGCCAAAGCCGAAGCCGCCCUCUAUGGGAGUUCAAUUCAAAGAUGUACCAUACCCUGAAGAGGCUCUUCGAAACCACUCAUGAAGAUUCCUGGAGGUUGCUUUUUAAGGGCAACGAAACACCGCCGACCACAGAUUCGGACCGCGGUCAUGACAUUAACCACCUCGCCAACGAGGUAUGUUAUUCUUACUGCAUCCCUUACUUGCCUGUUUCAAGGAUGAUGACUAAGUUAUCAUCACCGUUUCUUCAGGACUGGAUGGAGAGGGCGAAGCCGUUCCAAUGUCCGGCUCCGCUUCCUGAAGAACCAGUCAUCCCGCGUUUAGCGAAGAUGCUGGUGCCAGCACCCUACAAGGCACCGGAGAAGAAGGCCACAGGGAAGGCCAAGGGGGUCUGGAGCGUCCCCCGCCGCAAGGAUGCUUCAGACACAAUGUCCGAAGACAAGACUCAGUCCUCCGCCGCCGAAAACGAUGACGAUGAGGAGGAGGAAAACAACCCUUCCCCUGAUGAGGGUAAGAAAAAUAGGGCAGACUCCACCAUUCUGGAGGCGGAGGCGCCCAAGAAGGGGAAAGGCCCACUCGUGGGCAGCUCCGCAUGGGCGUUGAAAGCAGUCCGGAGCAACGCCCCCGCACUAAGCCGCGGGCCGCAUCGUAAGUGCUAAGACUUAUAUACACCCAUAAAGUUUCUCCUCCUCAUUGCAUUAACAUGAUUGGUUAUGUUAUUGUAGUCCGGCCCACAACAGCUCCCCGCGAUCCUCGUCAGGAGGUUUGCUGGAUUCCAAGCCGAUGACCAACGAGUCACCGCCGGCCGCUCACUCCCCCAAGGCCAAAGAUGAUGCGGAGGUGCUGUCCCGAAGGACUGUUCCAGGCAGGGGAGAGGCUCGGGAGGUGCCAGAAGGCGAAACCCCCGUCAUCGGACACCAGGGGGAAUCAAUCCCCAAGGAGACUGGUGGGGAGGGCCGUAUUCAGUUCGGCCCUCAGCCGGACUCGAUUCCAGAGACCGAUGCGGCUCCGGAAUCCAGCACGCAACCUCCUUCGAAAGAAGGGGGGAUGCCUAUUCCGCCGGUGACCCCUGUCCAACCAGGGGCACCGGAUAAUCUACUAGAAGCACUGCGAGGUGCUUCCAUUGUGGAUGAGCACUGUGUCCUUAUGGGCACGGUAAUUGAAAGGGUUCAGUCCGCCAAGAGCGGACUAACCGAAGCAUGCAGCAGCCUGCUGACAGGUUUUGAGGUAAGCGACAUAAAAAAGAGAAAAUCCCAAUAUAGACAGUAGCCCUUGAGACACUGUCCGGUGUUCAGAGAGAAAAAGCCGGACAGAGGAUCAAUCUCCUAUUGCAGGAAACUAACUAAUUUUUUCUAAAAUGUAAACACAGGCGUCGCUGUUGGCCGUAGCCUCGCAUACUGCCGAAAUUUCCGGACUGAAGCAGAAACUGGCGGAGGCCAAGGAGGAGCUAGGCCAAGUGAAGAGGCAGCUUCAGGAAAAACAAGGUAAGUAAUAACCUGUUAUGUUCGAAAAAAGGAAACUGAUAUGCAAUGACCGAAAUGCCAUGAUGUGUACAGAGGCUACGACCGAGGUCGAGGCCCUGAGAACGGCCCUGGUCGAAGCCGAAGGGAAGGCUGUCAAGGAGCAGGCCGCUCGGAAGAAGCUCAUGGCCUGGGUCAACAAGGUCCAACAGGAGCUCGAGGAUGCGGUGAAGAAGUGCGAGGCCUUUGAGUGCGAUGCAUCGGUUCAAGAGACCGAACUUGCCAAGGCUCGUCAGAGUGCGGAGGCAGCCCGGAAUGAGGCCCAGGGCUUCCUCUAGGAGAUCCGGGAGGCCAGGAAGAUCGUGGCGGGUAAGGCAUUCAACAUGCAAAGCAAGAAUGCAAAGAUGAAAUAUCGUUUACUAACCCGGAUUCAGAGUUCUCCAUGGGCUUUUACUGAUCUGCCACGCAGUGUGGCUGACGCCGCAGAGUUCUUCCGAGCCGAAGAAGAGAGCUCCAUGGAGAAGCUGUUCUGGUCGCAAUAUCUUGUGCCAGAGCAUCCGGUGUCUUUCAGCGAUCAGCUAAAACAGCUGGUCGAGCUGCAUAGGGUGGCCGAACUGGCCAUGAAGGAUUUAAUAAUCCGGUUGUGGCCAGCUGAAGCUAUACCCGGCAGUUACUUCGGUCUCGUGAAGUGACUAGUGGAUGUUUGUCCUCGGCUGGACGUCAUCAAGUGGUUCGUCUGCAUCGAGGGCGCACAUCUGGCCUUCUUCUAUUGCAAGGUCUGGUAGGCGAAGCUUGACGCUGUUAAAUUAGCAACCGAGGGGCCGCCGGAGGGCAAGGAGCACCGCACACCCGAGCGAUACUUCGGCGAUGUCUUGGAGGGGUCCUGCAUUAUUGCGGAUCAUUGUGCGAAAGACACUAUCUUUGAAUGAAUGUAUUCGAGCUCCCUCUACCUUGUAUGAUAAAACAAAGUGAUUGUGCAAUGUAAUGCUUGUUAUGUUUUUAUAUUUUACUUCCUGUGCGGCCGUGUUGUAUGAAAUCUAAGGGUUAACCAGUCGUCAGCUUCUGCCCCCAUGUAGGUAGUAUGAGGGUGUUCGGGAUGGAAUCUAAACAAUCUUGAUCCAAUUAGAUGGUCCUUGAAGGAGUUGUUUAGCGCAACGAACCAGUAACCAGACUAUGCGGCUGUAACGCCCUCACUUAGCCAUAGGAGUUCGACAAUAAAAACAUGGGCGCAACCCCUAGUAUCCGAACUAGAGUGCUAUGAGCGUCUGAUUGGGAAGUACCAAUCCUUCGCGUAAUGCGGAAGAAAUCUCGAACGAUUUGUAACCUCCGAACAGCUGACCGGCUCUCGCCGCAUCAUGACAGUCAGUUUUCGGCUUUCUCUAUCGAGGUGCUCCUUUGGAUAAACCAAGGCACAAUCGCAGUAGUUCUCCCUUUACUACCUUAGCCGAUAUAGCAGAACGUAAGGUAGCAAGCACAGGAGCCGGGCAACCCAACUAUUGACCAAAGACAUGAUUCGGAGCCAAUGCAUAUAAUGCUAAAUUCGGGGUGCCGAACUAUACUUAUAAAAAGUGUUCAGACUUUUGUUGUCAUAACGUGGGGUGCUAUGAAGCCCCUGGCCAACAUCAAACAUAUCAAAGUGUACGGAUGCUACCUGAUAGGGUUAUCCACAUGGGAGCUGAAAAGGAGAAAGAAGACAAAAAAGGUACAUGUCGGAUUUCGGGUUCCGCCAGACCCUUGAGGUUCGAACACUGGGGUGCGCGCGGAGAUUUCGCCUCCUACCUACCUGCACCCCUCCGCCUUGAGGAUCUGAACUAUGGAAAGAACAACACAAGAGACACAGGGUUUAUACUGGUUCGGGCCACCGUUGUGGUGUAAUACCCUACUCCAGUGUGUGGUGUGGUGGAUUGCCUCUUGGGCUGAUGAUGAUGAACAAUAAAAGGAAGAACAGCCUCGCGAGGGUCUGUUCUUGGCUGGGGCGAUGAACUGCUAGGAGGAGCUCAGUCACCUUUCUCUCUCUAUCUUUCUGAUCUUCUCUCUCUCUCUUUCCCUGCCUGCCCCCCUUGCUCUGUGGGUGGCUGGUCCUAUUUAUAGAGGCCCUGGUCCUCUUCCCAGAUAUCGAGCGGGAAGGGAGCCAACAAUGGCAGGCUAAUUUGAAGGGGGACAACCAGUAUCAACUAUCCUGACAAAAGUAGUCUUCGCCUAUGCAAAGCUCUGGUGAUGACGCCGUCUUGGGCUCCACGGUGACCUCCAUCUCGUAGUCCUCCUGGUCUUGGUCUUGUUGCACCAAAAUGGCAACCUUUGCCUGAUGCCUCGGUACUCCGCGGCUGCGCUUGCCCCCUUUGCACCAAAGAGGAAGGGAGGACGCUGCGCGGGCUGGCACCCGCCUGGCGCCCCCGGUCGUCAUGGCUUGCGUCACGGGCACCUCGUGAGGUACCCCGCCUUGAUCUCUCCGCCUCCUCGUGAGCCAGCCUGACGAGGCCGCGCCUGAGGAAGCUUCGCGUCGUCCGCCUCGUGAGGCUUAGCCCCUCGCGAGGGUCUUGGGUUUGUGUUGGUGAAGAUGGGCCGCGCUGGGCCCCCCUUUGAGCCAUGCCGCAGGCCGCAAGCAGGCAAGUCUGGGGACCCCCGUUCCCAGAACGCCGACAGUAGCCCCCGGGCCCAAGGCGCGCCCGGACUUGGCCGUGCUGGGAGGCGGAAGGGCAAGAGCGAAGCGCCGCGGGCCCUAACAGCCUGCGGCCUUGGGGGCCGUGUGGUGGUUGAUUGGACGUGGGCGGCACUGUUCCCCCACGCCCUCCUUAUCUUGCGCCGUGCUAGGCGGACCCGUAGUCGUACACAUCCGUUCCCCUGUUUGGUUGCUCGAGCGCCCUCUGUCCUUCCUCCGCUCGAACUCUGGUUUCUGUUUCCAACUCAAUCUUGAACCUUCCCCCCCUUCCCAUCGCCAUGGCUCCGACGAAGAAGGGAAGAGGGGAGAAACCUGUGUCUCCGCCUUGCCCGCCGCCGUUGGCGGCCCCCGCCGAGGGCUUGGGCAAGGUCAGCUUGGCUCUGGCCACCAUCUUCAAUGAAUGCGGGAGGACGACGGCUUGGCCCGUGUCCCACUUCUCCAUCGGCAGGAUAGCCACCGAGGUCCCGUAUUUUGCCGACGCCCUGUGGGCGGGUCUGGUUCCUCCUUUUUCUGAUUUCCUCAAAGCCGUGCUCUCCCAUUAUCAGAUCCACAUGAUGCAUCUGGGUCCUGAAUCCAUCGCUCUCCUUUCGGUCUUCGCCUUUGUUUGCGAGGCUAUGAUGAGCAUCCUUCCUUCGGUUGCCUUGGUGCGCCACUUCUUCUCGCUGCGUCUUGUUGACCCUACCCAACGCUGGGCGUGUGUGAGCUUCGUUGCCGCGCCUGAGACAGCGGCCUCUGGGAUUGACUUCAAGCUCCCUCCGCCCGCGGCCGGGUUCUGCGAGCGGUGGCUGUAUGUGGAUGCUGGGGUGCCCAGCCCCCUGCUAUCGGAGCCAACUUCGCCUGCUGUCCCCAAUUCGGGCUGGGGCCAGGAGACGCUUGAGAGCCCCCGGCUCAUCUUCGUCUGGCACCGCUUCACGUUCUUGAGGUCGCUUGGCGUGACAGCGCCCAAGGUGGUGAAGGAGUUCCUGCUACACCGCAUCGCUCCUCUCCAGCGCCACUCCCACCGGAUGUGGGCCUUCAGCGGGCGCAAUGAUCGUAUGAGGCUCCAGGAAGAGGACCUGACACCUGAAGUGCCGAGGACGGCGCUCUUGACCCUGACGGGGGACCCCAACCCUGGCAGUAUCCAGCAGGGAGGGGCCUUGUUGUACCUCUGCCAGAGCGGGGGCGAUCUUGUGAGGCAGAUGCCUAUCUUCGAUGAGUGGGGGCCGCUGAAGGAAAUAUGCCCUAGAGGCAAUAAUAAAGUUAUUAUUUAUUUCCUUAUAUCAUGAUAAAAGUUUAUUAUUCAUGCUAGAAUUGUAUUAACCGGAAACAUAAUACAUGUGUGAAUACAUAGACAAACAGAGUGUCACUAGUAUGCCUCUACUUGACUAGCUCGUUAAUCAAAGAUGGUUAUGUUUCCUAACCAUGGACAAAGAGUUGUCAUUUGAUUAACGGGAUCACAUCAUUAGUUAAAUGAUCUGAUUGACAUGACCCAUUCCAUUAGCUUAGCACCCGAUCGUUUAGUAUGUUGCUAUUGCUUUCUUCAUGACUUAUACAUGUUCCUAUGACUAUGAGAUUAUGCAACUACUGUUUGCUAGAGGAACACUUUGUGUGCUACCAAACGUCACAACGUAACUGGGUGAUUAUAAAGGUGCUCUACAGGUGUCUCCAAAGGUACAUGUUGGGUUGGCGUAUUUCGAGAUUAGGAUUUGUCACUCCGAUUGUCGGAGAGGUAUCUCUGGGCCCUCUCGGUAAUGCACAUCACUGAAGCCUUGCAAGCAUUGCAACUAAUGAGUUAGUUGCGGGAUGAUGUAUUACGGAACGAGUAAAGAGACUUGCCGGUAACGAGAUUGAACUAGGUAUGGGAUACCGACGAUUGAAUCUAGGGCAAGUAACAUACCGGUGACAAAGGGAACAACGUAUGUUGUUAUGCGGUCUGACCGAUAAAAGAUCUUCGUAGAAUAUGUAGGAGCCAAUAUGAGCAUCCAGGUUCCGCUAUUGGUUAUUGACCAGAGACGUGUCUCGGUCAUGUGUACAUUGUUCUCGAACCCGUAGGGUCCGCACGCUUAAGGUUACGAUGACAGUUAUUUUAUGAGUUUAUACAUUUUGAUGUACCGAAGUUUGUUCGGAAUCCCGGAUGUGAUCACGGACAUGACGAGGAGUCUCGAAAUGGUUGAGACAUAAAGAUUGAUAUAUUGGAAGCCUAUGUUUGGAUAUCGGAAGUGUUCCGGGUGAAAUCGGGAUUUUACCGGAGUACCGGGAGGUUACCGGAACCCCCCGGGAGGUAUAUGGGCCUUAGUGGGCCUUAGUGGAAGAGAGGAGAGGUGGCCAUAGAUGGGCCGCGCGCCCCUCCCCCCCCCCUUGGUCCGAAUAGGACAAGGAGAGGGGGCCGGCCCCCCUUCCUCCUCUCUCUCCUCUUUCCCCCCCUCCGCGAAUCCUAUUCCAACUAGGAAAGGGGGGAGUCCUACUCCCGGAGGGAGUAGGACUCCUCCUGGCGCGCCUCCUCUUGGCCAGCCAGCCCCCCUUUGAGCCUUUAUAUACGGAGGCAAGGGGCACCCCUAGACACACAAGUUGAUCCACGUGAUCAUAUUCUUAGCCGUGUGCGGUGCCCCCUUCCACCAUAGUCCUCGAUAAUAUUGUAGCGGUGCUUAGGCGAAGCCCUGCGACGGUAGAACAUCAAGAUCGUCACCACGCCAUCGUGCUGACGAAACUAUUCCCCGACACUUUGCUGGAUCGGAGUCCGGGGAUCGUCAUCGAGCUGAACGUGUGCUAGAACUCGGAGGUGCCGUAGUUUCGGUGCUUGAUCGGUCGGGCCGUGGAGACGUACGACUACAUCAACCAAGUUAACGCUUCCGUUGUCGAUCUACAAGGGUACGUAGAUCACACUCUCCCCCUCUCGUUGCUAUGCAUCACCAUGAUCUUGCGUGUGCGUAGGAAUUUAUUUGAAAUUACUAUGAAACCCAACAGUGGCAUCCGAGCCUAGGUUUAAUGUGUUGAUGUUAUUUGCACGAGUAGAACACAAGUGAGUUGUGGGCGAUAUAAGUCAUACUGCUUACCAGCAUGUCAUACUUUGGUUCGACGGUAUUGUUGGACGAAGUGGCCCGGACCGACAUUACGCGUACGCUUACGCGUGACCGGUUCUCCCGACGUGCUUUGCACAAAGGUGGCUAGCGGGUGACAGUUUCUCCAACUUUAGUUGAACCGAGUGUGGCUACGCCCGGUCCUUGCGAAGGUUAAAACAGCACCAACUUGACAAACUAUCAUUGUGAUUUCGAUACGUAGGUAAGAUUGGUUCUUGCUUAAGCCCGUAGAAGCUACGUAAAACUUGCAACAACAAAGUAGAGGACGUCUAACUUGUUUUUGCAGGGCAUGUUGUGAUGUGAUAUGCUCAAGACAUGAUGCUAAAUUUUAUUGUAUGAGAUGAUCAUGUUUUGUAACCGAGUUAUCGGCAACUGGCAUGAGCCAUAUGGUUGUCGCUUUAUUGUAUGCAAUGCAACCGCGCUGUAAUGCUUUACUUUAUCACUAAGCGGUAGCGAUAGUCGUGGAAGCAUGAGAUUGGCGAGAUGACAAUGAUGCUACGAUGGAGAUCAAGGUGUCGCGCCGGUGAUGAUGGUGAUCACGAUGGUGCUUCGAGGAUGGAGAUCACAAGCACAAGAUGAUGAUGGCCAUAUCAUAUCACUUAAUUUGAUUGCAUGUGAUGUUUAUCUUUUAUGCAUCUUAUCUUGCUUUGAUUGACGGUAGCAUUAUAAGAUGAUCUCUCACUAAUUAUCAAGAAGUGUUCUCCCUAAGUAUGCACCGUUGCGAAAGUUCUUCAUGCUGAGACACCACGUGAUGAUCGGGUGUGACAGGCUCUACGUUCAAAUACAACGGGUGCAAAACAGUUGCACACGUGGAAUACUCAGAUUAUACUUGACGAGCCAAGCAUAUACAGAUAUGGCCUCGGAACACGGAGACCGAAAGGUCGAGCGUGAAUCAUAUAGUAGAUAUGAUCAACAUAGUGAUGUUCACCAACGAAACUACUCCAUCUCACGUGAUGAUCAGACAUGGUUUAGUUGACUUGGAUCACGUAAUCACUUAGAGGAUUAGAGGGAUGUCUAUCUAAGUGGGAGUUCUUUAAGUAAUAUGAUUAAUUGAACCUAAAUUUAUCAUGAACUUAGUACCUGAUAGUAUCUUGCUUAUGUAUGUUUGAUUGUAGAUAGAUGGCCCGUGUUGUUGUUCCGUUGAAUUUUAAUGCGUUCCUUGAGAAAGCAAAGUUGAAAGAUGAUGGUAGCAAUUACACGGACUGGGUCCGUAACUUGAGGAUUAUCCUCAUUGCUGCAUAGAAGAAUUAUGUCCUGGAAGCACCGCUGAGUGCCAGGCCUGCUGCUGGAGCAACACUAGAUGUUAUGAACGUAUGGCAAAGCAAAGCUGAUGACUACUCGAUAGUUCAAUGUGCCAUGCUUUACGGCUUAGAACCGGGACUUCAACGACGUUUUGAACGUCAUGGGGCAUAUGAGAUGUUCCAGGAGUUGAAGUUAAUAUUUCAAGCAAAUGCCCGGAUUGAGAGAUAUGAAGUCUCCAAUAAGUUCUAUAGCUGCAAGAUGGAGGAGAACAGUUCUAUCAGUGAGCAUAUACUCAAGAUGUCUGGGUAUUGUAAUCACUUGAUUCAACUGGGAGUUAAUCUUCCGGAUGAUAGCGUCAUUGACAGAAUUCUCCAAUCACUUCCACCAAGCUACAAGAGCUUCGUGAUGAACUAUAAUAUGCAAGGGAUGAAUAAGACUAUUCCCGAGCUCUUCGCAAUGCUGAAAGCUGCGGAGGUAGAAAUCAAGAAGGAGCAUCAAGUGUUGAUGGUCAACAAGACCACUAGUUUCAAGAAAAAGGGCAAAGGGAAGAAGAAGGGGAACUUCAAGAAAAACAGCAAGCAAGUUGCUGCUCGAGAGAAGAAACCCAAGUCUGGACCUAAGCCUGAAACUGAGUGCUUCUACUGCAAGCAGACUGGUCACUGGAAGCGGAACUGCCCCAAGUAUUUGGUGGAUAAGAAGGAUGGCAAGGUGAACAAAGGUACAUGUGAUAUACAUGUUAUUGAUGUGUACCUUACUAAUGCUCGCAGUAGCACCUGGGUAUUUGAUACUGGUUCUGUUGCUAAUAUUUGCAACUCGAAACAGGGACUACGGAUUAAGCGAAGAUUAGCUAAGGACAAGGUGACGAUGCGCGUGGGAAACGGUUCCAAAGUCGAUGUGACCGUGGUCGGCGCGCUACCUCUACAUCUACCUUCGGGAUUAAUAUUAGACCUAAAUAAUUGUUAUUUGGUGCCAGCGUUAAGCAUGAACAUUAUAUCUGGAUCUUGUUUGAUGCGAGACGGUUAUUCAUUUAAAUCAGAGAAUAAUGGUUGUUCUAUUUAUAUGAGUAAUAUCUUUUAUGGUCAUGCACCCUUGAAGAGUGGUCUAUUCUUAUUGAAUCUCGAUAGUAGUAACACACAUAUUCAUAAUGUUGAAGCCAAAAGAUGCAGAGUUGAUAAUGAUAGUGCAACUUAUUUGUGGCACUGCCGUUUAGGUCAUAUCGGUGUAAAGCGCAUGAAGAAACUCCAUACUGAUGGACUUUUGGAACCACUUGAUUAUGAAUCACUUGGUACUUGCGAACCGUGCCUCAUGGGCAAGAUGACUAAAACGCCGUUCUCCGGUACUAUGGAGAGAGCAACAGAUUUGUUGGAAAUCAUACAUACAGAUGUAUGUGGUCCGAUGAAUAUUAAGGCUCGUGGCGGAUAUCGUUAUUUUCUCACCUUCACAGACGACUUAAGCAGAUAUGGGUAUAUCUACUCAAUGAAACAUAAGUCUGAAACGUUUGAAAAGUUCAAAGAAUUUCAGAGUGGAGUUGAAAAUCAUCGUAACAAGAAAAUAAAGUUUCUACGAUCUGAUCGUGGAGGAGAAUAUUUGAGUUACGAGUUUGGUGUACAUUUGAAACAAUGCGGAAUAGUUUCGCAACUCACGCCACCCGGAACACCACAGCGUAAUGGUGUGUCCGAACGUCGUAAUCGUACUUUACUAGAUAUGGUGCGAUCUAUGAUAUCUCUUACUGAUUUACCGCUAUCAUUUUGGGGUUAUGCUUUGGAGACGGCCGCAUUUACGUUAAAUAGGGCACCAUCAAAAUCCGUUGAGACGACGCCUUAUGAACUAUGGUUUGGCAAGAAACCAAAGUUGUCGUUUCUGAAAGUUUGGGGCUGCGAUGCUUAUGUGAAAAAGCUUCAACCUGAUAAGCUCGAACCCAAAUCGGAGAAAUGUGUCUUCAUAGGAUAUCCAAAGGAGACUAUUGGAUACACCUUCUAUCACAGAUCCGAAGGCAAGACUUUUGUUGCUAAGUUCGGAAACUUUCUGGAGAAGGAGUUUCUCUCGAAAGAAGUGAGUGGGAGGAAAGUAGAACUUGACAAGGUAACUGUACCUGCUCCCUUAUUGGAAAGUAGUGCAUCACAGAAAACUGUUUCUGUGACACCUACACCAAUUAGUGAGGAAGCUAAUGAUAAUGAUCAUGAAACUUCAGGACAAGAUACUACUGAACCUCGUAGAUCAACCAGAGUGAGAUCCGCGCCAGAGUGGUACGGUAAUCCUGUUCUGGAAGUCAUGCUGCUAGGUCAUGAUGAACCUACAAACUAUGAAGAAGCGAUGGUGAGCCCAGAUUCCGCAAAAUGGCUUCAAGCCAUGAAAUCUGAGAUGGGAUCCAUGUAUGAGAACAAAGUGUGGACUUUGGUUGACUUGCCCAAUGAUCAGCAAGCAAUUGAGAAUAAAUGGAUCUUCAAGAAGAAGACUGACGCCGACGGUAAUAUUACUGUCUACAAAGCUCGACUUGUCACAAAAGGGUUUCGGCAAGUUCAAGGGAUUGACUACGAUGAGACCUUCUCACCUGUAGCAAUGCUUAAGUCUGUCUGAAUCAUGUUAGCAAUUGUCGCAUUUUAUGAUUAUGAAAUUUGGCAGAUGGAUGUCAAAACUGCAUUCCUGAAUUGAUUUUUGGAAGAAGAGUUGUAUAUGAUGCAACCAAAAGGUUUUGUCGAUCCAAAGGGAGCUAACAAAGUGUGCAAGCUCCAGCGAUCCAUUUAUGGACUGGUGCAAGCCUCUCAGAGUUGGAAUAAACGCUUUGAUAGUGUGAUCAAAGCAUUUGGUUUUAUACAGACUUUCGGAGAAGCCUGUAUUUACAAGAAAGUGAGUGGGAGCUCCGUAGCAUUUCUGAUAUUAUAUGUGGAUGACAUAUUACUGAUUGGAAAUGAUAUAGAAUUUCUGGAUAGCAUAAAGGGAUACUUGAAUAAGAGUUUUUCAAUGAAAGACCUCGGUGAAGCUGCUUACAUAUUAGGCAUUAAGAUCUAUAGAGAUAGAUCAAGACGCUUAAUUGGACUUUCACAAAGCACAUACCUUGACAAAGUUUUGAAGAAGUUCAAAAUGGAUCAAGCAAAGAAAGGGUUCUUGCCUGUGUUACAAGGUGUGAAGUUGAGUCAGACUCAAUGCCCGACCACUGCAGAAGAUAGAGAGAAAAUGAAAGAUGUUCCCUAUGCUUCAGCCAUAGGCUCUAUCAUGUAUGCAAUGCUGUGUACCAGACCUGAUGUGUGCCUUGCUAUAAGUCUAGCAGGGUGGUACCAAAGUAAUCCAGGAGUGGAUCACUGGAUAGCGGUUAAGAACAUCCUGAAGUACCUUAAAAGGACUAAGGAUAUGUUUCUCGUAUAUGGAGGUGACAAAGAGCUCAUCGUAAACGGUUACGUUGAUGCAAGCUUUGACACUGAUCCGGACGAUUCUAAAUCGCAAACCGGAUACGUGUUUACAUUAAACGGUGGAGCUGUCAGUUGGUGCAGUUCUAAACAAAGCGUCGUGGCGGGAUCUACAUGUGAAGCGGAGUACAUAGCUGCUUCGGAAGCAGCAAACGAAGGAGUCUGGAUGAAGGAGUUCAUAUCCGAUCUAGGUGUCAUACCUAGUGCAUCGGGUCCAAUGAAAAUCUUUUGUGACAAUACUGGUGCAAUUGCCUUGGCGAAGGAAUCCAGAUUUCACAAAAGAACCAAGCACAUCAAAAGACGCUUCAAUUCCAUCCGGGAUCUAGUCCAGGUGGGAGACAUAGAGAUUUGCAAGAUACAUACGGAUCUGAAUGUAGCAGACCCGUUGACUAAGCCUCUUCCACGAGCAAAACAUGAUCAACACCAAGGCUCCAUGGGUGUUAGAAUCAUUACAGUAUAAUCUAGAUUAUUGACUCUAGUGCAAGUGGGAGACUGAAGGAAAUAUGCCCUAGAGGCAAUAACAAAGUUAUUAUUUAUUUCCUUAUAUCAUGAUAAAAGUUUAUUAUUCAUGCUAGAAUUGUAUUAACCGGAAACAUAAUACAUGUGUGAAUACAUAGACAAACAGAGUGUCACUAGUAUGCCUCUACUUGACUAGCUCGUUAAUCAAAGAUGGUUAUGUUUCCUAACCAUGGACAAAGAGUUGUCAUUUUAUUAACGGGAUCACAUCAUUAGUUGAAUGAUCUGAUUGACAUGACCCAUUCCAUUAGCUUAGCACCCGAUCGUUUAGUAUGUUGCUAUUGCUUUCUUCAUGACUUAUACAUGUUCCUAUGACUAUGAGAUUAUGCAACUACCGUUUGCCGGAGGAACACUUUGUGUGCUACCAAACGUCACAACGUAACUGGAUGAUUAUAAAGGUGCUCUACAGGUGUCUCCAAAGGUACAUGUUGGGUUGGCGUAUUUCGAGAUUAGGAUUUGUCACUCCGAUUGUCGGAGAGGUAUCUCUGGGCCCUCUCGGUAAUGCACAUCACUGAAGCCUUGCAAGCAUUGCAACUAAUGAGUUAGUUGCGGGAUGAUGUAUUACGGAACGAGUAAAGAUACUUGCUGGUAACGAGAUUGAACUAGGUAUGGGAUACCGACGAUUGAAUCUCGGGCAAGUAACAUACCGGUGACAAAGGGAACAACGUAUGUUGUUAUGCGGUCUGACCGAUAAAAGAUCUUUGUAGAAUAUGUAGGAGCCAAUAUGAGCAUCCAGGUUCCGCUAUUGGUUAUUGACCGGAGACGUGUCUCGGUCAUGUCUACAUUGUUCUCGAACCUGUAGGGUCCGCACGCUUAAGGUUAUGAUGACAGUUAUAUUAUGAGUUUAUACAUUUUGAUGUACCGAAGUUUGUUCGGAAUCCCGGAUGUGAUCACGGACAUGACGAGGAGUCUUGAAAUGGUCGAGACAUAAAGAUUGAUAUAUUGGAAGCCUAUGUUUGGAUAUCGGAAGUGUUCCGGGUGAAAUCGGGAUUUUACCGGAGUACCGGAAGGUUACCGGAACCCCCCGGGAGGUAUAUGGGCCUUAGUGGGCCUUAGUAGAAGAGAGGAGAGGUGGCCAUAGAUGGGCCGCGCGCCCCUCCCCCCUUGGUCCGAAUAGGACAAGGAGAGGGGGUCGUCCCCCCUUCCUCCUCUCUCUCCUCUUUCCCCCCCUCCGCGAAUCCUAUUCCAACUAGGAAAGGGGGGAGUCCUACUCCCAGAGGGAGUAGGACUCCUCCUGGCGCGCCUCCUCUUGACCGGCCAGCCCCCUCUUUGAGCCUUUAUAUACGGAGGCAAGGGGCACCCCUAGACACACAAGUUGAUCCACGUGAUCAUAUUCUUAGCCGUGUGCAGUGCCCCCUUCCACCAUAGUCCUCGAUAAUAUUGUAGCGGUGCUUAGGCGAAGCCCUGCGACGGUAGAACAUCAAGAUCGUCACCACGCCGUCGUGCUGACGGAUCUCUUCCCCGACACUUUGCUGGAUCGGAGUCCGGGAUCGUCAUCGAGCUGAACGCGUGCUAGAACUCGGAGGUGCCGUAGUUUCGGUGCUUGAUCGGUCGGGCCGUGGAGACGUACGACUACAUCAACCAAGUUAAUGCUUCCGUUGUCGAUCUACAAGGGUACGUAGAUCACACUCUCCCCCUCUCGUUGCUAUGCAUCACCAUGAUCUUGCGUGUGCGUAGGAAUUUUUUUGAAAUUACUAUGAAACCCAACAGCCGCGCCCCGUCGGCCUUCAGGGGCCUCGUGAGAACCCAGUGGUGGUGACUGCCCUUCCAGUCGGCCCAGGCGACUCUUCCUCAAGUGGUGGAGGAGGCUCGAGGCGCCAGAGGCCGAGGGGGCUCCCGGCGGGGUGACAGCGCCAGGUGAGGCUCGUGAGGAAGCAGUUAGCGGGGCCCGUGCCGCCGAGGCUGAGGGUGACAAGCAGCUGCCCUCUGCGCCUUCGACCGAGGCCACUGAGGCUCCGGCGGCUUCUCUUGGCGAGGCGAUUGGCGGCGCACACCAGGCAGGCACCCGUGACGCAGAUCGCCUUGACGCUCCAUCUUCGUCGCAGGUUGAUCCCUGCGCCCGACUCUUAGGCUGCUUCCGCGUGGACUUUCAGGCCCUCCGGAAGAGAAGGGAGGCCCUGGGCGACGAUUACCCUUGUCGCCUGCUGAAGCGUAGGAAGUACUUCGCCACUGAUGAGUAAGCCUUCUCCUUUCCCAGCUCCCGAUCCUCCUGUUGCUCUUACUGACUCUUGCUUCGCAGGCCCCUUCCAGCCGAGCUUGCGGAGACGGCUGAGGAGCCGCCCCCCUUGGUUUCGCCCCCUCCAUCGUCCCCAAGCGCUCCAAGCAGUGGAGCCCUUAUGGUAAGGGCGACUGACGAGGCGAACCGUCCCGAGGCGUAUCGUGGCCCUGCGCACCUCGCGACCCUUCGCGGGCCUUCUCGUGGCAUAGCCGGCCUGCCGUGGGCUUCUCGCUUGGUCGUGGACUGCGAUUGGCUGAGGCGCUUCCUGCGCUCUUCACCUAGGGAUGGGCUGGCCCUCGGCCGGGCUUCUGACGCGGCGUGCCCGGCCGUCGCGAGGGUGCCAACCCCCAGCCCCUAGCCCGGAGGGGGAGUGCUGGCUCGUGGCCCCCGGCACUUGCUUGGGGCAGAUGAUGGUGUGGAGGAUGUGCUCGAGCGUGCUCGGGAGCGUCGCGCUCUCUGCCAAGGAUUCCUUCGAAGGGCGGCUGACGCGGUAAGCCUGCUUGGAGAGGAGCUUGCCGAUGAAGACGCGUGCCUUGAGGCUGAGGGCCUGCGCCUGGCUGCAGAGAGGCGCGAGCUGGAGGGCGCCAUCGCCCUUGCGCGCUGUCAGCGCGAUCUUGACGACGCAGAGGCCAAGGCAUCGCUGGUGGCCUCUCGGGAGGCCCGAUCUUGGGCCGUUGAGGAGGCUCGGGAAGCUGACCGGCGGCGAACGACGGCGGAGGAGCGGGCUCGGGAGCUCCUGGCCUGGUACCACUCACUGGAGGAGCAGGUGGAGCUGCGCGAGGCAGCUCUCGCGUCGAUGAAGGUGGCCUCUGGCGACUCAGCAGAGCUCUAGAAGCGUGAGGAGGCGCUGAUGCUGGAAGCCGCCGAACGCACCCGUGAGUACGAGUGUCUGGAGACGAGGGAGCGCUUGGUGACGCAGGCGGAGGAUGAUGUCGCCGCACGGGAAGCCCGCGUCCUGGAGGAGGUCGGACGUCGAGUGGCGAUGGCGCAUUUGAACCUCGAGCACGAGUUCGACGAGAAGCUGGGGUUGAUCCGGGCCGAAGCUGAAGGCAGGACUGCUGCCUUGAGGGCCAAGCUAGAGCAGGCGAUGCGGCGGGCUCACGCUUUCCGGGCCGCUCUUGAGGUGGCGCAAGGUGAGUUAACCGCUUCCCAAGCUGGAGGAGGCGAUGCGGCGGGCUCACGCUUUCCGGGCCGCUCUUGAGGUGGCUCACGCUUUCCGGGCCGCUCUUGAGGUACCCGGCCUACGACCGAACUCUGGGUUGCAAUAGCGGUGGCCUCCAUCUCUGCCAAGUAUGUCUUGACACGGGCAAGUGCCAUACGCGCACCCUCUAUGCACGCCGACCUCUUCAUAGCAUCGAUGUGCGGCACAGCACCAACGAACUGUUGCACUAAACUAAAAUAACUAUUCGGCCUUGUCCCUUCUGGCCACAGAUGAUCCACAAUAGACCUCAUGGCAAGCACGGACAACCUAUGGAGCUCGGCCCACUCGGUCAUUCGCUCAUUCAAUAGCAGUGGACGCACUGGAACAUGGAACUGUGACCAGAAUAGCCUUUCCACUUCAUGAUCUUUUUGAUCUUUGAAGUACUCGGCCGCAUCAGCAGCACUGGCUGCCAAAUCCAUGUAUGCGUCUGCAGAACUCCAUAGUUUAUCAAGAGGGGCAUACUUCGGAUCUCCGAAGUUCGUCCGCAACAAAAAUGGCUUCCCAUCUGCGAUAUCCCCAGCUUGAUGCAGCUCCUCCUUCGCCGCUCUGAUUUUAGAGCGGGCUUCCUUGGCUGCUACCAUGGCCUUCUCCAGGUCUGCUGCCUUCACCCGACUUUCUUUUUCAAGAAGCUGGUAACGGUUGGCGGCAUCUUUCAACUCAACGGCCAUCUUGGCUAUUCUUUCCUUGCUUUGGCAAUGCGCAUCCUGUUCGGCCCUCAGCUCUUCGACCGCCUUUAGAGCGGCCACAUCACUAUUCCUGUCUUGUUCCUUGGCUUGGGCAAGUUCCACGCGAAGGGUCUCCACGGUGGCGGCUCCAUCUGCAGUCACAACAUAUUAAAGAUACUAGCAUCAUGCUCCUCUUACUAUGUGUUGAUCACCGGAGAAAUCACAUACCCUGUGCCUCAUCGAGCCGCUUGUUGACAAGUGAUGACCCACAAGUAUAGGGGAUCUAUCAUAGUCCUUUCCAUAAGUAAGAGUGUCGAACCCAACGAGGAGCAGAAGGAAAUGAUAAGCGGUUUCCGGCAAGGUAUUCUCUGCAAGUACUGAAAUAAGUGGUAACAGAUAGUUUUGUGAUAGGAUAAUUUGUAAUGAGCAACAAGUAACAAAAGUAAAUAAAGUGCAGCAAGGUGGCCCAAUCCUUUUUGUAGCAAAGGAAAAGCCUGGACAAACUCUUAUAUGAUGUAAAGCGCUCCCGAGGACACAUGGGAAUAUCGUCAAGCUGGUUUUCAUCACGCUCAUAUGAUUCGCGUUCGGUACUUUGAUAAUUUGGUAUUUGGGUGGACCGGUGCUUGGGUGCUACCCUUACUUGGACAAACAUCCCACUUAUGAUUAACCUCUAUUGCAAGCAUCCGCAAAUACAACAAAAGUAUUAAGGUAAACCUAACCAUAUCAUGAAACAUAUGGAUCCAAAUCAGCCCCUUACGAAGCAACGCAUAAACUAGGGUUUAAGCUUCUGUCACUCUAGCAACCCAUCAUCUACUUAUUACUUCCCAAUGCCUUCCUCUAGGCCCAAACGAUGGUGAAGUGUCAUGUAGUCGAUGUUCACAUAACACCACUAGAGGAGAGACAACAUACAUCUCAUCAAAAUAUUGAACGAAUACCAAAUUCACAUGACUACUAAUAACAAGACUUCUCCCAUGUCCUCAGGAACAAAAGUAACUACUCACAAAGCAUAAACAUGUUCAUAAUUAGAGGGGUAUUAAUGUGCAUAUAGGAUCUGAACAUAUGAUCUUCCACCAAUUAAACCAACUAGCAUCAACUACAAGGAGUAAUUAACACUACUAGCAACCUACUAGCACCAAUCCCGGACUUGGAGACAAGAAUUGGAUACAAGAGAUGAACUAGGGUUUUGAGAUGAGAUGGUGCUGAUGAAGAUGUUGAUGGAGAUUGCCCUCUCCCGAUGAGAGGAGCGUUGGUGAUGACGAUGGCGGUGAUUUCCCCAUCCGGGAGGGAAGUUUCCCCAGGAGAACAGCCCUGCCAGAACCCUAGAUUGGUUUUGCCUCAUGGUGGCGGAGAUUCGUCCGAGAAGAUGGCUUAUGAUUUUUUUUCCAUCGAAAGAGUCCAUAUAGCAGAAGAUGGUCAUCGGAGGGCCACCAGGGGGCCCACGAGGUAGGGGGCGCGCCCGGGGGGUAGGGCGCGCCCCCCACCCUCGUGGGCAGGGUGUGGCCCCCCUGGUGAGGUUCUUGCGCUCAAUGUUUUUUAUAUAUUUGGAAAACAUUAUCCGUGAAGUUUCAGGACUUUUGGAGCUGUGCAGAAUAGGUCUCUAAUAUUUGCUCCUUUUCCAGCCAGAAUCCCAGCUGCCGGCAUUCUCCCUCUUUAUGUAAACCUUGUAAAAUAAGAGAGAAUAUGCAUAAGUAUUGUGACAUAAUGUGUAAUAACAACCCAUAAUGCAAUAAAUAUUGAUAUAAAAGCAUGAUGCAAAAUGGACGUAUCAACUCCCCCAAGCUUAGACCUCGCUUGUCCUCAAGCGAAAAGCCGAAAUCGAAAAAUAUAUCCACAUGUUUAGAGAUGAAGGUGUCGAUAAAAAAUAAAAUACGGACAUGAGGGCAUCAUGAUCAUUCUUAGAACAGCAACUUAUAUAAUUCUUGUCAUAUGAUAUCUUAUGCUAGAGUAAUAAUUCAAUCACAAUAUCAAGUAUGAAUUGUAAACUUCAUUGAAAACUGACAAACUAUAAUCUCAGUCAUUGAGGCAAUUGCAAUUUAUCAUAACAUAGGAAAGAGUCAAUGUAUAAGAGCUUUUCAUCAAGUCCACAUACUCAACUAUCAUAUAAUCUUUCACAAUUGCUGACACUCACGCAAUACUUAUGGGUAUGGAGUUUUAAUCGGACACAGAGAAAGAUAGGGGCUUAUAGUUUUGCCUCCCAACGUCUUACCUCAAGGGUAAUGUCAACAGUAAUAGUUCAUGAAAACUCACAUCCAAUUAGCCAUAUAUACCAGGAUCUUUCCAACAUAUUGUGCUUGCCAAAGGAUAAAGUGUAAAAAGGAAGGGUCAAGAUCACCAUGACUCUUAUGCAAUGUAGGAGAUAAAAGUAAAAGAUAGUCCCUUCGUAGAGGGAAGCAGAGGUUGUCAUGCGCUUUUGUGGGUAAAUGCACAAAAUCCUGAUGCGAAAGAACAUCACUUUAUAUUGCCACUUGUGAUAUGGACCUUUAUUAUGCAGUCUGUCGCUUUUAUUACUUCCAUAUCACACGAUUGUAUAAAGCUUAUUUCUACCACACCAAUCAAUCAUACAUAUUUAGAGAGCAACUUUUAUUGCUUGCACCGAUGACAACUUACUUGAUGGGUCUUACUCAAUCCAUAGGUAGGUAUGGUGGACUCUCAUGGCAAAACUGGUUUAAGGGUAUUUGGAAGCACAAGUAGUAUCUCUACUUGGUGCGAUGAAUUUGGCUAGCAUGAGGGAGAAAGGCAAGCUCAAGAUGUUGGAGGAUCCAAGACAAUAUAAUUUAUCUUAGAUGUAAGAAAACAUAACCCAUUAUGUUGUCUUCCUUGUCCAAUGUCAACUCUUUAGCAUGUCAUAUUUUAAUGAGUGCUCACAAUCAUAAAAGAUGUCCAAGAUAGUAUAUUUAUAUGUGAAGACCUCUCUUUAUUUAUUACUUCCUAUUAAUUGCAACGAUGACCAAAACUAUGUUUGUCAACCCUCAACAACUUUUAUUCAUCAUACUCUUUCCAAGUGAGCUCAUUACUCUCCAUAAGAUUCACAUGAUCUCUUUGUUUCUUUUUAUUUCUUUCUCUUUUCUUUUAUUCACUUGGGCUCAUGGCAAAAAUAAGCAAGCCUUGACUCAACACUAAUCUUUAUUAUAUAGCUCACAGACUCGAUUACAUAGAAGGGUAAUAAAGCAAAAUUCACGACUAGAUCAUACUAAGAACUUUUAUUCUACUAGAUCAAAAUAUUACCAAAAGGAUCGAACUAAGAAAAACGGUAAAGAUAAAAGUGAUGGUGAUACGAUACCGGGGCACUGCCCCAAGCUUGGCAGUUGCCGAGUGGAGUGCCCAUACCAGAUACUCAAUUCUUCUUUGUUGGAGGAGACGGUGGUGAUGUUGUUGAUGGCGUAGGCUUAUCGUCCUUCUUCCAAGGCAUAGGCUCACCAUCAUAGAAGGAUGACCGAGUCUCCAGGAUCCUCAAAUCUUCAGCCAAACUCAUCCUUUUGAAUCUAUAUUCAUACUCACAGUUUUGGUUUUGCAGGUCAUAGAUUUGAGCUUGGAGGUGCUCAAUUUUCUCGUGAAGCUUGAAGAUGGUCUCCCUGAUGUUUUCGGCAUCCAUCUUGUGUUUGUUGGUGAACUCUGCGAUCAUCAUGUAGUUGGAGUUGAGUCCAUGCUCCACCAUCCCCUGACACUUGAAAACUUGUUGUUCCAUUGCUUCGAGCCUCGUCUCCAUGCUUCCGGUCCCCUUCGGUCCUUCAGCAUCACGGAUGUGCAGCAACCCAUCACGCAUCUCAAUGGCUUGAGGGUGUCGCUGCACCUCCGCUAGGUAAGGGUUGAUGGCUGAGGGAGUCCUGGAUUAGGGGGUGUCCGGAUGGCCGGACUAUACCUUCAGCCGGACUCCUGGACUAUGAAGAUACAAGAUUGAAGACUUCGUCCCGUGUCCGAAAGGGACUUUCCUUGGCGUGGAAGGCAAGCUUGGCGAUACGGAUAUGUAGAUCUCCUACCAUUGUAACCGACUUUGUGUAACCCUAACCCUCUCCGGUGUUUAUAUAAACCGGAGGGUUUUAGUCUGUAGGACAACAUACAGAACAACAAUCAUACCAUAGGCUAGCUUCUAGGGUUUAGCCUCUCCGAUCUCGUGGUAGAUCUACUCUUGUACUACACAUAUCAUCAAUAUUAAUCAAGUAGGACGUAGGGUUUUACCUCCAUCAAGAGGGCCCGAACCUGGGUAAAACUUUGUGUCCCUUGCCUCCUGUUACCAUCCGGCCUAGACGCACAGUUCGGGACCCCCUACCCGAGAUCCGUCGGUUUUGACACCGACAUUGGUGCUUUGAUUGAGAGUUCCUCUGUGUCGUCGCUGUUAGGCUUGAUGGCUCCUACGAUCAUCAAUAGCGAUGCAGUCCAGGGAGAGACCUCCCCCCCUGACAGAUUUUCAUCUUCGGCGGCUUCGCACUGCGGGCCAAUUCACUUGGCCAUCUGGAGAAGAUCGAAAGCUAUGCCCCUGGCCGCCAGGUCAGAUUUCGAAGUUUAAACUACACGGCUAACAUCCGCGGGGACUUGAUCUUCGACGGGUUCGAGCCACUGCCGAGCGCGCCGCACUGUCACGACGAGCAUGAUCUAGCUCUGCCGCCGAACAGUGCCCUGGAGGCCGCACCCGCAUCGGCUUCGACCCUUAAUUCGGAGCCAACUGCGCCGAUCGAGGAUGGGUGGUUGGACGCCGCCUCGGGGGCUGCGAUCCCAAUGGCGAUCAAGCCGAACACCAGCCCCGCACUCCGCGAGACUCGUGACUCCAAGGAGCUGGACUCCUCUCCGGACUCCGAACCCUCCGCGCCCCUGCCGAUCGAAUCCGAUUGGGCGCCGAUCAUGGAGUUUACUGCCGUAGACAUCUUUCAGCACUCGCCUUUUGGCGAUAUUCUGAAGACACUAAAGUCUCUCUCUUUAUCAGGAGAUCCCUGGCCGGACUACGGUCAACAAGUUUGGGAUACGGACGAUGAACAAAUUCAAAGCCCACCCACCACCCACUUUGUAGCCACUGUCGACCAUUUAACCGACAUGCUCGACUUCGACUCCGAAGACAUCGACGGUAUGGACGCCGAUGAAGGAGAUGAUGAAGAACCAGCGCCUAUUGGGCCCUGGAAAGCCACCUCGUCAUAUGACGUAUACAUGGUGGACGCACCAAAAGAUGACGACGAGGAGCGGAAGGACGCACCGAAGGCUUGUUCCCUCGAAAAGCAGUCAAAGCGGCGACGCUAGCGCCGCCCCAAAUCCCGCCUCGAUAGAAAUAACAAUCACACAGACCAGUGCUGGAGCAGGGCGAACCGCUGCCGGACAACGGCAAUCCGGAUAAUCAAACCGAACAAACAAAUUCUAUCAAGGAUAAUGGUCCGGACGACAUAACGCCGGACAGGCACCCGGAGCAGCAGAAUGCCCGUAAAAGGCUUGUUGUCACCGCGAGGAGUCUUAAAAAGCAGAAGCAAAGGCUCAAGGCUGCGCAAGACACACUCCAAAUCAGAUGGAGUAAAAUACUCAACACAACAGUGAGGUACGGCGACAAUUGCCCCUCCAAGAGCUACCCAAAGCGGAAGCUGCUACCUGAAUUCGAUAAGGAGGCCUCAGACCCCCCACAACCAAAUAUCAAAGCAGCCACCUAGCCGGAUAGACGACCCCUCUACCAACACAGAGCGGCAUACAACGCCACUCACAAUACAACACACGACCCAUGCGAGGGCUCGCACCCAAAGGACCGCGCAACAAGAUCCAUCUAUGGACCACGCAAGCGCGCCCCAGCAUACAAUGCAACACAACAAACAUCCGAACAACGCAGUACACCCAGCUACAGGGGUGCCGCACACCCCCUAUGUUUCACUGAUGAGGUGUUGGACCAUGAAUUUCCAGAGGGAUUCAAACCCAUAAACAUAGAGACAUACGACAGAACAACAGACGCUGGGGUCUGGAUUGAGGACUACAUCCUUCAUAUCCAUAUGGCUCGAGGAGAUGAUCUCCACGCCAUCAAGUACUUACCCCUCAAGCUCAAAGGGCCAGCUCGUCACUGGCUUAAAGGCCUCCCCGAAAGCUCCAUUGGAAGUUGGGAAGAGCUCGAAGACGCCUUUCGGGCAAAUUUUCAAGGGACUUAUGUCCGACCUCCGGAUGCGGACGAUUUGAGUCCUAUAACUCAACAGCCCGGAGAGUCAGCCCGAAAGCUUUGGAACAGGUUUCUUACUAAAAAGAACCAGAUUGUCGACUUUCCGGGCGCCGAAGCCUUGGCAGCUUUUAAGCAUAGCGUCCGUGAUGAAUGGCUCGCCAGACACCUUGGCCAAAAUAAGCAGAGAAUGAUGGCCGCAUUAACAAGCCUCAUGACCCGCUUUUGCGCGGGUGAGGACAGCUGGCUAGCCAGAUGCAGCACCAGCGACCCCAGUACAUCUGAAGUCUGAGAUGGAAAUAGGAAAUCAUGGCGCAACAGCAAUAACAAACGCCGGAAGAAAGAAGACAGCAUGAAGGGCACGACAGUAAAUGUCGGAUUCAAAAGCUCUCGGCCAGGUUAAAAGCCGCCCUCUAAAGGCACCAGGGAUGAACUGUCCAGCCUCAACAAAAUUCUGGACCAAGUAUGUCAGAUCCAUAGUACCCCUGGUAAACCUACUAAUCAUACCCACAGAGAAUGUUGGGUCUUCAAGCAGUCCGGCAAGCUCAACGCCGUACACAAGGGGGAGGAUGCACCAAGUGAAGACGAGGACGAGCCUCCCAAGCAAGACACUGGGGAACAAAAGAAAUUUCCACCAGAAGUCAAAACAGUGAACGUGUUACACGUUAUCAAGGGAAAAAACAACGCGGCACUCCCAGGAAAAUAUACCCAAGUGCCUGUCACCGCGAAGUCCCGCCACUGGUCGUCUCAAUCGAUCACUUUCGACCAUCGCGAUUACUCAGCAAGUAUCCGACGCGCAGGAUGGGCUGCCCUAGUAUUAGACCGAGUAAUUGGCAGAUAUCACUUCACACGAGUCUUGAUGGACGGUGGCAGCAAUCUAAACCUAAUAUAUCAAGAUACAAUCCGCGGGAUGGGGUUAGACCCAACAAAAAUUCGCCAUAGCAAUACUACCUUUAAAGGAGUAACGCCAGGCCCAGGGGCUCAUUGUACGGGCUCCCUCCUACUACAAGUUAUAUUCGGCUCCCCCGAUAACUUCCGUCGUGAGCAUUUAACCUUCCACAUCGCUUCGUUCCAAAGUGGCUAUCAAGCACUGCUCGGACACGAAGCUUUUGCUCGCUUUAAUGCAAUACCACACUACGCCUCCCUCACACUCAAGAUGCCUGGUCCACGUGGCAUCAUUUCAGUGAACGGAAAUAUCAAGCGAUCUCUACCCGCCGAAGAGAGUGCGGCUGCCUUGGUAGCCACACACUAAAGGCGCCCGGACCAGCGAAAGCAUCCAAUUGGUUGUCAAGACCUCAGACACAACUAGUCAAGUCCGACGCCGCUAUUUAUACCAAAUAAUUGGUCACACCCCUAUUUGUCAAUACAAGGGGCUCAACACGUGCAGACAAGUGGCAAUUUCUUCUCAUCUUGAAUUAUACAUGGUUUCUUUAAAAACUAUCUUUUUGCACAACAACUUUUUCACCUAAAUUCCUAUCUUUUAUAGACGAUCAUCGUGCUACACCCGUCUAGGAUACGGCACAACGGAGAGACAGGCGCAGACGUGCAGCAGGGACCCGCUCCAAGGAUUCUUUUUAGAUUAAGACCCUGCGUAAACCUUUUUUACUGUCUCUUGUUGAUACAUAUCCAUCGUUGAGAAGGAUGCUGACGUCUUGGCAUGUGGCUACGCCAGAACAAUGCACGUACCUUGACACAAGGGGCUUCUUACAAAGGCCAUUAUUUAGGCCCGGUUUAUACCACAAAGACCGAAUACCUUAGGGAGUGUUCGGCGUCACGAGUUUGGCCCUAUAUGCAUCAGCUCCGAAUCAUUGUCUUUGGUCAAAUGUUGGGUUUUCCCGGCUCCUGUGUUUUGGUGCCUUACGUUCCGCUUUACCGGCUAAGGUAGCACCAGGAGCACUACUGCGAUUGUGCCCUGGUUCAUCCGGACGAGCACCUCAGUAGAGAAAGCCGCAAACUGACUGUCAUGAUAUAGCGUGAGACUGGUCAACCACUCGAUGACCUGUUGGAAUGUUAGAAUUCCUCCGCCUUAACGAAGGGCCAUUUUCCAGCCAGGCAUGUACGUACCCCGGGAUCGGGAGAGUGCGGAGCCACCAGGGGCUAUCUAGUAGCCCCACUGUCAAACUCCUAUGGCCAACUGAAAGUGCUAAAGCAUUAUAGUCCGGUUGCCUCGCUCGCUCCGCUAUCACCUCCUUAAUAGGACCAAGACGUUGGGUUAAGUGUGAACACGUGUUUUUUGCGAGCACCUCCGCAUUAUAUGCGUGGGGGUUGAAGCCGACGGCUGCAAUCUUUCAGGUUAUACACAUGUAUACAUAAACGGCCGCCCAGGAGGCAUCAUAUUACUUUCAGGCAAAAGUAUAAAAAUAGCCUUAUAAAAAUUUAUAAAAGCAUUUCGCUUACAAUGAGAUUACAUAUCACUCAAACAUAAUAUCUUUUGAGCACUGGGUCUCUAUUAAAUGAGCACCCUCAAUAAAUUCUUCAAAGUAGUGCUCAGCAGCCAUUCGACCUAUGGCCGAAUCCCGCGCUGCAACAGUUGUAGCAUCCAUCUCCGCCCAGUAUGCUUUAACACGGGCAAAGGCCAUCCGUGAGCCCUCUAUGCACGCCGACCUCUUCAUCGCGUUAAUGCGUGGCACCACGUCAAGGAACUACUGCACCAAGCUGAAAUAGCUGUUCGGUUUUGGCCUUUCCGGCCAUAGCGGAUCCACAACAGACCUCAUGGCGAGUCCGGACAACCGAUUCAGUUCGGCCCAUUCCGCUAAUUGGUCAGUCAAUGAAAGUGGAUGCUCGGGAGAAUGGAAUUGUGUGCAAAACAGCUAGUCCACUUCACGGUCCGUCUGACCCUGGAAGUACUUGGCCGCAUCGGCAGCGCUCGCCGCCAAAUCCAUAUACACAUCCUCCAAACUCCAUAGCCGAUCCAGAGAGGCAUACCAUGGAUCUCCGAACUUCCUCCGCAACAUAAAGGAUUUCCCAGCUACAAUAUCCCCGGCUUCCCGCAGCUCCUCCUUCUUUGCCCUCAUAGCAGAGCGGAUGUCUUUUCUCGUCGUAGCAGCCUUCUCAAGGUCCGAUGCCUUCGCUAGGUUUUCCUUUUCAAGAACCCGGCAACGGUCGGCGACGGCUUUUAAUUCUAUGGCCAUCUUGGCCAUCUUAUCUCGGCUCUCGCCAUGCGCGGCCUUCUCGGCUUUCAACUCUUCGGCCGCCUUCAAAGCAGCCGCAUUACCAAACCUCGCUUGUUCCUUGGCUCGGGCAAGUUCUGCCCGCAAGGCUUCAACAGUGGCAGCUCCAUCUGCAGUCACAACAUAUUAAAGAUACUGGCAUCAUGCUGCUCUUACUAUGUGGCGUUUACCAGAUAAUGACACUUACCUUGUGCCUCAUCAAGCCUUUUGUUAAGAAGCUCGAUGUCGGCGUCUGCCGCAUCCAACUGCCGUUUUAAAUGGGCAAACUCGCUAGUCCGGCUAGCCACCGGAGCUUCCAUCACCUGCACAUAGAGGCAGUAUGGUUAUUACCUGGGAAUAUGAUCCUCUGUUCGUCGUCGUUUUCGACGACAACCAGAGUCUCAAGGGCUACUAUCUACACAGGGCACACCUAGCAUGUGCAGGACUAUCAUACAUUAUUUUACGUACCUCAAAACCUGUCAGUAGACUCAUAAAAGCUUCAUGCAAUCCACUUUCGACGGACAAGAUUCUCUCCAUCACCAUAUUCAUCAGCACACGGUGUUCAUAUGAGAUGGCCGCUCGCCCCACUAACUCCCUCAGAACAUCCGAUCGCACACCAGACGGUGCCGGACUCUUUUGUCCGCUCUCUUCGGGAGCCGGACACUGGGAGCUUCGGUGGUCAAUGGGAUUAUCUUCUGGCCUCACCGGACUCAGAGAGGCCCUCCGCGACGACACUUCGGGGUUGCCGCUUCUGGAGCGGAGGAGUCCGGAGGAGGCGUUUCGCUCUCCAUCAUCUCUGGAAGAAGAUCCCCCGAAGAUGAGCUCAUUUGAGAGGGGCUAAGGCCCGAACUGCAAAGAUAUAUGCGGUGGUUAUUUCCUCAGAAGAAAAAGAUGGCAUACCUGUGCUAUUAAAGUAUUUCGGGUCACUUACGACUCGCUGGAGAAUUGAUCCCCACGUGGACUUUGUGCGGUAAAAGCACCCCCCAAGGUAGGACCCUAUGUGGGAGACUUCUUCUCCCGUUUGGAAGCUUCGGCUUCCGAAUCCCCGGGUGCAGUCCUUUUCCUCCUCCGGUCGCCUUCCUUCUUGGAGACGCUCGCUCCCUCGGUUAGAAUGGGCAGCGUUGGGGGCCCGCGUCCGCCCGUAUUAUCCUCCCCAGUAUCUUCCUUCAAGGGCUCCGGGCAAGGUGCGACCUGGAGCAUAUUUUCCAAUACCGAAUUGUCCAAACCCUCAGGGAGGGGGGCCGAACACCGAAUCAACUUCGCCUUUGUUAGCCAGUCCUGGUCAAAAAGCAAACUCUUAGAAAUAACUUCGUAACAAAUGGAAGAUAGUAUGUUCGGCCGGAAGAUUCCUUACCUGUUCGACGGCGCGGUUACUGCUCAGGCCCACGUCCUUGGUGAUUUCCGGACACUCUACCCGAGGUCCGAAGAAUGAUGUAACACCCCGGAUGUAACUUUCCCUAUUCGUACUCCAACUCUUGCCGUUUCUGGCGUUAACUUAUUUUAUUUUCUCGGGUUCGGGUCUUUGUCCCCGUGUGUUGUUGUCGUUGUCAUGCAUCUCAUAUCAUGUCAUCAUGUGCAUUGCAUUUGCAUACGUGUUCGUCUCAUGCAUUCGAGCAUUUUCCCCGUUGUCCGUUUUGCAUUCCGGCGCUUCGUUCUCCUCCGGUGGUCAUUUCUACCUUUCUUUCGUGUGUGGGGAUUAAACAUUUCCGGAUUGGACCGAGACUUGCCAAGCGGCCUUGGUUUACUACCGGUAGACCGCCUGUCAAGUUUCGUACCAUUUGGACUUCGUUUGAUACUCCAACGGUUAACCGAGGGACCGACAAGGCCUCGUGUGUGUUGCAGCCCAACACCCCUUCAAUUUGUCCCAAAACCCACCUAAACCCUCUCCAUCGUCUAGAGCGUUCGAUCACGAUCGCGUGGCCGAAAACAGCACCUCAUUUGGACUCUCCUAGCUCCUCCUAUGCCUAUUUAAAGAUCCCCGAAAAUCUCCGUCUCCUUCCCCCCGAAAACCCUAGAUCUCAUCACCGCGCGCCGCCGGACAAAAAUCCCACCGACGGACACGUCCGGGCCGACCCCACCGCCGCCACGUGUCGCCUCCUCACUCGCCGCCGCCUCGCCCCACUUCGCCGGCCCGGGAGGCCCAGGGAGGGCCCCCGAGGCNNNNNNNNNNNNNNNNNNNNNNNNNNNNNNNNNNNNNNNNNNNNNNNNNNNNNNNNNNNNNNNNNNNNNNNNNNNNNNNNNNNNNNNNNNNNNNNNNNNNNNNNNNNNNNNNNNNNNNNNNNNNNNNNNNNNNNNNNNNNNNNNNNNNNNNNNNNNNNNNNNNNNNNNNNNNNNNNNNNNNNNNNNNNNNNNNNNNNNNNNNNNNNNNNNNNNNNNNNNNNNNNNNNNNNNNNNNNNNNNNNNNNNNNNNNNNNNNNNNNNNNNNNNNNNNNNNNNNNNNNNNNNNNNNNNNNNNNNNNNNNNNNNNNNNNNNNNNNNNNNNNNNNNNNNNNNNNNNNNNNNNNNNNNNNNNNNNNNNNNNNNNNNNNNNNNNNNNNNNNNNNNNNNNNNNNNNNNNNNNNNNNNNNNNNNNNNNNNNNNNNNNNNNNNNNNNNNNNNNNNNNNNNNNNNNNNNNNNNNNNNNNNNNNNNNNNNNNNNNNNNNNNNNNNNNNNNNNNNNNNNNNNNNNNNNNNNNNNNNNNNNNNNNNNNNNNNNNNNNNNNNNNNNNNNNNNNNNNNNNNNNNNNNNNNNNNNNNNNNNNNNNNNNNNNNNCCGCCGACAACCGCCGCCGCGGCCCUACCGCGCCGCUCCCCGCCGUCCCGCGGCCGGAUCCGGGCCGCCGGUGAGCUCCUGUCGCCGCCCUACCCUUCUCCGGCAAUGAUUCCGGCGGACCUCGGUUUCCGUGCACUGGAUCCAUAUCUGAAAAUAUCUCCUCGGGUUGACUUUUUCUCUCGAAACCCUAAUCCAUAUGCUCAUGUUCAUAGCCUCGUAACUUUGCAUCCGUAGCUCCGAUUCAUGCAUAUAGCAUAUCAAAAUGUUCAUCUCAGAGAGUACAUCAUUUCAUUCCAUUGCAUCAUUUUCAUUUGAGUUUAUCUUGAUGCCCGAAAUGCUGUUAGAAGAUGGCUACUUGAGAUAAUUGUCAGAUCUGCUACUCCGUUUAGCUUUUUGUCAUUUUUGCCAUGAUUAUUGUGUGCAUGAUAUGCCCUGAUGCUCUACAUAUGUUUUGUUAACGGUUUUGCCAUCUUUCCAGAGGUGCAACCCAUGUAAUUUUGUGAUGUGUGUGGUGACUUGCACAAGCUUGCAAAGUGGUGCACUUGUUAAUUCUGUUUUCAGGGACUUAGCAUUUCCACUAAGUCUUUGAGCUGUUUAUUUCAUAUGGCCAUAUGUUCAUGUUGUUUCCUAGUGAUCCGUGCCUCUUUUGAGGAUGAUCAUUAAGGAUGUUUUGUUUGUAUUGUAGUGCUCUAUCCAUCCAUGUCUUUGUUUGCAAUUAUGGAGCACCCUAGCUUGAGUCAAUCGAGCUCUACUUUUGCUACUUUGUGAAUCUAGGCAGAUUGUCAACUUGUUUGCAAUUUUGCCGAUAUUGUUGUAGUUGAUCCGUGCAUGCUAUGUUAUUGUUCUUGCCAUGUCUAGCUUGAAUUUUGUGUGUUCUUGAUAGAUGUAUGCUUAGCUUGUCAUGACUUGUUCCGUAGUGAGUGCAUCGAGCUCGUAAACAUGCCUACUUGAGUUAUGUUUCAGCAUGUGCCAGUUUUUCACUGUCUGAAAACUGAUUAUGUUUUUGCCAUGUUCACAUGCUUGCAAUUGUAUUUUCUGAUCCCUUUUGGCUCAAGGUCACUAAGGGACUUUUGUUAAGCUCUUUGAGUAGCUCCAUGCCAUGCUUUACUUUGCCAUGUUCAGGUCCUGUAGCAUAUAGUUUUGUUGCUCCGAAGAGUGCUAUCUGAUCUGAAAUUCCAGACAAGUGUUAAUUUCACUUAGUCUGAGAUCUGUUUACCAUAUGCAUUUUUGCCAUGCUUGUUUGAACCUGUUAAUGGGUGAAUUGGCCGUAGCUCAGUGCUAGACUUUUGUUAAGCAUCUUGAAUUCAUCCCUGCCAUGUAUUUUGUUUUCAUGUUUGGGUGCUGUAGCAUGUUCAUCUCAUUGCAAUUAGAUGGCUACUUGCUGUAAAUCACAGACCGGUGUCAUAUUUGAAUCGCUUGCCAUUUCCAAACCGUAACUCCGAUCCCGACGUUCUUUAUAUUGUUUUCAAGCGAUUUCAUCUCAUCGUUCCAGUGGUACACUUGGAUCUCCAAGUUGAGGCCAGGUUCUUGCAUUUCCUGUCAUAUCUUGCAUAUGCAUCCCGCAUCGCAUCCCGCAUAGCAUACCAUCAUUGCUUCGUAUUGUUUGUUCCUUGCACGUGGUUGAUUGUGUCCUUGUUGCUUGUUUGUCUUGGUUGGGUAGAGCCGGGAGACGAGUUCGCUAACGAGGAGCCCGUUGAGUUUGCUUUCGAGGAUCCAGUCAACUCUGACAACUGUGCAGGCAAGAUGAUCAUACCCUCGAAAUCACUACUAUCUUUGCUAUGCUAGAUUGCUCGCUCUUUGCUAUGCCAAUGACACAAUGCCUACCACUUGUUUUCAAGCCUCCCAAAUUUCCAUGUAAAACCUCUAACCCACCAUGUCCUAGCAAACCGUUGAUUGGCUUUGUUACCGCUUUGCUCAGCCCCUCUUAUAGCGUUGCUAGUUGCGGGUGAAGAUUGGAGGCCGUUCCUUGUUGGAACAUUUAUUACCUGUUGGGAUAUCAUUAUAUUGCCAUGUUAUCUUAAUGCAUCUAUAUACUUGGUAAAGGGUGGAAGGCUUGGCCUCUCGCCUAGUGUUUUGUUCCACUCUUGCCGCCCUAGUUUCCGUCAUAUCGGUGUUAUGUUCCCGGAUUUUGUGUUCCUUACGCGGUUGGGUUAUAAUGGGAACCCCUUGAUAGUUCGCCUUGAUUAAAGCUUUUCCAGCAAUGCCUAACCUUGGUUUUACCAUUCGCCACCUAGCCUCUUUUCCCCUUAGGUUUCCGGAGCCCGAGGGUCAUCUUAUUUUAACCCCCCCGGGCCAGUGCUCCUCUGAGUGUUGGUCCGAACUGAGCUGCCUGCGGGGCCACCUCGGGGAAACUUGAGGGUUGGUUUUACUCGUAGCUAGUCUCAUAUGAGUGUGCCCUGAGAACGAGAUAUGUGCAGCUCCUAUCGGGAUUUGUCGGCACAUUCGGGCGGUGUUGCUGGUCUUGUUUUAACCUGUCGAAGUGUCUUGAAGAACCGAGAUACCGAGUCUGAUCGGAACGUCUUGGGAGGAGGUCUAUUCCUUCGUUGACCGUGAGAGCUUGUCAUGGGCUAAGUUGGGACUCCCCUGCAGGGAUUUGAACUUUCGAAAGCCGUGCCCGCGGUUAUGGGCAGAUGGGAAUUUGUUAAUGUCCGGUUGUAGAUAACUUGAACCUUAACUUAAUUAAAAUGAAUCGACUGAGUGUGUUACCGUGAUGGCCUCUUCUCGGCGGAGUCCGGGAAGCGGACACGGUGUUGGAGUAAUGUUUGCGCAGGUUGUUCUCUAGUUUCUCGCUCGCGCUUUGCCCCCUCUUCUCGCUCUCUUUUGCGAAUAAGUUAGCCACCAUAUAUGCUAGUUGCUUGCUGUAGCUCCACAUAUAUUUUUACCUUGCCUUACCUAUAAGCUUAAAUAGUCUUGAUCGCGAGGGUGCAAGAUUGCUGAGUCCCUAUGGCUCACAGAUUACUAUUACACCAGAUGCAGUGCCUGAUGAUUCCGCUCCAGGUGACGCGCUCGAGCUCAAGUGGGAGUUCGACAAGGACUCUCAAUGUUACUAUGUUUCCUUUCCUGAUGAUCAGUAGUGGUGCCCAGUUGGGGUGAUUGGGACCGUGUCGCAUGUUGGGUUCUCUUUUAUUUUGGCGCCGUAGUCGGGCCAUGAGUGGUUGGUUGAUGUAAUGUUAUUUAUGUACUUGAUUGACGUGGCGAGUGUAAGCCAACUAUGUUAUCUCCCCUUUAUUAUUCAUAUUACAUGGGAUGUUGUGAAGAUUGCCUAACUUGCGACAUAUGCCUUCAAUACGAUUAUGCCUCUAAGUCGUGCCUCGACACGUGGGAGAUAUAGUCGCAUCGAGGGUGUUACAAGUUGGUAAUCAGAGCCUUCCCCGACCUUAGGGGCCCCAUUGCUUGAUCGUUAUUAGCGGCCGAGUUGUGUCUAGAAAAAAAUGUUUUGAGUCAUUUAGGAAUUAUAUGUCGGAGAGUUUAGGAAUUCUUUUUACUUCCCAGUCUCCUCAUCCUCUGGUAAGACAUCCUAACAUAGAGUUUUGGCUCUUCUCUUCUCAAAUUUCACUAAAACAAAUUUUAGGAUCACGCGGGUAUCUUGGAAUUGUUCCGAUGGUUUUAUGACGAGAACAUUGUCUUGGUGCCUCUUGUCAGGGGUUUAGUAGAAGUGUCCCGGGGAGUUGAGCUCUGAGGUGUUGUCAUCAUAAUUUUAUCGUUGUAGUUCUGGAAUACCUGAGUUUAGUACGCCGACAUCGAAAAUCUCUUUUAUGCAGUUCAUUGGUGAGAUAACCUCGACGCCACCCAGUACUGGGGCGGGAGUUCGGGAGUAUCGCCAUAACUUGUAUAACGGAUGCUUUUCGAAGGUUGAGGUAGAUGGUUUUCGAAGGUUUCUUGGUUAUGUGUUGAAGGAUGGAAACAGCUGGAUGUAGGAUUUGCUAGUUUGGGUGAGAUAUUAUGCUUCCCCUGUAUCCCCAACACCUGAUUGCAUAACCGGAAAGGUUCGGGAGUUUCAUAGGUGGGAAUUCUACUAGCUCUAGUUCUUCUUCCACGGAUAUUGGUUUGAGAUUGGGAUUUCUUACCGAUUAUUCGUUCUUGAUCCGUACCUUGUUGAUUUAUUUCUCUACCUUAAUUCUACGUGGCUUCUCAAUUUAUGGAUAUGUGACCAUUUCAAGAGGAAUGCAUUCGUUCAUUUUGUUUAGAUGUGAAGACUAUAUGUUGCAAUUUUCAUUCCGUUGGAUUCAGCUUCAAUAUUUGUCUGUCAAUGUGCUGAUGGAUGUCAACCUCUUCAGGAUGGCUCCUCCAACGCGCACGACUCCGAAUCCUAAUCCGCCACCACCUCCACCUCCUUCGGAGGCAUGGCUAGCUGUGAUGGCCGCAACCAAUGCAAAUACACAGUUGAUAUGCAAAUUCUCCAAGAGCGCAAUCAAGGCAACCAAGGGAACCAAGGCAACAAUCAGAAUCACUUUGCUACACUCAACUAGUUCCUUGCUAACGGGCCAAAGACUUUCAGCAACUGUGUUGAGGCAACCGAUGUUGACGAUUGGCUAGUGGAUCUGUGCAAGCAUUUCGAGUGCAGUAAUGUCAGGCCUGAGGACUUUGUUAAGUUCGCUUCCUUCCAACUCAAAGAUCAAGCUGCAGAAUGGUUCCAGCAGUACAAGGAUUCCAGAGGUGGACGUGUUAUCACUUAGGAUGAAUUUCGUCGAGAUUUCCGAGCUCAUCAUAAUCCCCAGAGCGUGGUUGAAAGUAAGCGUGAGGAAUUCCGCAACCUGAAGCAAGGCUCUUUGUCUGUCUAUGACUACAACAAGUUGUUUCAGAAGCUCGCCCGCUUUGCCAAGCAGGACAUCCCUGAUGAGAAGAGCAUGAUAUACUAGUUUAGGGGUGGUCUCAGAGAAGAAAUUCAGCUAGCUCUUGUUCUCUUCAAGCCCUUGAGGUACGAUGAGUUCUACAACAUGGCAUUGAAGCAAGAGGCUGCUCAGUUGAGGUGUGAUGCUUCCAAGAAGCGAGUCAGAGAUGCUACUCCUUCUUCCUCUACUCAAGUGGCCAAGCAGCAGAAGUAUUGGCUUCCUCCUCCUCUGUUAUGUCAUCCCUAUCAGCAUAAGAGCAAAGGUGGCAGUGGAUCUUCCCACCCACCCAAUCCUGGCUUUCAGAACAAGACUUCGUCUCAAGCUCCAAGAUCGAGUGCUCCGUAUCACCGUCCGCUUUCAGAGGUCACGUGCAACAAGUGCCAACAGAAGGGUCACUAUGCCAACAAGUGUUUCAACCAGAGGCGUCUUCCUCCUCCUCCUCCUGUGAGAUCGGCAAGUACAGCUGUGGUCAAGCAUAAUCCUAAGCACGCCAAGGUCAACUUGAUGAACGCAGCCCAGGCAGAGGACUCGUCAGAUGUGAUCAUGGGUAACCUUCCUGUUAACGAUGUUCCUGCAAAAGUUCUUUUUGACUCUGGUGCAUCGCAUUCCUUCAUGUCAUUCCCAUUUGCAUCAGAGAACAAUUUUAGUACUAAGGCCUUACCUAGAGCUAUGCAAGUCGUCUCUCCGGCUAAGCGUCUGAGUUCUAGUAUGAUGGUUCCAGAUAUUUCUAUCAUGAUGGGUGAUUUCAAGUUUCUGGCUUCUCCAAUGGUUCUUGGUAACUCGGAUAUUGAUCUUAUUCUCGGAAUGGAUUGGCUUUCUAAGCACAAGGCUCAGCUUGAUUGUGUAGCCAGGCAGAUUCAAUUGACUCAUUCGUCUGAGGAUGUAAUUGUCUUUGCUGCUCGGGAUAAUACCAUCCGUCUAUUUUCUCUCAAUGAGAAGGGUGAAUUGGACGCUAUCUCGCAAAUUCCAGUCGUUUGCGAAUAUCAAGACAUAUUUCCAGAAGAGCUUCCAUGAUUGCCUCCGCACCGGCCAGUUGAAUUUGUUAUUGGUCUUGAGCCCGGCACGGAACCUGUGUGCAAACGUCCUUACAAGCUCGGACCUGAAGAGUUGAAGGAGCUGAAGAAGCAACUCGAUAUUCAAGAGAAAAUGGGUCUCAUCCGGCCUAGUUCUUCUCCGUGGGGUUGUGGUGUUCUUUUUGUGAAGAAGAAGGAUGGAACGGACCGACUUUGUGUUGAUUACCGUCUAGUGAACAAGAAGACCAUCAAGAACAAAUACCCACUUCCCAACAUCAAUGAGCUGUUCGAACAACUCAAAGGUGUCCAAGUAUUCUCUAAGCUUGAUCUCCGUAUGGUUUAUCAUCAGAUUCGUAUCCGUGAGCAAGAUAUUCCCAAGACGGCUUUCAGGACAAGCUUUGGUUCAUAUGAAUACACUGUCAUGUCUUUUGGCCUCGUCAACGCUCCUCUGACGUUCUCUCGCAUGAUGAACUUCAUCUUCAACGCCUACACCAAUGACUUCGUUUUGGUCUAUCUCGACGACAUUCUGGUUUUCUCGAAGAACAAGGAAGAUCAUGCCAAGCACUUGCGUUUGGUACUCAAUAAGCUUAGAGAACAUCAGUUCUACGCCAAGUUCUCCAAGUGUGAAUUUUGGCUCGAUGAGGUUCUUUAUCUUGGUCAUAUUAUCUCUGCCAAGGGCAUUGCCGUGAAUCCUGAGAAGGUGUCUGCAAUUGUGAAUUGGGAACCUCCUCAGAACGUGAAGCAACUCCGCAGUUUCCUCGGUCUCGCAAGCUAUUGCCGAAGAUUCGUUGAAAACUUUACUAAGAUCGCGAAGCCUCUCUCAAAUCUUCUCCAGAAGCACGUCAAGUACGUUUGGUCUCCGGAGUGUGAUAUUGCUUUCAACACUUUGAAAGAGAAAUUGAUCACUGCUCCAGUUCUCACUCCGCCUGAUGAAUCCAAGCCAUACGAGGUCUUUUGUGAUGCCUCUCUCCAAGGUCUUGGGGCAGUAUUGAUGCAAGAGAAGAAAAUUGUUGCUUAUACUUCUCGCCAGUUGAAGCCUAAUGAGAAGAACUACCCCACUCAUGAUCUCGAGUUGGCGGCAGUUGUGCAUGCUCUUUUGACUUGGAGACAUCUUCUAUUGGGAAGAAAAGUGGACAUUUUCACUGAUCACAAGAGUCUCAAGUACAUCUUCACUCAGCCUAAUCUCAACCUCAGGAAAACUCGAUGGGUCGAAAUGAUUCAAGAGUAUAAUCCAAGUAUAGAGUAUACUCCAGGCAAGGCCAAUGUGAUUGCUGACGCACUGAGCAGAAAGGCUUAUUGCAACAGUCUGAUUCUUAAGCCUUAUCAACCCGAGCUUUGUGAAGCUUUCUGCAAACUUAAUCUGCAAGUUGUUCCUCAAGGUUUCCUCGCCAACCUUCUAGUCUCUCCUACCUUGGAAGACCAGAUUCGCCAGGCCCAGCUUCUUGAUGCUAUGGUGAAAAAGGUGAAGAUUGGGAUUGCCAAGAGUCAACCCAAGUACAAGUGCUACCGCCUUGAUGACAAGGAUACUCUAUUCUUCGAGGAUCGUAUUGUUGUACCCAAAGGUGACCUCCGUAAAGUGAUCAUGAAUUAGGCUCCCAAUUCUCUCCUCUCCAUCCACCCUGGGAGCACGAAGAUGUAUCAGGACCUCAAGCAAGCUUAUUGGUGGACUCGAAUGAAGCGCGAGAUUGCUCAGUUCGUGAAUGAAUGUGAUGUCUGCAGAAGAGUGAAGGCAGAACACCAAAGGCCAGCUGGUGUCCUCCAACCUCUUGCCAUUCCAGAAUGGAAGUUUGACCACAUUGAAAUGAACUUCGUGACUGGGUUUCAUAAGUCCAGGCGUGGCAAUGAUGCUAUAUUCGUUGUCAUCGACAAACUCACUAAAGUGGCUCACUUUCUGCCUAUCAAAGAGUCGAUCACUGCAGCUCAAUUGGAGGAACUCUAUACCUCUCGUAUUGUCUCUCUGCACGGUAUUCCACAAGUGAUCUCUUCAGACCGUGGCAGCAUCUUUACCUCGAAGUUUUGGGAUUCUUUUCAGAAGGCCAUGGGCACCAACAUCCGCUUCAGCACAGCUUUCCAUCCUCAAACUAGCGGUCAAGUCGAGCGUGUCAACCAGAUUCUUGAAGAUAUGCUCAGGGCUUGUGUGAUCUCCUUCAGCAUGAAGUGGGAGGAUUGUCUUCCUUAUGCUGAAUUCUCCUACAACAAUAGUUUUCAAGCAAGUUCGGGCAACGCCCCAUUUGAAAUUCUGUAUGGCAGGAAGUGCCGUACCCCUCUCAACUGGUCUGAAACCGGUGAACGUCAGCUUUUGGGUAAUGACUUAAUCACAGAGGCAGAAUAAAUGUGCAAAGUCAUUCGAGAUAACCUCAAAGCAGCCCAAUCCUCUCAGAAGAGCUACUAUGAUAGUAAGCACCGCGAUUUGACUUUCGAGAUCGGAGAUCAUGUUUACCUCCGCGUCUCUCCUAUGAAAGGUACUCGUCGCUUCGGUAUCAAAGGGAAGCUUGCCCCCAGAUACGUGGGACCUUUCAAGAUUGUCAGCAAGAGAGGCGACCUCGCCUAUCAACUCGAGCUUCCUUCAAACUUUGCAAAUGUUCAUGACAUGUUCCAUGUCUCUCAGCUUCGAAAGUGCUUCAAGACUCCUGACCGCACCGUCAACUUCGAGGACAUUGAGCUCCAAGAAGAUCUCUCUUAUCGUGAGCACCCAGUUGCUAUUCUUGAAGAGACUGAGCGCAAGACUCGCAAUAAGUCAAUCAAAUUUCUCAAAGUCAAGUGGUCACACCAUUCCGACCGUGAAGCUACCUGGGAAUGCAAGGAUGACCUCCGUUCUGAGUACCCGGCGUUCUUUCAGUCCUAGAUCACGAGACGAGAUCCUUUCGUAGUGGUGGAGUGUUGUAACACCCCGGAUGUAACUUUCCAAUUCGUACUCCAACUCUUGCCGUUUCCGGCGUUAACUUAUUUUAUUUUCUCGGGUUCGGGUCUUUGUCCCCGUGUGUUGUUGUCGUUGUCAUGCAUCUCAUAUCAUGUCAUCAUGUGCAUUGCAUUUGCAUACGUGUUUGUCUCAUGCAUUCGAGCAUUUUCCCCGUUGUCCGUUUUGCAUUCCGGCGCUUCGUUCUCCUCCGGUGGUCAUUUCUACCUUUCUUUCGUGUGUGGGGAUUAAACAUUUCCGGAUUGGACCGAGACUUGCCAAGCGGCCUUGGUUUACUACCGGUAGACCGCCUGUCAAGUUUCGUACCAUUUGGACUUCGUUUGAUACUCCAACGGUUAACCGAGGGACCGACAAGGCCUCGUGUGUGUUGCAGCCCAACACCCCUUCAAUUUGUCCCAAAACCCACCUAAACCCUCUCCAUCGUCUAGAGCGUUCGAUCAUGAUCGCGUGGCCGAAAACCGCACCUCAUUUGGACUCUCCUAGCUCCUCCUAUGCCUAUUUAAAGAUCCCCGAAAAUCUCCGUCUCCUUCCCCCCGAAAACCCUAGAUCUCAUCACCGCACGCCGCCGGACAAAAAUCCCACCGACGGACACGUCCGGGCCGACCCCACCGCUGCCACGUGUCGCCUCCUCACUCGCCGCCGCCUCGCUCCACUUCGCCGGCCCGGGNNNNNNNNNNNNNNNNNNNNNNNNNNNNNNNNNNNNNNNNNNNNNNNNNNNNNNNNNNNNNNNNNNNNNNNNNNNNNNNNNNNNNNNNNNNNNNNNNNNNNNNNNNNNNNNNNNNNNNNNNNNNNNNNNNNNNNNNNNNNNNNNNNNNNNNNNNNNNNNNNNNNNNNNNNNNNNNNNNNNNNNNNNNNNNNNNNNNNNNNNNNNNNNNNNNNNNNNNNNNNNNNNNNNNNNNNNNNNNNNNNNNNNNNNNNNNNNNNNNNNNNNNNNNNNNNNNNNNNNNNNNNNNNNNNNNNNNNNNNNNNNNNNNNNNNNNNNNNNNNNNNNNNNNNNNNNNNNNNNNNNNNNNNNNNNNNNNNNNNNNNNNNNNNNNNNNNNNNNNNNNNNCUCCCCGCCGCCGACAACCGCCGCCGCGGCCCUACCGCGCCGCUCCCCGCCGUCCCGCGGCCGGAUCCGGGCCGCCGGUGAGCUCCCGUCGCCGCCCUUCCCUUCUCCGGCGAAGAUUCCGGCGGACCUCGGUUUCCGUGCACUAGAUCCAGAUCUGAAAAUAUCUCCUCGGGUUGACUUUUUCUCUCGAAACCCUAAUCCAUAUGCUCAUGUUCAUAGCCUCGUAACUUUGCAUCCGUAGCUCCGAUUCAUGCAUAUAGCAUAUCAAAAUGUUCAUCACAGAGAGUACAUCAUUUCAUUCCAUUGCAUCAUUUUCAUUUGAGUUCAUCUAGAUGCCUGAAAUGAUGUUAGAAGAGGGCUACUUGAGAUAAUUGUCAGAUCUGCUACUCUGUUUAGCUUUUUGUCAUUUUUGCCAUGAUUAUUGUGUGCAUGAUAUGCCCUGAUGCUCUACAUAUGUUUUGUUAAGGGUUUUUCCAUCUUUCCAGAGGUGCAACACAUGUAAUUUUGUGAUGUGUGUGGUGACUUGCACAAGCUUGCAAAGUGGUGCACUUGUUAAUUCUGUUUUCAGGGACUUAGCAUUUCCACCAAGUCUUUGAGCUGUUUAUUUCCUAUGGCCAUAUGUUCAUGUUGUUUCCUAGUGAUCCGUGCCUCUUUUGAAGAUGAUCAUUAAGGAUGUUUUGUUAAUAUUGUAGUGCUCUAUCCCUCCAUGUCUUUGUUUGCAAUUAUGGAGUACCCUAGCUUGAGUCAAUCGAGCUCUACUUUUGCUACUUUGUGAAUCUGGGCAGAUUGUCAACUUGUUUGCAAUUUUGCCGAUGUUGUUGUAGUUGAUCCGUGCAUGCUAUGUUAUUGUUCUUGCCAUGUCUAGCUUGAAUUUUGUGUGUUCUUGAUAGAUGUAUGCUUAGCUUGUCAUGACUUGUUCCGUAGUGAGUGCAUCGAGCUCGUAAACAUGCCUACUUGAGUUAUGUUUCAGCAUGUGCCAGUUUUUCACUAAGUCUGAAAACUGAUUAUGUUUUUGCCAUGUUCACAUGCUUGCAAUUGUAUUUUCUGAUCCCUUUUGGCUCAAGGUCACUAAGGGACUUUUGUUAAGCUCUUUGAGUAGCUCCAUGCCAUGCUUUACUUUGCCAUGUUCAGGUCCUGUAGCAUAUAGUUUUGUUGCACCGAAGAGUGCUAUCUGAUCUGAAAUUCCAGACAAGUGUUAAUUUCACUAAGUCUGAGAUCUGUUUACCAUAUGCAUUUUUGCCAUGCUUGUUUGAACCUGUUAAUCGGUGAAUUGGUCGUAGCUCAGUGCUAGACUUUUGUUAAGCAUCUUGAAUUCAUCCCUGCCAUGUAUUUUGUUGUCAUGUUUGGAUGCUGUAGCAUGUUCAUCUCAUUGCAAUUAGAUGGCUACUUGCUGUAAAUCGCAGACCGGUGUCAUAUUUGAAUCGCUUGCCAUUUCCAAACCGUAACUCCGAUCCCGACAUUCUUUAUAUCGUUUUCAAGCGAUCUCAUCUCAUCUUUCUAGUGGCACACUUGGAUCUCCAAGUUGAGGCCAGGUUCUUGCAUUUCCUAUCAUAUCUUGCAUAUGCAUCCCGCAUCGCAUCCCGCAUAGCAUACCAUCAUUGCUUCGUAUUGUUUGUUCCUUGCACGUGGUUGAUUGUGUCCUUGUUGCUUGUUUGUCUUGUUUGGGUAGAGCCGGGAGACGAGUUCGCUAACGAGGAGCCCGUUGAGUUUGCUUUCGAGGAUCCAGUCAACUCUGACAACUGUGCAGGCAAGAUGAUCAUACCCUCGAAAUCACUACUAUCUUUGCUAUGCAAGAUUGCUCGCUCUUUGCUAUGCCAAUGCCACGAUGCCUACCACUUGCUUUCAAGCCUCCCAAAUUGCCUUGUAAAACCUCUAACCCACCAUGUCCUAGCAAACCGUUGAUUGGCUUUGUUACCGCUUUGCUCAGCCCCUCUUAUAGCGUUGCUAGUUGCAGGUGAAGAUUGGUGGUCGUUCCUUGUUGGAACAUUUAUUACUUGUUGGGAUAUCAUUAUAUUGCCAUGUUAUCUUAAUGCAUCUAUAUACUUGGUAAAGGGUGGAAGGCUUGGCCUCUUGCCUAGUGUUUUGUUCCACUCUUGCCGCCCUAGUUUCCGUCAUAUCGGUGUUAUGUUCCCGGAUUUUGCGUUCCUUACGCGGUUGGGUUAUAAUGGGAACCCCUUGAUAGUUCGCCUUGAUUAAAUCUUUUCCAGCAAUGCCCAACCUUGGUUUUACCAUUCUCCACCUAGCCUCUUUUUCCCUUGGGUUUCUGGAGCCCGAGGGUCAUCUUAUUUUAACCCCCCCCCGGGCCAGUGCUCCUCUGAGUGUUGGUCCGAACUGAGCUGCCUGCGGGGCCACCUCAGGGAAACUUGAGGGUUGGUUUUACUCGUAGCUAGUCUCAUCUGAGUGUGCCCUGAGAACGAGAUAUGUGCAGCUCCUAUCGGGAUUCGUCGGCACAUUCGGGCGGUGCUGCUGGUCUUGUUUUAACCCGUCGAAGUGUCUUGAAGAACGGAGAUACCGAGUCUGAUUGGAACAUCUUGGGAGGAGGUCUAUUCCUUCGUUGACCGUGAGAGCUUGUCAUGGGCUAAGUUGGGACUCCCCUACAGGGAUUUGAACUUUCAAAAGCCGUGCCCGCGGUUAUGGGCAGAUGGGAAUUUGUUAAUGUCCGGUUGUAGAUAACUUGAACCUUAACUUAAUUAAAAUGAAUCAACUGAGUGUGUUACCGUGAUGGCCUCUUCUCGGCGGAGUCUGGGAAGCGGACACGGUGUUGGAGUAAUGUUUGCGCAGGUUGUUCUCUAGUUUCUCGCUCGCGCUUUGCCCCCUCUUCUCGCUCUCUUUUGCAAAUAAGUUAGCCACCAUAUAUGAUAGUCGCUUGCUGCAGCUCCACAUAUAUUUUUACCUUGCCUUACCUAUAAGCUUAAAUACUCUUGAUUGCGAGGGUGCGAGAUUGCUGAGUCCCUGUGGCUCACAGAUUACUAUUACACCAGAUGCAGGGCCUGAUGAUUCCACUCCAGGUGACGCGCUCGAGCUCAAGUGGGAGUUCGAAGAGGACUCUCAAUGUUACUAUGUUUCCUUUCCUGAUGAUCAGUAGUGGUGCCCAGUUGGGGUGAUUGGGACCGUGUCGCAUGUUGGGUUCUCUUUUAUUUUGGCGCCGUAGUCGGGCCAUGAGUGGUUGGUUGAUGUAAUGUUAUUUAUGUACUUGAUUGACGUGGCGAGUGUAAGCCAACUAUGUUAUCUCCCCUUUAUUAUUCAUAUUACAUGGGAUGUUGUGAAGAUUGCCUAACUUGCGACAUAUGCCUUCAAUGCGAUUAUGCCUCUAAGUCGUACCUCGACACGUGGGAGAUAUAGUCGCAUCGAGGGUGUUACAAAUGACUUGUACAUCUCCUCGUGCAUCAAGUCGAGGAAAUUUUGAAUGACACGCGGUCCCUCGGGAUUGAACUCCCACAAGCGAAGGGGCCGGCGUUUGCAAGGCUGGACUUGACAAACCAGCAUAACUUGUAUUACCGCAACCAAACUAAAAUCUCCAUUGAAGAGAUCUCGAAUGCAGCUUUGCAGUAUAGGCACGUCCUUGGAUGGACCCCAGCUCAGACCUCUGCUGAUCCAUGACAUCAGUUGUGGUGGAGGGCCCGAGCGGAAAACAGGGGUGGCCGCCCACUUGGCACUUCUAGGAGCCGUGAUGUAGAACCACUCCUGUUGCCACAAUUCAGACACCUCUGGAAUGGAACCUUUGGGCCAUGGAGCUCCCGUCAUCUUGCAUAUCGAGGCACCUCCACAUGCUGCAUGUUGCCCCUCGAUCAUCUUCGGCUUUACUUCAAAGGUCUUGAGCCAUAGGCCAAAGUGAGGGGUAACCCGGAGGAAGGCGUCACACACGACAAUAAAUGUCGUGAUAUGAAGAAAGGAUUCCGGAGCUAGAUCAUGGAAAUCUAGCCCAUAAUAAAACAUCAAACCUCUGAUGAAAGGAUCCAGAGCAAGGCCUAGACCUCAGAGGAAGUGGGAGACGAACACGACGUUCUCGUUGGGUUCGGGGGAGGGGACGACCUGCCCUCGGGCAGGCAGCCGAUGCAAAACCUCGGCGGUCAGAUAUCUGGCCUCCCUCAACUUUUUGAUGUCUUCUUCCAUGACGGAGGAAGGCACCCAUCGGCCUUGAAGGCUAGAUCCGGACAUGAUUGAAGGUUCGGAGCACCUGACCUGAACUUUGGGUGUUUGAGCUUGAGGUGGGGGAAGGAUUCAAUUGAGCACGGGAGGGAAAAAAUAAAAGCCUUGUCUCUUUAUAAAGAGGGUGAAUAUCAAGCGUCCUCUCUGUGGCCGUUUGGACUUGCCUAUAGUCUAGGAGUCCUAGAAGCGGUUGGGUUACCCACGUCCGUAUUGAUGAGAAUCCGGAAUAAGGGGACACGAUCUCUGCUUCGACGAGACGUGUCAAGGAAACCGCCUCGCAUGACACGCUGAGGUGGGACAAUAAAACAAUUUGAAUAAAGGCUUGGCCGUGGUGCGAUGUCACGCUACGGAAUACGUCAGCAGAUUAGAUUUGUGUAAAUAUUGUUCUCUCUAUGGCAAUAUGUAGAAACUUAUUUUGCAGAGCCGGACACUAUCUUUGUGUUCAAAAUCUUCUAUGAAGUACUUGGAGGAGGAACCCGCCUUGCAAUGCCGAAAAAAAUCUGCGCGCCGGACUCGUCGUCAUUGAAGCCUGGUUCAGGGGCUACUGAGGGAGCCCUGGAUUAGGGGGUGUCCGGAUGGCUGGACUAUACCUUCAGCUGGACUCCUAGACUAUGAAGAUACAAGAUUGAAGACUUCGUCCCGUGUUUGGAAGGGACUUUCCUUGGCGUGGAAGGCAAGCUUGGCGAUACGGAUAUGUAGAUCUCCUACCAUUGUAACCGACUUUGUGUAACCCUAACCCUCUCCGGUGUCUAUAUAAACCGGAGGGUUUUAGUCCGUAGGACAACAUACAGAACAACAAUCAUACCAUAGGCUAGCUUCUAGGGUUUAGCCUCUCCGAUCUCGUGGUAGAUCUACUCUCGUACUACCCAUAUCAUCAAUAUUAAUCAAGCAGGACGUAGGGUUUUACCUCCAUCAAGAGGGCCCGAACCUGGGUAAAACUUCGUCUCCCUUGCCUCCUGUUACCAUCCGGCCUAGAUGCACAGUUCGGGACCCCCUACCCGAGAUCCGCCGGUUUUGACACCGACAAUGACCUUCUCAAAGAACUUGUCCUUAGGUGCACUUGGAGACGUCAUGAUAAUCUAGAUCUGUCAGAAAAACAACUCGAAACAAAGACAAGAGAUUUUUGUGUGAUACAAGAGUCAAAACCCCCGGGAGGUUAUAUAAUGAAUUUUUACCGACCAAAAUACGUGUCUUGUAAGAAAACGGAGUCCGGAGAGCACACGAGGUGCCCACGAGGUAGGGGGGCGCGCCCUCCACCCUCGUGGAGCCCUUGUGUCCUUUACGGACUGCUGCUUAUUUUUCUAUUUUUCUAAAUAUUCCAAAACAGAGAAAUAUUGCCUUUAAAAACUGUUUUGGAGUCGGUUUACUUACCGUACCACAUACCUAUUCCUUUUCGGAGUCUGAAACGUUCCGGAAAGUGUCCCUUAUGUACUCCUCCGGGGUUAUGGUUUCAAUAACAUUGGUUUCAACAUUUAUGGGAUUGCCCGAGAUAUAAUGUUUGAUUCUUUGACCAUUUACCACCUUUGGAUUUGUGCCUUCGAAGUUGUUGAUUUUUAUGGCACCGGAACGGUAGACCUCCUCGAUAACGUAGGGACCUUCCCAUUUAGAGAGAAGCUUUCCUGCAAAAAAUCUUAAAUGAGAGUUGUAUAGCAAUACAUAAUCACCUACAUUAAACUCAUGCUUUUGUAUCCUUUUGUCAUGCCACCUUUUAACUUUUUCCUUAAACAACUUGGCAUUUUAGUAGGCUUGGGUUCUCCAUCCAUCAGGUGAGCUAAUAUCAAAUAACCUCUUUUCACCGGCAAGUUUAUAAUCAUGAUUUAGUUCUUUAAUAGCCCAAUAAGCCUUGUGUUCUAGUUCGAGAGGUAAGUGACAUGCUUUUCCAUAGACCAUUUUAUACGGAGUCAUACCCAUAGGGUUUUUAUAUGUAGUUCUAUAGGCCCAUAAUGCAUCAUCUAGUUUCUUGGACCAAUUCUUUCUGGACCUAUUAACAGUCUUUUGCAAAAUUAAUUUGAGUUCUCUAUUACUCAAUUCUACUUGACCACUAGACUGAGGGUGAUAAGGGGAUGCAAUUCUAUGAUUAACAUCAUAUUUAGCAAGCAUUUUACGGAAAGUACCUUGAAUAAAAUGUGAACCACCAUCAGUCAUUAAAUAUCUAGGGACUCCAAACCUUGGAAAGAUAACUUCUUGAAGAAUUUUAAUAGAAGUGUUAUGAUCAGCACUACUAGUUGGAAUAGCUUCUACCCACUUAGUAACGUAAUCAACAUCAACUAAAAUAUGUGUAUAACCAUUAGAGGAAGGAAAAGGUCCCAUAUAGUCAAAGCCCCAAACAUCAAAUGGUUCAAUAACAAGUGAAUAAUUCAUAGGCAUUUCUUGACGUCUACUAAUAUUAUCAAUUCUUUGACAUUCAUCACAAUAUAAGACAAACUUACGGGAAUCCUUGAAGAGAGUAGGCCAAUAAAAACUAGAUUGUAGUACCUUAUGUGCAGUUCUAUCUCCAGCAUGGUGCCCUCCAUAAGCUUCGGAGUGACACUUGCGUAGGAUCUAUUCCUGUUCAUGCUCAGGUACACAACGUCUAAUAACACCAUCUAUUCCUUCUUUAUAAAGAUGUGGGUCAUCCCAAAAUUAAUGCCUCAAAUCAUAUAAGAACUUUUUCUUUUGCUGGUAUGUGAAACUAGGUGGUAUAAACUUAGCAACAAUGUAAUUAGCAUAAUCAGCAUACCAUGGAGUAGUAUGAGAAGCAUUUAUGACAUUUAAUUGCUCAUCAGGAAAGCUAUCAUCAAUAGGUAGUGGGUCAUCAAGCACAUUUUCUAACCUAGACAAGUUGUCUGCAAAGGGGUUCUCAGCUCCUUUUCUGUCAACAAUAUGUAAGUCAAAUUCUUGUAGCAAGAGAACCCAUCUAAUAAGUCUAGGUUUAGCAUCUUUCUUUUCCAUAAGAUAUUUAAUAGCAGCAUGAUCAGUGUGAAUAGUUACUUUAGAAUCAACAAUAUAAGGUCUAAACUUAUCAGAAGCAAAUACAACUGCUAAGAAUUCUUUUUCAGUUGUAGCAUAAUUUCUUUGAGCAUUGUCUAGAAUUUUAAUAGCAUAUUCAAUAACAUUUAGUUUCUUAUCAACUCUUUGUCCUAGAACAGCACCUACAUCAUAAUCACUAGCAUCACACAUAAUUUCAAAGGGUAAAUUCCAAUCAGGUGGAUGGACAAUAGGUGCAGAGAUCAAUGCUUUCUUAAGUAUUUCAAAUGUGUCUACACAAUCAUCAUCAAAAACAAAUGGUAUAUCUUUUUGUAAUAAAUUAGUCAGAGGCCGAGAGAUAUUUUAGAAGUCCUUAAUGAACCUCCUAUAUAAACCGGCAUGACCAAGGAAACUUCUUAUACCUUUGAUGUCCUUGGGACAUGGCAUCUUUUCCAUAGCAUCAACCUUGGCUUUAUCAACUUCAAUACCUCUUUCAGAAACUUUAUGCCCCAAGACAAUACCUUAAUUAACCAUAAAGUGGCACUUUUCCCAAUUCAAGACAAGAUUAGUUUCUUCACAUCUCUACAAAACUCGAUCAAGGUUGCUUAAGCAUUCAUCAAAAGAAGAUCCAUAGACGGAAAAGUCGUCCAUGAAAACCUCACAAAUCUUUUCACAAAAGUCAGAGAAUAUAGCCAUCAUGCAUCUUUGAAAGGUAGCAGGUGCAUUACAUAAACCAAAAGGCAUACAUCUAUAAGCAAAAGUACCAAAAGGGCAUGUAAAAGUAGUCUUUGAUUGAUCUUUGGCUGACACAGGUAUUUGAGAGAAACCAGAAUAACCAUCUAGAAAGCAAAAAUGUGUAUGUUUGGAUAAUCUUUCUCGCAUUUGAUCGAUAAAAGGUAAGGGGUAAUGAUCCUUUUUAGUAGCCUUAUUUAAUUUGCGGAAAUCAAUUACCAUCCUAUAACCAGUAAUAAUUCUUUGAGGAAUCAAUUCAUCUUUGUCAUUAGGAACAACAGUAAUACCUCCCUUGUUAGGGACACAAUGGACAGGGCUUACCCACUGACUAUCAGCAACGGGGUAAAUUUACCAGCCUCAAGGAGCUUUAGUAUCUCCUGUCUUACCACUUCUUUCAUUUUAGGAUUCAGACGGUGUUGAUGAUCACGAACUAGUUUAGCAUCUUCUUCCAAAUUAAUUUUAUGUUGGCAUAGAGUCGGACUAAUGCCCUUAAGAUCAUCAAGAGUAUACCCAAUAGCAGCAUGGUGCUUCUUCAGAGUUUUCAAUAAUCUCUCUUCUUCAUGUUCUGAAAGGUUAGCACUAAUAAUAACAGGAUAUAUCUUUUUCUCAUCAAGAUAAGCAUAUUUAAGAGUAUUCGGUAACAGUUUAAGCUCAAACACAGGAUCACCCUUGGGUGGAUGAGGACCCCCUAGGAUUUCAACAGGUAAAUUGUGUUUCAGAAUAGGUUCCUGUUUAAAGAAUACUUCAUCUAAUUCCCUUCUUUCAUUCAUAAACAUGUCAUUUUCAUGGUCUAGCAAAUAUUGUUCUAAAGGAUCACUAGGAGGUACGGCAAUAGAAGCAAGACCAAUAAUUUCAUCCUUACUAGGUAAUUCUUCUUCACGGUGUUGUCUACUAAAUUUAGAAAAAUUAAAUUCAUGAUUCAUAUCAUCUAAACCGAUAGUAACAACAUCUCUUUUUCAAUCUAUGGUAGCAUUAACAAUAUUUAAGAAGGGUCUACCAAAUAUAAUGGGACAAAAGCUAUCUUGUGGGGAACCAAGAACAAGAAAAUCAUCAGGAUAUUUAGUUUUCCCACACAAGACUUCAACAUCUUUAACAAUUCCCAUUGGUGAAAUAGUAUCUCUAUUAGCAAGUUUAAUUGUGACAUCAAUAUCUUCUAACUCAAUAGGUGCAAUGUCAUGCAUAAUUUCUUUGUAUAAGUCAAUAGGUAUUGCACUAGCACUACAACCCAUAUCACACAAGCCAUGAUAACAAUGAUCUCCUAUUUUAACAGAAAUGAUAGGCAUGCCUACCAUAGGUUUAGGUUUAUCUGUGUCACGGGGUUUAGCAAUUCUAGCAGUUUCAUCACAGAAAUAAAUAACAUGCCCAUCUAUAUUAUCAGACAAGAGAUCUUUAACAAUAGCAAUAUUAGGUUCAACUUUAACUUGCUCAGGAGGUGUAUAUGUUUUAAUAUUGCUUUUACGAACCACAGUUGAAGCUUUAGCAUGAUCCUUGAUACUAACAGGGAAAGGCGGUUUCUCAACAUAAGAAGUAGGAACAAUAGGAUCAUUAUAAGUAAUAGUCUUUUCUUCAACUUUAAUAGGUGCAGCUACUUUUACUUCUAUGGGAGGAUGAUAUUUAAACCAGUUCUCCUUGGGGAGAUCAACAUAAGCAGCAAAAGAUUCACAGAAAGAAGCUACUAUCUCGGAGUCAAGUCCAUAUUUAGUCCUAAAUUUAUGGAAAAUAUCGGUAUCCAUAAAAGAUUUAACAUAAUCAAAACUAGGUGUCAUACCUGACUCCUUACCAUUGUCGAGGUCCCAAUCUUCGGAGUUGCGUUUAAUUCUUUCCAAUAAAUCCCAUUUGAAUUCAAUAGUCUUCAUCAUAAAAGAGCCAGCACAAGAAGUAUCAAGCAUGGUGCGAUUGUUAUCAGAAAGCGAGCAUAAAAACUUUGAAUAAUCAUUUCUCUUGAGAGCUCAUGAUUGGGGCAUGAAUAUAACAUUGAUUUAAGCCUCCCCCAAGCUUGAGCGAUGCUUUCUCCUUCGCGAGGCCAAAAAUUAUAUAUAUAAUUGCGAUCACGAUGAACAAGAUGCAUAGGAUAAAACUUUUGAUGAAAUUCCAAUUUCAAUCGUUUGUAAUUCCAAGACUCCAUAUCAUCACAUAGCAUGUACCAUGUCGAUGCAUCUCCCCUCAAAGAUAAAGGGAAGACCUUCUUCUUAAAAACAUCUCCGGGUACACCUGCAAGCUUAAAUAAUCCACAAACUUCAUCCACAUAUAUUAGAUGCUCAUCAGGAUGUUUUGUUCCAUCUCCCAAAAAAGGAUUAGCUAGCAAUUUUUCUACCAUACCCAAAGGAAUUUUGAAGCAAGCAUUUUCAUUUUUAGUAGGUUCAGUAGGUUGAGCAGCAACUCUUUGCUCUACUGAUCAGGGUGAAGAUACCCCGAACAAGCCCCUCAGAGGAUUACUUUCCAUAGUAACAAGUGACAGUAAAUUUCAGCACACUAUAUAAAUUUUCCCUUACCAAAUUCCACCUACCAAAGGCGCUUCACUUCCCGGCAACGGCGCCAGAAAAGAGUCUUGAUGACCCACAAGUAUAGGGGAUCUAUCUAGUCCUUUCUAUAAGUAAGAGUGUCGAACCCAACGAGGAGCAGAAGGAAAUGAUAAGCGGUUUCCAGCAAGGUAUUCUCUGCAAGUACUGAAAUAAGUGGUAACAGAUAGUUUUGUGAUAGGAUAAUUUGUAACAAGCAACAAGUAACAAAAGUAAAUAAAGUGCAGCAAGGUGGCCCAAUCCUUUUUGUAGCAAAGGACAAGCCUGGACAAACUCUUAUAUGAUGUAAAGCGCUCCCGAGGACACAUGGGAAUAUCGUCAAGCUGGUUUUCAUCACGCUCAUAUGAUUCGCGUUCGAUACUUUGAUAAUUUGGUAUGUGGGUGGACCGGUGCUUGGGUGCUGCCCUUACUUGGACAAACAUCCCACUUAUGAUUAACCUCUAUUGCAAGCAUCCGCAAAUACAACAAAAGUAUUAAGGUAAACCUAACCAUAGCAUGAAACAUAUGGAUCCAAAUCAGCCCCUUACGAAGCAACGCAUAAACUAGGGUUUAAGAUUCUGUCACUCUAGCAACCCAUCAUCUACUUAUUACUUCCCAAUGCCUUCCUCUAGGCCCGAACAAUGGUGAAGUGUCAUGUAGUCGGCGUUCACAUAACACCACUAGAGGAGAGACAACAUACAUCUCAUCAAAAUAUCGAACGAAUACCCAAUUCACAUGACUACUAAUAGCAAGACUUCUCCCAUGUCCUCAGGAACAAAAGUAACUACUCACAAAGCAUAAACAUGUUCAUAAUCAGAGGAGUGCAUAUAGGAUCUGAACAUAUGAUCUUCCACCAAUUAAACCAACUAGCAUCAACUACAAGGAGUAAUUAACACUACUAGCAACCUACUAGCACCAAUCCCGGACUUGGAGACAAGAAUUGGAUACAAGAGAUGAACUAGAGUUUUGAGAUGAGAUGGUGCUAAUGAAUAUGUUGAUGGAGAUUGCCCUCUCCCGAUGAGAGGAGCGUUGGUGAUGACGAUGGCGAUGAUUUCCCCCUCCGGGAGGAAAGUUUCCCCGGCAGAACAACCCCGCCAGAACCCUAGAUUGGUUCCGCCAAGGUUCCGCCUCGUGGCAGCAGAGUUUCGUCCGAGAAGAUGGCUUAUGAUUUUUUUCCCAUCGAAAGAGUCCAUAUAGCAGAAAAUGGUCACCGGAGGGCCACCAGGGGCCCACGAGGGCGCGCCCCCCACCCUCAUGGGCAGGGUGUGCCCCCCUGGUGAGGUUCUUGCGCUCAAUGUUUUUUAUAUAUUUGGAAAACAUCAUCUGUGAAGUUUCAGGACUUUUGGAGCUGUGCAGAAUAGGUCUCUAAUAUUUGCUCCUUUUCUAGCCAGAAUCCCAGCUGUCGACAUUCUCCCUCUUUAUGUAAACCUUGUAAAAUAAGAGAGAAUAGGCAUAAGUAUUGUGACAUAAUUUGUAAUAACAGCCCAUAAUGCAAUAAAUAUUGAUAUAAAAUCAUGAUGCAAAAUGGACGUAUCAACAAGCACGAUGUCGGCAUCAGCCGCAUCAAGUUGCCGCUUCAGCUCGGCAAACUCACUAGUCCGGCUAGCCACCGGACCUUCAGCCAUCUGCACAUAAAGGUAGCCUAAUUAUUCCUGGGACUAUGAUCCUCUGUUUGCCGCCGUUCUUGAUGGCAACCAGAGUCUUAGGGGCUACUAUCUGCAUAGGGCACAUCUAACGUGUGCGGUAUUGUCAAAAACAUACACUAUUCCACGUACCUCAAAGCCUUUCAGCAAACUUGUAAAAGCUUCAUGCAACCCGCUUUCAGCGGAUGAAAUCCUCUCAAUCACCAUACCCAUUAGCGUAUGAUGCGCUUCUGAGAUGGCCGCUUGCUCCAGAAGAUCCUUCAGUGCGUCCGAUCACACACCGGACAGUUCCAAACUCCUUCUGUUGAUCUCUUUAGGAGCCGAAUACUGAGGACUUCGGGUGGCCGAAGGAUUACCCUCUGGCCUUGGCGGAUCAGGAGAAACCCUCCACGACGACACUUCAGGGUCGCCCGCCUCAUGAGGCGGGGUGGCAUGGGGAGGUGUUUCGCUCUCCAUCAUCUCCGGAAGAAGAUCCCCCGAAGACAAACUCUGUCGAGAAGGGCUAUGAUCCGAACUACAAGAUAUAUGCUUCGGUUAUUGUCUUCAGAAAUAAUGUAGGAUAUUUUUACUAUUAAGUACCUUUUGUUUACUUACAGCUCGGCAGAGGGCUGAUCCCCUUGCAGGCACUGUGCGGCAAGAGUACCCUCCGAGGCAGGACCCUCUGGCGAAGAUUUCUUCCCCCGUUUGGAAACCUUUGUUUCCGGGUCUUCAGAGGUGGUCCUCUUCCUUCCUUGGGGAGAGGUAAUUUUAGAUUCUUCUCCCUGGUCAUCCUCCUUCGCGGAGGCGCUAAUUCCCCCGGUUGGGAUGAAUAAUGAGUGAGGCCUGCUUUCAGCCUCUUUAUUCCCCCCUUUAUCUUCCCCUGAGGGCGCCUGAUAAGGCGCCGGAUCGAGCAUUCUGGCUAGUACUGGAUUGGCCGAGACUUCGGGAAGGGGGGCUGAACACCUGAUCAUCUUCGCCUUUGUUACCCAGUCCUGGUCAAAGAGCGACUUUUCAGAAUGAUGUUGUGAUAAAUAAAAAGACAGCAUGUUCGGCCACGGGAUUACUUACUUGGGUAUCUGGGCGAUUACAGCUCAGACCUGCAUCCUCGAUGGUGUCCGGACACUUUAUUUGUGGUCCGAAGAACAAUUUGUACAUCUCUUUGAGCAUCAUGCCGAGGAAGUGCUGAAUAGUUUGAGGUCCUUCCGGGUUGAAUUCCCACAUGCGGAGGGGUCGACGUUUGCAAGGCGGGACUUGACGAACUAGCAUGACUUGCAUUACUGUGGCCAGGCUGACGUCUCUCUCUCUCUAAGAAAUCUCGGAUGCGACUCUGCAAUAUCGACACAUCAUUUACUGGCCCCCAGUCCAGCCCCUUGUUGAUCCAUGACGUCAGUUGUGGUGGGGGGCCCGAGCGAAAGGCUGGGGUGGCUACCCACUUGGUACUCCGGGGAGCUGUGAUAUAAAACCACUCCCGUUGCCAUAAACUGGACACCUCAGGGAAGGAACCCUCUGGCCAUGGAACAUCAGCGUUUUUGCUUAUUACGGCACCUGCGCACUUCUGCGUGUCACCCCUCGAUCAUCUUCGGCUUCACAUUGAAAGUCUUGAGCCACAGGCCGAAGUGUGGGGUAAUGCGGACGAAGGCCUCACACACGACGAUGAAUGACGAGAUGUGAAGGAGGGAAUCCAGGGCCAGGUCAUGGAAAUCCAUCCCAUAAUAGAACAUGAGCCUCCUAACAAAGGGAUCCAGGGCGAGGCCUAGCCCUCGGAGGAAGUGAGAGAUGAAUACAACGCUCUCGCUGGAUUCGGGAGUGGGAAUGACCUGCCCUCGAGCAGGCAGCCUAUGCGAGAUUUCGAUGGUCAAAUACCUGGCCUCUCUUAGCUUCUUGAUGUCUUCCUCUGUGAUAGAGGGAGGCAUCCAUCGACCUUGACGGUUGGAUCCGGACAUGGUUGAAGGUCCUAAGUGCCUGACCUGAGCCUUAGGUGUUGGAACUCGAGGCGGGGAAAGGAUUCAAUUGAGUACGAGAGGGAAAAAAGGACGGGCCUUGGCCUCUUUAUAAAGAGGGUGAAUAUCAAGCGUCCUCCUCAUGGCCGUUUGGGACUUGCCUAAAAUCGAGGAGUCAUACCAACGGGCACGAUUGGGUUACCCACAUUCGUAUUGAUGAGAAUCCCGUAAUAAGGGGGACACGAUCUCUGCUUCGACAAGACGUGUCAAAAAAACUGCCUCGCGAUAUGUGCAGUGCUGGUUGAGAAAAGCGGUUCGAAUAAUGACCGGGUCGUGGUGUGAUGUCAUGCUGCCAAACGUGUCAGCAGAUUAGAUUUGUGGAAAUAUUAUUCUCUCUACGGUGCUAUGUGGAACUUGUUUUGCAGAUCCAGACACUAUCCUUGUGUUCAAAAUCUUCUAUGGAGUAUUCGGAGGAGGAACCCGCCUUGCAAUGCCGAAGACAAAUCUGCGAGCCGGACUCAUCACCAUUGAAGCCUAGUUCAGGGGCUACUGAGGGUGUCCUGGAUUAGGGGGUGACGGUUUCCUGGACUAGGGGGUACUCACCACGUCAUCUCCUGAUCUGUUAGAUUGGGCUGAGGACCCCCAUGGCCGUAUACUCAUGGGCCAGUUCGGACAGCUGCCGCAUACAUGGAAGAUUCUACAAGACUUGGUGAUCAAGACAAGGACUCCUCCCCACCGGCGUAUUUGGCUAGGACUCUUGUUAUCCUAGGCCUCUGGUGCAUUACAUAAACCAAGGCCAGGCUAGUCGAUAGAUACACAUACAAUCAUACCAUAGGCUAGCUUCUAGGGUUUAGCCUCUAUGAUCUCGUGGUAGAUCAACUCUUGUAAUACUCAUAUCAUCAAGAAUAAAUCAAGCAGGACGUAGGGUUUUACCUCCAUCAAGAGGGCCCGAACCCGGGUAAAACAUCGUGUCCCCUGCCUCCUGUUACCAUCCACCUUAGAUGCACAGUUCGGGACCCCCUACUCGAGAUCCACCGGUUUUGACACCGACAUUGGUGCUUUCAUUGAGAGUUCCGCUGUGUGAUCGGCAAAAGGAUCGAUGGCUCGUCUGCAGGUCAACUGCGAUGCCGGCAUCUUCAUUGCCGGCUCGACUGGUCACCUUGGCUCGACCGAGGACCGUGAUCCAUCUCCGAUCGUCAUCUUCGGACGAGGGCCUUUAUCAACAUCAACUCUGAUCUCUAUCAAGAUCAUGGAGGAAUCAUCCAUGGAGCUCGGGGGCUCAACGUCAACAUUGCCCUCGGGCGACCGUGCUGUUUUUCUGAACAGCAAACUUGUAUCCACUGCCACCACCUCUUAGAGCAUCGCUUUGAUGAUCCCUUUGGUGGAAUUGUGUGGAAUUGAGUCUACAACAGCCAUGCAAAAUUUCGUCGAGUUCCGAUGGAGGAAUCUCCGACAAUCUACAAUAUACCAGAGCCCUGUCAAAUCUGGACGGGAAUCUGGACGAGUUUUGGGCGUGGUCUCCAGAGCCUAGCUCGAAGGUCCUUUGGAAGAUCCAACCGUUCAUCUACUACGGAAUUCCCAUAUCUACCACCCCUCCAAAUUUCAGCUCGAUCCGACGGUUCAAACUCCGGGAACCUUCCGACGCGUGGAUCAAUUUUCGGAUCCGUUUUCUGCACGAAUACGGAUCCGACCCGAAUUCAUGUUUCUUUAUGAACGUGACAUUGGACAACCUUUUUAGAGGAAUUCUCUUCUAGGGUAUUGUGUGUUGUUCUUAAGCACAUGCGCAUAAAUUUUUAAGCCUCCCCUGAGGUCGCCUUCAUCAUCAUGCUGGUGUCAAACCAGUCCGGCGAUAUUGCUCCAAGGCUGCCGACCUGCGCUAGACACGUUGUCACUUUAUUGAGCCGAGCUCAACUUCUUCGGAUCAUCAUCUCGGCAAGCCAAACAAGAGUCCGACAUCGUAAAGGAUAAAUCAUCACCAACAUCGCCGCCCCACGGAUUACACGGAGCGGGCAUACCGGCAUCACCGCACGGUCGCUUCAUCAAGCCGGCAUCGACCACGUCACGACCUGCAUCGGCAGGGCCGCACUAUUGCUUCUUCAAGCUGGUGUCCAUCACGCCGACCUACUUCGACUCAUCAGCUGACAUCGAGGCUUCGACAUCUUGGCUAUACCGGGGGCUUCGCCAUCUCUUCAUCAACCUACUCCGGAGACUUCGGCGUCAUUAGCCGACCAGCUCCGUCAUGAUAGCUGGACCGAGGGCUUUGCCUCGGCGAGCCAACCUUGGCCAGCAUCACCAUACCAUCGCUUUAUUGCCCAUCAGGCAAUGGGUGUGCGGAUCGAGUCCCAAUUUUGGGAAUCACCUUUCUUCGGAUUGCUAAAAAAAAUAAACCAGGUGCUAUUAAUCCUAGUAUUUUUUGCUUGUUUGGCUUUAUUUUUCCCAAGGAAUUAUUACUCUGGUUUGUCCAUAAUCUGUACAUAGGUCUAUCAAAUGAUGGCUGCAUUAACGACGGUCGCGUGGUGGUUCGGUCAGUUUCCGUACAUAGUCCGGCGAACGCGGCAUCCAGAACUCGCACCGACCUGUGAAUUCAGGCUUUGCCACGCCUUUACCGCAUCACGCCGACGCCCUGCAUCGACAUUGACUUCGGCGCCAGGCCAUAUUUCUUUUAUUACUCACUUUGCAUAAAUUAUUUAUUAUGCAAUGAUUUUAUUAUUAUUAUUACUACUAUCUCCUAUUUGCACUAUUUUUUGUGCACAGGAAAAUGAUCCGGGGACUUCGGCAUCAUUCUGCCGGUCCGCAUUGACCGUGCUAUGUCACCACUUCGGCGUGUCAAGCUCUCCGCUCCGACACCUCGGGACCGGCUUGGGGGAUGGAACCUCGUCCCGCAUCAAGCUCGGACCGCAUUAUCAAUGCCGAACACAUUAAUCAGCUAAGUCGCCUUCAUGCUCAAAGUUUUAAUUUUUAACUUGUGUUCGGUUCGACCAAGCAUUAUAAUUUUUUGGAAAAAAGUUUCUUGUAAAAAAUUUCCUUGUCCAAACUUUGUUUGUGACACACAUAUUCAAAUACCCUGUUUAUUUGGGGGCUUCCGUUAUGAAGCUUUUCCUCUUGCAUAUGAUUAUACUUGUACGGCUUCGUUCCUUGUUCGUGUAUUACGCCACAAUAUGCACCAUAUUGACUUAAGCGAUUUGCAAGCUGGGUUGCUUGGCUCAUGUGCUUACCCCUACGUUCCCGAUUGUUCGGCUAGGGAGUAAAGGGAGCACCUCUGCGAUUGUCACGACCGGGUCCUCCGAGCUCUGACCUCAGACUGGGUGAAGCCGAAAGCUAGCACUCUUAUUGUUUUCAAUCAUGGUCGGCACACAACGGAACUCAUGAGUACAAAAUAUCUAUUGCACAAGUCUCAUAGUAAUAAUGAGCACCGAAGAAAGGUAUCGGUGGGGGUACUAUUUUCUUCGAAGAUGCUUCUUACACUUCGUCUGUAAUAUAGCAUAAGUUCCCUGAGCGCGCUUUGUCUGUUAUAGCCUUAUGACCCGGUUGUCUGGUUAUCGGAAACACUGUCGAUAUUCUCGACAGGUGGAGUACAUAACACUUUUCGGUCCUUGACCGAAGAGGGAGAAGUCGACGGUCGGUUAAGACGCGUUUAAAGUUCGGUUGAACAAAGAUAUGAUAUAAGUACUUCGGUACAUACAAUCAUUAUACAUAAAAUCGUUUACCCAAGUCACUUGGGGGCUCUUAAAAAUUUAUAUGAGCUAUUUUAUAGUAAAUGUGUUUUCUUCUUGGUCGUUGCAAAGUCUUUUCUAUCGCUCCUUUUUCGACAUGAGUGUGUGGUCAAUAGCCAGAUAACCCAUUUUCUCUCUAGUGACUGCUCGAGUUUAGUUUGCUAAACUGGUCUAACGAGAAGCACUCCGCCUUCGGGAUAGGAGGCUGCAGCCGUAGGCUGACCCGCUUGAAGUCCUGAGAUCGGUGUUAAAGCACGACAAAAGCACUCUUUUUUUCUAUGACCAAUUUUCGGAUUGGCACUGAACACUUGAUCUUGUUCGGACGUCAAGUUUUUACUGACGUUUUUUGGUUUUCCAUGCUUAUGGCACUUUUAAACUAUUUGUGUGUUUUCAGCACAAGUCUCGCAGUGCAAUGUCGGACACCUUUAUAGAUUCGACAAAAAUAUUCUCGGAUAUCGCUAUAUAUGCAUCGGUUUUGAAUUGUGUCUUCGGUCAAUAGUUGGGUUGCCCGGCUCCUGCACUUGCUUCCUACGUUCAACUUUGUUCGGCUAGGCGUGCAAAGGGAGAACCACUGCGAUUGUGCUUCUAGCUCACACGGUUAAGCACCUCGGUGGAGAAAGCCGAAAACUGACUAUCACAAUAAGUGUAAACUGGUCAACGAUCCGAUGACUGUGUUAAAUGACGGCCACUCAUAACAAUGGACGAAGUGUUUACGGCUUGACCUCGACUGUCGCCGAACACUACCGGGGGCUAUUAACUGGCCUCCAAACUAAAUCCUCGAUAUUUUGCUCUUACAUAAGAGCUGAGGUUUCAUGAUCAUGCUUAGCAUGACAACCCAAAGAAAGGAACCGAUAGCGGGACUAUUUUCUUUGGAAGACAUUUCUUAUGUUAAAUAGUAAUAUAACAUAUCUCUCUGCGUACCUUUGUUUAUAAAACCAUAUGGCCAGAUUGCCUUGUUUGUCGUAAAUCUUUGCCCUCAUAAAGGCUUUAUAAAGUAGGACAAACACUCUUCGGCUACUGGCCGAGGAGGUGGAAGCCGAUGGUCGGUCAACAAAGUUUUGUACAAUGCGGAUCCGAGCAUUAAUGACAUAAAGUACUUGGAUACAUAGAGUCAUUACACAUAAUUUGUGAUUUUACUAUGGAUAUCGAUCCUUAAUUCGGCCACCCGUGCCCGCAUUAGGGCUCGGGGGCUACUGGGCUUCGAGCUUAUUAUUUACAAAUAUUAAAGGGGCACAUCGAUCCCAUGAUCUGGUGUUGCCACCUGACCAGUGUCUCGGGGGCUACUGCAUUGCCUAUCCAAUGCAGAAAAUUUUAAGUGCAAUACAGGUUCCGAGGAGAUUUUUAUCCUCAGGUUGGUCGGUCGCACCCAACCUGAGUCUCGAGGACUGAGCACGCCGCUUUUUGUGUCCCGAAGUAUCCUGCCGAGCUAGGACUUGAUCCUCAGGCCGAUUUUACAAAUCAACCUGAGUCUCAGCGGCUAGUGGGAUCAGCGGUCUUACGUCAUCCUUCAGGUGCAUCUCGGGUUUUAAACCGAUACACACCUUGAGGGCUACUGGCUAUAUAUCUCGGCAGAGAAUAAAUUGCACCAAUCAAAAAUAUUGACAAAAAAUCGGCCCACAGUCGGGGUGGUGCACCACCUCGGAAGCAGUCCGGCAUAAAGCUCGGGCCCUAGUGGCUGGCUCUAUAGAGGGCAUUUCCAGCAUUAAGCUCGGCUAAACUCCUUCAACUUUUUUGGAUCAAGAUGAUCUAUGACAUCUUGGAUAUAGUCCGGUGUUGGAGCUUGGACACAGCCCGACGUUGGAGCUCGGAUACAUUUCGGCGUUGGAGCUCUGAAGCAGUCCGACAUUAGUGCUCGGCUGCAAAAGAUACCUCGAAUGCUAUCCGUCUUAGAGCUCGGACGCAAGAGGACACUGCCUCCCUGGAACAACUUCAAACCCGAGGUGUGGCAUAAAAAUAACAAGGCAUUGAUAAAGGCUGGAAACUUAAAGGGGCUCCUCGGAUACCCGAUGUGUAAACUCGUCGAAUGCAUUUCGGCGAUCCUCAAGAUCGAAGAUGGGAAGAUUUAUUGAACCAGUUUCCAAGACCGACAACCGAAGAUGAAGAACAGUUUAGAAGAAUCGAGGAGCGUCUCUAACUUGAAGACCGGUUCAGGGGGCUACUGACGGUGUCCUGGACUAGGGGGUACUCACCACGUCAUCUCCCGAUCUGUUAGAUUGGGCCGAGGACCCCCAUGGCCGUAUACUCAUGGGCCAGUUCGGACAGCUGCCGCAUACAUGGAAGAUUCUACAAGACUUGGUGAUCAAGACAAGGACUCCUCCCCACCGGCGUAUUCGGCUAGGACUCUUGUUAUCCUAGGCCUCUGGUGCAUUAUAUAAACCGAGGCCAGACUAGUCGAUAGAUAUACAUACAAUCAUACCAUAGGCUAGCUUCUAGGGUUUAGCCUCUACGAUCUCGUGGUAGAUCAACUCUUGUAAUACUCAUAUCAUCAAGAAUAAAUCAAGCAGGACGUAGGGUUUUACCUCCAUCAAGAGGGCCCGAACCUGGGUAAAACAUCGUGUCCCCUGCCUCCUAUUACCAUCCGCCUUAGACGCACAGUUCGGGACCCCCUACCCGAGAUCCGCCGGUUUUGACACCGAGAGGGGGUCUCCGGACAGCCGGACUAUAUCCCUUGGCCGGAUUGUUGGACUAUGAAGAUACAAGAUCGAAGACUUAGUCCCGUGUCCGGAUGGGACUCUCCUUGGCGUGGAAGGCAAGCUUGGCAAGACGGAUAUGUAGAUCUCCUCCCUUGUAACCGACUUUGUGUAACCCUAGCCCCCUCCGGUGUCUAUAUAAAUUGGAGGGUUUAGUCCGUAGGACAACAUACAAUCAUACCAUAGGCUAGCUUCUAGGGUUUAGCCUCUAUGAUCUCAUGGUAGAUCAACUCUUGUAAUACUCAUAUCAUCAAGAUCAAUCAAGUAGGACGUAGGGUAUUACCUCCAUCAAGAGGGCCCGAACCUGGGUAAACAUCGUGUCCCCUGCCUCCUGUUACCAUCCGCCAUAGACGCACAGUUCGGGACCCCCUACCUGAGAUUCACCGGUUUUGACACUGACAGUUCUCCUGUCAAGUUCUUUUCAUCUUAUCAAGUUUUGCGUCCCUUCUCAACCAGAGUGCUGUCUGAAAUCUUUCUUACCACUUGUGCCAUUCUUUCAAUAGCUCCGAAGGCAGCGUGUUGUUGAUUUCAUCAAGUAUCCUCUCGUCUUGUUAAAUCCAUGUUCAAUUCCUACCAUUUAGAGUCAGAGUACUGUCCAAAUUAUAUCAUUCUUAUUCCUUCUCUAUCUUGUUUUAACCAGAGUGUUGUGUCUAUCAUUCCUCUUCUAACCGAAGUCUCAUCCAAGUGCUUUCGUUUUGCCAAGUUCAUAUUCUAUGACUUCCUUUUCCAACUAGAGUGUUGUCAUAAUUGAUCCUUUUCGUUCAUUGUACAUAGCGUUUCAACCGGAGUGCUUGCAUGUACUUCUUGUCCAUUGCAACCCUUUUCUUAUGUCUUUAAACCUACAAGGCUCUAGUAAUGUUCCUUGUUCCUCUUUUCUAACGGAGUGUUUUCAACUUUGUUCAUCUUUGUUGUAUUAUUUCUUUCAAUUCGUUCAACCUCGCAAGGUUCUUUGGUUUCAAUCAUUUGUCAAAGAAGCAACUUAGUUUUACCUCUUCUCUCCCUCCUCUAUUUUUCUCUGGUGCCAUCCUAGAUCUCGGGACGAGAUCCUCUUGUAGUGGUGGAGUGUUGUAACGCCCCGAGACCGAUGCGCCAGGUGUCUUCCAGUUAUUCUCUAUUCUUGCCUUGUCAUCCGCUUGUGUUUUCAUCAUGUGCAUUGCAUCCUCAUGUUUUCAAAACUUGCAUCCGUCCGGUCUCCCCGUUCUCUCCGUUGUCCGUUCUGAGCCCAACCACACUCGCCCGCGCCCGCGGCAUGUCCGAAAUAGUAUUUUAUAAGUGGCCGAAAAAUGUUCUCGGAAUGGGUUGAAAGUUGGCAUGCGGUGUUUUUAUAGUGUAGAUAGGACGCCUGCCAAGUUUCAUCGCAUUCAGAGUCCGUUUGACGCCCCAACGGAUAACUAUAUCGGUAGUAUAGCCGGUCUUUUCGUCGGACGUUUUCGGUCUCCGAAAACUGUUGUCGGGUCUCUCUCUCUCUCUCUCUCUCUCUCUCUCUUCUCUCUCGUAGCCCUCGGCCUUCUACACAGUCACAACCAACCCCUCUAAACCCCUCGUAACACCCCUUUCCUCUGUGGCCUUUUGUCAGACCCCCUCUCCGCACAGUUCUCAGACCCCCUCGCGCGUCCGAAAACUUCCCCAAACCCGACCGGGCACUCGUGACUGUUGUGUCCGGAUCGUCACCCAACAUCCCUAAAACGUCUUUGGUUCAUUGUUUGAACUCCCUAACCCAUUUAUUCGCAACCACUUGUUUUCGAUCGGAGGGACUGAAUACCCCUACCAAAAAACCCACUUAAUAUAUAUAUACGGGACCCAACCCUAGAAUCUAGGAGAUUUGUCCCUCCACCACCGUCACCGGGUCGCCUCCCACCUCGGGAUCGCCUCGGCCAAUCCUCCUCGAUCCCCUCGCCUAACCAGUGCAUCCCCUCCGAUCCAUCCUUCCCGCACCCACCCUCUCGAUCCAGGAGCCGAGCUCCCCUGACUGAGGCCGCAUCCAUGACAGAGCUCGCCGGAGCAAGCACCACCAGGGCGUCGCCCUCUCCCUGCUUCCCGUGCUCCCUCCUUUCUCUUCUAUCCCGUACUCACUCCUCACCGUCAAAUCCCUCUCACCUCUCUCCAUAGGGACCCUCCAUGGAGGACCCCAUCGCCCCACCAAGUGCUACGUCUUGAGCUUGCGUUGGUUUUCCCCGAAGAGGAAGGGAUGAUGCAGCAGAGUAGCGUAAGUAUUUCCCUUAGUUUUUGAGAACCAAGGUAUCAAUCCAGUAGGAGGCCACGCUCAAGUCCCUCGUACCUGCACAAAGUGAUAGCUACUCUCAACCAACGCGAUUAGGGGUUGUCAAUCCAUUCAGGUCACUUACGAGAGUGAGAUCUGAUAGAUAUAAUAUUUUUUUGGUAUUUUUGGUAUAAAUAUAUAAAGUAAAAAGUAAAGGCAAAGUAAAAAAGCAAAGCAAGAUUAAAGUGAUGGAGAUUGAGAAUAGAUCCGAGGGCCAUAGGUUUCACUAGUGGCUUCUCUCAAGAGCAUAAGUAUUCUACGGUGGGUGAACAAAUUACUAUUGAGCAAUUGACAGAAUUGAGCAUAGUUAUGAGAAUAUCUAGGCAUGAUCAUGUAUAUAGGCAUCACGUCCGUGACAAGUAGACCGAAACGAUUCUGCAUCUACUACUAUUACUCCACUCAUCGACCGCUAUCCAGCAUGCAUCUAGAGUAUUAAGUUAAAAACAGAGUAACGCCUUAAGCAAGAUGACAUGAUGUAGUGAGAUAAAUUCAUGCAAUAUGAAAUAAACCCCAUCUUGUUAUCCUCGAUGGCAACGAUGCAAUACGUGCCUUGCUGCCCCUUCUGUCACUGCGAAAGGACACCGCAAGAUCGAACCCAAAGCUAAGCACUUCUCCCAAGGCAAGAACUACCAAUCUAGUUGGCCAAACCAAACGGAUAAUUCGAAGAGACUUGCAAAGAUAACCAAUCAUACAUAAAAGAAUUCAGAGAAGAUUCAAAUAUUAUUCAUAGAUAGACUUGAUCAUAAACCCACAAUUCAUCGGUCUCAACAAACACACCACAAAAAGAAGAUUACAUCGAAUAGAUCUCCACAAGAGAGGGGGAGAACUUUGUAUUGAGAUCCAAAAAGAGAGAAGAAGCCAUCUAGCUACUAACUAUGGACCAGAAGGUCUGAGGUAAACUACUCACACUUCAUCGGAGAGGCUAUGAUGAUGUAGAAGCCCUCCGUGAUGACGGCCCUCUUCCGGCGGAGCUCCGGAACAGGACCCAAGAUGGGAUCUCAUGGAUACAGAAAGUUGCGGCGGUGGAAUUAGGAUUUGGCUCCUGUCUGAUCGUUGGGGGGUACGUGUGUAUAUAUAGGAGGAAGGAGUACAUCGGUGGAGCACCAAGGGGCCCAUGAGGUAGGGGGCGCGCCUAGGGGGGCCGCCCCCACCCUCGUGACCUCCUCUUUGACUCCUUGGAGUAGGGUCCAAGUCUCCUGGAUCACGUUCGGUGAGAAAAUCACGUUCCCGAAGAUUUUAUUCCGUUUGGACUCCGUUUGAUAUUCUGUUUCUCCGAAACACUGAAAUAGGCAAAAACAACAAUUCUGGGCUAGGCCUCCGGUUAAUAGGUUAGUCCCAAAAAUAAUAUAAAAGUGGAAAAUAAAGCCCAAUAUAGUCCAAAAUAGUAGAUAAUAUAGCAUGGAGCAAUCAAAAAUUAUAGAUAUGUUGGAGACGUAUCAGGCAUCCCCAAGCUUAAUUCCUGCUCGUCCUCGAGUAGGUAAAUGAUAAAAAGAGAAUUUUUGAUGCGGAGUGCUACUUGGCAUAAUUUCAAUGUAAAUCUUCUUAAUUGUGAUAUGAAUAUUCAGAUUCGAAAGAUUCAAGACAAAAGUUUAUAUUGACAUAAAAAUAAUAAUACUUCAAGCAUACUAACAAAGCAAUUAUGUCUUCUCAAAAUAACAUGGCGAAAGAAAGUUAUCUCUACAAAAUCAUAUAGUCUGGCUAUGCUCUAUCUUCACCACAUAGAGUAUUUAAAUCAUGCACAACCCCGAUGAAAAGCCAAGCAAUUGUUUCAAACUCUAACUUUUUCAAAACUUUUUCAAUCUUCACGCAAUACAUGAGCGUGAGCCAUGGAUAUAGCACUAUAGGUGGAAUAGAAUGGUGGUUGUGGAGAAGACAAAAAGGAGAAAAUAGUCCCACAUCAACUAGGCGUAUCAACGGGCUAUGGAGAUGCCCAUCAAUAGAUAUCAAUGUGAGUGAGUAGGGAUUGCCAUGCAACGGAUGCACUAGAGCUAUAAGUAUAUGAAAGCUCAAAAACAAACUAAGUGGGUGUGCAUCCAACUUGCUUGCUCAUGAAGACCUAGGGCAAUUUAAGGAAGCCCAUCAUUGGAAUAUACAAGCCAAGUUCUAUAAUGUAAAAUUCCCACUAGUAUAUGAAAGUGAUAACAUGAGAGACUCUCUACUAUGAAGAUCAUGGUGCUACUUUCAAGCACAAGUGUGGUAAGAGGAUAGUAACAUUGUCCCUUCUCUCUUUUUCUCUCACUUUUUUUAUAUAUUUUUUAUUUGUGCCUUUUCUCUUUUUUAUGGCCUCUUUUCUUUUCUUUUUUAUUUGGGAUUCUUUGGCCUCUUUUAUUUAUUUUUCGUCCGGAGUCUCAUCCCGACUUAUGGGGGAAUCAUAGUCUCCAUCAUUCUUUCCUCGCUGGGACAAUGCUCUAAUAAUGAUGAUAAUCACACUUUUAUUUUUCUUACAACUCAACAAUUACAACUCAAUACUUAGAACAAAAUAUGACUCUAUGCUAAUGCAUCCGGCGGUGUACCGGGAUAUGCAAUAUGACAAUGAUGAAUGUGUCAUGAUAAACGGAAUGGUGGAAAGUUGCAUGGCAAUAUAUCUCGGAAUGGCUAUGGAAAUGCCAUGAUAGGUAGGUAUGGUGGCUGUUUUGAGGAAGGUAUAUGUAGGUGUAUGAUACCGGCGAAAAGUGCGCGGUAUUAGAGAGGCUAGCAAAGGUGGAAGGGUGAGAGUGCGUAUAAUCCAUGGACUCAACAUUAGUCAUAAAGAACUCAUAUACUUAUUGCAAAAAUCUAGAAGUUAUAAAAGCAAAGUAUUACGCGCAUGCUCCUAGGGUGAUAGAUUGGUAGGAAAAGACCAUAGCUCGUCCCCGACCGCCACUCAUAAGGAAGACAAUCAAUAAAUAAAUGAUGCUCCGACUUCAUCACAUAACGGUUCACCAUACGUGCAUGCUACGGGAAUCACAAACUUUAACACAAGUAUUCUUUAAACUCACAACUACUCAACUAGCAUGACUUUAAUAUUAUCACCUCCAUAUCUCAAAACAAUUAUCAAGCUUCAAUAUUUUCUUAGUAUUCAACACACCCAAAAGAAAGUUUCACAAAUCUUGAACACCAAGCAUAUUAUUAUUAAGCAAAUUACCAUGCUAUUAAGAGACUCUCAAAAUAAUUUAAGUGAAGCAUGAGAGAUCAAUAGUUUCUUUAAAACAAAUCCACCACCGUGCUCUAAAAGAUCUAAGUGAAGCACAUAGAGCAAAAUUAUAACGCUCAAAAGAUAUAAGUGAAGCACAUAGAGCAAAACUACUAAGCUCAAAAGAUAUAAGUGAAGCACAUAGUGUAUUCUAUCAAAUUUUAAAUCAUGUAUGGCUCUCUCAAAAAGGUGUGUACAGCAAGGAUGACUGUGGCAUACUAAGACACAAAGACACAAAUAAUACAAGACACUCCAAGCAAAACACAUAUCAUGUUGGUGAAUAAAAAUAUAGUUCCAAGUAAAUUACCGAUGGAAGUGGACGAAAGAGGGGAUGCCUCCCGGGGCAUCCCCAAGCUUUGACUUCUUUGUGUCCUUGGAUUAUCUUGGGGGUGCCAUGGGCAUACCCAAGCUUAGGCUCUUGCCACACCUUGUUCCAUAAUCCAUCAAAAGAAUUCACCCAAAACUUGAAAACUUCACAACACAAAACUCAAAAUAGAAAACUCGUGAGCUCCGUUAGCGAAAGAAAACAAAAGACCACUUCAAGGUACUGUAAUGAACUCAUUCUUUAUUUAUAUUGGUGUUAAACCUACUGUAUUCCAACUUCUCUAUGGAUUAUAAACUAUUUUACUAACCAUAGAUUCAUCAAAAUAAGCAAACAACACACGAAAAACAGAAUCUGUCAAAAACAGAACAGUCUGUAGUAAUCUGUAGCUAGCGCAAGAUCUGGAACCCCAAAAAUUCUAAAAUAAAUUGCUGGACGUGAGGAAUUUAUCUAUUAAUCAUCUGAAAAAAUAAUUAACUAAAUAGCACUCUUCAAAUAAAAAUUACAGCAGUUCUCGUGAGCGCUAAAAUUUCUGUUUUUUACAGCAAGUUCAACAAGACUUUCCCCAAGUCUUCCCAAUGGUUCUACUUUGCACAAACGCUAAUUAAACACAAAAAACACAACAAAAACAGAGGCUAAACAAUUUAUUUAUCACUAAGCAGGAGCAAAAAGCAAGUAAUAAAAAUAAAAUUGGGUUUCCUCCCAACAAGCGCUAUCGUUUAACGCCCCUAGCUAGGCAUAAAAGCGAGGAUAGAUCUAAGUAUUGCCAUCUUUGGUUGGCAAUUCUUCGAUGAGGCAUCUAUUUCCCUUAGGAGUUUCUUUCUUUCUAGGGAUUAUCAAACUUUUAGGCACAAGAUCAAAAAAUUCAUUUGUAGCAAUUGGUUCCUUAAUGAUAGCAAAAAGAUUGGGAUGAAUACUUAUAGAUUUAAGAUCCGCAGUUUCCUUACUAGAUGAUUCACCCUUAUUUUUAGGAACAUACAUAAGCUUGGAAAUUUUAGUAGGAGGACUUGGAGUAUUCUUUAUGGAAGAAAAAGCGGUUCCCAAGUUUGUAAUGAUACCCUCAAGUUUAUCAAUUCUAGUAGAAUCUAAGUUUAUCUUCUCAUUAACUAUGGGUUCCUUUUCCUUAAUAUUUUUCAGAGUCAUUCCUACCUUAGAUCCAUAUUGAGUAAUUUGAUUGUGGAUAUUUUUAUCUAGAUUUUCAAUUAAUUCAAUAGUAGCAACUUUAUUUUCAAUAAUUUCAAGUCUUUGCAUAACAUGCUCCAAAGUUAACAUGGCUCCAUUAACCAAAAGAGGUGGUGAGCCAAAUAAAUUUAGCAUGGCAUUAUAAGAAUCAAAAGUGUGGCUACCCAAGAAGUUCCCUCCGGUAAUGGUAUCAAGAAUAUAUCUAUACCAAGGAUUAACACCUACAUAAAAAUUGCGGAGAAGAACUAAGGUAGAUUGCUUCCUGGUAGAUCUAUUUUGAGCAUUGCAAAUUCUAUACCAAGCAUCUUUUAGAUUUUCUCCCUCCCUUUGUUUAAAAUUUAGAACUUCACUCUCGAGAGACAACGGGGAAGAUAUGAGACUAGCCAUGGCGACAAGCAAACAAACUAGCACGCAAGCAAACAAGAGAAAAUGGGCAAAAGAGGCAAAUAGAGAGGAGGAUAGAGAGAGAGGGCGAAUAAAAUGGCAAGGGUGAAGUGGGGGAGAGGAAAGCGGGAGGCAAAUGGCAAAUAAUGUAAUGCGAGAGAUAGGGAUUGUGAUGGGUACUUGGUAUGUUGACUUUUUGCGUAGACUCCCCGGCAACGGCGCCAGAAAUCUUUCUUGCUAUGUCUUGAGCUUGCGUUGGUUUUCCCCGAAGAGGAAGGAAUGAUGCAGCAGAGUAGCGUAAGUAUUUCCCUCAGUUUUUGAGAACCAAGGUAUCAAUCCAGUAGGAGGCCACGCUCAAGUCCCUCGUACCUGCACAAAGCGAUAGCUACUCGCAACCAACGUGAUUAGGGGUUGUCAAUCCCUUCAGGGUCACUUACGAGAGUGAGAUCUGAUAGAUAUAAUAUUUUUUGGUAUUUUUGGUAUAAAGAUGCAAAGUAAAAAGUAAAGGCAGGAUUAAAAUGAUGGAGAUUGAUACGAUGAGAAUAGACCCGGGGGCCAUAGGUUUCACUAGUGGCUUCUCUCAAGAGCAUAAGUAUUCUACGGUGGGUGAACAAAUUACUGUUGAGCAAUUGGCAGAAUUGAGCAUAUUUAUGAGAAUAUCUAGGUAUGAUCAUGUAUAUAGGCAUCACGUCCAAGACAAGUAGACCGACUCCUGCCUGCAUCUACUACUAUUACUCCACUCAUCGACCGCUAUCCAGCAUGCAUCUAGAGUAUUAAGUUAAAAACAGAGUAACGCCUUAAGCAAGAUGACAUGAUGUAGAGAGAUAAAUUCAUGCAAUAUGAAAUAAACCCCAUCUUGUUAUCCUCGAUGGCAAUGAUGCAAUACGUGCCUUGCUGCCCCUUCUGUCACUGGGAAAGGACACCUCAAUAUCGAACCCAAAGCUAAGCACUUCUCCCAAGGCAAGAACUACCAAUCUAGUUGGCCAAACCAAACGGAUAAUUCGAAGAGACUUGCAAAGAUAACCAAUCAUACAUAAAAGAAUUCAGAGAAGAUUCAAAUAUUAUUCAUAGAUAGACUUGAUCAUAAACCCACAAUUCAUCGGUCUCAACAAACACACCGCAAAAAGAAGAUUACAUCGAAUAGAUCUCCACAAGAGAGGGGGAGAACUUUGUAUUGAGAUCCAAACAGAGAGAAGAAGCCAUCUAGCUACUAACUAUGGACCCGAAGGUCUGAGGUAAACUACUCACAUUUCAUCGGAGAGGCUAUGAUGAUGUAGAAGCCCUCCGUGAUGACGACCCUCUUCCGGCGGAGCUCCGGAACAGGCUCCAAGAUGGGAUCUCGUGGAUACAGAAAGUUGCGGCGGUGGAAUUAGGUUUUUGGAUCCUGUCUGAUCGUUUGGGGGUACGUGUGUAUAUAUAGGAGGAAGGAGUACGUCGGUGGAGCACCGAGGGGCCCACGAGGCAGGGGGCGUGCCCUAGGGGGGCCCCCACCCUCGUGACCUCCUCUUUGACUCCUUGGAGUAGGGUCCAAGUCUCCUGGAUCACGUUCGGUGAGAAAAUCACGUUCCUGAAGAUUUUAUUCCGUUUGGACUCCGUUUGAUAUUUUGUUUCUCCGAAACACUGAAAUAGGCAAAAAACAUCAAUUCUGGACAGGGCCUCCGGUUAAUAGGUUAGUCCGAAAAAUAAUAUAGAAGUGGAAAAUAAAGCCCAAUAUAGUCCAAAACAGUAGAUAAAAUAGCAUGGAGCAAUCAAAAAUUAUAGAUACGUUGGAGACGUAUCACCAAGUACCUCACCGGAGAAACGCAGCGACCCCUGCGCCUCGUCGCCAUGGAUCCGCCCGCUCCAAGAUCUCACCUCUGCCCAGAACCCACCUGGCACCGUCGCCGCCGGCGACUGAAUUAGCAGCAAGACGCCACUCCAACAGGACCCCGCGAACAUGAGGAGGCCAUGGGAGCUGCCCUUAUGCACCUCGUCGCCAUCCCCUGCCUGCCGGAGCCAUGCCUCCCUAUGACCCGCGGCCAUGACGACGGUCUUCUUCCACGUCGCGCACCUGCUCCCCUCGCCUCCGCCUGGUUCCCUCACCGCCAAGUCCAGCACCACGCGGCCACGAGCCGCCUCCUUCCUGCGAACCUCGCCGCCGACCCCGCUAUUGCCAGCUAGUAGCAGCAGCCCGGAGUCCCCGACCGCGCCUCGUUCAUGGAUGCAGGAGCACGAGCACCCUCCUCCUCGUUGCACGGAUCACCCGCCGGAGUCGCCCCGGUCGUCGCCUCGCCAAGCUCCAUUGCCUCCGGUGACCUUCACGUCGAGGAGCCAGAGUUCACGGCCCCUGCCCCUGCAUCGCGCCUCUGUCGUCCUCUGCUUCGCCCGUGGUCAAGCGAGAUGACCGCUCGCGUUGACCGCGUCGUUGCCUCCUGAUAGGGCCCAACGCGCCUCCUCCCCACCGAAUGGGCCAAGGCCCAUGGUGAGGCCAGCUCCAGUGCCUCCCCUCUUGUUUUUUUCACCUGUUGGGCCAGUUCAAGUUUCGGCCUGUUUAGGUAUUUUUUCAGAUCUGCGAAUUUAGUAUUUAUUCUAGAGACGGCAGUUUUACAGAAAAAACCUCAUGUUUCAUGCAUUUAAUAACUCACAAAUGGUGCAUGGGAUUAAAAUGAUUUAUAUAUGAAAAAUGCUUAGAAAUUCAUCUAGUUUCAUAAUAUGCUACUUUCAUCCAUAUUAAAAAUGUUAAACUUGUUGUUUGUGUUUAUUUUGCAAACUGCCAUGUUAAAAUGAUUUAAUUCAUAACUAAAUAACCGUAACUCCAAUUUUAAUAAACUUUAUAUGUAAAUGGGGUAGAAAAAUGCCUAGUUUAACAUGGUGUACUCAUCUUGCAUGUUUAAGAACUCUAAAAUAUGGUUUGGGGCAGAACAGUACCAAAUCCAUACAUUGCAUAUGUGGAUUUUUCCGGACUUGUUGCUUGUUGUUCCGGCCUCAUUUGAACUUGCCUAGAUAGGUAGUUUUCAUAUGCUUCACCUCUUGCCAUGUUUAAUAACAUUUAAUAUUGUUGGGUACAUAAACAAGAGCGAACUAAAUGUUUGAUGUGGUGUUUCGUCAAUAUGCAACUCAUUGCAUAUUGAGCUCCACUUAACUUGUAGUUUUGUUUGUGCACUUUGUCAUGCCAUGCCUCAUUAAAACGGACAUGCAUCAUACUUGGUUGUGCAUCAUGCCAUGUUUAUGUGACGGUUGUUUACCAUGUUGCUUGCUUCUUUCCGGGUUGCUUCUCGUUAGCUUUGGCUUCGUUCCGGAGUUUUGAGGAUACGUUCGACUAUGUCCGUUUGUCUUCUUCAUGGACUCGUUAUUCUUCCUUACGGGAUCUCAUGCAAGAUGACCAUACCCUAGAAAUCACUUCUAUCUUUCCUUGCUAGUUGUUCACUCUAUCGCUAUGUCGCGCUACCUACCACUUGUUAUAUCAUGCCUCCCAUAUUGCCAUGUCAAGCCUCUAACCCACCUUCCUAGCAAACCGUUGUUUGGCUAUGUUACCGCCUUUUGCUCAGCCCCUCUUAUAGCGUUGCUAGUUGCAGGUGAAGAUGAAGUUUGUUCCAUGUUGGAACAUGGAUAUGUUGGGAUAUCACAAUAUCUCUUAUUUUUAAUUAAUGCAUCUAUAUACUUGGUAAAGGGUGGAAGGCUUGGCCUUAUGCCUGGUGUUUUGUUCCACUCUUGCCGCCCUAGUUUCCGUCAUACCGGUGUUAUGUUCCUUGAUUUUGCAUUCCUAGAGCGGUUGGGUGUUAUGGGAACCCCUUGACAGUUUGCUUUGAAUAAAACUCCUCCAGCAAGGCCCAACCUUGGUUUUACCAUUUGCCUCACCACCACCUAUACUUUUCCCUUGGGAGUCAUGCUCCCGAGGGUCAUCUUUAUUUUUAACCCCCCCCGGCCAGUGCUUCUCUAAGUGUUGGUCUGAACCGAGCCGCCUGCCGGGCCACCUCAGGGAAACUCGAGGUCUAGUUUUACUCGUAGCUUGUCUCAUCCGGUGUUUCCCUGAGAACGAGAUACGUGUGACUCCUAUCGGGAUUGUCGGCACAUCGGGUGGCUUUGCUGGUCUUGUUUUACCAUUGCCGAAAUGUCUUGUAACCGGGAUUCGGAGACUGGUCGGGUCUUCCCGGGAGAAGGAAUAUCCUUCGUUGACCGUGAGAGCUUGUGAUGGGCUAAGUUGGGACACCCCUGCAGGGUAUAAACUUUCGAGAUCUGUGCCCGCAGUUAUGUGGCAGAUGGGAAUUUGUUAAUGUCCGGUUGUAGAGAACUUGACACUUGACAUAAUUAAAGUGCAUCAAUCGCGUGUGUAGCCGUGACGCUCUCUUUUCGGCGGAGUCCGGGAAGUGAACAUGGUUCUUGUGUUAUGCUUGAGCGUAAGUAGUUUCAGGAUCACUUCUUGAUCAUUUCUAGCUUCACGGCUGUUGCGUUGCUUAUCUUCUCGCUCUUAUCUACGUAUGUUAGCCACCAUAUAUGCUUAGUGCUUGCUGCAGCUCCACCUCACUACCUUCUCCUACCCAUAAGCUUAAAUAGUCUUGAUCUCACGGGUGUGAGAUUGCUGAGUCCUUGUGACUCACAUAUACUUCCAAAUAGUUGCAGGUGCCGAUGAUACCAGUGUGGGUGACGCAACCCAGCUCAAGUGGGAGCCCGUUGAAGAUCUUGAUCGUUGUUUUGUUUCGUUUCCUGUUGGUCAGUAGUGGAGCCCAGUUGGGAUGAUCGAGGAUCUAGCAUUUGGGGUUGUCUUCUUUUAUUUUGGUUCCGUAGUCGGACCUUGAUUGUAUUCUGGAUGAUGUAUGUUUAACUUGUAUUUGUGUGAAGUGGCGAUUGUAAGCCAACUCUUUACCCCUUUCUUUUUUAGUACAUGGGAUUGUGUGAAGAUUACCCCUCUUGCGACAAACCUACCAUGCAGCUAUGCCUCUAAGUCAUGGCUCGACACGUGGGAGAUAUAGCCGCAUUGUGGGUGUUACACACCGUACCUUUGGUGCUAGGAUUGGUCGAUCGUGAAGACAUACGACUACAUCAACCGCGUUGUCAUAACGCUUCCGCUUACGGUCUAUGAGGGUACAUGGACAACACUCUUCCCUCUCGAUGCUAUGCAUCACCAUGAUCUUGCGUGUGCGUAGGAUUUUUUUUGAAAUUACUACGUUCCUCAACAACUACAAGAUGCUGCUAAUGUGACACUACGAUCAGAGACCCUUCGAGAAACUAUGUGUGAUGCAAUAGUCACAAACGGUAGUGUAUGAAAACUGUCAAAUAUGUGUAAAAGUUUGCGAUGACGGAUGCAUCAAACAUGGUUCAGAUUUUAGUGUGUGUGUGUGAUGAAGGGCAUAUUGUUCAGUUCAAUUAACUGUUUGCGAUGAGGAGGAACAAAAGAAACGGGCAUCCAGAUGAAUGUGUGUGCGAUACACAACAUACGGUUCACUCGGAUGAACUAUUUGUGAUUAGGCAACACAAAAGAAACAGGCAGCCAGAUGAAGGUGUGUGCGAUAUACAGCAUACGGUUCACUCGGAUGAACUGUUUGUGAUUAGGCACAAAAAAGAAA